GAGGCGGUGUGGCUUUAAGGAAACGAGCAGGAGAACCAAGAUGGAUUCUGCCGAGUGUGUUCUUUUUCUCUUCGAGGUUCUCAUUUUAUAUUUUCUUUCCUUUUUUUUUUAUUUUUUUUUUAAUUUGGGGAAUAAAUUCGAAAGAACCUAAUCCUAUUAGUCUCUGGUAUCUGCUUUUGAAAUGCUUUAGUUCCAAUAAACUUCUUUUUUGGGAGGAAAACCUAUUCCAGUUUUUCAAAAAUAUAUGAAAACCACUUUUGGGAAAAAGUUACGUAUCAACAAGUUUUAUCAAUCAACUGGUAAUUUUUAAGCUAUUUAUACUUAUUUUGGUAAAUUGAGGUUUCUUAAUUAGGAAGUGUGGAAUGGUGGGAUGAACCUUCCUAUGUGUGGCUGUAACGGCCUGCUUAUUGCCCGCAUUUCACCUCCCUUUGUAGAGGAAUGGCACGCAGGUUCAGACACAAGGAUUUGUAUCUGACUAAUGGUCCUUUUCAGAUUUUCCAUGAUGUUCCUCUUUCGGAUUGAAUUGAGCCAAUUCCUCUUGUUGUUCUCUAUCAAAGUAGUUAAAGGGUGCGUUUGUUUUAGAAAAAACUCAAGAUUUAAAAUAUAUUUUCUGAAAAAUGGUUAGCUAUAUCGUUUAAAAAAAUUAACAAACAAAAAAUAUUUUCAUUGUCUAUAUCAAUUUAUACCUAAGUAUUUCAGUGAAUGAUGUUAAAAGGUGAUCCAUUCAUAUUUGUGAACAAUAAAUCAAUCAUUUUUGGAAAAUGUUUUUCAAAUCUUGAGUGUUUAGGGAAACAAACACAUCCUAAGUAUUUAAAGUUUUUGUGUUAUUGCAUUAUAGAAGGCAAAGAGUAUAAAUCAAAUCAAUUCGGCUUAAAGAGUCGUGGAGAGAUUUUACAAGGCUCGAAACAAAUUUCAUGAUUCAAUAGAGUCUAUGGUUUUUGUUACUCAUGCUUGCCAUGACUUCAGUUUACCCAAGGAUGAGAGUAAUCAUGGAGGCUAUACACAUGCUAAAACAAUUAUUGGAUCAUGUUCACCAAUAGUGACCAAAGAUCGGUCCCAUAUAUGCUACAACAAAAUGAUGGAACGGGGAGGGGCCUGCGUUAGCCUUUUUUGUCACCAUAUCCGAUCAAACAAAGCAUUAAGGACUUGACCGUCCGAGGGUCCCCACCCCAAAGGCACUAACUUGUAUUUCAUCCGCCAUUUAUUAAAGGCUGAAAAUGAAAAAGUUGAUCAUUUUUCAUUAAAAAAGAUGAGCAUUUAAGACUCAUAUGGUAUUACUAGAUGUUAUCAUAAAAUUAGUUCAUACUAUUUCGAAUACUUUUAUCACUCAUGUUUUAGAUAUUAUAGGUUCUAAGGAUUAACAAAAGACGAGAAUCUAAAUAUGCAAAAGUGGAACAUGUGAUGCUUGUGAACAUGGAAUGACUCGAGGGGUUCAACCAACUAGAGAGAGAGAGACGGGGAGAGAGAGAGAGCCAUCAUAGCAUGUCUUGCAUGAUCAUGCAUUCUUAAAGCAAAAUUCGUUUUUCUUUUUGAGUGGGGAGACCAAACCAAUUCGUAUGGAAAAAUUUCUAUACAGCGGAUUUGGAUUAUCUACAAUUUUAGAAUUUUGAGAGCGAUUCAACCUACUUAUUUUGAGUGAGCACACAAAUUAGUAUUAUGCCUUUCUUAUAAUGUUACUUGAAGCAAAUUAGUAUCAUGCAUUGGUGUAUAGGCUUAUCAUAAUGAUUUCGGAGAAUUCACGAUCAUGCACUGUCAGAAACCCGUACACAAACAAUUUGAGACUUGAAUUUAGACCAUAUAAUGAAUUUGAAGCUGGACAUCUACAUCCGGAGGCUCGAAAUUAUGUCAAACUUCAUCAUGACAUGAUACUCGUCGCAAGGACUCUGCAACUAGCCAUCUCGUGCCAAUAUAUGCCUCCCUGACAACUCCUCGUGCAUCAUGGGGCCACAAUUGCAUCAAAGGAUCCCCACUUUGUCGAUGUUGAUAUUGCUAGUAUAAACACCUAGAGGGGGGGUGAAUAGGCGCACAAACAAUUUUUCUCAAAUACGGAAGCAACAGAUUGAAAUACGAUCGAUGUAGAGAGAGUAAGGAAGAGAAAAUCAAACACAGGAUUUAUAGUGGUUCGGCUUAUUCCAAGCCUACGUCCACUCUUCCGCACUGACAGCCCACCGGCUGGAUUUCACUAUGAUCAAAAGAGAAGUUAUAGCACAGCUUUGCCUUGAUUCCACAGUGUAGAUGUUCUAUCACACCUCCUCAAGGUCUCUCACAAAUAUAGACUCUCUUUUGUAUACAGUAUUCGCUCAAGAGAUUUAUCUAAACAAAUAGGAGCUUCAGACUUUGGAAUUUUUCUAUCGCGCACUCUCUCUUAAACAACUAAGAACGUCUUCCUUAUAUACUCCUUUAUGCCAUCAUACCCGUUGGCACUUUCCAAAGGAAUUCCUCCAAUCUACCCGUUGGACGGAAUCAAUUAGGAGAUCGUUCGAGCUAUAAAGGACGUGUGAUAGCCCAUCAAUCAUGUUCGCCCAUACAAUCANNNNNNNNNNNNNNNNNNNNNNNNNNNNNNNNNNNNNNNNNNNNNNNNNNNNNNNNNNNNNNNNNNNNNNNNNNNNNNNNNNNNNNNNNNNNNNNNNNNNNNNNNNNNNNNNNNNNNNNNNNNNNNNNNNNNNNNNNNNNNNNNNNNNNNNNNNNNNNNNNNNNNNNNNNNNNNNNNNNNNNNNNNNNNNNNNNNNNNNNNNNNNNNNNNNNNNNNNNNNNNNNNNNNNNNNNNNNNNNNNNNNNNNNNNNNNNNNNNNNNNNNNNNNNNNNNNNNNNNNNNNNNNNNNNNNNNNNNNNNNNNNNNNNNNNNNNNNNNNNNNNNNNNNNNNNNNNNNNNNNNNNNNNNNNNNNNNNNNNNNNNNNNNNNNNNNNNNNNNNNNNNNNNNNNNNNNNNNNNNNNNNNNNNNNNNNNNNNNNNNNNNNNNNNNNNNNNNNNNNNNNNNNNNNNNNNNNNNNNNNNNNNNNNNNNNNNNNNNNNNNNNNNNNNNNNNNNNNNNNNNNNNNNNNNNNNNNNNNNNNNNNNNNNNNNNNNNNNNNNNNNNNNNNNNNNNNNNNNNNNNNNNNNNNNNNNNNNNNNNNNNNNNNNNNNNNNNNNNNNNNNNNNNNNNNNNNNNNNNNNNNNNNNNNNNNNNNNNNNNNNNNNNNNNNNNNNNNNNNNNNNNNNNNNNNNNNNNNNNNNNNNNNNNNNNNNNNNNNNNNNNNNNNNNNNNNNNNNNNNNNNNNNNNNNNNNNNNNNNNNNNNNNNNNNNNNNNNNNNNNNNNNNNNNNNNNNNNNNNNNNNNNNNNNNNNNNNNNNNNNNNNNNNNNNNNNNNNNNNNNNNNNNNNNNNNNNNNNNNNNNNNNNNNNNNNNNNNNNNNNNNNNNNNNNNNNNNNNNNNNNNNNNNNNNNNNNNNNNNNNNNNNNNNNNNNNNNNNNNNNNNNNNNNNNNNNNNNNNNNNNNNNNNNNNNNNNNNNNNNNNNNNNNNNNNNNUGCUCCAUUAUCAGUCUGAGUACUUGCUUCUGCUCGUUCUGAUGGAGUAAAAGCAGACGAUGGUGGAUCAGCAUAUCUCGCAGGUUGGGCGAUGAAGCUUCAUGACCUUCCUCUGGAAAUUGAGAUACAUAAACAUCUUCUGGGUCUGCAGGCGAGCGACUGACUCCUUCACUUUCAUCUGGAAAUGAAGAUGUCACUCUUUUCUCCUGAACUCCCCCUGUUUUCAUGCCUACAGGUGGAGAAGAGAUUUCCUCAGGUUCUCCUUCUCUUCUUUCUUCUUCAGGUCUUUCUUGCUCUGCUUCUUGCUCUGUUUCUCUUUCUUCUUCUUCCUUCUCCUCUGCUUCUUUCGUCUUUUGUUCCGAUUCUUUCUGUGGAACAGGACGACUUAAGUUCUUCAAAGCCAUUGCAGAGAUGGUGAUGUCAUCGUCAUCAUCUUCAUCCUCAACGAGGAGAGCUCUUCUUUUCUUUGAUGGAGCAGUCAUGGGCUCCUUCCCUUUUCUCUUAGCAGCAGAAGAGAGUUGAUGAGACUUGGCAGGAGUCUUCUCUUUGAAUUUCUCCAAUUCCUUGCUCAGUUCCUUCAGACGCAUUUUGGUCACCAUUUUCAGUCCUACCACCAUAUGAUCGCAUGAUCGAACACAAAAGAUUUGCGGAGGCUAAAUAUUCAGAUGUCUGAAUAACUUCGUAACAAGGCUUGGGUAAGGGAGUUGACCUCUGUCCUUCAUCACUGCUCUAUACAUGUGAAACAUGACAGUAUGAGGGAGAGAAAACUUUUUUCCACAGAUGAUGGCAUACAUCAACUUUGCCUCAGAGCUUGAAACAUCAGUUUUGGAAGUUGAUUUCGGCCGAAGGCAAUUAAUCACAGUCUUGUGAAGCAAGAUGUUGAAUGCAUUCAUCCUUGAGUAGGUGAUCUUCUCUUCUGUUCUCCUGUCCUUCACCAAUUCAAGUGUGGCCCGAGCAAUGGAAACUUUAAUCGGUUGAUAUCUGCCUCUCUCAACUUCUAACACAUCUGCCAGCAUAUCCAUAUCCACAACAUAGUCUUGUUCUUUGACACUGAAGGAAAAUCUAUUCGCAUCUAAAAAGCUAAGGUUUGAAUAGAAGUAAGCAGUCAAUUCAGCAUAAGCCUCAGUUGAGUCAGAACAGAACUUUUCAAGUUGAAGAUAACUGAAUUUUUCCCUCAAGUUCACUUUCACAGCAUCCAGAAAAUCAAAGUCCACACUCCUUUUGUUCCUUUGAUCUGAACAAAUCUCCCCUUUUUCCUUGAAUAUCAGCCGCAAUACCCAUUUUCGGUUGAAAUAGACUGAACAGAUUGUCAUCAUUAUUCCCAUCUACAGGAUUUGGCCCCCAGUCACGAGGAUCACUUGGGAUAUUCGCAAGGGUUUCCUCAGCCACCCCUUUACGAGCGAUUCCCAAACUUUCCAUUCUUUGCACCCCUUUACGAGCGAUUCCCAAACUUUCCAUUCUUUGCAGAAAGAUAUAUUCGUUCCUAUAUCCUUUUUCUUUAACAAAACUAUCAACAUAGUUCAAAGGAGUACGAAUUCCUUUUAAAGCACGAUAUAGCUUGUAGAUAAAAGCAGGCUUUUGAACUCUUACGGGGUCUGCUUCCUCGAUGAUUUCUUCCUGAUGAACAACGCCUUGAGGACUAGAUGAUGGAGAAUGACGCUGCUGAGAAUGUUGUGGGCUCGGUUGCUGAUCUGGAGAAACUUCAUCUUCAGUAAGAUCGAAGUGCGUAGGCCCCUCACUCAUUCUCUGUGGUCCCCUGCUUGCGAUUCUUGACGACUUUCGUGAAGAAGACAUCUUUAACAGUGUUUGGAAGUUUCCUAGCUUGACUUUCCCAGAAAAGAUGAUAACUUUUCGAAGAUUUAGAGAAGUAGACAAACGGGAAUGGAAGAUCGAUGCUUUCUAGGGUUUUUGAGAGAGAGAGUAAAUAGAAAAGUGAAGAGUAAUCGAUAGUGCUCGUUCGGUUAAAAAGAAGAGUAAACGAAUCGUCACAAAGGAAAUAAAAAUAUGCCUUUUCAAAAUAACUGAUUUUAUCCGUAAAAAUAGCUAUUUCAAAAAUAACUUCCCUUUUGAAAAUAAAUCGAUGUAAUAUUUACGGCAACAAUUUAAACACAGACUGAUGAUCGUACCUUUUCAAGAUAAGAUUGGAUAGAGAAAGACUUACAGUCUGAAGGUCGAGACAAGACUAUUGAUAAAGUCUUGUAAGCCUGAGUCUGAAAGUCUUUAGACUUUGAUAUCCUCAUACCUCAAAAUAUUGAGUCUGGUCCGUAUGGACUCAAAUUGAUUUUUCUCCAAAGGCUUCGUGAGUAUAUCAACCAGCUGAUUCUUUGAGUCAACAAAUUGAAUUGAAACAUCUCCAUUUUGAACAUGAUCUCUAAUAAAGUGAUGUCGAAUUUCUAUAUGCUUCGCUCUUGAGUGGAGAAUUGGAUUUUUGGUGAGGUUGAUAGCGCUGGUGUUGUCGCAAUUAAUCUCUGUGCAUGAGUCUUCGAUUUCAAAAUCUCUUAGCUGUUGUUUUAUCCAUAGAAUUUGUGAACAGCAGCUUCCAAGAGCUACAUACUCUGCUUCUGUUGUUGAAAGAGACACAGUACUUUGUUUCCUUGAAAACCAAGACACUGUUCUGCUUCCAAGCAACUGGCAAGUUCCUGAAGUGCUCUUUCUAUUAACUCUGCAACCGGCUAGAUCUGCGUCUGAAUAUCCCAGAAGUUUAAAGUCUCCCUUCUUAGGAUACCAAAGACCGAUGCUUGAUGAUGAAGCAACGUAUUUUAUGAUGCGUUUUGCAGCACUGAGAUGGGAUUCUCUAGGAUCUGAUUGAAACCUAGCACAGAUGCAAACACUCAACAAAAUAUCAGGUCUAGAGGCAGUAAGAUAAAGAAGUGAUCCAAUAAUGCUCCUGUACAGGUUUUGAUCAACUUUCUUCCCUUCUUCAUCUUUGUCUAUCUUUAAAGAACUUGACAUUGGUAUGUCAGUCUUUUUGCAAUUCUCCAGUCCAAACCUUUUGACAAGAUCAUUAACAUAUUUUUCUUGAAAAAUGAAAGUUCCUUCCUUCAAUUGUUUUAUUUGAAGACCAAGAAAGAAUGUUAAUUCUCCCAUCAUACUCAUUUCAAACUCAUCCUGCAUAGACUUUGAAAAUUUCUUGCACAGACUUUCAUUGGAGGAUCCAAAAAUAAUAUCAUCCACAUAUAUUUGAACAAGUAAGAAACUUUUAUUUUCCUUCUUGAUAAAUAAAGUCGUAUCUACUUUACCUUUGACAAAACCAUUUUGUAAUAGGAAAUUACUUAACCUGUCGUACCAAGCCCGAGGUGCUUGCUUUAAACCAUACAAAGCCUUUUUCAGUCUGAAGACUGAGUCUGGCUUCUUUGGGUCUUCAAACCUUGGCGGUUGUUCCACAUAAACUUUUAGGAAGGCGCUUUUGACGUCCAUUUGGAAUAACCUGAAAUUCUUAUAACAAGCAAACGCAAGUAAUAGUCGAAUAGCUUCUAACCUAGCCACUGGAGCGUAAGUCUCAUCAUAGUCUAUUCCUUCUUCUUGCGUAUAUCCCUUGGCCACGAGUCUUGCUUUAUUUCGUACGACUUUCCCUUUCUCGUUCAUCUUGUUUCUGAACACCCAUUUAGCUCCAAUAACAGUUUUACCUUUUGGAUGGGAUGUUAAUUCCCAGACAUCAUUUAUGCUGAACUGUCUGAGCUCUUCUUGCAUAGCUUCAAUCCAGCUUUCAUCAGAUAAAGCUUCUUCUAUGCUCUUUGGUUCAAUUUCAGAAACAAGUGCCACAGCACUAGACUCUUCUCGCCUUUUGGAUCUGGUGCGAAUUCCUUCAUUCAUUUCGCCGAUUAUUAGAUCUUUGGGAUGACUGGACUUAUGCUUCCAGUUACUUGUUGAUUUGUCUGGUUGAUGAUCUCUUUCUUUAUUUGGAUCUUCACUAACAACCUGAUGCUGGUUUUCAAGAGUCUGAGAUGCUUCUUGAGUUGUAGACUUUGGAGGGUCUGGAGUAGGUUCAGAUUCUUCUUGAUGAGUCUGACUUGAUUCAUCUUGCAUUGAGUCUUGAAAUUUGACAUUCAUUGACUCCUCUACAGACUGGCUCUUCUUGUUAUAGACUCUGUAAGCUUUGCUUGAUAUAGAAUAUCCAAGGAAGAUACCUUCAUCUGAUCUUUCUUCAAACUUACCAACUCGAUCUUUUGCAUUUUUCAAUAUAAAACAUUUGCAACCAAAUACAUGAAAGUAUGAAACAAUAGGCUUCUUUUCUUUGAAUAACUCAUAAGGGGUUUUCUAAAGAAUAAAUCUUAAGAAAACUCUAUUGAUGAUAUAGCAAGCUGUUGAAACAGCUUCUGCCCAAAAUCGAGAAGAAAUUCUACUUUCAAUUAAAAGAGUUCUAGCCAUUUCUUGAAGAGAUCUGUUCUUUCUUUCCACAACUCCAUUUUGCUGAGGAGUAUACGGAGAGGAAAACAUAUGCUUACAGCCAGAUUCAUCAUAGAAUUUUGUAAAAUCUUGAUUUUCAAAUUCACCUCCAUGAUCUGUUCUUAUACUAGAGAUAACACAACCUUUUUCAUUUUGAACCUUUUUAGCAAAUUUUUCAAAAUACGAAAAGGUUUCGGACUUACUUGAAAGGAAAUAUACCCAAGUAAAACGGGAGUAAUCAUCAACAAUUACUAAGCAAUACUUCUUACCCCCAAUACUCAGAGUUCUGGUUGGUCCGAAGAGAUCCAUAUGCAGCAACUGUAGAACAUGAUUAGUAGAGACAUGAUUUAUUGGCUUAAAAUAAUUUUUUACCUGCUUUCCCAGAAUACAUGGAGUGCAUGAAUCAGUCUUUUGGUAUGGCAAUUUUGGUAGACCUCGAACAAGCUGCUUUGAUGAGAUUUUGGCUAAUUGCUUCAUAUUGACAUGUCCAAGCUUUUUGUGCCAUAAGCUUGCUUCGUCUUGAAUUGAGAUCAGACAUUGCAAUUCAUUUGGUUUCACAUCCAGAAGAUAGAUGUUUCCAUGUCUUCGACCCAGAAAAGAUUGAGUAGAGUCUUUACUGAUUCCGGAACAUGUUCCUUCUUGAAAGGAGAUCUUGAAACCAGUAUCACAUAAUUGACUAAUGCUGAGAAGAUUGUAAUUGAGUCCUUCAACUAAGGAAACAUUACUUAUUGAGAGAGUUCCAAUUUUCACGGUUCCAAAUCCCACAAUACUUCCUUUGCUGUUUCCUCCAAAUGAAACUUUUCCACCAUUUACUUGAGCAAGCUUUAUAAAGCAAUUUGAGUCUCCUGUCAUGUGUCUUGAGCAUCCGCUGUCAAGAUACCACUUUACCUGUUUCUUGAUGGAGACCUGCAUUUAACAAAGAGUCUCAAGCUUUCUUUGGUACCCAAAUUUUCUUGGGUCCUUUGGUGUUAGUAAGAUAAACAGUAUUAGCCCAUACUUUCUUAAUAGGUUUCCAUACCAUAGGACACUCUUUUUCAAAGUGAUCCGGACUGUUGCACUUAGAACAUCUGAGAGCAUUUCUACCUACAGGUUUUACAAAGACUUUCUUGAAGUGAUUUUUGUAAACCUCACUCGAAAGCCUUUUCUUAAUUCUUUCUUCUACUUUAGGAAAAUCAAUCAAGGGAAUUGUUUCUUCUGUCAUACCUAGACCAGACUUAUUGAAGUAAGGUCUUUGUGCUGAAAGAAUUUUCUCAAGUUUUUCAGACCCUAUAGAAAAUUUCUUUGAUAUAUUUGAUAAAUCUGUUUUUAAAAAAGCAUUUUCUUUUAAAAGAUUUUCUUCAUUUUCUUUAAGAUUGGAAACAGACAAGUCUAGACUUUUAACUUUUUCUGCUAAAACAUUUUCCUUUUGUUUUAGAGCUGAGUUUUCCUUUUUUAGUUUGGAAAUACUUUUGAGAGAAGUCUUAAGACUAAAGCAUAGUUCCUCAAUAUAUUUAGAAACUUUGACAGGAAUUUUAAAAUUACUUGCCUCAAAUUCACUGUCUGAGUCUGAUCCUGAGUCUGAUCCAGAGUCUGAGUCUGAUUGUGCCAUCAGACAUAGAUUGGCAUAUUCAUUAUCACUUUCUUCACACUCAGUAUCACUCCAGGUUUCAGCUUUGAGAGCUUUUCGAAAUUUUUCAGCUUUUCCUUUCUUUUUCUUCAAAAGAGGACAGUUGGGUCUGAUGUGUCCCUUUUUCUUGCAUUCAAAGCAGACUACAUCUUUGUUUGGCUCCUCAUCAUCAACAGACUUGGUCUGCUGUCUUUGAAAGCCUUGUUUCUUUGAGUUGAACCUUCUUCCUUUUCUGUUUAGUUUUCUGAAUCUUCUUAUCAUGAGAGCAAGCUCCUCAUCGUCCAUAUCAUCUUCAGAAUCUGUAUCAUCAGAAUCAUCAUUUGAUUUUAAUGCAAUGGAUUUCUUACCUUUUGGAUCUUCAUUUUCAUUGAUCCUUUCCACUUUAUAGGACUGAAGAGUUCCAAUCAGCUCGUCAACAUAUAGUGGCAUAAUUCUCUGCGUCUCUCUUAUCGAAGUCUUUAUGUGAUUCCAAUCCUUGGAGAGUCCACGCAGUAGCUUGUUUACCUUCAUGGGAUCAGAAGUUGGUUGACCUUGAUUUUCAAGACCAUUCACAAUAUCUGUAAAACGACUAAACAUGUCAGAUAUUGAUUCUCCUGGUUUCAUUCUGAAGGCUUCAUAUUGACCGAGAAGAAUGUUGAUUCUUGUUUCCUUCACUCGAUCUGUUCCUUCAUAGGUGAUAUGCAAUCUGUCCCAAACUUCUUUUGCUGUACCACAAGAAGAUAUUCUAUUAUACUCAGUUGGUGAUAAAGCACAAUAUAAGGAGUAAAUUGCUUUUGCAUCGAGUGUUUGUCUCUUGGUUAUUUCUUCCUGAGACAUUCCGUUGGUUUCUUCAGUUUCUUUUCCUCUUCAGAGACUGAUGCAGUGGUAAGAGUAAUUCAUUUUUCUACAACGUCCCAUUCCAGAGGAUCCUUUGAUCGUAGGAAAGCUUUCAUCUUGUUCUUCCAGAUGUUGUAAUCCUUUCCAUCAAAGUAGGGUGGUCUGGUAUUGCUUUGCCCUUCCAUCAGCCCUGGUGCUAGCAUACUAGCCAUGGAUCUUUUACUAUGAAGUAAAACACUUCAAAUAAAGUAAGUACACAGGCUCUGAUACCAAUUGAUAUUGCUAGUAUAAACACCUAGAGGGGGGGUGAAUAGGCGCACAAACAAUUUUUCCCAAAUACGGAAGCAAUUCUUAACAAAUUGAAAUACGAUCAAGGUAGAGAGAGAGAAAUUUGAACACAGGAUUUAUAGUGGUUCGGCUUAUUCCAAGCCUACGUCCACUCUUCCGCACUGACAGCCCAACGGCUGGAUUUCACUAUGAUCAAAAGAGAAGUUACAGCACAGCUUUGCCUUGAUUCCACAGUGUAGAUGUUCUACCACACCUUCUCAAGGUUUCUCACAAAUAUAGACUCUCUUUUGUAUACAAGUAUUCGCUCAAAGGAAUUAUCUAAACAAAUAGGAGCUUCAGACUUUGGAAUUCUUCUAUCGCGCACACCUCGAACAACUAAGAACGACUUCCUUAUAUACUCCUUUAUGCCAUCAUACCCGUUGGCACUUACCAAAGGAAUUCCUCCAAUCUACCCGUUGGACGGAAUCAAUUAGGAAGAUUGUUCGAGCUAUUAAAGGAACGUGUUGAUAGCCCAUCAAUCCUGUUCACCCAUACAAUCAGGAUCUCGGUUUCCAUAAGUAGAACCUUCCAAUAAUAUUUAGACAAUCAUCGAAUCUUCAGUCAUUGAAUCAAACUUGAUCAAUCAAAGGAUUCUGAUACGUCUUCUCCAGCCACGAGAUCUUCUCCAGAUGAUAAGGUUAAAUCCUGAACAAAACAUCCAGUUCUGGAUAACCUUUCUUCAACGGAUUAGAGACUGUCAAUGAGGAUAGACUUUGAGUCUUGAGUCUGGCUGUCCGGAAGUCUUCAGACUUUAACUAACAGAGUCUGCAGACCUUCAGACUAGACUGAUGGAAACGUUUUGUCAACUUCAAAACACUUCAUGAGGAUUUCUCCAACAGAAGGAAGCCAAGAAGGAACUCAAAAAGAGCUCUCCAAUGGCCAUGGGUGAAUCAGUCACUAAAGAGAAAAACAAGGGUUGAGCGAUAAUGAACUAAUAGAAAGAGGAAACUACAAACUAUAGGAGGACCAAGACUUUAAAAAAUGCACAUAGAGGUUAGAGAAAUCGAUAUAAAAUACUUUUUGUCCACAAGUGCUUAUUUUGCAAUAUUUAGAGAAUAUGCCCAAAGAUUUUGCUAAAUGGCAUGUGCCUUUUUUUUUGGGGGGGGGGGGGGGAAGGUGAAGCAAAAUUAGAUAAUUUCAACGCAUUAUGUGAAGCAAAAGUGAAGCACUUUAAUGAAAAUUCAUGAUGGUGGGAGAGAAAUUUUAAUAAAUUCCAAAUAGACCAAGACUUUACGAAAAAAUAAAAGUGAUAAUGGGAGAAAAACUUUAAUCAUUUCUAGAAAGACCAAGACUUUGCGAAAAAAAGUGAUAACGGGGAAAAACUUUAAUCAACCACUUUGCAGGGAAAAAAAAAAGUGACAAUGGAAGAAAAAUCAUUUCCAAGAAGACCAAGACUUUACAGGAUGCAAAUUGACUUUGUUCCUCCAUUUUUCACAUCUUUCGUUCAUCACAAUGCGAAUGUCUUUUUUUCCAUUACUAGUGAAAUUUCCAUGUGUUACUUGUGAAAUUAACAAUACUAUAAUUUUUGUUGUACUACUUUCAUGUUUACUCAUAUUGGGGUUUUUCAUUAUAUUAAUCUCUAUUGUAUUUGUCCAUUAGAAUUUUAUCUAGGGUUUCCUUUAUGUUUACAAGUUCAAGUAUGAUAAAAGCAAAAAGGCAAAAAGAAAAGCGAACAAGAAAAAAAAAAACAAAAAACUGAAAAUGAAAAACAAAAUCAAGAAACUUUACCAAAAAAAAAAAAACAAAAUCAAGAAUGGGGCGACAUAAAGAGCGCCACCCAUCCAACAGCCAAUGGCAUGCCACUGUCAUCAACAGCUCCGUAGCAGUUAGUGCUACUAGCCGAACUAACCAUCACAACCAAUUACCUUAAAUUACCUAAUGACCUAACUAACUUAAUCUAUAGAUAUAUUCAUAAUGGAAAGAACGAAUUCCGGGAUUUACAAUUUCCCACAUGCACCGUGAAAAGUUGGGUUCAAUGUGGAGCUCGCAUAAUUCAAUAGUGGAUGUGAGUUGGACUCACCUGCUCUAGGUUCAUUCAAAAAAUUUCCUCCAUCCCAUGUCUAAGACUUUAACAAGAGUUGCUACCAUACCGAUAGAGUCUUGCCUUUUUUUUAAAAAAGAAAAAUAAAAAUAAAAGAGAAAGGGACUUAGGAUCUGUUCGUUUCGCAGAAAAUGGGCUAUUUCUAGAAAAUAUUUUUCCAAAAGUCAUUUUCCAGGAAAAUAACAAUAUUUUCUGGUGUUCAGCUAAAACCUGAAAAUGUUUCGGAAAAUAUUUUCCGGUGUUCAGUAAGGAAAAUAUUUUUUAAGACUUCACCACUUGAAGAAUUUCAUACUUGGUUGAAUACUCAAUCCAUCAAAUAUGAACUUACCUUUAAAUCCAAGCAAAUUUACUUCAUAUCUUUGUUCCUUUGUUAUCGCCAAAUGCUCAUCUACUCUAAAAAAUGUUUGUAUGGAUUUUAAAAAGAAGCAAAAGAGAAAAGAAACACAGCCCUCAUGAGAAUCUUCCAGUUGAAUGUCAUGUUUUCCCCUGUGUCUUUUGUGUUCUAAUAAACAAAAGAAAAAAGAAGCAAAGCAUGUAGAGUCCUUUACUUGAACAAUGUAUAACUGCAGGGUAGAAUAAAUAAAGAAAAUGAUAAGCAAGAGUGCAGAGUGCGAGCUUAAGAUCGACGAGCUUGAGGUUUGUCUGACAACACCCGAUGACUAGCCAAGAAAGAAGAAGAUGGGAAACAAAGAAAAGAAAAAGAAAAGAAUAGAAAAGAAAAAGGAAAUUAAAAAUAACUCGAAUUAAAAAAGAAAAAUAAAAAAUAAGAAAUAAUUCAAACAAAAAAAGAAAAGAAGAAAAAGAAAGGGGAGGAGAAAGUGAAGAUUUGUAGAGGUGAGAGAUAAGAGAGAUCAAGUGAGAAAAUUUUUUUUCAUUUUUCAAAAGUGAAAAAUAUUUUCCCCAAUGAAUUCAUUUUCCGUAAAACGAACGCCAAAAAAUUAGGAAAACAUUUUUUCAUAAAUUAUUUUCCGUGAAACGUACGGAGCCUUAGGUUCAAGAGACCAAUUAUCAUUUAUUACGCCCAUGAGGCUGCAUCUUUGAAGCCCAACAGACUAACUUCCUUCAGCUUAGUUAAAACUGUUGUGGUUGGCUUAUAAGAGAAAAGAGGAAUAGUUAAGAGGGAGAAACAAGAAUCAAGAAAACUGGAAAAGAGAAGUGAACCGCACGCUAGAGAGAGAAAGGGUUCGGUUCAAGUUUAUCAGGGAUAUUGUAACGCGUUGGAUUAAUGUGGGAUAUUGUAACCCGUUGGAUUAAUGUGGUAUGUGAAGCGCUUGAGAAGAAUUCAAAGACUUAAUUGACCCAAUUGAAGAAAAUUUUCUAGGCUAAGCUGUAAUUUCAAUUCCAUUCUGGUUUUAGGUUACCAGGCUGAUUCUAGAGGUUGUUGAGCUAUGAAAUCAUGUUGUAAUGAAACUUUGGUGUGCCAUGAAACUAUGGGAUUUUAUGGAAGUCAACUUGAGAUUACAGUAUGGUCGGGAUGAAAUUUUGAAGUUUACUGCACAGUGUUGGAACCAGAUUCGAAUUAUUGUGUUUGGCACUACUUUUCGCAUAUUCAUAGACCUCUUUUGGGUCAAGGGCGAUUUCUCCCUUAAGCAUUCGAACUCUUUUAUUACAGCAAGGCAUAUAACUCCAUAUUUUGUAAUUCAAACUCUAGAAUCUUGAUUCUACUACGUCACGUUGAUGAUAAUCUUUUUAACAGGUAGUAGUGCGACAGGGUUACAUAGUUUCAUUCGAAAACUUCUUUUUGCUUUACCAUGAAAGGUUUUGGUCCAUUGCAUUUCUUCCUUGGCGUUGAGGUUCAGUCCAGAGGCACGGGAAUUUUGCUGUCUCAAACACAUUACACUGGGAAUCAGUUCAUGCAGUGCCCUCAAACAUCUCACUUACAAGCGAUUAAGCUCGUUCUUAUAUAUUUUAAUGGAACCAUUGAUCAUGGUCUUUUAUUGAAGCCAUCUUAACAUUAACUCAUGCUGUUUGGGUCGGUUGUCCCGAUACUCAUCACUUAGCAUCUGGAUACUUAGCUUUUAUCGGGUACAAUAUUACAUUGCGGGAUCUGAAUAUUAGAGUUUUCGCCUCUGCAGUCGCAGAAACUUAUUGGAGUUGAGAGAUGUCACAUGAUCUUCAUGCAUUUUUACCUAAACCGGCUGUAAGUCAUCUGUGAUAAUGUUAGAGCCACUUAUUUAGCUGCUAAUCUGGCUUUCCAUGCUCACACCAAGCACAUUGAGAUUCAGGACAAAAUUGCAUGUGGCGCAAUUAUUUCAAUAAGUAUUCCAAUUGCUAAUUAGUUAGCUGACACUUUUACAAAUUAUCUUCUGAUUGGUUUAAUCUUUUGAAGGACAAUCUCGUUGUGGUGGCACUGGAUCAAAUUUAGGGUUAUUAUAAGAGUAUCUUUAAUAUAUGUUUUGUUAUUUAUUUUUUCAAUUUACAAGUUUUGUUAUGUAAUUUUACUGGUCAGUGGUUUUCAAUUUCUGAUAUGUAAUCUUUGCAGUGUUCAUGUCUACUAUGCAAAAGAUCUUAUUGUAACUACCUGUACUGUAUAUAAAAUGACAAGCACGUCUCUAUUUAUUUAUUUUUUUAAAUUUGACAGGCUGAAUUGCACCAAUUUCACAUUUUGCAACUUCCGAUGAAAUGACAAGAUCUUCAUUUAUAAAGAUUAGCUAGUGACAUGGAGUAAUUCUAGGGAAUCAUUUCACAUAAUAAUUUCUUCUAAUUCUAGUGAUAUUGUAAGCGCAUGUCCUAUUCCUGAGUCCUAGGGAAUUAUUUCACGUAAUAAUUUCUUCUAAUUCUAGUGAUAUUGUAAGAGCAUGUCCAAUUCCUGAAUCCCAGGGAAUCAUUUCAUGUAAUAAUUUCUUCUAAUUCUAGUGAUAUUGUAAGCGGAUGUCCUAUUCCUAAAUCCUAGGGAAUCAUUUCACGUAAUAAUUUCUUCUAAUUCUAGUGAUAUUGUAAGCGCAUGUCCUAUUCUUGAAUAUUUUGAUAGUUUCUAACUCAUCAAACUAAGCUUAGAUUCAAGUGACACUAAUUUUGCUCGUAAAGAGAGAGAGAGGGCCUGUUCAAGGGCCUCUUGCCAACAUCUUAGCACUUCUCUUAGCUAAAUUAAACUUAGAUUCAAGUGACUCCGAUCUUGCCCAUUAAUAGAGAGAGGGGGCCUGUUUAAAAGCCUCUUUAGGUCUCCUAACAGAGUUACAAGAUUCUUUCUUUUUAAAUAGUUAGCUGAACUUACUUAAACUUAGGGUUUGUUUAUUUGAAGAAAAGUUAUUUUUCGAGAAAUCGCUUUUUGACUUUCCAAUAUAUAGAUGAUAGAAAAUUAAUCAAUUUAUAAAAAAUGUUGAAAAGCAACAAUUUUAAAUUGGGGAAAAACCACAUCCCCUUCUAACAAGAAGAAAAUCACUUUUAAAAAAAAAAAUUAUUAAACAAAUCAAAACUUCAUGAAAUAUAUUUUAUCUUAUCAUGAAAUUUUCAAUAUAAAUAUUUUAAUUUUAAUUAUUAGGAGGAAUCUCACUUUUCGCCAAAAGUAUCAAAAAGAGUCAAAUCAAAUUAAUUUUGAAUUAGCUAUAUCAGUAUGAUGUUAUAACAAUAUGAUGUUCAUGUGGUCGCAUUGAAUUCGAAGUCACCUAGAAACCCCACCUAAAAGCCAAACUAAUCAAAAAUCUGCCGUUCGAUUAACGAAGGAAACCGAGUCUGAUUACCCUCACAACUGAAGUCCAUCCAAGAAUAUUCUCACAAGAGGAUGUCAAUUCAGUCAAUUCAACAAACGAAAACCCACAAAACUGGGACACCACAAAAUAAAAUAGAGAACAUUUUGAUCGGUAAGUCAGGUUGUGGCCUUGGCUAGGACUCCUUCGAGAACAUUUAAUUCGUAUGUUCCGGCAGUAUGAAGAGAGAAACUCUCGUACUUAAGAAGUCUGGUUGUGAGCUUGGUGUUUUUUUUUUUUUUUUUUGGGCAUCUUAGUACAAAGGAGUAUCUUUCUAAGCAGCUGAACAGCUUCAAUUUGCUCCGAUACUUAUCAGGAUUAACAUAACAAUCUGUUUGCGCUUGACUAUACAGCUGUGACAUCUGGUUUUUCUGCUUUACCAUGGCUCGUUAAACCUCUAUACGGGUUUAUCGGGUACAUUGUCUCUUUUUCUCAUCUUGUUUUCACGGACCGCGGCCGUUUCUCUUAAGAAUUGCACCUAUUUUUUUUCAUUUCUAGGGAAUUAUUCACGAACUAGAUGGUUGCUGCAGUGACCACCUUUGCUAAUAGCAAGUAUAGUGCUCAACUUGACCAGUCGAGUAUAAGCUGGUUCCAGCAAAUCCAAGCGCAACUUCUAUGAAGCGGUGAUCAGCACAACGUGUUGAGAGCAACGGUCGGGCAUGCAUUGAACAAAUCGACGAAAGUAAGUCGACAAAUAUACUGAUGAAUGUCUCGGCUCAAGCACGCACUGCACAAUUCCGAUAUGAAGAUACAGAAAAGCACCUCAACCUCAAAUAUGCAUAUCAAUACAGUUCAGUUAUGUGAACGAGAUCCUCACAAAGCAAUUAGUGUAUUUUGCCCAAGCAGUGGUUUGUACGUAGAGCAACUGGAAACAGAGCAUAUGUGAUUUGAUUGAAUGAAGGAUGAUUACCUGUGACGAUUAAUGAUCGGACCUUAGUAAGGUGAUCACAGAAGCAGCUUUGUGAACUGGAAUCGUCGUGAGAGACGGUGGUGACCGCGGUCUGAGCACUUCAGCAAUGGUGACGGAGAACAGGGGCGAACAGAGCUUCCGACGGCGACCGUGGAAAUGGGAACGGUGACGACCGGUUGUGGUUGGCGGUGGCCAACAGUGUCCGGAGGGCAAUAGAGAAUAAAUUUCGAUGAAGAGGUCUCUGGAAAUUCAGAAAAAGACAGAGAAUCAAUGUUAUUGACUGAAUUGAAAAACGAAAUCCAGAGAAUGAGAGACAACUUACCUUCAAAAUUGUUGCAGUACCAGAAUGAUGAAGAGCUCGAAGUGAAGAAUCAGAUUCCGAUCGGGUUUCAGUCACGGCUAUUCUCCUCCAUCGGAGAACGAAAAUGAUAGAAACUGAAGGAGGAGGUAGUGACAAAAACGAACGAUAAUGAAGUCGUCGAGGGAGGCGUUUGGCCACGAUUAGCACCAGUUUAAGUGAGAUGGAGAAGCUUCAAGCGAAUGCAGUAAAUUCAAGACGAAUCGAGACCGGAACCGCAGAGCUAUCAGCGCGACUCAGAAAGUUUUUCACCGUGGAAGGAACUGGAAGAGUUACGUCUGAAGGCCGGAGAAGCCGAUGCGAGGCGGUGGAGAUGGCGGAAUACUAGAAUCGGCCAUUGUGAAACUCGAAUGGCGGAGAUGGAGCUUCGGGCGAGAGAGGGAGAAUCGAUCCCGUUACCCCUUUCCUCCUCCGCGUGACCUCGACUUUCUCCAGAUUUGCUUUCUUCUUCUCUCUCUGGUCUCCACUGGAGCGUCCUCGGUUGAAGCUCUAGAGCGCCAGAGAGAUAAAACGCAAAUCCUCUGCAAGCGCCGGAGAGAGAGAGAGAGAGAGGGAGAAAGGAAGGGAAAGAAGAAAGACCAAAGAAAUGACGGGGCUUGGUUCCUUUUGUGGGCCUUUUGGGCUGAUGGGCCUUUUGGGCUCAGCUCAGACUCCUGACUCUAGGCCUGUUCGAAGUGUGGACUGAAGCUUCAUGGGUUUGGUGAGCGGGCUUUUGGUUUUUUACAUAUUCGAUGAGUUUUGGGCUGAAUUGGGUUGCGCCAAUUGGACUAGAUUGAUGAACCGCAUCUGGCGCGCUUGAGUUUGGCCAUUUUAUUUUCUCUCUUCUUUUUAUUUAUACUAAUUUAUUUCUUUUUUGUUCUUCUACUAAAUAUAUAUGCUUUUUAAUUUUCUAUACAAAUGCAUGCUUGAUUUAUUGGGCUAAAUUCAAGCGUCAACAAAGGAAAAUGACAACUUUUUUCCGAUAUUUGGCUAAAACUUGAAAAUGGACUGGAAAUUAUCUUCCAUCAUUGAGAAAGGAAAAAUUAGGACAUGCCCUAGUAGUGUAAUAUAAGGGAUAUACAUGUUAUAUAAUCAAAUUUUAAAUACAAUUUUAUGGAAUUCAAUUUUCAUAACAUGCUAUAAGAGAUGAAGGAAGGGAGUGAUCGGCGUAAACAAGCAGAGAAUAAUAAAAUAAUGAAGAGAUAAAAUCUCACGCUUGCACAUUUUAUAAGAGUAGACAUAUUUUCCAUCCAUGGAAGAUGAUUAUCCGACAAGAUAUUCAACUCAAAUAUCUCCAAGAAAUUUUAUCAAACACCCGAUGGGCCAAUUAUAGCAACCGCUACAAGUACAUGUAGCUAGUCGAUUCUAGCCAUCUCCAUACAAUCAAUCUUAUAGAAUAAAUCGAAACGCCCCUAACAUCACAAAAUCAAAAUCCAGAAUCCGAGCUCGCCCAUCAGUGCAAGCGCAAUCUGUGGUAAGAAUUUUCUCAUCUCAUUAUGCAACAAAGAUCAAUUUUGGCAGACGCAACUCCGCUUAUCUGACCACCUAUUUACAUGGUCAAAGCAUCAUGUUAUAUGUGCAAUAACAUCCAAAAAGCCUUGGAGCAAGUACACAAUGAACCAUAAUUGUGAUUACAUAUUAACUAACCUCCAAUAGAGCUUCACGUUUGUCACACGAAAAUUGCUUCAAAUUUUUUUUACAUGUGCAACAGUAGCAAAGGGGGAGGAGAUGAUCCAGACAAGGUACAUAUUGAUUGAAGUGCAGGAUUUCCAGUUAGACCAAAGGAACCAAAGUGAGCUCUGGAAGGAUGCCACAUAAGAAAGUAAUUUCAGAUACAAUGACAUGAUGUAUGAUCAAUUUAAAGAACCGACAAGAUUUGCCCCAGAGGUCACUACUGACAAUGCACCCCCAAAGGUAGGCAGGAUAUCAUUACUAUCUCAACCAAAUAAGCAUGAAUAUAUAGGCUAAAUAUUACUAGCAAGCUGUAGGUAAUAGUUCCUAACUCAACAGAGAUCAACACCAAAAACAGAAGGUGGUUUAUGAAUAUCAAUCCUAUCAUGAAUUUGUGUUGCAUUGAAAGCUUAGAGCCAUGAGCGCCCCAAAUAGACUCCUUCAUACUACAAAGGAUCAUCAUCAACAAAAGAAAGGUUCUCGAUUUUAAAGAAAACAAUAAUAAAAAAAGAAAAAAUUGCAUCCCCUUUCUUCACAAUCAUAUCACAACUUCCACAUAACUAAUCCUGUUUUUUGGAUUUUGAGGGAGAUUAUUCUUAUUUAGAUAAUAAUCGCUAGAAGAAAAUUUAGAAUAGAUCAAUGCACCAAAUAAAUUUAAAUGCUUCUUCCUUUCUUGUAAAUUGUAAAAAAUGACACAUAACAUUGACAAUAUUAGCCCUACCUCAAUAGUUUUCGUAAGUGAUCCUUCCAAGAGAUUUUGCCAAUACAGAUGACAAUGGCAUCUGCAAAACAAUCAAACUGGAUGAGAUAGGGCAUGAGAAAAAAGAUUUUGGAAAGAGAGCAUACAACAAAUGCUGAAAAUGCAGAGGAAUAUGAUUGUGGAACGCCAUUGAUUCUUCGUGAUUCUCAUGUAUUUGAAUGGAAGGAAGAGCUAUAAUCUUUGACCAAGCUACACAAGGCCUACAUUAUAGUUAGUAAAAUCAAUUCUAUACUUAGUGUUGAAUACAAAGUUUUGUUGACCAUGAUAAUAUUUUCAUAAUUAAUUCUCCGAAACAGUGCCAAAGAGUGAAAAUGGGGAAAAUAUAUUAAUACAGGUUUCUCACAAAAUAGAUUUCUUAGAAAAUAAUUUACUGUGCUAAAAUAUUCUUUUGCAAAUGAUUAAAUCAUUUUGGUGUGCAUGGGAAAGCUGACUUUGGCAGCAAUAGAGUAUCAAAUUUCUAGGGGCACAACAAAUGAACCUAUUGCUAAAACAAAAUGUGGAAAGAAUCAUAAAUUAUACUAGGAUUGCAAUCCCAACUCAGUUCUUAAGCUAUUGUAAAUGAUACUGCAUGCUCAAUGUCAAAAACUUAAGACUCAUCAUUCCAUGAGCCCUUAUCAAGUAUAAAUGACAAAUGAGGGCUGGUGAAACUGUGAGUCUAUCCUGUACAUCAGCAGCAAUCCUCUCUUCAUCCUUUUUCGCUUUUUUUAUGUAGCUAAGCCUCAUUUUAUGUUUUGCGAGGAAAUGUGAACCUAGUGAACCACUCUUAGUUGAUGGUAAUAACUAGAUUCACCUGAUUCAACAAAAAUUGGAGCACAUUCCUAGUCCUGGGAAUUCCCAUGGAGAGGUGCCACCUUGCCUUGUGAAACCACCCAGACAUCUUCCAAGCUUUUAGCUAUUAGAUGCUCAUCAUGACUAACCUGCAAAUCAAGGUGAAAUGAGGGCCCUUGGCUAUGAAAUGAUCCAUCGUUGGUCAAAUUGAAGUAUUUUGACAAGAAAAUCAAUCUCACCAUCAGAAUUACUCCUUGGAACAAGACCAGACCUUGAAUGAGUGCCUCUAUUACAUCCAAAUCCUACCGUUGUGGAUAGGCAAAAAAACAGAAACACUAAUCAUUAGACAAGAAAAUAACAAUUUACAAAGAUAAUUCCUUAGUCAUUGGUCAUUAAAGCAAAACUUAAAGACCGAAUUUAUAAACAAAAGGUGUCCACAUAUUUGUAUGUAAAGCCCAAUACUGCCUAUAGGCACAGAGAUCAGUACCAUUUGGUGUUGUAGGUUACUCUAUUCCGAAUAUUUUCCACAUUGGAACAAUUAGAUUGGUUUCUGUUCCAUUAUUUGCUAGAUGUAUGAUGACCAGGGUACCAGCAUCUAUGACCACUACUUGGUUCUACUUUAUUUUUAAUGCAAAUACCAGAUUUCAACAAGUUCAAUUAGUGCAAAAACCAUAACAAGCUAACUGGAAAAGUAAUCAAAGUCAUAAAAUGGAGGAAUAUGAGUAGAACUUACUAGAUGAUUGCAUGGUUUGUAAAGCGAAACUAUGCAAAGUUGCUUGACAGUUAUCUUGGCAAAUGCAACUCUACUUUUCUAAACAAAUAUGUAUAUGGUCCAAGCACCAUGUUAUAGGUUCAAUAACAUCCAAAAAGCCUGGGAGAAAGUACACAGUGAACUACAAUUCAGAUUACAAAUUAUCUAACCUCUAACAGAGCUUCACAAUGUCAUAAGAACAAUGCUUCAACAAAAAAUUUAUACAUGCUACACUAACACAGAGAGAGGAGAUAUACCAAGCAAGAAACACAUUGGUUGAAGUGCAACACUUCCAGUUAAAGCAAAAGAACCCAUGUGACUUGAACAUUUUGUUCCGGAACUCCCUAUAGGAAGAAUGCCACAUGAGAAGGUUAUUUUAAGAUAAAAUGGCAUAAUUUAUGAUGAAAUCGUAUUCCGCAGUCGAGCAAAUGGAAAUGCCAACCCAGAGGUCACUGCAUUACAAUCUCAACCAAACAAGCAUAAGUAUAUUGGCUAAAAAUUAUUAGCAAGUAGUCAGCGAUAGUUCCAAAACCACAAGAGUUCAAAACCCAACUAGCAAUCAAUUUAUGGAAUAUCAAUGCUGUCACGUGAAAGCUUGGAGCCAUGAGCUACCUCAGAAUUUUAUCCCAGAUUGACUGCUUAAUACUAUGAAGAAUCAUCGUCAACAAGAAAAAGGUUCCCAAUUCUAAAGAAAACCAUAAAAAGAAAAAACCGCAUCCCCUUUCUUCACAAUCACAUCACAGCUUCCACAAAACUAAUCAUCCUUUUAGAUUUUGAAAAAGAUUUGUUCUUAUUUAGAUCAUAUUCACCAAAAGGAAAAUUCAGAACAUAGCAGUGCAACAAAUAUAUUUAAUUGCUUCUUCCUUUUUUGAUAAAUUGCCAAAAAAAAAAAAAAUGAAACAAGACAUUGACACUAAUAGCAUUAGCCCUACCUUAGCAGCGUUCGCACGUGAUCCUUCCAAGAGAUUCUGCCAAUGCAAGAUCACAAUGGUAUCUGCAAAACAACCAAAGUGAAUGAGCUUAAGGGCCCGAGAAAAAAGAUGUUGGGAAGAGAACAGACAAUAGACGCUGAAAAUGCAGAGGAAUAUGAUUGUGGAAUGCUACGAUUCUUUGUGAUGGUGCGAUUUCAUUCACAAUUGAUUUGGGCAUCAAGCAGAAAUGAGGAUAUGUCAUCAACAUAGCAAGAGGCAGCACUGCGAGCAUUUCAUCCUACAGUUCAUCGUCCAACGAAACAGAGGCAAUCCAACCCAACGAGAUCCCCCACCCAAACAUCAGUUCGUAUUGAGCAUCGAAUUGAGAAAGUAGAAUGGAAAAGGAUGCCUUCAAAACCAAACAUAACUUACCCGAACCCUAAGAAAACUGACUGUAGUGUAGAUGCACGGAUCAAUUCAUCGAAUUCACUCAUCAAUCCAGAUCUCAGGGAUCUCUUCGAUGAGGGGCUAAUAGUCGCCAGUGAGUUUUGCACAUCACUCUUUCAGAAUCUCGCAUCUAGAUAUACCCAAUAGUUGGAGGGAGGGAGGGAAGCCAUCCUCUGGCAAGUACCUCAACUUGGGGCAACCUCUAAUAAAAAACCAUUGGAGAGAGGAGAGAUGGUUGCGGAGACCGCUCGAUAGUCUUUCCAUGUUUCUCAAAUCAUAUAUCCAAAGACAGGUUAGAGAGGAAGGAAAGAGACUCCAGGCAUCCUCAUCCUCCGAAGGAAACCACUCCUUCUCUCCCUCCCCUCCCAUGUUAAACUCAACGUCCAGACUCUCGAGAGAUGUGAGCAGGUGUAGGCCCCACUCUCUCACUGGCUGCUUUAGAUCCACGAGCCCCCAAAUUUUAAGGUCUCGCAAUUUGGGAGGCAAACCUCCCUUGGUGAAGCAUUUGAUAUUUUGGCAAUAGAAAAUUUCUAGCUCUUGGAGGGAUGUAAGAUGAUGCCACUGGUUUAGCAGGGACUUUAUCAUCGGACAAUCCCGAAGUGAAAGACUCUGCAGGGUGAUGGGAAGGGGUGGGAAGUCCUCUAUCUCCAAUACCGGACACUCCCAUAUUUUCAAUUCAGUGAGAUUGUUACACUUGGCAAUGUUACAGUUGGCAAUAGACUUUAUCUUAGAACAAUGUCUAAGAUCAAGACUUGAGAGGGUGAUGGGAAGGGGAGGAAAGUCCUCUAUCUCCAAUGUUGGACAAUUAUAAAUAUGCAAUCGAGUGAGAUGGGAGAGCGUGUGAAGGCACUGUGGUAAGUUUCCCAUAUUUUGACAAUCGUUAAUUGUCAUUGUUUCAAGCGAUUCUACGGCAAUCCCUUCCAACGACUCCACUCCCUUGCAGUCGUAUAUAUCAAGUGCCUUUAGAGGAGCAAGUCUACCCUUGGCCAAUGAAAAGGAUAUCGGAGAAUCAUAGCGACGUAUCUUAAGAGAUUCAAGUUGAGAAAUCGAAUUAUUGCUACUCGGGUCACCUUGACGAAUGUUUAAAGCCAUGAUUUUGGACAAUUUUUAAUCACCAAAUGUCUGAGUGCAUGCAUCUUGCUUGGAAGCUUUUCUAAACUUGUGCAAUCCACCAAUUCCAUCCUUUCAAGAUUACAGGGUAGCUCUAUCUCUCCGCCUCUUGCCACAAAAGAUGUGAAUCGAGCACAGCUUUUAAUGGUUAAUUCCUGGAGGCAAGUGAGAUUUUGCAUUUCAUUUCCAUCUUGCCACAAGCAUGUUAGCUUGUCACACAGUCCUAUAUGAAGCUUCCUUAGCUUGCCCAAGCAACUCAUAAACCGAUGAUCAAAGGAAACAAGCUUUAUGAGUUUGUUAAUUUUGAGAACUGUCAAAGAAGUUAGCUUGAACAAGCUCUUUAAGAUCGCCUUACUACAACCUCAAGGUAUAACUCAUUGAGAGAUGGAAGACAUAACUCACUGGUUGAGUUAUUCAAUUGUUGGCAUGAAUGAAUUUCAAGCUUUAUAAGACGAUCAAGUUGACAAGGCAAUGUCUCGACCAACGAAGGACAGCUUCGGACAACAAGAUGCUCAAGACAGGAGAAUGAGACUUCUUCUUUUAGGCCCCCUGCAUAAGGAGACCAAUCCUUCCAUGCCAACAUCUCUUCGAACUGCAAAGUAAUUAAGGAUGAAAAGGCCUAUCACCUCCGUAAAAAUUAGAGCCUAUUAUUCUUACUGCAUUUAGACCUUUAAGAGAUAAUUCUCAUCAGGUUUUUCAUGGAUUGAUCAAAACCUGUGUUUUUGGUCACAUUUGUCCUUGAUCUCUUGUGAAGUUUAUGUGUAUUGCCAAGAAUUAUGUUCUUGAGAUCUUUGCUGCUAUGUACCUCUAGUAUUUGCUAGAGAAGAACAAUUUUGUUGAUAAUGAAGAAUUUCAGGUGGACUCCAGUCCCAUGGUUUUUGAUCUCCUCACAUCGAGGAGGUUUUCCACGUAAAAAAUCGUCUUGUGUUCGCGUGCUUGGUAUUUAUUUUACUCUAUUAUAUCGAUUCCUAUUAGGUUUACACAAGAGGAGAGAUUAUUUUAUUUCACUGUGUUGAUUCGAUAUUGUUCGAAUUAUUACUGUUCUCCCAUCAGAGUGGUAUCAGAGCAUCAGGUUAUUGCUUGAUUUUUCUGCCUUAUGUUAAACAAUGGAAACGAAUACGAGUAGAAUGGUUACACUGAAUGGUUCAAAUUAUCAUAUUUGGAAAGGGACAAUGGAAGAUCUUUUAUAUGUGAAAGAAUUUUAUUUGCCCGUAUUUGCCGAGGAGAAACUGGAGAAUAAAACUGAUGUUGAAUGGUCUAUAUAUUUCAUCGUCAAGUGUGUGGUUAUAUCAGGUAGUGGGUAGAUGAUAAUGUUUUGAACCAUAUUAUUGAGGAAACACAUGCACACAGUUUAUGGGAUAAGCUCAAAUAGUUAUAUGCUCGAAAAACUGGGAAUAAUAAGUUAUUUUUGAUAAAACAGAUGAUGGCUCUGAGAUAUCAUGAUGGUAGUCGUUUGACUGAUCAUUUAAAUUCUUUUCAAGGAAUUAUAAAUCAGUUGGCUGCAAUGGGAAUCAAGUUUGAUGAUGAGAUACAAGCACUAUAGUUGCUUGGUACUUUGCCAGACUCUUGGGAAACAUUCCAAACAUCUUUGUCUAAUUCUGCCCCUAAUGGUACAAUUACCAUGGAUUUGGCCAAGAGUAGUAUUUUGAAUGAAGAGAUGAGAAGGAAGACACAAGGAUCGUUCUCUUCACAUUCUGAUGCCUUGGUUGUUGAGAAAAGGGGAAGAAGUGAGUCUUGAGGUCCGAGAAAUAGAGAUAAAAGUCGAGACAAAAGCAGAGGUAAGUAUAAUAAAUUUGCUAAUGUUGAGUGACAUUAUUGUCAUCAGAAAGGACAUAUUCAGAGGUUUUGUCGCCAGUUAAAAAGGGAAAAACAAAAGGAGAAAGGUAAAGAGAAGAAAAGUGAUAAUGAGAGUGAUGACAAUCAUGUCGCUGCAUUUAAAGAAGACUUUCUCACUAUUUUUGAUGGUGAUGUGAUAAAUUUUGUAUCUCAUGAGAUCAGUUGGGUAAUUGAUAGUGGUGCAUCCAUUCAUGCUACGUCUCGUAGAGAUUUCUUUAUAUCAUACAGGUCAGGUGACUUCGGAUUUAUGAAGAUGGGAAACAAUGGACUAGCCCAAGCUGUAGGUAUCGCUGAUGUGUGCCUAGAAACCAGCAAUGGCACAAUGUUAGUAUUGAAUAAUGUUAAACAUAUACCUGAUAUCCGCUUGAAUUUGAUUUCUACAAGCAAGUUGGAUGAUGAGGGGUAUUGCAGCACCUUCAGUAAUGGUCAAUGGAAGCUCACCAAAGGUUCUCUUGUUGUGGCUAGAUGUGGAAAAAUAUUAUUCGUUAUACAUUAUGCAAGCAAAGUUGUCUACGGACAAAAUUAAUGUAGUAGAUAGCGAAGAUGCAGCUGAAUUAUGGCAUAAGAGGCUCAGUCACAUCAGUGAGAAGGGUUUGUCAAUAUUGGCUAAGAAGAAGCUCCUUUCAGGAUUGAAAAGUUCAGCGCUAAAGAAGUGUGCUCACUGUUUAGCAGGAAAACAAAAUAGAGUUGCAUUUAAAAGCUCCCCUCCUUCAAGAAAGUCUGUUUUAUUGGAUUUAGUGCAUUCUGAUGUUUGCAGUCCUAUGAAAACAAAAUCACUUGGUGGCUCUCUUUAUUUUGUUACCUUCAUAGAUGAUUUUUCAAGGAAAAUUUGGAUUUAUACCUUGAAAACUAAAGAUCAAGUGUGAGAUGCUUUUAAGCAAUUUCAAGCUUCAGUUGAGAGACAGACUGGAAAGAAAUUGAAAUGCAUCAGAACUGAUAACGGGGGAGAGCAUAUUGGACCUUUUGAUGAAUAUUGCAGACAAUAAGGUAUUCGACAUCAAAAGACACCUCUCAAGACACCUCAGUUAAAUGGCUUAGCUAAGAGAAUGAACAGAACAUUGGUUGAAAGGGUAAGAUGCUUACUUUCACAGUCAAAGCUACAUGGAUCCUUUUGGAGUGAGGCUUUAAGUACAGUUGUGCAUGUAUUAAAUCUUACUCCAUGCGUUCCUUUAGAGUUUGAUGUUCCUAACAAAGUUUGGACAUGCAAAUAUGUUUCUUAUGAUUAUUUGCAUGUCUUUGGGUGCAAAUCAUUUGUGCAUGUUCCUAAAGAUGAGAGGUCUAAACUUGAUGUGAAAACACGACAGUGCAUAUUUAUUGGUUAUGGACAGGAUAUGCUUAGCUACAAAUUUUAUGAUCUGGUUGAAAAGAAAAUUGUAAGAAGCAGAGAUGUUGUGUUUAUGGAAGAUCAAACAAUAGAGGAUAUUGAGAAAGUAGAGAUGAUUUCAGCACCACAGGUUAGUGAUAAUUUGGUUGAUUUGGAUCCAGUUCCUCUUACAAAUAUUCCUACACAGGUUGAUGAAGAGCAGCAGGAAAUCAAUGUUUCAAAUAACGCACAUGUUCCUGAACAUGUUGAAACAUAUAAUAAUAUUCCCGAACUAGAGGCUCAAUUAGAUGUUCCACUGGAUGUUCCAGUCCGGAGAUCCGUUAGAGACCGACAACCUUCCACCAGGUAUUCUGAAGAUGAGUAUGUAUUAUAGAUUGAUGCAGGUGAACCAGAGUGUUAUGCAGAAGCAAUAGAAGAUGAGUACAAAAGCAAUUGGUUUGAUGCUAUACGAGAUGAGAUGCAGUCACUUUAUGAUAAUCAUACUUUUGAGUUAGUGAAGUUACCUAAAGGUAAAAGAGCUUUGAAGAACAAGUGGGUAUAUAGUUUAAGCAAGAUGAACAUACUUUACAACCACGGUACAAAGCUAGAUUGGUUGUUAAGGGAUUCAGUCAAAGAAAGGGUAUUGAUUUUGAUGAUAUAUUUUCUCCGGUAGUGAAAAUGUCUUCUAUCCGUGUGGUACUAGGCUUGCUAGCUAGCCUAGAUUUAGAAAUUGAGCAAAUGGAUGUUAAAACGGCAUUCCUACAUGGUGACUUGGAGGAAGAGAUAUACAUGGAACAACCCGAGGGUUUCAAAGUGAAAGGGAAAGAAGAUUAUGUGUGCAAAUUGAAGAAAAGUCUUUAUGGCCUAAAAUAAGCACCGAGGUAGUGGUAUAAGAAAUUUGCGUCAGUUAUGACAGAACAGGCUAUAAGAAGACUUCCUCAGAUAACUGUGUGUUUGUCCAAAAUAUUUUUGAUGAUGACUUUAUUAUUCUCUUACUUUAUGUUGAUGAUAUGCUGAUUGUUGGCAGUAAUGCUUCAAGAAUUGAGUUAUUAAAGAAACAGUUGAACAAGUCUUUUGCCAUGAAAGACUUGGGCUCGGCGAAACAGAUUCUUGGCAUUAGAAUUACCCGAGACAGAGAUGCUAAGAAGUUAUUUUUGUCACAAGAGAAAUAUAUCGAGAAAAUCCUUCAGAAAUUUUACAUGGACAAGGCUAAAGUGGUAAGUACUCCUCUUGUUGCCCACUUUAAGUUAAAUAUGAUGCAAAGUCCUACGACUGAUAAAGAAAAGAAAGAUAUGGAAAGUGUUCCAUAUGCCUCAGCUGUAGGAAGCUUAAUGUACGCGAUGGUAUGUACACGCCCAGACUUGGCGCACGCAGUUAGCGUUGUUAGUCGCUAUUUGUCAAAUCCAGGCAAAGAGCACUGGAAUACAGUGAAGUGGAUUAUGAGGUAUCUUCGGGGAACUUCAAAUUUGAAACUCAGUUUUGGGACCGGGAAACUUGAGUUAGUUGGAUACACAGAUUACAACUUGGCAGGAGAUAUUGAUACUCGUAAAUCUACUUCUGGUUAUUUGAUUUCUUUUGCGGGUGGAGCUGUGUCAUGGAAGUCAAGAUUGCAGAAGUGUGUUGUCUUUCUACAACCGAAACUGAAUUUAUUGCAGUGACUGAAGCUAGUAAAGAGAUGCUAUGGAUGAAGAAGUUCUUAGAAGAACUUGGGUUCAAGCAAAAGAGGUAUGUGUUAUUUUGUGAUAAUCAAAGCGCAAUUCAUCUUGCUAAGAAUUCAUCUUUUCAUUCUAGAUCGAAACAUAUUGAUGUUAAAUAUCAUUGGAUAAGGGAUGUUCUAGAUGAAAAAUUGUUGGAACUUGAGAAAAUUCAUAUUGAUCAUAAUGGCUCCGAUGUGAUGACGAAGACUCUACCAAGAGAGAAACUUGAACAUUACCAAUUGAUAGCAGGGAUGGUGAAUCCCUCCACAUUGUCGUGAGGGGGAGAUUUGUUAGCUGGGUUCACUCCUAUGUGGAGGAGGCCCAAUGAGUUACAAGCCUAAAAAGGGCUUAAGUCCAUAUGAUAAGUUAUAUGAGGAAAUAGGGUUUCUCAUUAUCUAUAUAAAGAGGUAGUCGCAAAAAAGGAAACAGUAACAAGAGAAAAAGAGAAAGCAGAAAAUCUGGAGUUUGGGACAAUAUCUGAUUUACAUCAAACUGGUGUUAGAAGUCGAUUCGUGAUCCGAUUGAGCUGAAAUUUUGUCAGCAUGUUCGUGGCACAAUUUUAUUAAAUUUGAACAGUUUGAUUUUCGUCUGAAACUCCAUACAUCAGGUUUUUCGUGGAUUGAUCAAAACUUGCGUUUUUGGUCAGAUUUAUCCUUGAUCUCUUGUGAAGUUUAUGUGUAUUGUCAAGAAUUAUGUUCUUGAGGUUUUUGCUACUAUGUACCUCUAGUUUUUGCUAGAGAAGAACAAUUUUGUUGAUAGUGAAGAAUUUCGGGUGGACUCCGGUCCCGUGGUUUUUGAUCUCCUCACAUUGAGGAGGUUUUCUACGUAAAAAAUCGUCUUGUGUUCGCGUGCUUGGUAUUUAUUUUUCUCUACUAUAUCGAUUCCUAUUAGGUUUACACAAGAUGGGAGAUUAUUUUAUUCCGCUGUGUUCAUUCGAUAUUGUUCGAAUUAUUACCGUUCUCCCAUCAACAUUAUCACAAAUGACUUCAACAGGUUUAGGUAAAAAUAUAUGAAGAUCACCGAAAUCUGCCGAAUCCAAUUUUCUGCGACUCCAUCGGCGAAACUCUUGUAGUCAAAUUUCGCAAGUGGGUUGCUCUUUUAGCAUGCCAUAAUAAUGUCGAACCCAAGAAAAGUUACACAUCGAAAUGUUGAGCGACGGACGAGUAUCGAGACAACCAGCCCAAUCAGCACGAGGGAAACAUCGCAAUGGAGCUAUCAGUACGGCUUCAAAAAGAGUCCAUAAUCGGUGGUUCCAUAUAAAAAUCUAAUAAUGCACUUUACCGCUUGUAACUAAGGUAUACGAGGGCAAUGCAUGAACUGAUUCACAAUACUAACGGCAUACGAAAUGUGUGGUCUAGUGAUAGAUAAUAACUAUAAAACCCCCAAUCGUGCUUCUAUGUUCAUCAGUGAUUUAUUUUCCUGUAAGUUUUAAUUUGAAUAUUUCUUUAUUAAUGUUAUGGUUUUCUUCCUUUAAUUUUUUUUACCUCUUUAUAGAGAUCUUGAAUAGUCAACCCGCGCCUCUAUUAUUCUUUGUCAUUGUCAAAAUUUCUUGCAAAUCGUACAAUUUUUUUUCUGAAUUUUGAGGCAAUCUCUUAAUCUGUGUAAGUACUUCUUUCUUUCUGAACUUCUGCUUGCUAUUUUUAUUCUACCGUUAUUACAUUUAUACUCGGAGAAACCUAAUCCACAUGUAAAAUUAUCUUUAUGAUUUCAUUCUUGAAUUUCUUCAUCUUCCACUAAUUCAUCCGCGUAUUCUUCCUCUGUUUCUUAUGACAAUGACACAGUUUCUAGAAUUUCCAAUUGAUUUAUGUUCCUUUGAAUUUGCAAUUUGACUCAUAACAGACUACUGCUUUGUUUCUUUUAUUUAUGAAUUUCUUUCCAUACUUUUCUCUAUUAUUCUUAUCUGAUAUGAGCCAUUGAGAUGAAUGAUAUGAGCAAGCCACCCUUCGGUGAAAAGUACAAGUUACUGUAAAGCAAAUUGAGCAUCCACCAGGCACUUAUAAAUGGUACUAUAAGCACUUUUUUUUUUCAAAUUCAGUACAUGACAUACAUGCAAGAUCAAAGAGAAGUUAUAUCACUUCAACAAAACUUUAUAUGUAUCCGAAAUACUUAUUCAAUUAAUAAUAUCAAAGCAAACAUCAAUGAGUUAGUUUAUUGAACAAUCUAAUGCUUAAUAUCGAACUAUGGCCACGUUUAACACUCCGUGAUGAGACCUAGCAAGAUUCCCUUUUGACGUAGGUCUCCACUUUAUAUAAGCUAGCGUCUCGAUCAAAAUAGGACAUAUUGAGAACUGUAUACAUACUCAUAACCAUUUAAUGGGUUCAAAUUAUAGCUGCAAGAGCAUAAACUCCAACCAGUCACGUAACUAUUUCACCAUUCAUAAACUAGUUCACUAAUCAAUAUAUUUAUAGCACAAUUCUUUCCAUCAGGCAGAAUGCAUUUCACAUUGCCCUUCUCAAACCAUAUCACAAAUAAUUAAUUUUCAAACUAUUUCAAGAGAUACUUUGCUAUGCUAUUUCAGUAACAAAAGCAUAUUCAAUGUUAGAUCAUGUUUUAUACGAAAAAAUAUACUCUAAACACCACUUUUUUGUUCCCUUUUAAAUGAAUAGCAUACCAUGCAUUACCUUUUUCAUUGCUAAUGGCAUAAGUACUUUUUGUUAUUUUCAGGACAUGAGUUCACAAAUCAUACAAUAAAUAAGCACCGCUCCCCUGAAUAUGCGAAACCAAACAAUGAAAGCUACCUUACAAACAGAAAAAUCAAGUGAGAAAUGGAGAUUGAAAACAAGUACUAACUACCUCAACUAAAACUAGACUAAUCUAAGCUUAUUUGGCAACAAAACUACUUCAAUGUGUUAACAGAAAGCUCACCUAAAGUAGAACUCACGUGCAAUUUUCAUAAAAAUGAGCUCUAAAGAAUUUUCUCACAAGUGGGUCCAAAGUCAUUAGAAAUUUAACUCGACCUUCGACCCAGAAGAGGUCCAGAAAAGGGUGAAAACUGGUGUCAAACACAGUAGUUCAUAUAUGGUUCCAACAGUGCACAAUGAACUUCAAAAUUUCAUCCUGACCAAAUCGUAAUCCCAAAUUUACCUCCAUAAAAUCCCAUAUUUCCAUGACACAUUAAGUUCCAUUGCAACCUAAUUUUAUAGCUCAACAACUUCUAGAAUCAACUCGCCAACCUAAAUCCCAAAUCGAGUUAAAAUUAUAGCUUAUCCAAAUAAAUUUUCUUUGAUUAAAUAAAUUAAGUCCUUGAAUUUUUAUCGAGCGGUUCACAAUGACGCUUAAGAUGACCUAAACCCUCUCUCUCUCUCGCCUGCAUGCGCGGGGUUUACUUCUCUUUUCCAGUUUUCUGGAUUCUUCUUUCUCUUUCAUAACUAUUCUACUUUGGCCUCGUUUGGUUCAGCAUUCCCAAGGGGCUUUCAGCCCCGAAAGCCCAUUGGGAAAAAAACUAGGUGUUUGGUUCAGCAUUUGGAAGUGUCCUUGGCCAAAUGCUGGCCUUUGAAAUGCUGAAAGCCCAAAACAGGUCAUUUCGGCAUUUCGGAAAUGGAAGUCCACCUCUACUAUUCAUCUGUUGACUUCUUCUUCUUCUUUUUUUUUUUAAACCGAUCAUCUUCCCCACACCCCAACUGUCGUUGAUCGGUAAUAGAGUUUCAUCAGAUUUUAUUUUUAUUUUUUAAAAAAAUAAUAUAAACCCUUUGCAAAUGUUGGGUUCAUCUUUUUUUUUUCUAUUAUUUUUAUCUUUUGACAAUCAAUAGCCCAACUUUUUAUCAAUACACUAGAAUGAUCAUUAAUUAACGAAUAUGAUUAAUACUACAAUAAUUAAAAAAAUUUAUUCUAAGUUGAAAACAAACCUAAAAGAACUCUAGGCCAAAAGUUGAGCUUUGUAUCUAAUCUAUAAUCAAAUUCUUUUAAUAUAAUUUUUAAAUAAAUUUACUAAUAUAUAUAUUUUACAUUACUCUCAACAUGAAAAUGUAAAAGGUUAUAUAGUCAUUGUUUCUUUUUUGCAAUUUUAAAAAUAUUAAAACUAAAAAACUUAAUCUGGUCAUACUAAAGGGUUUUUCAAAUAUAUGUUUACCAAACAGUCUUGCAUUUUCCUAAAGCACUUUUCAGUUAUAGUUUACCAAACAGUCUUGCAUUUCGAAAAACCUCUUUACCUCAAAGGUAUUUGCAUUCUCCCAAGGGCAUUUUCCCAAAGCCGAAUUAAACGAGCCCUUUCUCUUGUUAAGCUAGCUCCAACAUUUAUAAGUAAGCUGAAGGAUCCGUUGGGCUUCUAAGAUGGAGCUUUAUGAGAUAAAAUGAGAAUUGGCCCAAUUGGGUCUCUUGGGCCUAAACCCAUUUUUUUUCAUGGUGGCGGCCUGUAAAGUCUUAGACACAGGAUGAGGGGAAAAUAAUAUAUGAACCCUGAGCACUUGAGCUCAGCUCAAAUCGACCAUCGAAUGGUGUGGGCUCCUUGUGAAAGCUAACUUUUCACAGUCCACCUGAAAAAUUAUGAACCUAAAAUUCAUUAUUUACAACGCAAAUUUCCCUAUAUAUAGAGUUAGGUUAGAAUUGGGUAAUUAAAUGUGAGAUGAUUAGUCUAGCUACUAGCGCUAGCAGCGACAGUGUUGGAAUAAGCUAAGUAGCACUGACACUGACAUGUGACACACGACACGACAUAACACGCCGACACGUCGUUUCUAAAAAACAGAGAAUUUUGACACGUUCGGACACGUUGUAUAUUAAAAUCUAUUUUUAUAUAUACAUAAUAAAUUAUCAUUUUUAUGAUUAUUUCAAUCAAAUUAAUUUGAAUCAAAUUCAUAGAAAAAUAAAUAAUUAAAAAAGCCUAGAAUAAAUAUACACUAAAAACAUUAAUCCACCAUUUAUUAAUAUAAUUCAUUGUUUCAAUUUGAUAAAUUCAACGCUAUUUCAAUAAUUCAUAAAAUUUGGAGAAAAAAUAAGCGAUCUGUUGUAAAAUAUUGCGUUGCGAAUAUAUAAUAGAAAAGAGAUUGAAAAGAGAAAGCAAGUGAACACUAGAGAUAGUAGAGAAAGCAAGAUGAUAGAGCUUUAUUUCUAGUAUCUCACUGUCGUGUUUCUAUGUGAUUGUGUAUUGUACAUUAAAACUAAACUCCUAUUUAUAGGAGAACAAGAAUGUACUUAUCAUUAAUAUCAAUGUAUUGAAUGAUACAUGUACAGGAUAAGGGAGACGAACGUUCGUUGUAUAGGGAGAUGUACUUAGAACAUUUUAUACAAAUGUACCAUAAUAAGUACAUUGGAUAAAAUGAAUAUAAUGAAUAUCCAUUCAUGUAUUCUAUCCAUUAAUGUAUUUCAUAACACUCCCUCUUGAAUAUUCAUCAUAUUCAUUACGAAUGUGCAUCGAAUGAUACUGCCUCAUUAAAAACCUUAAGUCGGAAAAAUCCAGUGGGAUGAAAACCGGACAAAAGGGAAAAAGAAUGCAGAGCACACAUGUUAUGAUCUCUCCCUUUUAUGGAUGCAUUAAUUGCCUCGUUAAAAACUUUAAGCCGGAAAAACCCUAUGGGAAAAAAACCGGACAUAAAGAAAAAAAAGAGUGCAAUGUAUAUAUAGCCACUCCUGGGACUAAUCAUUAUUGCAUCUUGUGAACUAGCCGCAUAUCAAUGCUACAAUACAUAGUUCAUAAUAUCUCCCCCUCAAUAGAGCCAUAUAGCCACUUCUGGGGCUAAUUAAUCUUACAUCUUAUGAACUCACCACAUACCAAUGCCAUAUACUAAUUUCUCAAAACUUGAUGUUGGCAAUGAUUUGGUAAAAAGAUCUAUAAGAUUAUUUAUGGAUCGAAUCUGUUUAACAUCAAUUUGUCGACUUUCUUGGAGUUCAUGAGUAUAGAAAAAUUUCGGCGAGAUAUGCUUGGUCCUAUCACCUUUGAUAUAUCCUCCCCUGACUUGUGCAACACAAGCAACAUUAUCUUCAUAAAUUAUAGUGGGAGAAUUUGUAACCAGUAUUAAGCAACAAUAAUUAUGAAUGUGUGUUAUAACGGAUCUUAACCAAACACACUCUCUUCCAGCUUCAUAUAAAGCAAUAAUCUCAGAGUGGUUAGAAGAUGUAGCUACUAGUGAUUGCUUCGUAGAACGCCAAAAAAUAGCGGUACCGUUAUAACAAAAUAAAUACCCGGUUUGAGAGCGAGCCUUAUGUGGAUCAGAUCUAUAUCAAGCAUCAUCAUAUCCAACUAAACCAGAGUUAGUGGAAUCAUUGGAAUAAUAUAAUCGCAAAUCUAUGGUUCCUCGGAGAUAACGGAAAAUAUGUUUAACUCCAUUCCAAUGUCUCCGAGUUAGCUCAGAACUAAAACGUGACAAUAAAUUUACCGCAAAAGCGAUAUCUGGUCUCAUACAUUGUGCCAAGUACAUCAAAGCCCCAAUUGCAUUGAAAUAUGGUAUUUCAGGACCAAGUAUCUCUUCAUCAGAUUCUCUAGGACGAAAUGGGUCCUUUUGGGGAUCUAGAGACAUUACAACCAUAGGGGUGCUCAAUGGGUGAGCUUUGUCCAUAUUGAAACGUUUAAGCAAUCUUUCAACAUAUGCUGAUUGAUGGACGAUUAUUCCAUUUGCUUUAUGCUCAAGCUCUAGACCAAGACAAAGUUUGGUUUUACCCAAAUCUUUAACUUCAAACUUGUAGCACCCCUCGACGGCCCCCGAUCCAUUAGGGUCGCCACAGUUCGCUUACCUUUCUCUUUCCCUAUUAACAUGUCACUUUGAUACCAUUUCAAUUGCAGCGGGUCCAUACAACUUGGGGGUUUACAUCUUUUAGAUCUGUCCCUUGCGCAAUUUAUAUAUGGAAGCACAUCCAAAUACUCCCUUCCCUAUAUUCAGAAAACGAUGCACAUCUACUAAACAUCUUAUAUAAGUUAAAGCCGAACACAUUUAUUUACAUAGAGCAGAUGGACAUCUUUAGUCGAUACAUCAAAAUGUCGUAGUCUUCUAUACUCGGCUACACUUCAAAGGAUGACCGACAUCUUCUCCAACAGUCGAAUACUUAAAGUCCAAAGAUUAGUGUCGACGUCCAAAAGUUCCUCCCUUUGCUAUCAUAACCAACCACUUGAUUCAUCUACUAGUAGCAGUGGCAGCAGAGGUAUCUUAUCUAGUCUGAAAUGUUAUUCCCCAAAAGGGGUGAGUACAACCACUCAACAGGUAAAGGACCAAUAAACCACUCAAUACAUCAUGCCAUGCAAUCAUCACAAUCAUAGCAUCACAUGUCAUACAAGCAUCCAUGCACAACAUACCAUGGCAUCAUGCACAUGUUAUCAUACCUCAUGUACCAUCAUCAUCAUAUAGACAUCACCAUCAUAUCAUACACUUACCAUCAUCAUGUUACAUAUGGCAUCAUCCUUACCAUGCAUCCAUGCGUAUAACAUCAUCAUCAUAUCACCAUAUCACAUGUAGCAUCAUCCUUACCAUACAUCCAUGCAUGUAACAUCAUCAUCAUAUCAUCAUAUCACAUGUACCAUCAUCAUUACCAUGCAUCCAUGCACAUCUCAUCAUAUCAUGCAUAUAUCAUCAUGCAUAAUUCAAUUUCAAUUUCAUUUGGGACCGUCACAUUUCUCUUUUUCCGGGACAAAUGUUUGCAUCCCACAUUCAUCACUCGCAUCCAACCAGACAUCGCGAGUAACCUCCGGGCAUGUAUCCAAGAUACAACCGGGCAUCCGACCCCCCACAUUCCGGGCAUCUCGCAUCCCAACUAGCAUCGCGAGGCAUCCCCCUAGGCACAAACCUCCAGGGCUUCCGGCAUUUACACUCCCUAGCCGGGCAUCUCGCACCCCAACUGGCAUCACGAGGCAUCCCCCUGGGCACAAACCUCCAGGGCUUCCGGCACUCCCACUUUCCGGGCAUCUCAAAACUCCUGAGGACAUCCGGCCUUGUAUCUCAAUACAAUCCGGGCCAUCCGGCACCCCUCAUCCCAGGCAUCCUGACACUCCCAGGGCAUUAUCAUUCGCCACAGACAGUUUCCUCAUUUAUCAUUAUUUAUGUUCACCAAUUUAGGUCUCAACUCAGCAUGGCACAUGACGCAAUGGCAAACAAGAUCACUUUCAUCCUUUGAUUCAUACAUGCAUCUCCAAUCAUUUCAUGCAUGCAGCAAGGCGCCAUCAUCCAUAACAAUACAAUUCCUGCAGUCCAUGCAAUUUAAAAUGGUCCAUAUUUCCUGCCUUUCACAAAAUUCCAGCAUAUACUAUUUUAGAAAAUAUUUAAAUUAAAUAUCCAUAUGCUUCUCAAAAAUCAUGAAAUCAAGGCAUGUGAUAGGCAAGACAAUAUGAUAGUAAUUUCAUGAAAAGCACAUGUCCAAUAGAAUUCCACACAAAAAGAUACAAUUCACACAAAACAGCAUGCAGUUUCGGAUAGAAACAGAAUGCACAGUUUCCAAAAUAAUUCGAUUAAAAUACCCGAACGACCUCCGAAAAUUAUGAAAUUUUACCAGGUUAUAGUAAAGACACUAAAGUAGAUAUUUCAUGAAGACUUAUAAGCCAUAUUCGUUUUAGAUAAUUUUCUAUAGUCGUACGAAGCUUCUGGAUCUAGCACCGAAAUGUCCAGUGUAGUCAUCUCCGAAAUACCGAGUUUUCACCCCAUUAUUCUUCUUUGUUUCCUCUUAAAUUUGGAUAUGUUUUACUUCAAGAGGUCCCCUACAACUUUCAUUAAGAGAUCUAAGUCAAAUUUCCAGAGUAUAGUCAUCAUAUGCGUCCUUGAAGUCUCGGGUGUCCUGUACCGCGUCUCCAGAUUUACCAUCUUCAAGCGUAAGUCGAUUCACUAGGCUACACUUGCUCAUUUUACUUAAAAUUUGAGUAUGUUAGUCUUUAGGAUGUUCGCUACAAGUUUCAUGAAGAAGUCGAAGAGAGAUUCUCAGUAAAAAUCGACAUGCAACCACAAAUCCACCGAAAGGUCAGUGAAAUCGUUCCAGAUCUAGUGUCUUCGUAGGAUGAGGGUUUGACCCCUUAAAUCUCCAUAAUUUUGUCUCAAAUUUUAGUAUGUUAUAUUUUAAGAUGUUGGCUACAACUUUUAUGAAGGAAUAAAAGUCAAAAUCGAACUCAAAACAUGCAUGCAAGCUCUCACAAGAUUCUGGGUCAGGCGGAUCUCACGAAAUCAGCAAGCAAAAUCAAGAGAAAAUCACAUUCUAGCUUCGGUUUUGCCUUCCCUAUGAUCCGAAACCUACCCCAAACAAAUCACACAUACAAGGCACACAUGCAAGGGUGGAAAUCAGUCCCAACUUGCCUCAAAGACCAAGCAGACAGCGACACACGAACGGCACACCGGCGACGGACGGACGGCGUGCGGGCGGCGACGGGCGAGCUCCUCCUCCUCUUCGGCCUCCCUCUCUCUCGCAACUCUCUUGGACGACAGCCCCCCACCAUCAGCCACUCCCCCUCUCUCUUCCUUUUUCCCUCUCUCUUCCUUUUUGGUUGGAUAUAUAUUGCAUGCAUUCUUAUUUUGCAUGGGGGACACUUGUCCCUAAGAAGGAGACAAGUGUCUCUUUUGUUGAAGACACUUGGAGGAAGCCAUGCGGCUCCUCCUUCCCCCUCCAUGCGCCGACAGUCCAAUGGGCUCUAUGGGCCGGGCCUCUUGGCCCACUUUAGGCCAACACACUUGGGCCUAAAGUCCAAGCUUUAAUGGGCCAAAAUUUUCUUAAAUAAGUCAAUUUUACUUUCAAUAAUUUACCUUAAAUCCCCACUUAUAUAAAUACUAAAUUACGAUUUCAUAUGGCCAUAAGUCUUGAAAUCAUAAUUCCAUAAAUUCCAAUUUAUAAAACACAUGGCUAAUGAUAGGAAUUUCUUUCCUCUCCCAUAAUUAUCCAUUAAAAGCUUGGCCAUAAAUCUUAUUGCAAUUUAUGGACUAAAUGGCUACAAUACAUCUUGAUGGUACUCCCAUCACCUAUUCAUAGACCUUAAUGUAACUAGAGGUCAUUAUGAAUUUUGGGAUGCCACAAAACUCCCUUUUCAAAUAUUCAGCAGUUUCAGCUAACUCUUCUGGAGUUCCAAUUAAAUUUAUAUCGUCGACAUAAACUGCUAUAAUAGCAAAUCCGGUUUCUGAUUUCUUAAUAAACACACAUAGGCAGAUAGGAUCAUUCUUGUACCUUUCCUUAAUUAGGUACUCACUUAGGCGUUGAUACCACAUGCGACUGGAUUGCUUUAACCAGUACAAGGAUCUUUACAAUUUUAUUGAGAAUAAAUUACGGGGAGUGCAUGCUUCAGGCAUUUUGAAUCCCUCAAGAAUUUUCAUAUAAAUAUUAGAGUCUAAUGAGCCAUAUAGAUAUGCCGUCACAACGUCCAUAAGACGCAUUUUUAAUCUUUCAAAGAUUGCUAGGCUAAUGAGAAAAUGAAAUGUAAUCAUAUCCAUCACAGGUGAAUAUGUCUCAUUAUAAUCAAUCCUAGGUCUUUGAGAGAAUCCUUGGGCAACGAGUCGGGCUUUAUACCUGACAACCUCGUUUUUCUCAUUUCAUUUUCGGAUAAAUACCCAUUUAUAUCCAACGGGCUUUACAUUAUCGGGGAUACGAGUUACAGGUCCAAAAACCUCUCGUUUAGUUAGGGAAGCUAAUUCAGCUUUAAUUGCUUCCUCCCACUUAGGCCAAUCUUGCCUUUGACGACAUUCAAUAAUAGAUUGUGGUUCACAAUCAUCAUCCAUAAUUUUAUGAGCAACUGAGAAUGCAAAAGCAUCAUCAAUGAUGAUUUCAUUUCGAUCCCAAAUUUCAUUAUAAUAUAUAAUGGAAUUCUCGGUAUUCCCGAGGCUAGUGCUCCUUUCAUGGGUUUGUGCCUCUUCAGGGGCAAUAAGCUCUUUGAGAGCAAGCACAACGCCAGGCUCUUCUAGAGCGGAUUCCUGAUUCUUUCCCCUUCGUUUUCGAGGAGCAGUAUCUUUUGAUCCUAUCGGUCUACCAUGCUUCAAGUGCGGGGGAUUUUGAUCCAUUUUAGCCUGUUCUUCGGGAACAACUAUCCUAGCCGGAGCAUUUGCAGCUAGAAUAUGAGACUUCGUUAUCUUAGUAGCAUCAUUAAAUGCAUCAGGAAGUCUAUUGGACAUAGCUUGUAAAUGGAUUAUGCGCUGCACCACGUUUUCACAUUCGGGGGUCCUUAGGUCUAAUUGAGAUAAAUUCUUCUCAUUCCAGGAGAAAACCUUAACUGGUUUUUGUUUUGCAGUCAUGAAAAUUCUAGGUAUCCCAAUUGAUGGAAACCUAGUCUCAUCGAAAUGACAAUCUGCAAACCUGGUAGUAAAAAGAUCACCAGUAGUUGGUUCCAAGAACCUAAUGAUAGACGGUGAAUUAAACCCAACAUAAAUGCCCAAAUGGCGUUGGGGACCCAUUUUCAUCCUUUUUGGCGGUGCUACAAGCACCUGUACUGCACAACCAAAGGUGCGUAGAUGUGAAAUAUCUGGUUUAUAACCAAUAACCAUUUGAAGGAGAGAUUGUAAAAUACUCGCAGUGGGGCAUAAUUUUAUUAGAGCUGCCGCAUGCAAAACUGCAUGACCCCAUGCUGUAUCGUUGAGAUUCGUUCUCAAUAAUAGAGUGCGGGCAAUGAUUUGGAUACAUUUAAUCAAGGAUUCUGCCAAUCCAUUUUGAGUAUGAACAUAUGCAACCGGGUGCUCAACCUCGAUUCCAAGUGAAGCAUAAUAUGUAUCAAAACUCUUUGAUGUAAAUUCACCAGCAUUAUCCAUCCUUAUGCUCUUAAUUGGAUAAUCAGGGAAUUGUGCUCGGAGUUUUAUAAUCUGCGCAAGUAAACGUGCAAAUGCGACAUUGCGCGUAGAUAAUAGGCAAACAUGGGACUAUCUAUAGGAUGCGUCCACUAAUACCAUAAAAUAUCGAAAUGGUUCACUUGGUGGUUGUAUUGGUCCACAAAUAUUACCCUGAAUUAUUUGCAAGAAUAAAGGAGAUUCAAAAUUAACCUUUGUUAUAGAAGGUUUGAUAAUGAGCUUUCCUUGUGAGCAAGCCUCACAAUUAUAAUCUUUGGACAACAAUANNNNNNNNNNNNNNNNNNNNNNNNNNNNNNNNNNNNNNNNNNNNNNNNNNNNNNNNNNNNNNNNNNNNNNNNNNNNNNNNNNNNNNNNNNNNNNNNNNNNNNNNNNNNNNNNNNAUCUCCAGGAUGUGGUAGCGUAGGUUUCAACAGCUUUAAUCAUGGCACAAUACAAACCCAUAGAAGAAGCUUCUAGCUUCUCAUGAAUGGUCUUCAGGCCCAUCUUAUAAGAAGAAAUGUCAAUAUAUUCCUUAUCUUGCUCAUAAAUAGUCUCAAUAUAGUACCCAUUACGGCGUACAUCUUUGAAACUGAGCAGAUUCCUUUUUGAUCGAAUGCUUAGAAACACAUUCUCAAUAUGCAGGAUUGUGCCAUUUGGCAAAAUAAUUGCAGCAUUCCCAAAACCAUCAAUAAUCGGAACAGGACCUGAUAUUGUAUGAAUUUGUGCCUUACGCAAUGUCAUACUCGAGAAAAAGUGUCUACUACAAAAUAUAGUAUGUGUUGUUGCACUAUCAAGCAAACAAACAUCUUCCUUUUUCUCGGUAUUUUCCAUUUGCAUUAUAUUGACAACUUCAGGUGUCAAGUAUCAUAAAAGUUGCAUAUUAGUUAUAUAGUCGAAUAAAAUUUCAAAAAAAAAAUAUUAUAUAAGGUUCAUAAGUAUUUCAUAAAGAACAAUAAAAAAAAAAGUAAUACAUUUAAAGCGAAACAACAUAAAAUUCAAAGUUCAAAUUAUCAUCCACCAAUCUGAUUCAUCAAAAUAAUCAAAGGUCCUCAAAGAAAUCAGAGACAUCCAAUGAUGCAUUUGCUACUUCAGGAGCAAGAGGAGUUCCACCAACGGAGAUAUUGUUGGCCUCAACAGUGGUUAUGGUAGUAGGAUUGAUUUCAAUGGCAUGAGAUUCACCACGCUUGCCCGUAUUCUUUAAAGAUGCCUGGUAUAGGUCAACAAAAUGUUUUGGCGUACGACAGGUACGUGACCAGUGCUCAGUCAUGCCACAGCGAUGACAAAUACUUUCAUUAAUCAUCUUCUUUUGCUUCUUUUCUUUGCCAUGAUUCAGGCCAAAGUUUGAUUUCCUUGGACGGUUAAAUUUCUUGCCAUCCCUUCUAGGAUUAUGUUCUUGCUUGCGCUUAUAGCCCUUAAAAUGGCCAGUAUUUUUCUCAAAGUUAGCAUGUGCUUCAGGCAAUACUUUUGAGCCAGCAGGUUUAAGAUCAUGAUUUUUGAGCAGUAAUUCAUUGGUUUGCUCAGCAGUAAGAAGCACAUAAAUUAAUUCUGAAUAUGUGGCAAAUUGACGUUGCCGGUAUUGUUGUUGCAAUACAAUAUUCGAAGCAUGAAAGGUGGAAAAAGUUUUCUCAAGCAAUUCUGCAUCAGUGAGUUUGAUACCGCAUAACUCAAGCCGAGAAACGAUAUCAAAUAAAGCAGAAUUAUAGUCAGACACUAAUUUAAAAUCUUGCAGUAUGAGAUUUUGCCAAUCAUAUUGUGCUUAAGGGAGGAUAACAGUUUUGGUAUGAUCAUACCUAUCCUUCAACCUCCUCCAUAAGAUAUGCGGGUCUCGAACGGAUAAAUAUUGAGUCUGCAGGCUCUCAUGCAAAUGACGGCGAAUAAAAAUCAGCGCAUUUGCUUUAUCCUUUUCAUUUGAGGUUCCAUUCUCUGUAAUUGUAUUAGCGAGACCUUGCCCUUGGAGGUGCAUUUCCAUGUCAAGGCACCAAGAUAGAUAAUUCUUUCCACUCACUUCCAGGAUGUGGAAUUUGGGCUUUUCAAUAUUUUCCAUAAUCCUUGCAAAAAUAAAUCCUUAAAUUAAUUGAAAGGAUUUCCAAAUAUCCACCGCUACUUCAGGAGCAGAAGGAUACUUUUAGAUUUAAAAUUUGGCUUCGGGCCAAGAAAAAUAAAAAUGAAGAAUUGAUAGAAGAAGAUGAAGUAUAAGUUUAUCAAUAAAAAGAAUACACACCUUGCAAAAAUUACUUACUUAGUCGGUAGAUCUUCGUGCUGAUAACAUGUUGUAAAAUAUUGCGUUGCGAAUAUAUAAUAGAGAAGAGAUUGAAAAAAGAAAUCAAGUGAACACUAGAGAUAGUAGAGAAAGCAAGAUAAGAGAGCUUUAUUUCUUGUAUCCCAUUAUCGUGUUUCUGUGUGAUUGUGUAUUGUACAUCAAAACUAAACUCCUAUUUAUAGGAGAACAAGAAUGUACUUAUCAUUAAUAUCAAUGUAUCGAAUGAUACAUGUACAGGAUAAGAGAGACGAACGUUUAUUGUAUAGGGAGAUGUACUUAGAACAUUUGAUACAAAUGUACCAUAAUAAGUACAUUGGAUAAGAUGAAUAUAAUGAAUAUUCAUUCAUGUAUUCUAUCCAUUCAUGUAUUUCAUAACACGAUCCAUAUUUCAGACUCACAUCUUAGAUAUGUUGGAAAAUGAGAAAAAAAACUUAAUGAGUGAAUUGCGUAUCACGGGAAGUGGGAAUCAAAAGAAAAGAGAAGACUAGAUUUUUCUUCUUUCUCCAUUUAUUAUUUUUAUUAUUGUGUUUCAUUUUUUCACAUAUAUAUAUUUUGACGUCUCAUUUAUUGAAUUUUUAAAAUUGACUUCGAUAUUGGAAUCACGUGUCGAAAACUCUUAUGUCAGAAUUUCGACUCGAGUGUCGGAGAGUGUCGAGAAAGUUGACUAGGUGUCAGAUUUUUUGACACGUUUUGACCGAGUGUCGGAGAGUGUCCGAGAGUGUCGGACACAUGUCGAAGUGUCCGACACAAUAAGAAGGCUCUUGGAGAGUGUCGGUGCUUCAUAGGAAAUAAGUUGUCCUGGCGGUGGUGUUGAUGACCACAGUGUGGCAAUGGCCGUGGGAUUAGUGGCGCUCUCUCGGUCGCCCCAUUCCUAUUUUUUUUUUUUUUUAAGUUUCUGCUGUUUUGUCUUCUUCGUUUCUCUUUAUGCCAUUUUUAUUUUAUCAAAUUUUAACUUGUAAACAUAAAUGGAAACCUAGACAUAAUUUUAAUAGACACGCGCAAUAGAGAGUAAUGAACGAAAAACCCCAACAUGAUUAAACAUGAAAAGAGUUGAAUGAAAAUAGUAUUGUUAAUUAUAUAUAAUACGUGAAAAUUCUGCUAGUAUUGGAAAAAGAGUCACAUAGAAAUGGUAGGGGAGGGAUGUGAAAAGUAAAGCAGCAAAGCCAAUUUGCGUCAUGCAAUCUCUUGACCUUUGUGGAAUUGAUUAAAGUUUCUUUUCCAUUGGUAGUUUUUCUUUAAGUGCUUCACUUUUGCUUCACAUGUUAGGCGUAGAAAUUUCCAGACAAGAUAGCACAGGAUAUCCAAUAAAGUCUUUGGGGGAUAUUCUCCGAAUAUUACAAAACAAACAGUUGUGCACAAAAAGUAUUUUAUUUUGUUUGCUUUAACCUCUAAUGGGCAUCUUUGAAAGUCUUGGUCUUUGUUUAAUCUAUGGUCUUUUGGUGUGGCACGUAUAUUAUAUGUGUGUGAUGUAACUUUGUAUAUAUUAUAUGGUAUUAAUUGGUGAGUUUUAAUUCAUUCAGUAUUGCAAAGCAAGUUGCUCAAUGGAUUAGUCGGUCGGGGAAAAUUAUUCAAAAUUCCUAAAUUUAUUGUACUUUUUACCAAUUCAAUCAUAAAUCUUUUAAUUAAGUCAAUUUUUUUGGUCAAAAUUGUGUCAAUUGAAUCUUUAAUCUUUUCAUAUUUUGUUAAUUAAAUCCAUCUUCCCAAUUUUAUUUGAAAAUCACUGAUAUUGACACCAGCUGUCCUAUGUGGCAAAACAAUUAGCGUUGACGUAGACAAUUUUAAUAUUAUUUUAAACAUUUUUGGGAAAAUUUCGAAUAAGAGCCUGAAAUAUCUUUAUUUUCUCAAAUAAGAGUCUGAAGUGAACUUUGUUUCAAACAAAGACUUGAAGUGCUAUCGUUUUCUCAAAUAAGGGCCUAAAAUGGAUAUGUUUAUUUCAAAUAAGAGCUUCACUAUUUAGUUAAUUAAGGGCAUUUUCAUCAUCUAUAUUUUUUUGAAUAUUUUCCUUAUUUUCUUUGUUUUUUCCUCUCUUUUUUUUUUUCCUUUUUCUAGCUUUUCUUUCUUCUCUGUUGGUGGCUGGCCAAACACUAGCAAUGCCCGAAGAGAGCUAGAUGAGGGCCACCCUCACCGGUCAUAGGCAAGGGCAACCAUCGGCAAGGUUAGCCCUCUCUAGUGACCAAUGAGGGAUGGCCUUGCCUAGGCGAGGCAACCCUUGCCUUGGGUAAGGUUGACGAGGGUCAUCAAGCCCUCACCAGCCCUUACCAGCCAUCGGCAAGGGCCACCUAACCCUCGCUAACCCUCGCUAGCGGUCGCACGACCCUUGCCUAACAAUAUAAAAAGAAAAGAGAAAAAGAAAAAAGAAGAGAAUAAAAAAAAUUUAAAAUUAAAUUGUAUUUAGAUGAAGUGAUGCAAGCCAAGGGUAGGUUUUCUCAAACAGUAGGACUGGGAGAGUGACUCGCACACGGGAAACAGGACGAACAGAAAUUUCAGCACUGCGCAAGCUCAGGAGAAUAGUCGUAUCUUUGUCGAUAUAAAUCGGUUUGACCUGAUUCCAAUGCCAAAUGAACAAAGACUUCUGGAUCUACAAUUUCUAUGUUUUGGGUGUUCUGAAAUAAGCACUGUAUGAUGGUCGAAUUUGGGUUGGAAGUGGGUAAAAAUAACGCAUGGAACAGGAAAAGAUAGAAACUUCGUUCGUUGCUCUUCUAAGCCUCCAAGGAAAUUGAGAGGGCACCGAUUCUUCUAGAUCAAUGACUGCAACUCUUCCAAGAUGCAGAUUUUGAAAAGCUCCGACUCUUCAAGGACGGAGUGAAAACUCUUCUAGGUUUUCAAGGGUAUGAACUCUGCAAGAUUCACGAUACUUACUUGAAAGCAAAGUUUUCAUUCAUCAAAAGUCAUACAUCUUGUACAAGGAAUUAGAUGGCUUAUAUCGUCAAAGAAAUAAAGACAGAGCAUUGAAACUUGAAAGCAUUAAAGAACUCUGAAACUAGAAAAAUAGUAAAAAGCAUAGAAACUAGAAACUAGUAAAAGCAUAACAUCUUCAUGGCUCCCAAGGUGUCUUCUUUCAAGCUUCCGGGAUGAACUCAAGAUAUCAAUACGGCUUCUCGGUUGAAUCGACAACUUCAUCAAACUUCAUCGACAAUCGACAACUUCAUUGAUAAGAGGUUUUGUCGAGCUUGAAUGCAGGCCGAUCUUCUUGGUCGAGAGAGCUGGUCUUCAAUGCGGGCUACAUCAUGAAGGCGCCCUUUAACCGGUCGAAAUACAAAGCCGGCUAGCGAUUGACAUGGUCAAACCCUUAUUUGAAACAAUCAUGGCUAUUUCAGGCCCAUAUUUGAAAUAAUUAUGAUCACUUCAAGUCUUUAUUUGACACAAAGUCUACUUCAGACUCUUAUUUGAAAAAAAAAUAUUAGCACUUUAGGCUAUUUUUUGGAAUUUUCCCUUUUUUAUUCAUUUUUUUCUUUUUUCUUUUUUCUUUUCUUAUAUUUUCCUUCUUUAUUUUUUUAUUUUCUUCUCUUUUACCUUUUUUUUUUCUUUUUUUCCCUUUUUCCCUCAGCCUUUACUUUUUUUUUUCCUUUUUUAUUGUUCCCUUUUUCCCUUCGCCGACCAUCGCCUCAUCAAUGGUCAAUGAAAGGAAAAAAGAAAAAGGAAAUGAAAUAAAAAAAAGAAAAGAAGAGAAAAGGAAAGAAAAUAAAAAGACUUUCGAAAAAUAUUAAUAUAUUAAUUACCCACAUCAAAACCCAUCGUGUCAUGUAGGAUAACCGAUAUCCACAUAAGCGAUUUCCGACCAAAAUUAACUAGAUAGACUCAAUUGACAAAAUGUGAAGAUUUGUAGAACUAAAUUGAUAUUACUUUAAUGUUUAUUUUUCCUUAAGCAAUUAUUUCUAUUUUCCUUAUCCAACACACAACGUUAACCGCCCAUGAUGACUGGUAGAUGUAUAACAAAAACUAAGCUGCCAUUGCUUGGCGUAUCUUUCAAAAUGUUUAUCUGAAGAUUCAGUCAGUGCAAGCAGCACAAAGAUGCUCAUUUGCCAGUCCCAAUUAUGAUGGUUAGCUUCAUUCAUCGCUAAAAUAUUUGCUAAUUUCUGGCAAGAACUUACGUGUUCGUCCACAUUAAAGGACUAAUCGAGCACCUUCUUAUUUAUCUAUAAUAUACUCAAGGUAAUUGUUUUCUUAAACAUUUGGGAAUUUUUAGGGCUGUAACGGCCACGAAAAAGCCCUCGUUGAUUGCAUGUUCAACGAUAUGUAGAAAUCAUUAGGAUACUAGAAAUUUACAGAUGCAUUCAAAGCCAAAAGGCAAACAAAACACAGGUAAGGAAAGAAAAAGAUGCGUGGACCUGGUCAUAUAUAUUGUCCUCUAUUCUGGAUGCCCAAAAGAAUAAGGUCCUCUGUAUCAAACCAGCGAAAAAUCUUGAUAUGAAGAAAAAGGCUAACAAUUCACGAAAUAAGCACUUGUGGAGAGAAAAUAUUUUACUUUAAUUUGUCUAACCUCUUAUGUACAUCCUUGAGAGUCUUGGUCUCUGUUUAAUCUUUUUGGUUGGUGAAAGUUUUGGUCAUCUUGAACUCUAUAGUUUUCUCUCUCCAUAGGCUCAUUAUCACCUAGCUUCACCAUAUCCCUUGUCGUUUUCCAGAGUGACCAAUUAAACAUAUAGAGAGAUCGUUCAGGGUUCUUUCAUGGCUUCCUUCUUAUGCUAAUUUAUAGUAUUGUUAACUUUAAGCAAGACAUAUAAUACGUCAAAGUGCUAUUUGUACUGGAAAAAGAGACACUCACAUAGGGAUGAAAGAGGAGGGAUGUGAAAAGUGAAGCAAUAAUGCCAAUUUGCGUCCUCCAAAUUCUUUAUCUUCUUGGAAUUGAUUAAAAUUUCUUUCUGAUCAACACUUUCUGAUCUUCUUGCGUACAUGAUAUCCAAUCAAAGUCUAGGUCUUCCUGAUGAAAAGUAUCUUAAUAGAGCAUAUUAUCACGACAAGCUGUUUGAGUUAGACUGAAGAGAGGACCUUGAUGCACAUUAUGUCCUUGAGUUUAGAUAAAUCAAUUGUUGUCCUUUUUCUCUUUAUCAGGACUUUUGGCUGUCGUUUGUAAGAGAUGGCCCUUUCUUUUGGCAUAAAAACAGAGGAUAAAAGGUGAUUUUUCUUCAUAUGACGAAGGUGCAUGCAUAUCUACAUCUAGAAUUUAUAACUUCUAAGUGUGCUGUUAUUUAUUAUUAUUAUUAUUAUUAUUAUUAUUAUUAUUAUUAUUAUUAUUAUUAUUAUUAUUAUUAUUAUUAUUAUUAUUAUUAUUAUUAUUAGUUAUAGGCUUUUACAUGCCAGCUAUAGAGCUAAAAAAAAUUGCAGAAAGAUCGCGGCAAUGAUCCUCUGCAGGGUGCUAAAGAAGUUGAUAAUCAUGAAUUACUUGUUAAGGUCCUUUGAACAGACAAAGUUAGCCCAAAGCAACUUGCUUAAUGAAUUAGUUGGUGAUUUAUGACUUGUUCACUAUUUCAGGACUAAAAUAAAGCAACUUGCUUGAUAUAUUAGCUGCCUGUCAUUAAUUUAGGACUAAAAUAAAGCAAUUUGCUUGAGGGAUUAGCUGGUGUGCCAGACCCUUUUUGUUUAGCCCAAAACACGUGUUUCCGUUCUCCUCAUCGAACAAACAAAGUUAGCUGUUUUUUAUAAUUUGCAGACUUAUAAUAAAGAGUAAGAUGCCAUUGUUGUGUGGAUCUUAAUAUUUUAUCUUUCAAAAAUAUUUGUUUUAGUCCGUGCAAGUUGCACAAAAAUGCUUAUUGUAGUCUACGCCAGUUGCACAAAAUGCUUAUUUGCUGGUCCUUUAAACAAUGGUCUGCUUUAUUCACAGGAAAAUCAUGUGAAGGAUCACGAUUGUCUUAUCAAGCGGUUCCCUAUCGUCAACUACUGGCUUAUCACCCUUCAGCCGAUCAUUGCUGCUCAUCUUGCUGCAAAUUUUCAGUGCGUAACUGCCACGUAAAGACCUAUAUUGAUCGCCUAUCCACCAAGAGCGCAUAAAACAAAGACAUUAAAACAUACGGUCAUUGAGAAUGUAUGGAUGAAAAAAAUAAAAAUAAAAAAGAAGCCAAUGAGACACUUGUAAUAAAUGUUUAACGAUAAUCCGCAUGCACUCUAAGUUGGUCAUGUGAAGAAAAAUCACAUUUUCUCCUCUGUUUUGGAUCAAGACUUUUGGCUUGUGUUUGAAAUAGGGGAUCUUUUCUUGUGGCCAUGCAAAACAGAAAAUAAGAGGUGAUUGUAUUCCAUAUGACCAACUUAUAGUGCACGUGUAUUUUCUCCAAAAUCUGUUGAUUACUAUUGGCUUUCUGGCUCUUUAAGCAGUCAUAUAUCGUCAGUAUCCUUGUUCCAAUAUCUUUAUUUCAUGCUUUAUUGGUGAAUAUGCUAUCAAUGCAAGCUUUCACAUGAUAGUUACAAUAUAAAGAAUUCAUCUACGUUUGAGAAAAUAAUACACUCAAAUAACUUGAUUAUGUUAUGGAAAAAUAAGAAGUUCCUCGAUUCCUCAAAUAGGCGUGAACAUACAAAGUUACCUUUUCCUUAUUCAACGGACAAAGGUAACAAAUGUUAAUCUGAAGUAUGUAAGCCCAAUUCACAUUCACUGUUGAAUGAUGUGAGCUCCACAUGGAACCCAAUUUUUCACGAUGCAUGUGAGAAACUGAUAACCGUAGAAUUAAUCCUUUACAUAAGAAAUCGCCUCUAGAUCAAUCUAGGUUAGUUACUAGGUAAUCAGAGGCAAUUGCCUGUGAUGGUUGCUCCGCUUAGAAGCGCCAGCAGGGACAGUGGUGGCGGCAUUGGAUGAGUUGCCCGGGCGGUGGUGCUAACACAACGGUGCGGCCGUGACAAUGGGAUUGAUGGCACGCUCUCUCGCACCCAUUCUUGCAUUUUCUUUUUUGGUUUUUCAGGUUUUUCAGGUUUUUCUUUUAUUAAACUUUAGUUUGGAAAGAUAAACGAAAAUGUAGGCAUAACUAUAAAGACAGGUACAAUAGACAUUAAGGAAUGGAAAACCACAGAGUGACUAAAAAUGAAAAAAGUUCGACAAUAAUUGUAGUAUGGUAAAGUUUAAGCAAGAGAACAACGAUCAAUACUAACUGUCAAAUAAUAUUUCAUUCAAACAAAAAAAAAAAUCACUUAGAAUCCAUGUGAUGAUUGGAAAUUCUACUGGUAAUGGAAAAAAAAAAAAAAAAAAGACAUUCGCAUAGGGAUGGAAGAAGAGAGAUGUGGAAAGCCAAGCAACAAAUCCAAUUGGCAUCCUGCAAAGUCUUGGACUUUCUGGGUUUCAUUAAAGUUUCCUUCCCACAUAGGGAUUGAACACGAUUUUCCAGUUCAUUAAUGUCAUGCUUAAAGAGUUAUUUUCAGUAGAUUAUACAUAUUCGUUGGUGUAGACCUGAGCAGGUCUUUAAAAGGCUCUCGCCAAGCCCAUGCGGCGGAUCCCCCCAAGAAAAUUCCCAAGCGGGGGUGUGAAAUAUUGGGGGUCUAUCAGAGUCAACUGGAGACCUUAAACCCAGUAAUGAUAACCAGCCGGGAGCCUUGAACCAACUUGGUUGUUGCUCCCGGGCCUGAUCCUAGCUCUGCCGCGCUGGCCUCUCAACGACUAGCAGUCCGGUAUCCUAGCAUGACAUUAAUGAAUUGGAAAAUCGUGUUCAAUCCCUAUGUGGCUUUUUUAACUUGUUUACUGUUUUCAGAGCAAAAUAAACCAAGUUGCUUUAUGGAUUAGUUAGUGUGCCUGACUUUAGAUGUUUAGGUGCAAAGAACGUGCUUAUGUUUUCCUUAUUGAUCAGACAAAAUUAGCUAUCUUUGAUGACUUAUGUGUAACAAAAAGUCUUGGUCUUCACUUAAGAUAUCCUGGGAUAAUCUCUAAACAUGAGGAGACAAGCACCUAUGGACGAAAAGAAAUUUAUUUUUAUUCCUCUAACUAUUGGUGUGCACCCUUCAAAGUCUUGGUCUUUGUUUAAUGUUUUUGGUAGGUGAAAGUUUUGGCCUUCCUAGACUUUAUAAUUUUCUCUCUCAACUAGCUCAUUAUCACUUUGCUUCACCAUAACCCAUGCUCGUUCCCUUGCUCAACAGUGUUCUCCUCCAACUCGUCUGAACCUAGCUCUCGUGCUUUCUGGAUUGCUGUUGUUGAUCUAAUCCAGUUCACCAAUCUGCUCCAGGAAGUCCACUUGGAAUAGGUAAGAGAUAUCCAUCUACUUGCUUUCUUUUCCCCUCAAACUGAUGCAGCAAGUUUAACAACAAAAUCGAGGGAUUUUGAUGUCAAAUACUUGCUGGCCAGAUUAAAGUUGCCGCUUGAUUGUUGAUAUGGCUUAGUUGUUUUAAUAAGGUGAUGCCUCUACACGCAUACUUGUUUGAGCCCAAACUUGGACCUCUAUUUUAUGAUUUUUCAUUACAUAUUAGAAUAGAAUUGCAUUAUAUUAGUAUCAGGACAAUUAUAUUAGAAAACUCGGAAUUUUCAUGGACAAGCAUUAUCAUGCACAUCUAGGCCAUUUAGAGUGCAUUAUUAUUAAUUAUCAUAUUUGCAUGUUUCCUCUCAUAAAUCAAAUGUUAUAAAUUGGAAAAUCUAGGAAAAUCAUAUCUUGCAUAUUUUUAAUUUUAGAUUGAAUCUUUGUUUAAAAGAAUUAAAAUAAAAAUUUGAAGUGAAACUCCGCAAGUCACGAAGAGUAUUAUCGCCUCAUUCCUGCAAUUUUUUUUAUUAGUUAUUUAUUUUUGCUCUUUUUUCUUAAACUUAAAUUUGAAAACAUAGAUAAGAAUCAGCAUAGAAAAGUUAAGCAGAUAUAAUCAGGUAUGUUCAAAAUUUAUCUUUAUUUUAUUAUUAUUAUUAUUAUUAUUAUUAUUAUUAUUAUUAUUAUUAUUAUUAUUAUUAUUAUCAUUAUUAUUAUUAUUAUUAUUAUUAUAUGUUGAUAGAUAAGAAUCAGCAUAGAAAAGUUAAUUUUUCUACAAAACACUACGAAUGUAAUCAAGUUAGUAAGUAGUCAUAGAUUAAAGUUGAAUUUCUUGUAGAAAGUUACUAAUCUUACGAAGAAUCAUUAGUCACAUAUGUACUUAUAUGUUACAUAAUUCCUUCUGAAAUCCUAGUGGAGCAAGGAAGGGUUAAGAAAGAAAUGGAAUGACAUAUAAUUAAAUUGAUACCCAUAGAAAUGUUAGACAUGCAACUAACGUGGAAGGGAAGUAAUUAGAUCCAAUAGCUAAUCAAGGUCAAGUAUCAUGCCAAAUGUUUUGCAUAAUCUUUAGUCACAUGUUGAACAAGAGAAGCUCAUGAUAAUACUCAUAAAUUUGGACUUAAUUUCAAAUGGUCGUCAUUAUAUCUACUUUUAAAAGCUUAGUUUUGACGAUAGUGAGACUAAAUUUUAUAUGAUAUUAGAGUAGGAGAUCCUGACUUCAAUUUUUUUCAAUUCCUUAUUUGCUUCUCCAUUAUAUAUUUGCAUGCUUUAGUUUAUGAUUAAGUCCAGCUUAUAUGAAAGGGCAAGUGUGGAAAGCUUUUGUUUUCCGGUCGCCUUCAGGAAAGGGAAAAGUAAGGAAAAGGGGAAAAGGGGGAAGAAAACACACCAAAUCGAUGGACAAUGAUAUGUUUCACCAUCUCUAGCGGAUUUCAAGCUCUUCGCUUGCAUAAAUGUCAACAAAAUACCUGAAAGUUUGUCUGGAUAGAGUUUUACAUUUUAUUUAAUCUAGUCUUGUCUCCGACACAUUUUUACAUAUUUUUGACUUGAAACAUAUGAAUCUUUUAUAAUACGUAAGUAUUGAUAAGUAAUUUACAUAAAAUUUAGCUGAUUCGAGCCAUCGUGAUUACCUUUUUUCGUUCUAUUUUGUAACGUCUCAUUGAUGAAACCACACACAUCAACGAUAGAAAGUUAAGAAGAAUGGAACUUAAUGGAUGGGCCACGUCAUCACAAAACUCAAUUCCCUCCCACUUCCCAUUCCAUUAAUUGUCCAUAUAAAUUUACAAUAAAGUUGGAAAAAAAUUAAUCAUCUAAUUUAAUCUAAUAUAAUUUUUCUACAAAAAUAUUAUCACCAUCAACUUGCCUUACUUAUUAAAUUGGAUGUACUCUUUUGCACAUCCGGGGGAUUUUGUAAAAGCUGAAGUUAGGAGUUGGGACCACAAUUCAGCCGGGACGUGAGUGACAUAUACUAACAAUAAAAAGUUGAACAAGUAAAAUCAUACGGAUGCAUCUUCACAAAAGAACCUUAAAGCGCCUCUCUUUUUUCUUUUUCUUUCUUCAAAUUUCAAACACAAAGUGCCCUAGCCAAAUUAUAUAAAAAAAUUGCACCAUUAAGAAGGUUAGUUAGGCAUCCACAUCAGAUGAGGGCAUUUUUUCUGACAUUGUUCAAGGAGAAUGAUUCUGCCUGCUCCUCAAUUAGAACCUCUAAGGGGUCGAAAUAGAUUGGAUUUGAGUAGGCUGAGAAGAGACAUACAUCAUUGUGUGAUGAACAUUUUCUUUCUGACUCCAAUAUAAACUGUUGAACAUACCAAGGCUUGAAAAUUUUCCACUAAAUAACCGAGACUUUGAUUUUUCGAUUCAACACCUAAACACUAGUUGAUGUGGGGUAAGGUUUGGGGUAAUGACCUCAUGAUCUUCAAAGGUGACAAGGCUUUUUAUCUUAAAAUGUUAAAUCUCUUAUUUUUAAAUAUUUUUUUCGAAAAUCCUAUUAGAGCUUUGCUUGGAAUGGGGCCAUCUACUUUAUUUAGAUCAAAAGAACUCUAUGCUUUGUGAUGGUCCUUCCCAUUCUACUAAUCAAUUGAUUAAUUUUACAAUGUUUGCCGUUAGACUUCAUAUAUGACAUUUUAUUAAAGGUGAGUAACUAGACCGGUUCAAUAUGGGAAAUGAAUGCAACACGACUAAUUUUGAAGCUGUUCACAUGGGGGCCAGUAUAGUUCCAAAUAAAAAUUCUUUGAAUCGGCCUUCAUCGGUUCACUUCUUGGUUUCAUAAUAUGAACUGGUUGUAACACCCAUGAGUCGGCCUUGCAAAGGUAGUUCUCGGGGAAAACUGGUUUUGAGCCGGGUCAAAACCAAUCCUAAAUCUUGUCUAUUUAAGCGCUGCUUUCUUUUUUAAGUUCUCACUCUCAGAUUUGGCCCCUCUCUGUGUCUCUCUAGUCAUUCGACUUUCUCCAGUGGCACUCUCAAUUUUUCUCUUUUUUCUGUCCCGUGGGCGCCGUUGCAUCUCUUCUCUGUCUUGGUCUUGCCAACGCCAUCUCAUCUCCGUCUCUCGCCAUCUUGUGGGUUUUGGGCUUGCUUUUGUAGGUCGACUGUCAGUCAGCCUACUAUUAGCGAGGUGGGUUCUUUCUUCCAGCAACUUAGGGCUUGUUUGGUAAAAAAAUGUUUAUGUUCUCCGGAACAACUAUUUAUGUUCUUUUGUUCUAGGGAAUGGAAAAAGAAUAGAAACGCGUUUGGUAAAAUUUUUGUUCCCAGAAAUAGAUUUGGAACAAAAACAAGAAGUAGAAAAAAAUAGCUUCUUGUUCUCGAGAAUAAUUUUUUUUUCUCUUCUUUUUUCUUCUCUUUUCUCUUAUUCUCUUUCCUUUCCUUCUUCUUCCUUUUGGCUAGUUGCCGACCUUGGCCAUGGCCGGCAACCAGCCGAUGAGGGCCGGCAACCUCGCUGGAGCGUCGCUAGCCCCCGACGAUGCUGAGCCAUGGCGAUGCUCAGCCUCGCAAGAUUUGGGCGAGCUUGAGCUCGCCCAACCAAGGCAAGGCUGAGCCUCAUGAUGGCCAAGCAAGCUUGCCGGCCCUCGCCCUGGCUUGGCGAGGCUCCGGCGAGCUUGCCGAACCUCGCCUAGCCGGUCGCCGGCCACCAAUGACCGGCCACAAAGGAGGAAGAAUGAGAGAAAAGGAAAAAAAAGGAAAAAAAGGAAAAAUAUAAUAAAAAUAUUUAAAAAAUUAAAAGAAAUAACAAAAUUAUACAAUUCCACCAAACGCAUUUCUUUCCCGGGAAUAGAAAUUUGUGUAAUUACCAAGCGUGUUCUUAUACUCAGAAAUUGUUCAUGGGAACAGAAAAAAAAAAAAAAAACCAUUUCUGAUCAAAAAUUAUUCUCGGAAUCAAAAUCGUUAUCAAACGCGCCAUAAUUAGAGCAAGAAAUCUCGAGUUACCAAAAUAAGUAUAAAUAGCUUAGAAAUAAUCAUUUAAUUGUUAAAACUUGUCAAUACCUAACUUCUGCCCAAAAGUGGUUUUCAUGUAUUUUUGGAAAACUGGAACAGAUUUUCCUCCCAAAGAAGAAGUUUAUUGGAAUUAAAGCAUUUUAUAAGCAUAUACCAGAAUUUCGACAAAUAGGAUUAGGUUCUUUCGAAUUUAUUCCCCAAAUAAAAUAUAAAAAAAAAAGAAAAAGAAAAGAAAAGCAAAGAUAAAAUGGGAACCUCCGAGAGAAAAACACACACGGCAGAAUUCAUCUUGGUUCUCCUGCUCCUUUCUUUAAAACCACACCGCCUCACUUUUUCUUCAUCCACCACCACCACCACCACCGCCAUCAUUAAACUCACGCCCACAGACUUCACUCUCAUUCAAUUCAUUUCUUGCAUGCAUAUCGGUUGUCGCCAAUCACCACCAUCUCUAGGCGUCGCUCAAUCAAAACCAUCGUUCGUCGUUGCAAGCAGCGACCACGCAUUGCCGUAGCUGAAUACGCACGCGUACACAGUGAACUGCCAAACCUAGCGCUCGUGCUUGCUGGAUUGCUGUUGUGGAUCUUAUCCUGUUCGCCUGGUCGGCUCCAGGAAGUCUACUUGGAAUAGGUAAAAGACAUCUUUCUACUUGCUCUCUUUUUCCCUUGAACUGAUGCAGCAAGUUUAAUAACAAAAUUGGGAAAAGUUGAUGUCAUAUACUUGCUGGCCAGAUUAUUGUUGCAGCUUGACUGCAUAAUUCAUGGUGAUUUGUUGAUCUUAAUGUGGCUUAGUUGUUUUAAUGAGGUGAUACAUCUGCACGCAUAAUUGUUUAAGCCAAAAUUUGGACCUCUAUUUUAUGAUUUUUCAUUACAUAUUAGGAUAGAAUUCAUUAUAUCCGUAUCAGGACAAUUAUAUUAGAAAACUUAGAAUUUUCAUGGACAAGCAUUAUCAUGCACAUCUAGGCUUUUUGGAGUGCAUUAUUAUUAAUUCUCUUUUUUGCACGUUUCCUUUCAUAAAUCACAUGCUAUAAUUUGGGAAAUGUAGGAAAAUCAUAUCUUGCUUAUUAAUAAAUUUAGAUUGCAUCUUCAUAAAAAUGUGAAGUGGAACUCCCCGCGAGUCACGAAGAGUCUUAUCGCCCCAUUCCUGCAUUUUUUUUUCUUUAUCAGUUUUUUGCUGUUUUUCGUAUCUAGUUUUUCUUUUUGCUCUUUUUCCAUUUAUUAAAGUUAUAUUCUGAAAAGAUAAAUGGAAAUCUAGACACAAUUCCAAUAGACAAGUACAAUAGAGAUUAAUGAAUGACUAAUCACAAUGUGAUUAAAAAUGACAAAAGUUGGACUAAAAUUAUAGUUUGUUAAUUUGAGCAAGAGAAACAAUAAUCAGUGCCAAUUGUCAAUCACACAAAAAAAAAAAAAAAUCGGCACCCACGUAAUGCGUGGAAAGUCUACUAGUAAUGUAAAAGAGACAUUCGCAUGGGAACGGAAGAGGAGAGAUUUGAAAAGUGAAGCGAUAAAUCCAAUUUGCAUCUCCGUAAGUCUUGGUCUUUCUGGAUUUUAUUAAAUUUUCUUUCCAAACAGCUCUUUACCAAUUUUGCUUCACUUUCGCGACAAAAAAGUUCAUGAUACCCACUGAAGUUCUGGUCUUCUCGAGUUUAUGAUUUACUUACACGAACGAGUAUAUGAUCGUGGAAACUACAAAUGUGCGGGGAUAAUCUCUAAAUAUUACAGAACAACCACUUGUGAAAGAAAAAGUUGCAGCAAGAUGGGCGAAAAUAUCUGCUGAAAGGUGUUGAGUUAGUAACCGAUGAUGGGGAAUCGCCUAGAAAGAGAAUCACGGUCCAUUGAACUCGAUUUUCCUGUUCAUUGGUGUGAUGAACAAAGUAUAAUUUUUAGUAGAUUAUACAUUGUCAUUUGGUGAUUUGUGACUUGUUCACUAUUUGCAUAGUAAAAUAAAGCAAGUUGCUUAAUGAAUUAGUUGGUGUGCUUGACCCUUUUUCUUAUUAAGCCCAAAGCACGUGUUUCCAUUCUUCUUAAUGGACAGACAAAGUUAAUUGUCUUUGAUGACAUGUAUAUGUAUAACAGGAAAUAAGAUGCAAUUAUUGGGUGAAUCCUCAAUAUGUUAUGUUUCAAAGGCAUUUAUUUUACUAAGUUGCACAAAUAUGUUUAUUUGCCGAUCCUAUUAAUUUGGUCAACUUCAUUCAUCACUAAACAAGAAAAAAGGGAUAAGCACACUGACUAAUCCAUCAAGCAAGUUGCUUUCUCUCACUCUACCCAUUACACUAAUGAACUUGAUAAUCGUGUUCAAAGAACCGCAAUUCUCCUAUCAAGGCGAUUCUCGAUUAUUGACCACUACCUUAGCACCCUUCAACAAAUCAUUGUCACCCAUCUUGAUGUGAAUCUUUAGCAUAGUAACUGCCAUGUAAAAGAAUUCAUCAAUCUCACAUUCACCAAUAAAGCAAACAAAUACAUUGAAAUCAUAAGGUUACUAAGAAUAUACAGAUGCUAAAAAAGCCAACAAAACACUCAUGAGGGAUAACACUUAUAAUGAAAAUAUGCAAACACUCUAAGUUGGUCAUAUUAAGACUCUGUUUUGGAUGGCCAAAAGUAAAGGUCCGAUAGUAAAAAAGUCUUGAUCUGAAGAAUAAGGAGAGCAAACAUAACAAGCGCUUGUGGACAAAUAGUAUUUUAUUUUGUUUGAUUUGUCUAACCUUUGAUGUGCAUCCCUUGAAAGUUUGGGUCUUUUUUUAAAUAUUUUUCCUAGGUCAUCGUCUUGGUCUUCCUAGACUUCAUAGUUUUUUCUCUCCAUUAGCUCAUUUUCACUUUGUUUCACCAUAACACCUUUAUUGUUCUUUACAGUAACUGAUUCACCUAUGGCCAUUGGAGAGAUCGUUUUGGGUUCCUUUUUGGCUUCGUUCUUUCAGGUCCUAUUCGACAAGUUGACUUCGUUCGCAUUAAGUUGUGCACAACGAGAUGGAAUCAACACCGUCUCGCUUGAGGAGUGGAAGGAUAUGUUGGUAACAAUCAAUGCGGUGUUGGUUGAUGCAGAGAACAAGCAACUUAGUGGUAACCAUCAAGUGAAGCUAUGGCUAGAUAGGGUUAAGGACUUGGCCUAUGACAUGGAAGACUUGCUCAAUGAGUUUGCGAUAAAAGCUGCUCAGAUUGAGUUACAUGUAGAAUCUAGCACAAGUAGAAGUCUGCAAAAAUGGAAGUCCUUUUUCUUUGGCCAACCACACUCGCUCGUGUCUAAAACCAAGAUACAAGAGAUCAAUGGUAGGUUGGUAACAAUUGUCACCAGAAAGGCUAAUCUAAGCUUGAGGGAGAAUGUUACGAACAUAUCCAACUUCACCAGUAAAAUGGAUCCAACCACUUCUCUACCUGAGUCACAGUUUUUUGGUAGGGAGGAGGAAGAAGCACAAAUACUUGAACUAUUGAUAAAUGAUGUGCAAAAUUCCGAUGCCAUGCUGAGAAUAAUCCCCAUAGUUGGGAUGGGCGGUAUUGGAAAGACAGCCUUGGCUCAACGGCUGUAUAAUGAUGCCAAAGUGAAUAGAUGUUUCAAUAGGAAAGCAUGGGUUUGUGUUUCGGAUGUUUUUGAUGUUUUCGACAUAACCAAGAAUAUUUUCCACUCGAUCACUGGGUUGUCAUGGCAGGACAAAGAUCUUAACAGGCUUCAAGUUAAGUUGAGGGACAGUCUAUCUAGGAAGAAGUUUCUUGUGGUUUUAGACGAUAUCUGGAAUGACAAGUAUGAAAGGUGGACUGCCAUCUUGAAGCCAUUUGAAGCGGGGGCUAGGGGAAGCAUCAUUAUCACGACUCGCAACCGUGUUGUUGCUUCCAUAACAAAAACGUUGCCACAUUGUUUGAUAGGAUUGUCCCUUGAAAAUUGCACAAACUUAUUAGCCUUUCAUGCUCUUGGAGAAAUAAACUUUGAGAGCCACCCGAAAUUUGAAAAAAUAUGCAAGAAAAUAGCUAAAAGAUGUCAAGGUUUACCUUUGGCAGCAAAGAUGUUGGGCGGUGCCCUACGUAGUAUAACGAAUCCCAAUGAAUGGGAAGAUACCUUAAACAACAUAAUAAGGGAUCUUGCAAUGGUAGAGAAUGAUGAGGUUCUCCCUAUUUUGACAUUAAGCUAUGUCCAUCUUCCUUCCUAUUUGAAGAGAUGUUUUUCUUAUUGUGCAAUAUUUCCUAAGGAUUAUGAAAUUGAGAGGGAUGAGCUCGUACUCUUAUGGAUAGUAGAGGGAUUUUUAGAUGGACAAAAGAAAAAUAAAAAUAAGUUGAAAUUAGGACGGAGUUACUUCAAUGAGUUAUUAUAUCUAGAUCAUUUCUUCAACAAUUAAGUGUUGACACAAUCUAAGUUUUCAAUGCAUGACCUUUUGAAUGAUCUAGCAAAGUCAAUUGAGGGUGCAAUAUGCUUUAGCUCUGGGGAGUCUCAGGUGGUAGUUAAUGAAGAUGACGCAUCUCUUGGGAGAGCUCAUUAUGCAUCAUUCGUCUCAUCAUGGUUUGUUACAUCAAAAUGCUUAAGAGCAUAUCAUGGACUGAAGGUAUUAAGAAGUUUAAUUCUAGUGCGUGUUGGAUCUAGUCGGGGCCCAAAUAAAUUCUCUAUUUCCAACAAGGUGUUGCACGACUUGCUAUCAAACUUGAAGUACUUGAGGGUGCUCUCAUUAUGUCAUUGUGACAUCGUAGAGGUACCGAAUUGUGUUGGUGGAUUAAAACAUCUUCGAUAUCUCAAUUUCUCGUACACUUAUAUCAGGAGGCUACCUGAGUCAAUUGUGGGCUUGUGCAAAUUACAAGCUUUGAUCUUAAGAGGUUGUCAUGAACUUUCAAUGCUGCCUCAAGGUAUCACAAAGUUGGUCAGCUUACAAUUUCUUGAUAUUAGAGAUACAAAAAAUCUAAAAGAGAUGCCAUUGGGUAUUGGUAAUUUGAAGAAUCUUACUAUCUUGUCCAAGUUUGUGGUAGGAACAGAGAAAGGGCUACAAUUAAAGGAGUUAGAGAACUUGUUGCAUCUUCAAGGAGAAUUAUUCAUAUCAAAACUGCAAAAUGUGAAAGACGUCAAAGAUUGUGUUGAUGCUAAGUUGUCAAGAAAGGAAGGCCUAAGCAACUUAUUCUUGCAAUGGGAUAAAAAAUUUAGAAAUCUCUGGAAUGAUAAACACUAUUUCCAGGUGCUUGAUUAUUUGCAACCUCACUCAAAUCUUGAAAAUUUCACUAUCUCUUACUAUGGUGGUGCAGAAUUCCCACCAUGGUUAAAUUGUCCCUCCCAAAGAUAGUUUCUUUGUGCUUCCUGAGUUGUCCUACUGUCAUCUCAUUGCCCUCACUUGGACAGCUACCUUCACUGAGAGAAUUAUCUUUUGAAGGUCUCGAUGCAGUAACAAUAAUAGGUUCUGAAUUUUAUGGAGGUAAAAAGCCUUUUUCGUCCUUAAUCACUUUGAAGUUCAAAGAGAUGUUGACAUGGAAGGAUUGGUCUCCUUAUGCCAGGGCCCCAAAAGAAGAAGUCCCAUUCUGUUGUCUUCAGCAUCUUGUUGUCCGAAACAGUCCUUCGUUGGUUGGGACAUCGCCUUGUCAACUUGAUCGUCUUAUAAAGCUUGAAAUUCAUUCAUGCCAACAAUUGAAUAACUCAACCAGUGAGUUAUGUCUUCCAUCUCUCGAUGAGUUAUACCCUGAGGGUUGUAGUAAGGAGAUCUUAAAGAGCUUGUUCAAGCUAACUUCUUUGACAGUUCUCAAAAUUAACAAACUCAUAGAGCUUGUUUCCUUUGAUCAUCGGUUUAUGAGUUGCUUGGGCAAGCUAAGGAAGCUUCAUAUAGGACUGUGUGACAAGCUAACAUGCUUGUGGCAAGAUGAAAAUGAAACGCAAAAUCUCACUUGCCUCCAGGAAUUAACCAUUAAAAGUUGUGCUCAAUUCACAUCUUUUGUGGCAGGAGACGGAGAGAUAGAGCUACCCUGUAAUCUUGAAAGGAUGGAAUUGGUGGAUUGCACAAGUUUAGAAAAGCUUCCAAGCAAGAUGCACGCACUUAACCAUUUGGUGAUUGAGAAUUGUCCAAAAAUCAUGGCUCUAAACAUUCCUCAAGGUGAUUCCAACAGCAUUAAUUCGAUUUCUCAACUUGAAUCUCUUAAGAUACAUCACUAUGAUUCUUCGAUAUCUUUUUCAUUUGCUAGGGGUAGACUUGCUCCUCUAAAGGCACUUCAUAUAGACAAUUGUAAGGGAGUGGAGUCGUUGGAAGGGAUUGCCAUAGAAUCACUUGAAACAAUGACAAUUAACGAUUGUCAAAAUUUGGGAAGCUUACCACAGUGCCUUCACACGCUCUCCCAUCUCACUCAAUUGCUUAUUUAUAAUUGUCCAGCAUUGGAGAUAGAGGACUUCCCUCCCCUUCCCGUAACCCUCUCGAGUCUUGUUCUUAAUCAUUGUUCUAAGAUAAAGUCUAUUGCCAACUGUAACAUUGCCAACUAUAACAAUCUCACUGAAUUGCCCAUAUGGCAGUGUCCGGCAUUGGUGAUAGAGGACUUCCCACCCCUUCCCAUCACCUUGCGGAGUCUUACACUUUGGGUAUGUCCGAUGAUAAAGUCCCUACCAAAUCUGUCACGCCCCGAUCCUCGGGGACGCGCCCAUCCUUCUACUUGGUCGAUUAGUGCGAUAUCCCAGGACUAAGUAUCGCCGACCCUUUCUUUUUAUUAUGCAUGCGGAAGCAGUUUUAAAUCCCCAGAUAAUAAAACAAUGGGAUAGAAAAGCAAGCCAUAUUUUUCUUAUUGAAAUUCACAACCACGCUUUUACUAACAGCACAACUCAUAGUAUAUUUACAAUACUAUUCACAACAUACUUGUCUCACAUCUAUCUACACUAAGAUAGGGUUCACAAAAGGGAUGAAAUCUCAAUCCACACCCGGGUUAUACUCAAGCUCCCUCUCUGGAUCAUCUUCUUCUUCAAAAGUCUUUCUCCCUUUCAGGUUCCUCCUCUUCAGCUUCUCCUCAGGGUCCUGAAAUGGUUAUUCAAUAACCAAUGAGACCACGUCUCAGCGAGUCCUACCCCCUAAGACCCGAUUAAUAAACUAAUACGCCAAACGGUUGCCUAAGCACAACAUGAGUCAGAGGACUUACCUUGGCCUCAGUUCCAACCUGCAAUUCAAGGUUAAACACAGAUAUUCAAACAAUUCACGACAUCCGAUCAAGCACUGGUCAAUCGACUUAGUCGAUUACAUGUCAGCCAGACCCUCUCUAGGUCAUUCCCACUCAUACCAUGAUUUCCCAGUGGUGUACUCAUUCACCAAAUCACAUGUGUUUCUCGGGCGUCGUUUUCGCCAAUGACAUACCCAUCACCGACACUGUGCAUUCUUUAAGACGCCGUUUUCACCAGUGAUAUCCUCGAUCACCGAACCACGUCUCCUUUCUAGGGCGCCGUUUUCGCCAAGGUGACAUCGGCAAUAGACAACAUCGUGAGUUCUUUAAGGCGUCGUUUUCACCAGUGAUAUUUCCUUAAUCACCGAACCACGUUUGUCUAUAAGUCAUUCAUGUGCGUUCUUUAAGACGCCGUUUUCGCCAGUGAUACUUCCAAUCACCGAACCACGUAUGUCCAAUAAUAUCGUACCUGAUUGGUCUCAAUCAAUAAUGUUCUCAGUUAGUUCUCACCAUUCUCCCUACUAUAUAGCCCAUCAACGUACUGGCGCUAUAUAUCCAUGCUCGGCCAUUACCAAUCAAAUACUCAAUAACAAACAAUUUAGGACAAUUCCUCAAAUUUCACAAUUUAAAUCAAUUCCAUAAAAAUUGAAGCUCAAUUAAAUAAACGGACUGCACCACGACAAUUGGCACGAAAUUCCGGUCACCGGCCAUCCCGGUUGAAUUUCCGGAAAAAUAAUUAAUUAAAUAAUUAAUUUCGAAAAUAAAAUAAAUAAAUAAUAAAAAUCCAAAUUUAGGCCUGUAUUGCCUGAUUGGAGCCCGAAACGGGUCAGGAAAAAUCCCGAGAUGCAUUCAAUAAAUAAUAGAGGCUCUCUACUUGCUAAUGACUAAAUCUAACCACCUAACAUGCAUCAUUAAGUCACUAAUUUAAUUGUUCUAACCUAAUCUAACCACCUUAGUGCACUUAAUUAAAUCUAACCAACCCUAAGCGUAAUUAGCAAACUAAUAAAGCAUUAGUGAGUAAAACUCACUUGGUUAAAAGCGGGGACCGAAUCACCGCAACGGCGACGCGAUGGCGGCCGAAAUCGGACUUUCGACAACACCGGCGGACGUGGACCGGGCCUCAACCUUGGCUCAACAAAUCUCAGCCCAAAUGAGAUUUGUUCUUGCGCUAGACUAGGCUUCCUUUAGGCUGGGCUGAACUCAACUAGACUUGCGGCUUGCUGGACUUGAAAUUGAACUGAAAAUGGGCUGCUCUCUUUGGGCUGAAAACUGCUGGCUUUGUUGGGCUUCGGAGCUGAAUUUGUUGGGCCUGACUUCUUUAAUCACUUGGGCUUGAAAAUACUGAAUUGUGGGCUGUUUGCUAGGCCAGAAUUAAACUGAAAAUGGGCUCUCUCUUUGGGCUGAAAUAAGCCAAAUUGCUAGGCUUCAAUUCUAAUUGAUGAUGGGCUGAGUUUCCUUGGGCUGAUGGGCCAACCAAGAGGCAACAAAAGCUGCCGAUGGGCCUCUGGACUGCAAGGCCAAUGUUGCUGAAAUCUACGGCAGCUGGACUCCACGAGCUGAGUUGGGCCGAAUGUUGGACUGGGGAAGCUCGAGCGUGAAGAUGGAAGAAACAGAGGCAGCUUGCGUCUCUGUGGUGUCUCGGACGUGUGGAGGGAGAGAUCUCUCGAUGGAGCUGGCCACGUGGAUGAAGAGGGAACAGCUUCAGUCUUCAAUUCGGUGGAGAAGCAAAAUCAAGAUGGAGCAGCUUCGGCAUCGUUGGCAGCUUGCGAGAAGACACGGAGUAGCAGUCCGUUGGACGGGUGGCGAGCUGGGAAUUUCGGUGUUGCAGCUGGCGGAACACCGAAAUUACAGUGGUCCAAGACGAGGGGAGGGCUUCAAUCGAGUGUUGACCGAGUGGGGUUGAAGGCGCACAAACCGGUGAAGCUGAAAUCAAAUUGCUGCCGACAAAACCUAGUGGAGGAUGCGGCUUUGAUCUUCGAUGCAGCUGUUCUUCGGUCCAACCUUCAAUGGACUCCUCUGGGUGUGCAAGGAUGUGAAGAUGGCCGUGUGGAUGAAGGACAACACAUCAAUGAGUCAACAACUCAACUUUGUUGGACUCUUUUGUGGACCGAAUUUGGCAGAGAAAUGGAGCUCCGAGGAUGAAGAUGGAGUCCUCGCUGGGUUGUUUCGAAGGAUCUCCAGGGAGUUGAAAAACAAAAUGGAGACGUGCGCAGGAGGGGAUAGGGACGGCAAGCAAUUGGAGGGCAGCUGGAAAUUCUUGUUCAAGAAGCUAAGAAUGGGGCCAAAAGUCAAGGACUUAGCCAAUCCAUUUAAUGCUUGUCCCCUCUCAUUACUUUCCAACUAAAAUUCCACUAAAACAAUCCAAUUUUGAUGUCAAAAAUGCUGUCCAAGCAUAAUUCCGAAUUUCACAACUUAGUCUUUAAUUUCUUUACUAAAUUCCCAAAUUGAGGUCCAAUUUUGAUGUAGAAAAAUCUCAAAUGAUUUUCUAUAAAUCCCCGACACUCAAAGGCUCAGUCUGGAAGUCCAAUUUUCUAUCAAUUUAGCCCGUCUGAAUUUCCGCCAAAUUUCCACGACGUCCGAAACGGUUUUCCGUAAAAAUUCCUGAAUCUCCGAAAAUCUUCUGAGACUGAGUUGACGUUCCUAAGAUAGCUCGUGACACCACAGAACUUUCAAUUUCUGAAAUCGAACUCGUAUUGGCGGUUAAUUUUAAUUCGGCGCGCUUUUAGCGUGACCUAGACUACCGGGUAGUUUUCAGAACUUUUCAGGGCAAUUGACUCGUGGUCGAUUUUCUUCGAGCCACUAUGAACCCACUCGACUCAUUGGCGACUCUCGCUUGUCGUGAAAAUCUCGAGGAUCCAAAUACGGACACAGGGUACCAAAACAAUAAGAAAAUCAGUCUAGAGCUAGUCGACAAGAAUUUUCCAAUUUAGUGGAGUCACCCACGAUCGGCCACACAUCUCAGUCGAACAGACCUAUCUCUGAUCUCAAAUCGAUUUUUAACUGUGCCGUAAUGGCCUCUAAAGAUGGACACGGUCGAGAAGCCGAUUCUUGAUCGAGUUCUCAAGUCUAUUGCCUUAAAAUUCCUUAAUAAUUUCCCAUGAUAGUCUAGUUAUCUCGAGAGUGAUCAGCUCUGAGAAUAACCCUAUAGGCGCGUCAAUGAAAUGCCCGAUUUAUUCAGUAGAAAACAAUACUGAAAAUUCUGGAUGUCACAACUCUUCCCCUCUUAUAAAAAUUUCGUCCUCGAAAUUUAAACCUUACAAUACUUGAUCAAAAAGGUGGGGGGUACAACUCUCUCAUUGACUGCUCAGUCUCCCAUGUCGCUCUUUCUGUACCGAGGUGGUUCCAGACCACUUUGACCAACGGGAUGGUCUUUGUACGCAAAACUUGCUCUUUGCGAUCGACAAUCUGGACCGGUCUUUCGACGUAUGACACACUGUCAUCCAUGUCCAAUUCUUCAAAAUUGAGCACAUGGGUCGGGUCAGGCUCGUACUUCCUUAACAUCGACACGUGAAAGACGUCAUGCACUUGCGCCAAUUUUGGCGGCAACGCAAGACGAUAUGCUAAAGUCUCAAUUCUCUCAAGAAUCUCAAACGGACCUACGUACCUCGGACUCAAUUUGCCCUUCUUACCAAAGUGCGAAAUUCCCCUCAUUGGCGACACCUUCAGAAAAAUGUGAUCACCAACUUGGAAUUCCAAAGACCUUCGACGCUUAUCUGCGUAACUUUUCUGUCUGCUCUGCGCUGUCUUUAAUCUGUCUCUGAUCACUGCCACGGCAUCUACUGACUGCUGAACCAACUCUGGGCCUGUUAUCUUUCUUUCCCCAACUUCAUCCCAACACACUGGUGUUCUGCAUGCUUUGCCGUACAACGCUUCGAAUGAAGCCAUCUGAAUACUCUGCUGAUAACUGUUGUUGUAGGCGAAUUCUACCAGAUGAAGCUGAUCUUCCCAACUUCCCUUGAAGUCUAUUACACAAGCUCUCAGCAUGUCUUCGAGAGUCUGAAUUGUCCUCUCAGACUGGCCAUCCGUCUGAGGAUGAUACGCCGUACUGUACUGAAGCUUUGUUCCAAGAGUACUCUGCAAGCUCUUCCAAAAAGCAGCAGUAAAUCUCGAGUCUCUAUCAGAUGUUAUCGUAACCGGCACUCCAUGCAUUCGAACUACCUGACGCACAUACAGGUCUGAGUGCCUAUCUAGACUGAGGUCCUUUCGAACUGCAAUGAAGUGAGCCGACUUUGUCAGUCUGUCGACUACUACCCAAAUCGAAUCAUUCCCUCUUUGACUUCUUCGUAGUCCAGUCACGAAGUCCAUCGUGAUAUGUUCCCAUUUCCAAUCUGGGAUCGCGAGAGGUUGCAGAAGUCCUCCCGGUUUGCAAUGUUAAGCUUUUACUUGCUGACACGUCAAACACUUGGCCACAUGUUUGGCGAUAUCCGCCUUCAUACCUGACUACCAAUAGUGUUGACGCAGAUUCUGAUACAUCUUAGUGCUUCUAGGAUGAAUGCUGUAACUGCUACGAUGUGCCUCAGAUAAAAUUUCUUCUCUACGCUCUACAUCGUCAGGUACAACCAAUCGUCCUUGGAAUCUUAGUGUCCCAUCAUCAGCGAUCUGAAAAUCAGCCUUUCUUUUGUCUGUGUCUUCCUGAAGAAUUCUCUGUACAUCUGGGUCUGUCAAUUGGAGUUGUUUGAUUCUAACCUGGACAUCCAGUUCAAUUCUGAGGGUUGCCAUAAAACUCGAGAGGUGGCCUACCUCAAAUUUGAAUUCCGAAUCCCGAGCUCUCUCGAUUAAGUUCCUCUCCUUAAUCAGUAUUUGAGCCAUUGAAGACUUUCGACUUAAAGCAUCGACGACAUUGUUCGCCUUCCCUGGGUGAUAUAAAAUAUCACAGUCGUAGUCUUUCAGCAAUUCCAUCCAUCGACGUUGUCUCAUGUUCAACUCCUUCUGAGAGAACAAAUACUUUUGACUUUGAUGGUCCGUGAAGAUGUGAAAUUUACCCGCACAAGUAGUGCCUCCAAAUCUUCAAUGCGAAUAUGAUGGCUGCAAGCUCUAAGUCAUGCGUUGGAUAGUCCAAUUCAUGAGGUCUCAACUGACGGGAAGCGUAUGCAACCACUCUGCCAUGUUGCAUCAACACGCAACCCAAUCCUCUGAAAGACGCAUCACUAUAGAUCUCGAAUCCUCCAGGACCAAAUGGAAUCGUCAGUACCGGUGCGGUAGUCAGCUUUUCUUUCAGCUCUUGAAAACUACGCUCGCACUUGUCUGUCCAUAUGAACUUCUCUCCUUUCUUCAGGAGUCAAGUCAAUGACAACACUGAUGUUAAGGCUUUUUCCACAAACUUUCUUAAGUGACUUGUACAACCCAUAUGGCUUCUGAUCUCUGAUACUAUCGUCAGUCUCGGCCCACUGAUAAUUGACUCAGUCUUGAUCGAGUCCAUGGAAAUUCUUUCACCAAUUUCAGGUGUCUCUCGGGCUCCUUAGCAUUUCUCGAAUACACUAGAAUAUCAUUGAAAGAUAUGAUCACAAACUGAACUCAAUAUUCCUUGAACACUCGGGUUGUCAAAUCCAUGACAGUUACUAGAGUGCUCGCCAGGCCAAAUAGCAUUACAUUAUACUCACCAAAGCCAUAUCAAGUACAACACAUCGUCUUCGGUAUAACCUCUUUCUUGGUUCUCAACUGAUGAAAACCUAUCUUCAAGUCAACCUUUAAAACAUCUACGCUCUUUAUAACUAGUCACACCAUUCAUUGAUCUUCGGCAAUGAACACUUGUUCUUGCUUGUCACCUAAUUGAGUUGACGAUGGUUGAUGCAUACUGGCAACAAACCAUCUUUCUUUUUCUCACAAACAAAACGUAUGUUUCCCUAAAGUGAUGCACUGAUAUGCAUGAAUUCCUCAUUCAUCAAUCUUCACAUCUCCAUCUUCAGUUCUACCAAUUCAGAUCACAACAGCUGGUAAGAUGCCUUCGAGAGUGGCUCUAUCUGUGACAUCUAGAUUUUCGGGAUUUAAUUUCGACUGGAUAAAUAGGGCCGUUUUAAUCAGAAUUUUGUAGAGGACCGUUUUUAUUGAGAAAUCGGGAUGCAAGAUGGGUUAUUGGAUGAGGAGAAUAUUCAAUUGAAGCAUUGAGGCAUCACUUGGAUUUAUUGAGGCCUUACAAGGUUAAAUUGAGAAGAAAUGAGUGAUCAAUUGGAGGAGGUAUCAAGCAAUUUCGUGUGCCCCCAUCCCACUAGCCAUUUUGGACCAAUUCACAUGUCCAAGAAGGAGCUUGGGUGGUUCAAUGGCAGCCAAGGAGUAAAUACUUGGCCUAGAGUGAAUAUGGGAGAUUUUUGUGGAAAGAUCAAGCUAAGGGGGACCCUCAAUUCUCUCUCUCUCUCUGUCGAGGACUGACGCGAACACACCCCCCUUCAGCCGAUGUCCCCUCCAUUUCACACACGUUUCCUCUGCAGAGUUCAAUUCUCAUUUGCCUUUGAUCGGUCUCCCCUUAUCUUUUCCCUUUUUGCCGUUUUCCUUUUUGGUUUUGACUGGGCGGUCGAGGACACCGCUUCUCUCUCCCCUCAUCUCUUCGCGGACGCCCCCUUGCAGCCAUCCCACUCCACCGAAACACCCUGCGGCAAACCGAAGUUCCUCUCCCCUACCACUCGUCCAGCAUCGAGCAGCCCAUCCCACGAAGCAGCCGUAGCCACGCACGUCCACCAGCGUCAACUCUUCUUCUCUGCCAGCGAAGUCCACCAAAAGAAUUCCUCCGCUGACUCCAUCUUACCGACCGAAGCAACUCCAGCUUCUGCCUCGCGUCUUGUUCGUCCACGCACCGUCCACCUCAGCGAGUCAAGCAGCACCGAAGCCUGCUCCACUUUCGUUUGUCCAGCCGAGUCAAUGAAAUCAGCAAGCUUCCCUUCGUUGACUCCUCCUGCCAUCUACCGCACGUCACCCGCAACUAAGACGAAGCUGCUUCUUCGUCCGUGUCUUCAGCUCAUGGAUUUCGGCCAGCUCGAAGAAGCCAGCGAAUCCAGCUUCGAUCUUCUCCAGUCAACGUUCGGCUUCAGCGUCUUCGUCCAUUAAGCCACGCGAACAGCAGCCAUCACCACCGGUUCCUUUAUGCUUCCACCUUGCCGCUUGAAAGUCCACCAAAGCUGCUGCCGUUCGUCCAGCAGAACCAGCUGAUUUUCAGCUGCUGCCAUCUCGCUGAAGACCGAAGCUCACGGAUCCAGCUGCCAGCAAGGCUGAAACCCAGCGUCGUGUCCUUCGUUGCUGCUUCAAUUUGCUACAGCUCAGCCCACGCUGCAACCUACCGAGCAGUCCAGCGAAAAUUCUCCACGGGCCCAAGCGAAUUCAACUCAGCCGCAGCAGGCCCAGUUCAGUUUUCAGUGGCCCAAGUUUGCAAGCUUCGGUCCAGCUUUGAAGCCCAUGUUCAGUUGUGCUUCAGCCCAGUUUGAAGCUGCAGUUCAGCCCAUUAAUUUCAGUCAGGCCCAAUCCAACAGUCUUCAGCCUAUUUGAAGCCCGGCCCAAUUCAGUGAAGUCCAGCAAGCCUAUUUAAAGCCCGCGACCUUGAAGCCCGUGUAGUUUAGUCCAUUUUCAGCAGGUCCAAGCCCAAGUUUAAGUCCAGAAUUUUCUGUGGGCUUGUAAAGUUCUUGGCCCAACCCGAGUAUCUGCCGAUGCCGCCGAAAAUUUGGAUUUCGGCCGCCGUCGCGUCGCCGCCGCGGUGCUCCGGUCUUCGCUUUGCGCAAGUGAGUUUUACUCACUAAUGCCUUCUUAGUUUGCUAAUUAAACUUAAAGGUUGAUUAGUGUUAAUUAAGUGUAAUUAGGUUGUUAGAUUAGAAUGGAUUAGGGAUUAUUAGUUAAUUGCUUUGUAUAUUAGUGAUGUAAUUAGUGUAAUUAGAUAGAGAAUUGCAUGUAGUAUUUAUUGGAUGCUUCUUGGGAUUUUUCCCGUCCCUUAUCGGGUGUUAAUUAGGCAAUUCGGGCAUAAGUGAGAUUUUCGGUAUUUUAAAUAUUAAUUUUCGAAAUUAAAUUCAGUAAUUAUUUAUUUUCCGAAAAUUCAACGGAGAUGGCCCGGGACCAGAAUAUUGUGCUGAUGAUCGUGGUGUAGUCCGUUUAUUUAAUUGAGCUUUAUAUUAUGCUAAAUCAAAUUUAUUGUCUGUAUUUAUUUAAUUUUCGAAAUUAAUUGUUAAAUUAUUUAUUUUCCGAAAAUUCAACUGGGAUGGCCAGCGACCGGAAUUUGGUGCUGAUUGUCGUGGUGCAGUUCAUUUAUUUAAUUGAGCUUUAUUUUGUGCUGAAUUGAAUUAUUUGUGAAAUUGGGAAUUAUUCUUUCAUGGAAUAAUCUUUGAUUAAUAAUUGGAAAAUAACCGGGUGUCAGUUGACAGCACUAAAAGUGUUUUGGUGGACUACAGAAAAUGUGGGAGUUGUGGAAAGGAAAAUAUUAUAUUUUGGCUAAGGCCGACUGUGUCCCCACACACGGCUAUUUUAUCGAGAAGGAUAACAGAUGAAUGGAUCAAAAGGUCGGAUAGUAUACUAUAUCAUCCUACGGGCUCUGAUAUGUCAGCUUAGCGAGAGCAGUAUACUGGUGUACUAUAUCAGCCUACGGGCGAUAUGUCAGCUUAGCGCGAGCAGUACACUUUAUCAGCUCAGUGGGAGCAUCGGGGGUAUACUAUAUCAGCCUGUGGGCGAUAUGUCAGCUUAGCGAGAGCAGUAUACCGGUAUACUAUAUCAGCCUACGGGCGAUAUGUCAGCUUAGCGAGAGCAGUAUACCUUAACCCUAUCAGCUUAGUGCGAGCUAUACUAUCUAUAUAUCAGCUUAGAGUGAGCAGUCCGGGACUAUGAUCGGACUUAUAGAUAGUAUUGAAUGUGCCGACCAAGCAUGGGUCGUGAUGACAGGUAAUCGACUAGGUCGAUUGAUCAUUGCUUGAUCUGAUGUUGUGAAUGGACCGAUUGAUUGGAAAUGACCAUGAGAUGGUCUGACCGGCUUGUAAUCGACUAGGUCGAUUGAUCGAGGAUUCGAUCUGAGUGUGACUUGAUGUGAUUGAUUGCCUUGGUUUGAUGUUGUGAAGUGAAUGAUUGAAGGGAGAUGAUCGUGAGUGGUCUUCCUGAUGUGAAAUCGACUAAGUCGAUUUGAUCGAUGCUUCGAUCUGUGAUGUGAUUGCUUGUGUGCCUAUUCGAUCUGUACUAAUAUGCAGGUGGAAUCUGAGGCUAAGGUAAGUCUUCUGACUCAUGUUGUGCAUAGGCAACCCUAAGGUGUAUUAGUUUACUAAUCGGGUCUUAGGAAGUAGAACUUGCUGAGACGUGGUCUCAGUGGUUAUUGAAUAACCAUUUCAGGACCUGGAUGAGGAGCCUAAGGAGCAUGAAUCUGAUGAGGAGAUCCCUGUUGAGGAACCCAAAGAGAAGUACGUGGAGGAGGACCCCGAGUAUGACAUCGAGUACGACCCGGAUGAGGACCGAAAUCCUAUCCUGUCUUGUCAGACCUUGUUUGCAUGUAAAAAGAUGUAGUUGUGAAUUUUCAGUAAGAAAAAUGUAUGGCCUGCUUUUCUAUCCCAUUGCUUUAUUGUCUGGGGAAUUAUAACCGCUUCCGCAUGUGCAUAUAUAAAUGAAAGGGUCGGCGAUACAUAGUCCUGGGAUAUCGCAUUUUUAAAUCGACCAAAAGUAAGGGAUGUGUGCGUGCCUGAGGGUCGGGGCGUGACACUAUCCUGGUGCUAGCUUGAUCGCACUUUCUAUCUCUUUCUCUGACGACGGUCUGACAGUUCUUGUGACAACACAUCUAGAAAUUCUUAGACCACUGAGACGUCCUCCAUCUCUAGUUCUCCAAUCCGUCCUACCCAAGACAAUCGCCAAGCAACCUUGGCAACCUCCGUCUAACAAACAAGUUGCCUUCAGCAACGAGAUUAAUGAAAUCGAAUAUUCUUUUCGACUCCCAAUAACCUCGAUACUUUCACAUGCUAAUGGAUUAAACUGGAUUACUCCAAGACCAUGGUUCAUUCUCACAAGAUGCUCCAUGAACCCACACUAUUCACUUGACAUCAAAUUCACACCUUAGCAACUAGUCAAGCACAACUAUUGCUAGUGAUUCCCCUCUCUUUCAUUUUUACUUCAAUAAUUUAAGUUCUACCAACUCAACACCAAACUCUGCUGCACUGCUCUGAUAAAAUCACCUCCAACACAUUCUUUCUCUGAUCGAUGCAAGGUCAAUUCUACUCCCAUUCCUUUCGCCAUCCUAGUGGCGUUCUAGCUGCAAUAGCGAUGUCUAUGUUACCUCAGACUUCCACUGACAGUCCUUCACCUGAUGGCCAUGCUGGUCAUCAUCACAGCAUGUUCUAAUCAUACUCGAACACUAGAUUUAUCCAUGCUUCCUUCUACAAUUCUGACACCUAUCUGGUGCGUCUUCUAUCUCCUAUCAAGUGCUAGCGUGCACUAUUUCUUGCAUGGGAGACCUAUCCCAAAAUUCCACAGUGCAUUCUAUGAAGCACUUCUUCUGACCUGUCCUAUCGACGGUGACAGCAGUAACCGUUGUCGAGCUUUCAUCUACUUAUGCGGACAACCCAUAACUUGCUAUCCAUGCUGGCAACACUUACCACAAAUUCCCGUCCUCAGAAUACACGGGACCAAUCCAUACCAUCUUCCAUGGAACAACAAGUUCCAUUUGUCUCAAUGCUGACCUGACUAUUCCACCCUUCCUAUUGAGUGAAAUAGAAUACUCUUCUCUCAACAUUAGUCUUUUCCCUGACCAAAUUCCAAGUUUGCCUGCACUGAAUCUUGACUCAGAUGUCGAAAUCUAUUCCCUGAUCAUCCUUCCAGGUUGAACCUCAGCAAAGGUGGCAACAAUAAUAACUUGAUCCUGAUCUUACUGGCUCAUUUAGAACCCAAGGAACACUUGCAUCAGAAUGAUCUUAUCGAACUUAGGAUCAUUCAACGCUGCUACACUAGUACCAACCUACAGUGGCACUCUUACACUCGAGCUGGCCAAAGCCGACACUCUGCCACAACCACCUCGGGUACCGACCUUUGUCAGUGCUUUAUCCCGAGUCACAGAGGACAUUGUCCUCUUACUAGGAGUUCUCAGCUCCUGCUCGCUCAUGGUUCAGUCUUUAUACUGAAACCCGUCUUCCAAAUCCACACCAGAUUAGAAGGUGAGCGAUCCACACACAACAAACAAUUCUAGCAUUCAGCUAACAUAGACAUGCACCGGCAUGAAUUUAAAGGCCUUUCCUACAAACUAUCCCAUGGUCAACGCUCCUUAUCACUCCAAUCUUGAACUUCGCUCUGAUACCACAAAAAGGGGAUGUCACGCCCCGAUCCUCGGGGACGCGCCCAUCCUUCUACUUGGUCAAUUUUAAAGUGCGAUAUCCCAGGACUAAGUAUCGCCGACCCUUUCUUUUUACUACGCAUGCGGAAGCAGUUUUAAAUCCCUAGACAAUAAAACAAUGGGAUAGAAAAGCAUGCCAUAUUUUUCUUAUUGAAAUUCACAACCACACUUUUACUAACAGCACAACUCAUAGUAUAUUUACAAUACUAUUCACAACAUACUUGUCUCACAUCUAUCUACACUAAGAUAGGGUUCACAAAAGGGAUGAAAUCUCAAUCCACACCCGGGUUAUACUCAAGAUCCCCUCUCUGGAUCAUCUUCUUCUUCAAAAGUCUUUCUCCCUUUCAGGUUCCUCCUCUUCAGCUUCUCCUCAGGGUCCUGAAAUGGUUAUUCAAUAACCAAUGAGACCACAUCUCAGCGAGUCCUACCCCCUAAGACCCAAUUAGUAAACUAAUACGCCAAACGGUUGCCUAAGCACAACACGAGUCAGAGGACUUACCUUGGCCUCAGUUCCAACCUGCAAUUCAAGGUUAAACACAGAUAUUCAAACAAUUCACGACAUCUGAUCAAGCACUGGUCAAUCGACUUAGUCGAUUACAUGUCAGCCAGACCCUCUCUAGGUCAUUCCCACUCAUACCAUGAUUUCCCAGUGGUGUACUCAUUCACCAAAUCACAUGUGUUUCUCGGGCGUUCUUUUCGCCAAUGACAUACCGAUCACCGACACCGUGCGUUCUUUAAGGCGCCGUUUUCACCAGUGAUAUCCUCGAUCACCGAACCAUGUGUCAUUUCUAGGGCGUCGUUUUCGCCAAGGUGACAUCGGCAAUAGACAACAUCGUGAGUUCUUUAAGGCGUCGUUUUCACCAGUGAUAUUUCCUUAAUCACCGAACCACGUUUGUCUAUAAGUCAUUCACGUGCGUUCUUUAAGACGCCGUUUUCGCCAGUGAUACUUCCAAUCACCGAACCACGUAUGUCCAAUAAUAUCGUACCUGAUUGGUCUCAAUCAAUAAUGUUCUCAGUUAGUUCUCACCAUUCUCCCUACUAUAUAGCCCAUCAAUGUACUAGCGCUAUAUAUCCAUGCUCGGCCAUUACCAAUCAAAUACUCAAUAACAAACAAUUUAGGACAAUUCCUCAAAUUUCACAAUUUAAAUCAAUUCCAUAAAAAUUGAAGCUCAAUUAAAUAAACGGACUGCACCACGACAAUUGGCACGAAAUUCCGGUCACCGGCCAUCCCGGUUGAAUUUCCGGAAAAAUAAUUAAUUAAAUAAUUAAUUUCGAAAAUAAAAUAAAUAAAUAAUAAAAAUCCAAUUUAGGCCUGUAUUGCCUGAUUGGAGCCCGAAACGGGUCGGGAAAAAUCCCGAGAUGCAUUCAAUAAAUAAUAGAGGCUCUCUACUUGCUAAUGACUAAAUCUAACCACCUAACAUGCAUCAUUAAGUCACUAAUUUAAUUGUUCUAAUCUAAUCUAACCACCUUAGUGCACUUAAUUAAAUCUAACCAACCCUAAGCGUAAUUAGCAAACUAAUAAAGCAUUAGUGAGUAAAACUCACUUGGUUAAAAGCGGGGACCGAAUCACCGCAAAGGCGACGCGACGGUGGCCGAAAUCGGACUUUCGACAACACUGGCGGACUUGGACUAGGCCUCGACCUUGGCUCAACAAAUCUCAGCCCAAAUGAGAUUUGUUCUUGCGCUAGACUAGGCUUCCUUUAGGCUGGGCUGAACUCAACUAGACUUGCGGCUUGCUGGACUUGAAAUUGAACUGAAAAUGGGCUGCUCUCUUUGGGCUGAAAACUGCUGGCUUUGUUGGGCUUCGGAGCUGAAUUUGCUAGGCCUGACUUCUUUAAUCACUUGGGCUUGAAAAUACUGAAUUGUGGGCUGCUUGCUAGGCCAGAAUUAAACUGAAAAUGGGCUCUCUCUUUAGGCUGAAAUAAGCCAAAUUGCUAGGCUUCAAUUCUAAUUGAUGAUGGGCUAAGUUUCCUUGGGCUGAUGGGCCAACCAAGAGGCAACAAAAGCUGCCGAUGGGCCUCUGGACUGCAAGGCCAAUGUUGCUGAAAUCUACGGCAGCUGGACUCCACGAGCUGAGUUGGGCCGAAUGUUGGACUAGGGAAGCCCGAGCGUGAAGAUGGAAGAAACGAAAGCAGCUUGCGUCUCUGUGGUGUCUCGGACGUGUGGAGGGAGAGAUCUCUCGGUGGAGCUGGCCACGUGGAUGAAGAGGGAACAGCUUCAGUCUUCAAUUCGGUGGAGAAGCAAAAUCAAGAUGGAGCAGCUUUGGCGUCGUUGGCAGCUUGCGAGAAGACACGGAGUAGCAGUCCGUUGGACGGGUGGCGAGCUGGGAAUUUCAGUGUUGCAGCUGGCGGAACACCGAAAUUGCAGUGGUCCAAGACGAGGGGAGGGCUUCAAUCGAGUGUUGACCGAGUGGGGUUGAAGGCGCGCAAACCGGUGAAGCUGAAAUCAAAUUGCUGCCGACAAAACCUAGUGGAGGACGCGGCUUUUGUCAUGCCCCGAUCCUCGAGCACGCUCACAUCCUUCUCUUGGUCGAUUUUAUAAUGCGAUAUCCCAAGACUAUGUAUCACCGACCAUUUCCUUUAUUAAGCACAUGCGGAAGCAGUUAUAAAUCCCCAGACAAUAAAACAAUGGGAUAGAAAAGCAGGGUCAUAUUUUUCAUAUUGAAACUUAUAACCAAACUUUUAUACAUGACAUAAACCAGGGUACUUCACAACUAUUCACUUCAAAAUGGAACUCUCAAAAGAAGAUAAGACUCUCAGUCCAUCCCGGCCGUACUCAAGGCCUCUCUCGGGAUUAUCUUCUUCUUCCAAAAUUCUUCUCCUCAGGUUUUACCUCUGAGUUCUCCUUCCCAGACUUCUCCUCCUCAGCUUUUCAUCGGGGUCCUGAAAGGUUUCCCCCAAACUGGGAUGAGAUUAUGUCUCAGCAAGUUCUACCCCACUAAGCCCAAUUAGUAAACCAUUAUACUAUAGGCUGCCUAAACACGCACAGGACAGAGGACUUACCUUGGCCUCAGAUCCCACCUGCAAGUCAGUACAAUUCACAAUAGGCACCCAAGUAAUUACAUCACAGAUCGAAGCAUCGAUCAAAUCGAGCUAAUCGAUCACACGCCAACAACACCACUCACGGCCAUUCCCAUUCAAUCAACCACUUCACAACAUCAGAUCAAAACAAUGAUCAAUCGACCUAGUCGAUUACAUGUCAUUCGGACCACCUCUCGGUCACAUCAACACCAUACUUUAUAAUCUCCAUUCGGGUACUCAGUCACAGAGCCAGAUGAAUGCUCUCGGGCGUCUUUUUCGCCAAGGUGACGUACAAUAAACACUUUAUGUGCAUACUCUUAGGCAUUCCACUUUCUUUCAGCCACAUGGGCACGAUACUCGGCACACAGAAAUACGGCCACGCGGGCACGAUCUACGCCACACGGGCAUGAUCAAUUAUCGCCACACAGGCAUGAUCAACUAUCGCCACACAGGCAUGAUCAAUAUUCAACAAUUUAUGUGCAUUCUCUAAGGCAUCCUACAUGCCAAAGCGAUGUAAUAAUCGCCGAGCCACAUCACACAUCAUUUCUCCUCAUCUUUUAUCAUCAUUGAUAAAAUAUCGUGUGUAGGUACACGAUUGGCCUUAACCAAAAUAUAAUGAUUUCGAUUCCACAAAUCCCACCAUUAAUUGCUUCCACCAAAACACUUUUGGUGCUAUCAACCGACGCCCGGUUAUCUUCCAAUUAAUUAUCCAAAUUAAUUAAUUCAAGAAAAUAAUCUUAUAAUCAUAAUUAAUUCAUUUCAGCACAAAAUAAAACUCAAUUAAAUAAACAGACUGCGCCAUGAUGAUCAGUACGAGAUUUCGGUCGUUGGCCAUCAAAAUCUUAAUUUCCGAAAAAUAAAUAAUUAAUUAUUUAAUUUCGAAAAUUAAUUAAUAAAUAUUAAAAAUUCAAUUUAACACAAAAUAAAGCCCAAUUAAAUAAACAGACUUCACCAUGAUCACCAGCAUAAAAUUCUAGUUCCAGACCAUCGCAGUUGAAUUUUCGGAAAAUAAAUAAUUAUUUAAUUUAAUUCCGGAAUUAAUAUUUAAAUACUAAAAAUUCCACUUAGGCCCGAAAAGCCUAAUUGAAGCCCACGAAGGGUCGGGAAAAAUCCCGAGGCACUUCCAAUAAUUAGUAGACCACGUCUACUUGCUAAUUGCGCAAUCAAUUUAUCUAAAUCGCAUCACAAUUGACUAAUAAUUGCUAAUUUAUUCUAAUCUAACAACCUAAACAUAAUUAAUUAAAACUAAACCAACCUUAAGCAUAAUUAGCCAACUAAUCCGGGAUUAGUGAGAUUACUCACCAAAUCGCGCGCAAAUCGGAUCAAUCCGACGAGGGCGACGCGAGGAACGAUUCUUCCCAAAGCACGGCUCGGGUUCGGGGCCCGGAAACGGCCCAAAAGCGGGCCCGAACCAGCUGGAAACCCAUUUCGUGGGUUGCGGUUCAAGGCUUGCCGGAGCUAAUCCGGCGGCUAUGGCGGCGAGGGGAGGCCGGCGGAGGGCGAGGGGGACGCCGGGGAGGCCAGGCGGUGACCGGACGGGGCUGGGCGGCGAGCGGCGAGCUGCAGCUUCUGGUUCGAGCUUCUGCUUUUUGCUUCUCCUUUUCGUUCGAACAGGAGGAGAGAAAGAGAAGAGUGCCGAGUGAGAGAGAAGGAGAGAGGAGAGAGAAGGGUUUUGACUGGUCAAAAAAAUGAAAAAGAAAGAGAGAAGACAAAGUGGAGGACAGCAGGAGGGGCGAUCGGUGGGGGAAAAAUCCGCACGAGGGGAGGGGAGAGAAAAAGAGAGAGGGAGAGAGGGAAAAAUAAAAUAAAAAUAACACAACUAUUCUUAUUUUAUUUUCUUUUCUCUUUCCCUUUUUAUUUUCUUUCGGUCUUCAAUUUUUUCUCCGAUAAUUUCUUUAUUGAAAUUUCGGACUCGUUAACAAUUUGACGGACGAUGAGACAGAAUCCUAAAAAUAAGAAUUAUGAUGCACUUAAAAUUCGAUUCCCGAAAUCGAGUUCAAUUUCGUGGUUAAAAAUCGAUCAGACGUGGUUUUAGCUAAAUCCAACAAAUUGAGUAGUUUUUAGGGAUUUUACUACAGAUACAUCCCUUAACGACUUCACCCAAUAGGUUAGUUAACUCGUGAGUGAUCAGCUCAGAGAAAAAGGGCCAUAGGCACGUCGACGAAAUGCCCAUUUCACUUUAUCGAAACGGGGUCGAAUUUCAGGAUGUCACAGCUUUGAUCUUCGGUGCAGCUGUUCUUCGGUCCAACCUUCAAUGGACUCCUCUGGGCGUGCAAGGAUGUGAAGAUGGCCGUGUGGAUGAAGGACAACACAUCAAUGAGUCAACAACUCAGCUUUGUUGGACUCUUUUGUGGACCGAAUUUGGCAGAGAAAUGGAGCUCCGAGGAUGAAGAUGGAGUCCUCGCUGGGUUGUUUCGAAGGAUCUCCGGGGAGUUGAAAAACAAAAUGGAGACGUGCGCAGGAGGGGAUAGGGACGGCAAGCAAUUGGAGGGCAGCUGGAAAUUCUUGUUCAAGAAGCUAAGAAUGGGGCCAAAAGUCAAGGACUUAGCCAAUCCAUUUAAUGCUUGUCCCCUCUCAUUACUUUCCAACUAAAAUUCCACUAAAACAAUCCAAUUUUGAUGUCAAAAAUGCUGUCCAAGCAUAAUUCCGAAUUUCACAACUUAGUCUUUAAUUUCUUUACUAAAUUCCCAAAUUGAGGUCCAAUUUUGAUGUAGAAAAAUCUCAAAUGAUUUUCUAUAAAUCCCCGACACUCAAAGGCUCAGUCUGGAAGUCCAAUUUUCUAUCAAUUUAGCCCGGCUGAAUUUCCGCCAAAUUUCUGCGACGUCCGAAACAGUUUUCCGUAAAAAAUUUUGAAUCUCCGAAAAUCUUCUGAGACUGAGUUGACGUUCCUAAAAUAGCUCGUGACACCACAGAACUUUCAAUUUCUGAAAUCGAACUCGAAUUGGCAAUUAAUUUUCAUUCGGCGCGCUUUUAGCAUGACCUAGACUACCGGGUAGUUUUCAGAACUUUUCAGGGCAAUUGACUCAUGGUCGAUUUUCUUCGAGCCACUAUGAACCCACUCGACUCAUUGGCAACUCUCGCUUGUCGUGAAAAUCUUGAGGAUCCAAAUACGGACACAGGGUACCAAAACAAUAAGAAAAUCAGUCUAGAGCUAGUCGACGAGAAUUUUCCAAUUUAGUGGAGUUACCCACGAUCGGCCACACAUCUCAGUCGAACAGACCUAUCUCUGAUCUCAAAUCGAUUUUUAACUGUGCCGUAAUGGCCUCUAAAGAUGGACACGGUCGAGAAGCCGAUUCUUGAUCGAGUUCUCAAGUCUAUUACCUUAAAAUUCCUUAAUAAUUUCCCCAGAUAGUCUAGUUAUCUCGAGAGUGAUCGGCUCUGAGAAUAACCCUAUAGGCGCGUCAAUGAAAUGCCCGAUUUAUUCAGUAGAAAACAAUACUGAAAAUUCUGGAUGUCACAAAAUCAGUGGCAUCAUCUCACAUCCCUCCAAAAGCUAGAAAUUAUGCACUGCCAAAAUAUCAAAUGCUUCCCCAAGGGAGGUCUGCCUCCCAAAUUGCGAGACCUUAGAAUUUGGGGGCUCGUGAAUCUGAAGCAGCUAGUGAGAGAGUGGGGCCUACACCUGCUCACAUCUCUCGAGAGUUUGGACGUUGAGUUUAACAUGGGAGGGGAGGGAGAGAAGGAAUGGUUUCCUUCGGAGGAUGAGGAUGCCUGGAGUCUCUUUCCUUCCUCUCUAACCCGUCUUUCGAUAUAUGAUUUGAGAAAUGCGGAAAGACUAUCGAGCGGUCUCCGCAACCAUCUCUCCUCUCUCCAAUGGUUAGCGAUUGGAUAUUGCCCCAAGUUGAGGUACUUGCCAGAGGAUGGCUUCCCUCCCUCCCUCCAACGAUUGUAUAUACCUAGAUGCAAGAUUCUAAAAGAGCGAUGCGCAAAACUCACCGGCGACUAUUGGCCUCUCAUCCAAGAGAUCCCUGACAUUACCAUUGAUGACGAACGGAUCCAAUGAAUUGAUUCGUGCAUCUACACUACAGUCAAUUUUAUUAGGGUUCGGGUAAGUUAUUUUUGGUUUUGAAGGCAUCCUUUUCCAUUCUACUUUCUCAAUUUGAUGCUCAAUACGAAUUGAUGUUUGGGUGGGGGAUCUCGUUGGGUUGGAUUGGCUCUGUUUCAUUGGACGAUAAACUGUAGGAUGUAACGCUCGCAAUGCUGACUCUUGCUAUGUUGAUGACAUAUCCUCAUUUCUGCUUGAUGCCCAAACCAAUUGUGAAUGAAAUCGCACCAUCACGAAGAAUCGUAGCAUUCCACAAUCAUAGUCCUCUGCAUUUUCAGUGUCUAUUGUCUGUUCUCUUCCCAACAUCUUUUUUCUUGGGCCCUUAAGCUCAUUCACUUUGGUUGUUUUGCAGAUACCAUUGUGAUCUUGCAUUAGUAGAAUCUCUUGGAAGGAUCACGUGCGAACGCUACUAAGGUAGGGCUAAUGCUAUUCGUGUCAAUGUCUUGUUUCAUUUUUUCUUUUUUCUUUUUUUGGCAAUUUAUCAAAAAAGGAAGAAGCAAUUAAAUAUAUUUGUUGCACUGCUAUGUUCUGAACUUUCCCUUCUGGUGAAUAUGAUCUAAAUAACAAAUCUUUUUCAAAAUCUAAAAGGAUGAUUAGUUUUGUGGAAGCUAUGAUGUGAUUGUGAAAAAAGGGGAUGCGGUUUUUUCUUUUUAUGGUUUUCUUUAGAAUUGGGAACCUUCUUUUCUUUUAUGAUGAUUCUUCGUAGUAUUAAGCAGUCAAUCUAGGAUAAAAUUCUGAGGCAGCUCAUGGCUCCAAGCUUUUGCGUGAUAGCAUUGAUAUUCCAUAAAUCGCUUGCUGGUUGGGUCUUGAACUCUGGUGCUUUAGGAACUGUUGCUCACAGCUUGCUAGAAAUUUUUAGUAAAUAUACUUAUGCCUAUUUGGUUGAGAUUGUAAUGAUAGAUUGCCUACCUCUGGGUUUGCAUUAUCAGCAGUGACCUCUGGGUUGGCAUUUCCAUUUACUUGACUGCGGAAUAUGAUUUCAUCAUACAUUAUGCCAUUUUAUCUUAAAAUACCUUCUCAUGUGGCAUUCUUCCUGUGGGGGAGUUCCAGAACAAAAUGUUCGAGCUGACAUGGGCUCCUUUGGAGUAACUGGAAAUCAUACAAUUCAACCAAUUUGUAUCUUGCCUGGUAUAUCUCCUUUCUCAAUGCUAGUGUAGCAUGUAUAAAUUUUUUGUUCAAGCAAUGUUCUUAUGACAUUGUGAAGCUCUAUUAGAGGUUAGAUAAUUUGUAAUCUGAAUUGUAGUUCAUUGUGCACUUUCUCCCAGGCUUUUUGGAUGUUAUUGCACAUAUAACAUGGUGCUUUGACCAUAUAAAUAGGUGGUUAGAAAAAGCAGAGCUGCAUUUGCCAGGAUAACUUUCCAGCAACCUCGCAUAGUUUUGCUUGACGAGCCAUCCAAUCAUCUGGUAAGUUCUACUCAUAUUUCUCCAUUUGUUUACUUUGAUUACUUUUCUAGUUAGCUUGUUAUUGUUCUUGCACUAAUUGAACUUGUCAAAAUCUUGUCUCUACAUUAAAAAUAUAGUAGAACCAAUUAGUGGUCACAGCUGCCGGUAGCCCUUGUCAUCAUACAUCUAGCAAAUAAUGGAACAGGAACCAAUCUAAUUGUUCCAAUGUGGAAAAUAUUCAAAAUAGAGUAAUCUAGCACACCAAAUGGUACUGAUCUUUGUGCCUAUAGGCAGUAUUGGGCUUUACAUACAAAUAUGUGGACCCCUUUUUGUUUAUAAUUUAGUCUUUAAGUUUUGCUUUAAUGACCAGUGACAAAAGAAUUAUCUUUGUAAAGUGUUAUUUUCUUGUCUGAUGAUUAGUGUUUCUGUUUUUUUGCCAAUCCACAACUGUAGGAUUUGGAUGUAGCUGAGGCGCUCGUUCAAGGUCUGGUCUUCUUCCAAGGAGUAAUUCUGAUGGUGAGAUUGAUUUUCCUGUCAAAAUACUUCAAUUUGACCAAUGAUGGAUCAUUUCAUAAUCAAGGACCCUCUUUUCACCUUGAUUUGUAGGUUAGUUACGAUGAGCAUCUAAUAGCUAGAAGCUUGGAUGAGGUCUGGGUGGUUUCACAAGGCAAGGUGGCACCUCUCCAUGGGAAUUUCCAGGACUAUAGGAAUGUGCUCCAGUUUUUGUUGAAUCAGGUAAAUCUAGUUAUUGCCAUCAAUUAAGAGUGGUUCACUGGGCAUUACCUCACAAAACAGAAAAUGAGGCUUAGCUACAUAUAAAAAGCGAAAAAAGGAUGAAGAGAGGAUUGCUGCUGAUAUACAGGAUGGACUCACAGUUACACCAGCCCUCAUUUGUCAUUUGUACUUGAUAAGGGCUCUUGGAAUGAUGAGUCUAAGUUUUUGACAUCGAGCAUGCAAUAUCAUUUACACUAACUUAAGAACUGAGUUGGGAUUGCAAUCCUGGUAUAAUUUAUGAUUCUUUGCACAUUUUGUUCUAGCAAUAGGUUCAUUUGUUGCGCCCCUAGAAAUUUGAUACUCUGUUGCCGCCAAAGUCAACUUUCCCAUGCACACCAAAAUGAUUUAAUCAUUUGUAAACGAAUAUUUUAGCACGGUAAAUUAUUUUGUAAAAAAUCUACUUUGUGAGAAAGCUGUAUUAAUAUAUUUUCCCCAUUUUCACUCUUUGCACUGUUUCGGAGAAUUAAUUAUGAAAAUAUUAUCACGGUCAACAAAACUUUAUAUUCAACACUAAGUAUAGAAUUGCUUUUACUAACUAUAAUGUAGGCCUUCCUCAGCUUGGUCAAAGAUUAUAGUUCCUCCUUCUAUUCAAAUACAUGAGAGUCACAAAGAAUCAAUGGCGUUCCACGAUCAUAUUCCUUUGUAUUUUCAGCAUCUGUUGUAUGCACUCUUCCCAACAUUUUCUUUCUCGUGCCCUAGCUCAUCCACUUUGAUUGUUUUGCAGAUGCAGGAUCACUUGCGAAAACUAUUGAGGUAGGGCUAAUGUUGUCGAUGUUAUGUGUGAUUUUUUACAAUUUACAAGAAAGGAAGAAGCAUUUAAAUUUAUUUGGUGCAUUGAUAUGUUCUAAUUAUUCUUCUAGCGAUCAUUAUCUAAAUAAGAAUAAUCUCUUUCAAAAUCUAAAAACAGGAUUAGUUAUGCGGAAGCUGUGAUAUGAUUGUGACAAAAGGGGAUGCAAAUUUUAUUUUUUUUAAUUAUGGUUUUCUUUAGAAUCAAGAACCUUCUUUUUGUUGAUGAUGAUCCUUCAUAGUAUUAAGCAGUCUAUUUGGGGCGCUCAUGGCUCUAAGCUUUCGGUCUUGAUCUCUGUUGAGUUAGGAACUAUUACCUACAGCUUGCUAGAAAUUUUUUAGCCAAUAUAUUCAUGCUUAUUGGGUACAGCUUGCUAGAAAUUUUUUAGCCAAUAUAUUCAUGCUUAUUGGGUUGAGAUGGUAACGACAUCCUGCCUACCUCUGGGUUUGCAUUGUCAGUGGUGACCUCUGGGGCAAAUCUUGUCAGUUCCUUAAAUUCAUCAUACAUCAUUUCAUUGCAUCUGAAAUUACCUUCUUAUGUGGCAUCCUUCCUGAACUCACUUGGGUUCCUUUGGUCUAACUGGAAAUCCCACACUUCAAUCAAUGUAUACCUUGUCUAGAAGCAAUUUUUGUGUUACAUCGUGAAGCUCUAUUGGGGGUUAGUUAAUAUGUAACCUCAAUUGUUGUUCACUGUGUAUUUGCUCCAAGGCUUUUUGGAUGUUAUUGCACAUAUGACAUGAUGCUUUGACCAUGUAAAUAGGUGGUCAGAUAAGCAGAGUUACAUAUGCCAAGAUAACUUUCAAGAAACCUCACAUAGUUUUGCUUGACAAGCCAUCCAAUCAUUUGGUAAGUUUACUCAUUUUUCUUUGUUCAGUUAGCUUGUGAUUGUUCUUGCACUAAUUGAACUUAUCGGAAUCUAGUCUUUACAUCGAAAAUACAGUAAAACCAAUAAGUGAUCAUAGCUAUAGGGAGCCUCUGUCAUUAUGCUUCUAACUUAUAAUGGAAUAGAGACCAAUCUAGUUUUUCCAACUUGCAAAAUGUUGGGAAUAGAAUGGUUCUGCUAGCCUGAUCAGUGUUUUUGUAUUACAGUAAUCUAUGAUACCAGGUAGUUCUUAUGCUUGUGCUUAUAGGCAGUGUUGGGCUUUGCGCAUAAUGAAUGUGGACCUUUUUCUUGUUUUUCUCUUAGUUUUGCUUUAAUGAGCAGUGAUUACUAAAGUGUCAUCUUUGUAAAUCGUUAGUUUCUUGUCUAGAAAUACAUAUGAUUCUGCCUUUUCCACUAUACCCAAUUGUAGGAUUUGGAUGAGGCGCUCAUUCAAGGUCUGGUCUUGUUUCUAAGAUGGAUCAUUUCGCAGCUGACAGCCUCUUUUUGCCUUGAUUUGCAGGUUAGUCACGAUGAGCAUCUAAUAUCUGGAAGCGCAAACAAGCUAUUGGUGGUUUCUCAAGGCAAGGUGGCGGCAUUCCAUGGGAAUUUCCAGGAUUAUAAGAGUUUGGAUGUCCUGAGGGUAUCUCUGGGGUUAUUGCGUUCAUCAUCUACACUAACUGUGGAGGGCAAACAUCCUGAAAUGAAGUAGAAAUUGGUUGAGUGCGCACAAUCUCUGAAUGCAGCAUGUGUGGAUUAAUUUGAUUAAAUUGUUCUGGGACCCAACUUUGGACACAUCGAUCCGGAUUCAAAAUUCUUUAAUUCCAAUUAAAAGCAAACUAGGUUAUGUGGCAUUGAUCUGGUCUGUAUUAACUGUAGCACUUCCAGCUAUAUUUAAAUUCGCAUCCUGUGAUGCAGUAGCGACUGAUUUGUCAAAUAAGCUACGGUUAUGGCUUAAACCGAGUAAUUCAUAGCGAGUAUGGAAUGUCAGCCCAUAACAUUAAGUCACCAUCACCGGCGAUUAGGGGUCUCCCAUAUUUAUGGAUUAACUUGAUAAUAAGAGUUAUUCAGUUAAAAAGAAAAAAAAAUCACCGAAAGGUUCACUGGUUAGUAGGAAAGUGAAUUGUCCCGUUCUUGUCUCGUUUGUUCAUUUUUGGUUGCUGUCGCGUGGGUAUGAUAUUAUUUUGUUUGUUUGAUCACUCUUGCUAUUGUUUAUUGUGCAUGCAGGAUAAUUUGUCGCUAUUGUCUAUUGUGCAUGCAAGAUAAUUUUUAUAUAAAAUUAAUUGAUCGUCCCGUUCCAGAUUUAUUAAUAUUUUUAUGUUCAUCUCAUGCCAAUUGUUAUUCGACGAGUUGAAGAGUGUCCGAUACAAAUGACGGCAUGAUUGAAAUUGUAUUGGUGUAUGAUGGGAGCUAGCGAAAGUCAAGGAAUUAAAGGAAAAAUAUGGGGCUUUUACUCUGUUUUUCAAUCCAUAUUUUUUAUUAUUUUCACAUAAUCGUUUUGGAGUGGGCAAUACUUUCAACGUACACAUGAAGUAUUACUUGAAGCAAGAAAUUCUCAAAUAGCACCUAGAUGAAAAAAAAAAAAAAUUCCCAACUUUCUCACGUUCUGAAUGAUAACAUAAAGCUUAUUUUCCAUUACUUAUUAGUCUCUUUAAUAAAUUUACUACUUGAAGUUUCUUUUGUGUCUUUACAUUGUAAACAUUAUAACAUGCAUCGAUUUGUCCAAAGUCCUUUAAGAUAGUGCCUUUAUAGAUAAGACUAUUAUAUGGUACGAUAGGAAGAUGACAACGACAUAAGAAUUAGAUCAGAAGAACGUAUUAUAUCUCCAACACAUACAAAGUAGUAGCUAAAAACAAUGUGCAGUCAAUCAAGGGUUGACCCAGUUUUACUCAUGCCCGUUCCCAAAAAUGACACUUUCGUUCAGUCGUGAUUCUUAUGGUUGGCAUUGGUUUCAGCUUUGCACUGGCUCUCACGUGGCAAGUGAAUUAAUUCUCAGGGGGGCACAUGCUCAGGACACCUACGAUUCGUGCUAUAAUCCAUCCAAGCCUAGUUAAAACAUAAAAAGAUAACCCAAGGCCUUCUCACCGUUCAUCACAAUUUUUCUCCUUUCUAGAUACUGAAAUCCAGUGGUGAAAUUAUUUCUAAAACAGAACUUGCAGUUUGCCUUUUAGAUUUUUUCGCUACUUCUUUUUUAAAGUUGAAAAUCCAAUUUGACAUCCGCGGACAUAUGUAAUGUUUUAUUGCCUACAGUGACAUAUCAAUUUGAUAUACAUAAAAAACUAUAAAUAGUCAGUAAUGCGAGUUAUGUAACCAAAAUUCCACUUAUUGGUAUCUACAACAACAUUAAUAUGGAUAGCUGCAAGUAACUAAUUAACUUCUCAUAUCUAUUGGUAUCAAAGAAAAUCUACAAAUAUGCAUAACCAGCUUGGCAGAUAGUUGUUAAUGAUCAGAGGGGGAAAGUGUUAAAAAAGUCCUAAACCUUUUGCAUUUAUGCCAAUUUAGUCUUAAAAAUUUUUUUGGUGCCAAUUAAGUCCUAAACUUUUUUACGUUGUGCCAAUUUAGUACUUAUUAGCCGGAUUUUGUUGACUGGAUGCCGGCCAGCUGACGUGGCCUGACCGGUGCUGAUGUGGACAACUUUUAAUAAUAUUUUUGAAUUUUUUUUCUUUUUCUUUUUUCCUUCUCCUCCUUCUUUCUCUAGCCAGCCAGUAGCCAAACCUCGGCGACUGGUUAGAGGCGACGGCUAAAGAGGUUGAGGUCGAUCUUGCCGGCCACCUCACCAGUGGCCGCGAGGGCGGCCUCGCGCUAAGCAGUGAGGCUCGCCCUCGUCGGAUCUAGUGAGGGUUGAGCCUUGCUGGCGAGGGCGGCCUCGCGCCGGGCGGGUGAGGUCAAGCCUCGCUAGCCAUGGGCAAGGUCAACCUCGCCAGAUCCGGUGAGAGCGAGCCUCUCUGCCCUGUGCGAGGCUGCCCUCGCGGCCAUUGGCGAGGUGGUCGGGGAGGUUGACCUCAACCUCGCCGGCCGUCGCCUCUGGCUAGUUGCUGAGGUCUGGUGACCGGCUGGAAGAGAAAGGGGAAAAGAACCAAGAAAGAUAAUAUAGAGAAAAAAGAUACAGAUGAAAUAUUAUUAAACGUUGUCCAGGUAGGGCCAGUCGAGCCAUGUCAGCAAGCCAGCGUCCAGUCAGCAAAAUCCGGCCAAAAUUGGCCGGAAAUGACUGAAUUGGCACAACGUAAAAAGAUGUAGGACUUAAUUGGCGUCAAAAAAAUGUUUAAGACAAAAUUGGCCAGAAAAGAGAGAAUCUCCCAGACAAAGAAUUUCUUCCAAAGAGCCACCAAUUCCACUGGUUCCUCACAAAAAUAACACUCGAGGAUAUAAUCGCGAACAAGGGAAAAACCCUAACCUGAGCUCGUUGGACGCAAACGACGAACUGGAGCCGCCGGUGGAGCUUCCAGAGGCGACGGCGGAGGUGGAGGUGGAGGCGGAGGUAGAGGCGGCGACGUGGUCGAGAAUGAAGAGAAAGACACCUUCGCUGUAAUGGGAGCGAAGCGCGCGCACGGAAGGUUCAAACUGGAGCUCGCUGGGCUCAGAUGGCGGAUCGGAGCCACCAAUGGGCUAUGGAACGCAACGGGCGGAGGCGGAGGUGGAGGCGGCGGCCCAGUUCGUCCGACAAAUGGAGAGAAGGCUGGGAUUGAGAAGGAAGAGAGCGAGGGAGAGGAGAGAGAGGGAAUUUUAAAAUUUCUUUUAGGUCCUACUGUACACGUGGCGAGACUUGAGUGGACCCAUCCUGUUGCCGAUUUUGCGAGUCUCUCCCACGCAACAUUUUCUAGCGGGUCUGGCUUUAUAAAAGGAUUCAACAAAACCGCUUGAGAAAAAGCCUGUCUUGCCCGGUGGAAAACGAGAAUGUUGUAACCUAUAAUUUAUCUAGUAGCAUUGGGAAUGAGCUGACGCGACGGAGAUCCGGGGCGCAUGGUACCCCGUCAAAAUGUUGGGGAAUGGAAAAUUGAAGGCCGGAUGCAAAAUGUUCUCCAUAAACAUCCGACCUGAAACUAACAAAAUAUGUGGUGAAAUUCAAAGAAUGUGAUACUUCUACCAAAUGUUGGCUACAUCAUUGAGAGUGAGAGAGCUGGAAAAACUCACUAGCAUUGAAUCCCAGGGUCGUUUAGCAGUGCUUCACGUGGAGGGCUUUCCCUCCUCUCUGUGCUAGAGAUAGCAAGGCCUUCGGUACUGUAGACCUAGAUUGAGAGGAAGAAGAUGGCUGGAAGGACCUCAAACAUGAGAAUGAGGACCGACAUGUGCAAAGCGUGAUGAUUGGAGUCGGGAGCUUGAGCCGACCAUUUGAUCGUCUUGAAAAACAACUCAGAAUGAAUAAGAUAUAGUAACCGACAGAACCGUUUGAAUAGUUGUUAGGUUGAUGGCUGGGCUAAAUGUCUCCAAUAAAUCAAUGCCAGCUUAAAAACCUUGUGCUUCCGAACAAGCUUUGUAAUGUUCUUCAUACCCAUCCGACUUCUGCUUGAUUUUGUAAAUCCUAUACGACAAAAAUCAUCUUUAGAGGGAUCAUGAGGCACGAGUCCCAUGUUUCAAUUUAAGCGCUUGAUGCAUGUAUCGCCCGCACGAAGACAAAGUCACCAUUGGGUUGGGAGAGUGGCGGAGACGAGUAAGAAAUUUGCUUCGAAGGCAGUUGGAUUGAUAGAUGGACUAGGAAAAUAUUCAUUUAAUUGAGAAAAUGAUUAAUUUUCAGUGAGUUUUGAUCGUCAACAUGACUCUUUUUUUAAAUACUCACUCAACAUCCGUCACAUACUUCACUUGAUAUAUUAAUCUAUUGAUCACAUUCUAGAAUGUCCGACGCGUGACUUUAAUAAUUUUCAGUCGAUACAAGCCAAACAUGGCCCCAUCUCCCCUCAUUGUGCGAUAGUUGAUAAUCUGAUGAGGUAUCCCAACUUUGAAAACAUUAAUUUCCAAAGUUUAGUUUGAUGGAGGGGUGAUGUGAUUCAAAGACAAAAUCUAUCGCAAUUAAGCCAAAUAUUUAACUAUUUUCAUCAUCCGUCAACUAUGCUUAAUGGCUCCAUGAUAAGUGUAAAUCACCAUGAAAAAAUCAUACAUGUAGCCGGUUGACAUAUGAAUAGCUUUCUUGUCAAUCGCAGGAGUGCGGAAAAUACUUCUAAUUUUUCAGUCAAUAAUGUUCGUGUGGGUCAAUCAUCCGCUAUGUUUGCCAAAGAGUGACCCUUGUUAACUCCCAAGAGCCUCAGCUAUUCAUUUUGAGUUGGACGAUCAAUAUCUUCACAAUAGGCAGAUUUAAAAUAUGGAACUUUGAGCAAUGAAAACUUUUUACACGAUUAGCCACCUUAAACAGCUCUAAGCUCACAAUACGCAGAGAUAGCCACGGUUUAAGACAAACCCUCCACUGGCCAAAUUUGUUGGACGCAAAACUGCAACCCCAAGAUCUCCAUAACCAGAACAAGAGCACAGAUGAUUGAAUAGAAAGAUCAACGCACCUGUUUUGAAAUCUAUCGUUCAAGCGGAAAAGCGAGAAUCCACACUCAAGUCAUUCUCUUAUUACCCUUUGUAUCACUGGCUCAAUGAGACGGCCCCCUUACCCUUUAGCGCUAGGUUAAUGCUCCUUAUGUGAGGAUACAUGUGAGAAUUCGGAUUAAAAGAGAGACUUAAGCACUAUUCAUAGAAUUUUCAACCAGACCCUCUCAUUAUGGGUCAGGCUCAACUCGGCCUAUACUAACCAGUCCCAUAUUAUACUAAUUAAGAAACCUUCUAUCUCAUCUUAGACCAAACCCCGUAAAAUGAUAAAUUAUAAUAUCAAUUAAUGUAGUCCACAUCAGAAAUUUUUUUACAGAAUUCAGAAGCAAAGCUCAAACUUUGAUCUCCACAGGAGCAACGUCAGGCGUGUCUCAAGGGCCAAGGCCCGGGGGCAAUAGACAUUGGCAACGAAUUCUAGUACUUUCAUCGCAAGAGAUGUAUUUUUCGCGAAGAAAAUAUUUUGUGACAAAACUGUAAAAGAUAGACGCUCAAUGGUGACGAAUUGUGUUCCGUGGCUAAAGGCCAACCGCUUGCAAUGAAAAUUUCGUUGGCUAUUGUCGCUUUGCAAUGCGAAAUGUCAUGGCUAAUCAUAUUGGGGCACGAAAAAGUUCGUGGCCAAUGCCUCAAAUUCAGCAAUAAUUAAGUCAGCUUCACCAAUGAAAUUUUCUUAGCUAAAAAUUUGCGAUGAUAAAACAUUACAUAGCGUGUUAUGAAAAUUGAAUUCCAUAAAAUAUUUAGCCAAACAUCAGGAAAUAUUAUCAUUUUCUCAAUUGACUCCUGAAUUUUCGCUGAUAAACCCAGCACACAUUUGGGUAGAAAAUAUAAUUGUAGUUAAGAACAAAAUAAAAUAAAUAAUUACAAAUGAAAAGAGAGAGAGAGAAAAUAAGAUGGUAAAACUCAAGCUCGCCAGAUGAAAGUAAUCAAUCUAGUCGAAUCCGUGCAACCACUUCGGCCCAAAACUCAUCAAAUAGGUAAAAGCCCGCUCACCAGACCCGUGAAGCUUCAGUCCACACUUCGCACAGGCCCAUAGUCGCAAGUCUGAGCUGAAGGAACCAAGCCCACAGAGGAUUUGCGUUUUCUCCCUCUCUCGCCCGAAGCUCCAUCUCCACCAUUCGAGUUUCACAAUGGCCGAUUCUAGUAUUCCGUCAUCUCCGCUGCCUCGCAUCGGCUUCUCCGGUCCUCAGACGUAACUCUUCCAGUUCCUCCCACGGGGAAAAGCUUUCUGAAUCGUGCCGAUAGCUCUGCGGUUCCAGCGUCGACUCGUCUUGAAUUUACUGCAUUCCCUUGAAGCUUCUCAAUCUCACUUGAACUGGAGCCAAUCGGAGCCAAGCGCCUCCCUCGGUCGACGACUUCGUUAUCGUUCGUUUUUGUCACUGCCUCCUCCUUCGGUUUCUAUCAUCUUCGUUCCCCGAUGGAGGAGAAUAGCCGUGACUGAAACUCGAUGAGAAUUGGAUUCUUCACUUCGAGCUCUUCAUCAUUCGGUUACUGCUACAAUUUUGAAGGUAAGUUCUCGCUCAUUCUCUGGAUUUCAUUUUUCAAUUCAGUCGGUAGCAUUCAUUCUCGGUCUUUUUCUGAAUUUCCAGAGAUUUCUUCAUCGAAAUUUCUUCUUUAUUGCCCUCCGGACACUGUCAGCCACUGCCAACCACAACCAAUCGUCACCGUUCCCAUUUCCACGGCCGCCGUUGGAAGCUCUGUUCGCCCCUGUUCUCGUUCACCAUUGCUGAAGUGCUCGGACCGCGGUCACCACCGUCUCUCGUGACGGUUCCAUUUCACGAAGCUGCUUCUGCGAUCACCUUACUAAGGUCCGAUCAUUAAUUGCCACAGGUAAUCAUCCUUUAUUCAAUCGAAUCCCAUGUGCUGCGUGUCCAGUUGCUCUACGUACAGACUAUUGCAUGGGUAAAAUCUACUAAUUGCUUUGUGAUCAUCUCGUUCACAUAACUGAACUGUAUUGAUAUACAUAUUUGAGGUUGAGGUGCUUUUCUGUAACUUCAUAUCAGAAUUGUGCAGUGCGGGCUUGAGCCGAGACAUUCAUCAGUAUAUUUGUCGACUUACUUUCGUCGAUUUGUUCAAUGCAUGCCCGACCGUUGCUCUCAACACGUUGUGCUGAUCAACGCUUUAUAGAAGUUGCGCUUGGAUUUGCUGGAACCAGCUUAUACUCGACUGUUCAAGUUGAGCACCAUACUUGCUAUUAGCAAAGGUGGUCACUGCAGCAACCAUCUAGUUCGUGAAUAAUUCCCCUAGAAAUGAAAAAAUAGGUGCAGUUCUUAAGAGAAACGGCCGCGGUCCGUGAAAACAAGAUGAGAAAAAGAGACAAUGUACCUGAUAAACCCGUGUAGAGGUUUAACGAGCCAUGGUAAAGCAGAAAAACCAGAUGUCACAGCUGUGUAGUCAAGUGCAAACAGAUUGUUAUGUUAAUCCUGAUAAGUAUCGGAGCAAACUGAAGCUGUUCAUGUCACGCCCCGACUCUCGGUCACGUGACCAUCCUCCAUGCUUAGUCGAUUUUAUUAUGCGAUAUCCCCAGGACUACAUAUCGCCGACCCUGUCCUUUUUAAUAGCACAUGCGGAAGCAGUUAUAAAAAUCCCCAUACAAUAAAACAAUGGGAUAUACAAGUAGGACUAGAAACCUGAACCUGAAAACCACAUCCUUAUGUACAUAUAUACACUUCAGGUCUAACAUCUAUUCACAUGCACACAAGAUUUGACAAGACAGGACGGGAUCUCAAUCCUCAUCCAGGUCGUACUCGGGGUUAUCCUCGGAGUCCUCCUCCACGUACUCCUCUUCAAGUUCCUCAACAGGGAUCUCCUCAUCAGAUUCAUGCUCCUUAGGCUCCUCAUCUAGGUCCUGAAAUGGUUAUUCAAUAACCACUGAGACAACGUCUCAGCAAGUUCUACCCCUUAAGACCCGAUUAGUAAACUAAUACAUCUUAGGGCUGCCUAUGCACAACAUGAGUCAGAGGACUUACCUUGGCCUCAGAUUCCACCUGCAUAUUAGCACAAAUCAAUAGGCACCCAAGCAAUCACAUCACAGAUCGAAGCAUCGAUCAAAUCGACCUAGUUAAUUACAUGUCAACAAGACCACUCAAGGUCAUUUCCAUCCAAUCGAUCAAUUCACAAUAUCAAAUCAAGGCAAUGAAUCACAUCAAAUCACACUCAGAUCGAAUCAUCGAUCAAUCGACUUAGUUGAUUACACACUAACAAGACCACUCACGGUCAUUCCCAUUCAAUCAACCAAUUCACAACAUCAGAUCAAAACAAUGAUCAAUCGACCUAGUCGAUUACAUGUCAUUCGGAUCACCUCUCGGUCACAUCAACACCAUACUUUAUAAUCCCCAUUCGAGUACUCAGUCACAGAGCCAGAUGAAUGCUCUCGGGCGUCUUUUUCGCCAAGGUGACGUACCAAUUACCGAUCACGAUAAUCUCCAGCAGUACACUUAGUCACAGAGCCUCAUUAAUGCUCUCGGGCGUCGUUUUCGCCAAGGUGACAUAAGUAACAGACGAUCUACAUGCGUUCUUUAAGGCGCCGUUUUCGCACAGUGAUAUUCCUCAUCACCGAACCACGCCCGUCAUAGGUCACAAAUCACUGACAGUCUACGUGCGUUCUUUAAGGCGCCGUUUUCGCACAAUGAUGUCUUUCAUCACCGAACCACACCUGUCAUGAUUUAUAGGUAGUCUACGUGCGUUCUUUAAGGCGCCGUUUUCGCACAGUGAUAUCCUUAAUCACCGAACCACGCCUACCAUAAGUCAUAGACAGUCUACGUGCGUUCUUUAAGGCGCCGUUUUCACACAGUGAUGUACUUUAUCACCGAACCACGCCUGUCUAUACUUCGUACUUGAUCGGUCUCAGCCAAUAGAAUUCUCAGUUAGCUCUCACCACUCUCUCCACUUACAACUCAACAAGGCAUUACAAUUGCUAACUAGCCAUACUUGGCCAUCUACCAAUCAAUAAUUCAAUUUCACUCAAUUUCAAUCAAUUAAGGAAUAAUUCCAUAAAUUGCACAAUCAAUUUAAUUAAGCACAACGUGGAGUUCAAAUAAUAAAUGGACUGUACCACGACAAUCAGCAUGAAAUUCUGGUCACCGGCCAUCCCAGUUGAAUUUCCGGAAAAUAAAUAAUUAAAUAAUUAAUUUCGAAACUUAAAUAAAUACAUACAAUAAAUACCAUUUAGCAUAAUAUAAAACUCAAUUAAAUAAACGGACUGCGCCACGAUCAUCAGCAUAAAGUCCCGGUGACUGGCCAUCCCAGUUGAAUUUUCGGAAAACUAAAUAAUUAAAUAAUUAAUUUCGAAAAUUAAUAUUUAAUUCUUAAAAAUACCAUUUAGGUCUGAAUUGCCUAAUUAACACCCGAUAAGGGUCGGGAAAAAUCCCACGAAGCAUCCAAUAAAUACUAUAAGCAAUUCUCUAUCCACGUACACUAAUUAUUUCACUAAUAUGCAAUGAAAUUAACUAAUAAUUGCUAAUCCAUUCUAAUCUAACAACCUAAUUACACUUAAUUAACACUAAUCAACCUUUAAGUAUAAUUAGCGCACUGAGAAGGCAUUAGUGAGUAAAACUCACUCAAAACGAUGGGCUCGACGCUAGGAUCGACUUUCCUCAAAGCGGGCCGAGCAUCCGGGCUCGGGAAGGUGGCCAAAACGGGCCAAAACCCACUGUCAUACCCAUUUUCUGCAACCCUCUGAUAGCUGCUGGUCGGGGCAGAUUCAGGGCUGGUUGAGGCGGCCAAGGGCGGCUGAGGGCGAGGCGGAGCUUCGGCUAGGCCGACGGUGGCCGGAGGAGGUCGGGCGGUGGCCGGAGGCGGCUGAACGGGACCGAACAGACGCGGCAAGAGCUAGAUAGCAGCUCUGGACGUCGGCCAAGCUAGGGACGACGCGGCUGAAGGCGGAGACGUGCGGGCGGCGCUCGACGACGACUUCAGCUCCGGUUGCUUGCUGCGGCGGCGAGGGAACUUACUGCUUCGGCUUGCUCUGAUCUUCACACGACAAGGGCACCGAACAGCAGAAAGAGGGCAGAGGAGAGAAGCGGAGGUGCGCGCGGGUGGGGCGAAGUAGCGACGACGGCGGCGCGGCAGCUCCGGUGGCUUGCAGGGGCGCGACGACGGCGGCGGCGGCAAGAGGCGGCGAUUGCAGCUUAGUCUUCGCUGGUCUUCGGCUCCCAUGGAGUUUUGAAGAAAAAGAAGAAGAUGGGGGAUGCGUUCGGUCGACGGAGGGGAGAGGGGAGGAAGAAAAAUUCAAUUUCCCCUCUUCCUCUCACACACUCUCUCUCUUAGGUCAUCACACAUGGGCCACCAUGACCUAAUAUGAUGUCAUCUUCCACUCACCAUUUCUUGACAAUUAUACCCCUUCUAGAAGCAUUUAGGUAGGCCAAAGUGUGGGGGUAGAGGUGGCAUACGAAUUUUGCUAGGGUUUCUUUCCAAAUUGAACCUUAAUCCCACUUGAAUCAAAUCAAUUUGACCCCUAUAAUUUCAUUCAAUAUUUCAUCGAUCAAAUUGGUACUUUUUCUUAUCAGUAUAGCCCACUUGUAUCCCGAAUUCACAAUCUCUGGCUUCAACUGAACAAAACAGCCCUAUUUAUCCAGUCAAAUUAAAACCCAAAAAUCUGGAUGUCGCAGUUCAGCUGCUUAGAAAGAUACUCCUUUGUAUUAAGAUGCCAAGAAAAAGAAAAAGAAAAAACACCAAGGCCACAACCAGACUUCUUAAGUACGCGCGUUUCUCUCUUCAUACUGCUGGAACAUACGAAUUAGAUGUUCUCGAAGGAGUCCUAACCAAGCCCACAACCUGACUCACUGAUUGAAUGUUCUCUAUUUUAUUUUGUGGGUUUUCGAUUGUUGAAUUGACUGAAUUGACAACCUCUUGUGAGAAUCUUCUUGGAUGGACUUCGGUUGUGAGGGUAAUCAGACUCGGUUUCCUUCAUUAAUCGAACGGCAGAUUUUUUAUUAGUUUGGCUUUUAGGUAGGGCUUCCGGGUGAAUUUGAAUUCAAUGCGUGUCACGCCCUAAACCUUGAGCGCGCCAACAUCCCGCCAUGGUCAUGCAAAUGCGACAUUCCCAGGUAGUGUCGCCGACCCCAUUUAUUUUAUUAUUGCGCAAGCGGAACGUAUUAUAAAACCCCUGACAAUAAAAUACGGGAUAGAAAAGCAGGAAGCAAAAUCACAAUCAAUCACUUUCAUGAUUCAACAGAAUUACAAAUAGAGUUCUACGGCCAACAGUCUACAAAAGACCGGCUCAAAAAAAGGAAUUGUCCUACGAUAUACAAGUCGGACACAUUCACCAAUCCUCAUGACUUCACCUCUGCAACUCCUCAAGGCCAACCAAAGCUAUCUAGCCGCUCCGUCCACUAGGGACCUGAAAUUUUAAUCCCCAAACCGGGAUGAGACAAUGUCUCAACAAGUUCAACCCCCUAAACCCCUAUUAGAAAGAAAAUACACCCCGGGUGACCUAGCCUCAUCACACAGAAGACUUACCUCGCAUUAGCCUCCAUCUGCAUGUUAGCACAAUUUAUAUAAUUCAAUCACGUACAAUUAUGAUAACCAAACAACCAUGGCACAAUCACAUCAUCAUAACAAUUCAACCACUUGGAUCGUCUCAGCGAUCAAUCGACUCGGCCGAUUACAUGUCAUUCUAGCAAAUUAAUCACUGCUCUCAAUCACAGCCCUAUAGGAAGGUUUAACAACCAGUGGCAAUCACGGCCCCACUCGGCAAGAUUAGAAUUAGUGGCAUCACGGCCCCACUGGGCACGACCUUUAUCAGGUGGCAAUUCACGGCCCCACUGGGCGCGACCUCUAAUAGAUGGCAUAUCACGGCCCCACUAGGCACGACCUCUAAUAGGUGGCAUAUCACGGCCCCACUGGGCGCGACCUCUAAUAGGUGGCAUAUCACGGCCAAUCGCCCAUCAAUUUCCACACUUAGGAUUUUAUAAAGAAGAUCCCUAUUUAUCACAAUCACACUCCAUUUACCACAAUCAAUCAUCAAAUUCAAAUUCUAAAUACACAGCAGCGAUUGGCACGAAAUUCUGAGAGUUUAGGAUCCUGACAAAAUUUUCGGAAAUUUAAUAAAUAAUUAAAUUUAUUCCGAAAAUAAUUAAAUAAUAAUAUCCAUAUUUUUUUCACGGUCCACACUCAAUUUAUAAUAUCCAAUCAUCAAUUUCAAAAUCUGACUACACAGCAGCGAUCAGCACGAAAUUCUGAGCAACCGGAGUCAAAAAUAAUUUUUCCGUUUUUUUUAAUAAAUAAUAAUAUUUUAAUAAUUUCGGAAUAUAAUAUAAUAUUAUAAAUUCCAGAAUUCGAAAUCAUUAAAUAAUUCAAAAAUAAAACCCUAUUAUGUCACAUCAAGGUUUAUUAUUAAAUAAACUCUCUUAGCCUUUAAUUAAGCAUACUUUAAAUUAAACCAACAUCUUAAUCUAAUUCACAAUUAAAUAAACUAAACUAAUCACCUAAGCUUACUUAACUUAGGCUAAGCACACUUAGGGCAUCAUUAACCGUUUAAUCGAGAUUUAGUGAGCUAAACUCACCGGAUUAGCGAGCCGAGCGGACCAAAACGACGAGGACAACGCGAGGAUCGACUUUCCUCAAGAUGGGCCGAGCAUCCGAGCUCGGGAAGGCGGCCGAAAUGGGCCAAGAGCGGGCUGCAAUAUCCAUUUUCUACAGCUGCUGCUUUAGGGCUGGAGGAGGCGGAUCCGGCACCGAAAUGGGCGGAGGAUUGGGGCAGCAGCUCGACGGUGGCUUGGACGGGCGAGGCGGCGGCCAGGCGAGGCCUCAUGGCGGCGGGGACGAGCUCCGGUAGCUCCUGGAAUGCGCGAACAGGGGCAGACAGAGGCGGCUGGGCGUCGGCCAAGCGCGGGCGAGCGCGGGCGAACGGGCAGCGACGGUGAGCUCCGGCGAACGGGCAAUGAGCGACGGCCAUGGCUGCAGCAUUCUUCGGCAAGCUUAGAUUUGAUGGGUCUUCGAGCAAGAACCCGAGAUGGAGGAGAGAGGGCGAUGGUGAGCGGACGCGCGGCUGUGCGCGCGAACGGUGGCGACAAUGAGGGCACCGGUGGCGAGCGACGAGCGGCGAAGGAGGCGGACAGCCAGUGACGAGUGGCUGGGUGGCGAAGGACUGCUUCGGCUUCUUCCUCUGCAAAUUUUCUGGUCUUUCCCACAAAGAAGAUGGAGGAGAAACCAACGGAAGGGAGAGAGGAAGGAGAGAAAAGGAGAGAGAAGGAGAGGGAUCACCUCCUUUUCUUUUUCUUUUUCUUUAAUCCACAAAAAUGGCCCACCAUGACCUCAUGCAUGACAUCACACUCCACUAUCUCCCACAACCUUAUUCCAAUGGGUCCAUUUUAUUUUUCCGCCGGGGUCCAAUUCUUGUAUGUCCAAUUUCUUCAAUUCCCAUCAAUUCUCUUCCAAUUGAGUCCAAUUGAAGUCCUUAAAAUUAAUCCAAUGUCACCACACUUCAAUUUACAUCUUCACUUGUCCAUAGAACCAACUUAAGUCCCAAAAGCACGACCAAAGAUGAGCCUACUAAUUUCUUGAGCCAAAUUAGCCAUUCUCUUAUUUAAUUGCUGAAAAACUCUGAUUGCAUGAAAAAUCUUCCAAAGAUGAUUCAAUGAUCCUGAAAUGAUUUGUGACACACCCAGACUUCCAAUUUCUGAAUUCGAUCUCAAUUCCACGGUUAAUUUCACUUUGGCACGAUACCAGCGCGGUCCAACCUACCGGGUAGCCUUUAGAAAUUUUCAUGCAUUUGACCUGUGGUUGAUCAUCUCAAGCCACAAUGUACAUCUUUGAAAAAUUGGCGAAUUUCGGUUGUCGGGGUAAUCUCAAGGUUUCAAAUACGGACACAGGGUACCCAAUCGACAGAGAAGUCGGUCCAAUGCCGAUCGACAAGAAUUGUGCGAUCUGUUGGAAUCACCCAUACUUGAUCACAUGCCUCUGUCGAGUCGACCUAUCUCCGAUCCCUAAUCGAUUUUUAAUUGUGCCGUAAUGACUCUUGCAGAUUAGCUCGGUCGAAAGAUCGCUUCCUGGUCAAAUUCUCGAGUCUAAUGCAUUAGAAUUUCUUAACGACUUCACCCGAUAGACUAGUUUUCACAUGAGUGGCCGACUCAAGGAAAAUAACUAUAUGCGUGCCAAUGAAAUGCCCGUCUCAAUUUAUUGAAAAUAGAAUUGGAAAAUUGGGAUGUCACAAUGCGACCAUGUGAACAUCAUGUUGAUGUAGCUAAUUUGAAAUUAAUAUGAUUUGACUCUUUUUUGAUACUUUUGGCAAAAAGCGCGAUUCCUCGUAAUAAUCAAAAUUAAAAUAUUUAUAUUGAAAAUUUCAUGAUAAGAGAAAAUAUUUUUCAUGAAAUUUUGAUUUGUUUAACUGUUUAAAAAAAGAGAGAGAUUUCCUUGUCAGAAGGAAAUGAGGUUUUUCCCCAAUUUAAACUUGUUGCUUUUCAGAAAACAUUUUUUAUAAAUUGAUUAAUUUUCCGUCAUCUAAACAUUAAAAAGUCAAAAAGCAAUUUCAUGAUAAAAAAAACUUUCCUUUGAACAAACAAACCCUAAGUUUAAGUAAGUUCAGCAAACUAUUUAAAAAGAAAGGAUCAUGUAACUCUGUUAGGAGACCUACUAAGAGAGGUUGGCAAGAGGCUUUUAAACAGGCCCGCUCUCUCUAUUAAUGAGCAAGAUCGGAGUCACUUGUAUCUAAGUUUAAUUCAGUUCAGAGAAGUGCUAAGAUGUUGGCAAGAGGCCCUUGAACAGGCCCUCUCUAUCUCUUUACGAGCAAAAUUAGUGUCACUGAAAUCUAAGCUUAGUUUGACGAGUAAGAAACUAUCAAAAUAUUCAGGAGUAAGACAUGUGCUUAAAAUAUCACUAGAAUUAGAAGAGAUUAUUACGUGAAAUGAUUCCCUAGGAUUCAGGAAUUGGACAUGCUCUUACAAUAUCACUAGAAUUAGAAGAAAUUAUUACGUGAAAUGAUUCCCUAGAAUUACUCCAUGUCACUAGCUAAUCUUUAUAAAUGAAGAUCUUGUCAUUUCAUUGUAAGUUGCAAAAUGUGAAAUUGGUGCGAUUCAGCCCGUCAAAUUAAAAAAAAAAAAAAAAUAGAGAUGUGCUUGUCAUUUUAUAUACAGUACAGGUAGUUACAAUCAAAUCCGUUGCAAAGUAGACAUGAACGCUGAAAAGCUUACAUAUCAGAAAUUGAAAACCACUGACCAGUAAAAUUACAUAACAAAACUUGUAAAUUGAAAUAUAAAUAACAAAACAUAUAUUAAAGAUACUCUGAUAAUAACCCUAAAUUUGAACCAGGUGCCACCACAAUGAGAUUGUCCUUCAAAAGAUUAAACCAAUCAUAAGAUAAUUUAUAAAAGUGUCAGCUAACUAAUUAGCAAUUGGAAUACAUAUUGAAAUAAUUUCACCAGAUGUGAUUUUGUCCUGAAUAUCAAUGUGCUUGGUGUGAGCAUGGAAAGCCAGAUUAGCAGCUAAAUAAGUGGCUCUAAUAUUAUCACAUAUGAGUUACAGCCGGUUUAGGUGAAAAUACAUGAAGAUCAUAUGACAUCUCUCAAAUCCAAUAAGUUUCCGCAACUGCAGAGGCGAAAACUCCAGUAUUCAGAUCCCGCAAUGUAAUAUUGUACCCAAUAAAAGCUAAGUAUCCAGAUGCUAAGUGAUGAGUAUCGGGACAACCGACCCAAGAGCAUGAGUUAAUGUUACCAAGGAGAUGUCGAAUGAUGGCUUCAAUAACAGUCCAUGAUCAAUGGAUCCAUUAAAAUAUAUAAAAAUGAGCUUAAUCGCUUGUAAGCGAGAUGUUUGAGGGCAAAUGCAUGAACUGAUCCUCCACACGGGCAGCAUAAGAAAUGUCGGUAGGAUCCAUCAGUAACACACCCUCAUGUAAAGAAGGUUGAGACUUAAAACUGUAGAAGAUUCCUAGUGUAAUGUGUUUGAGACAGCAAAAUUCCCGUACCUCUGGACUGGUCCUCAACGCCAAGGAAGAAAUGCAAUGGAAAAAAACUUUCGUGGUAAAAGCAAAAAGAAGUUUCCGAAUGAAACUAUGUAACUCUGUGGCACUACUACCUGUUAAAAGAUUAUCAUCAACGUGACGUAGUAGAAUCAAGAUUAUAGAGCCUGAAUUAUGCAAAAUAUGGAGUUAUAUGCCUUGCUGUAAAUAAAAGAGUUCGAAUGCUUAAGGGAGAACUCGCCUUUGACCCAAAAGAGGUCUAUGAACAUGCGAAAACUAGUGCCAAACACAAUAAUUCGAAUCUGGUUCCAACAUUGUGCAGUAAACUUCAAAAUUUCAUCCCGACCAUACCGUAAUCCCAAGUUGACUUCCAUAAAAUUCCAUAGUUUUAUGGCACACCAAAGUUUCAUUACAACAUGAUUUCAUAGUUCAACAACCUCUAGAAUCAGCCUAGUAACCUAUAACUAGAAUGGAAUUGAAAUUGCAGCUUAACCAAAAAAAAUUUCUUCAAUUGUGUGAAUUAAGUCUUUGAAUUCUUCUCAAGCACUUCGUGUACCACAUUAAUCCAACACAUUACGAUAUUCUGAUGAACUAGAACUUGAACCGAACCCUUUCUGUCUCUACCGCGCAGUUCACUUCUCUUUUCCAGUUUUCUUGAUUCUUCUUUCUCCCUCUUAACUAUUCCUCUUUUCUCUAAUAAGCCAACUACAACAAUUAUAACUAAGCUGAAGGAAGUUAGUCUGUUGGGCUUCAAAGAUGCAGCCUCAUGGGCGUAAUAAAUGAGAAUUGGUCUCUUGAGCCCAAGUCCCUUUUUUUUUUUUUCUUUUUUUAAGGGAAGACUCUAUUGUUAUGGUAGCAACUCUUGUUAAAGUCUUAGACAUGGGAUGGGAGAAAAUUUUUGAAUGAACCCAGAGCAUGUGAGUCUAACUCACAUCCACUAUUGAAUGAUGUGAGCUCCACAUUGAACCCAACUUUCACGGUGCAAUGUGAGAAAUUGUGAAUCCCGGAAUUCAUUCUUUUCAUUGUGAAUCUAUCUAUAGAUUAAGUUAGUUAAGUCAUUAGGUAAUUUAAGGUAAUUGGCUGUGAUGGUUAGUCCAUCUAGUAGCACCAACUGCUACUGUGACGAUGGAAUGAGUCAUCCUACGGAGCUGUUGACGACAGCAACAUGCCAUUGGCUGUUGGAUGGGUGGCGCUCUCUAUGUCCCCCCCAUUCUUUAUUUUUAUUUUUUCAUUUUCAGUUUCUUGCUCUUUUUUUUCUUGUUCGCUUUUCGUUUUGCCUUUUUUCUUUUAUCAUACUUGAACUUGUAAACAUACAGUAAAACCUAGAAAAAAUUCUAAUGGACAAGUAUAAUAGAGAUUAAUAUAAUGAAAAACUCUAUAUGAUUAAACAUGAAAAUAGUACAACAAAAAUUAUAGUAUUGUUAAUUUCACACGUAACACAUGGAAAUUUUACUAGCAAUGGAAAAAAAAAAUGACAUUCACAUUGUGAUGAACAAGAGAUGUGAAAAGUGGAGGAACAAAGUCAAUUUGCAUCCUGCAAAGUCUUGGUCUUCUUGGAAAUGAUUUUUCUCCCAUUACCACUUUUUUUUUUUGAGCAAAGUCUAGGUCUUCAUGGUUGAUUAAAUUUUUUCUCCCAUUGUCACUUUUUUCGCAAAGUCUUGGUCUUUUUAGAAAUGGUUAAAGUUUUUCUCCCAUUAUCACUUUUAUUUUUUCGCAAAGUCUUGAUCUUCGUGCAAUUGAUUAAAGUUUCUCUCUCAUCAUCACUUUGUGUCUUGCAAAGUCUUAGUUUAUUUGGAAUUUAUUAAAAUUUCUCUCCCACCAUCACGAAUUUGUAUUAAAGUGCUUCACUUUUGCUUCACAUGUUUGUGUGGAAAUUAUGUAAUUUUGCUUCAACUUUCCCAAAAAAAAGGCACAUGAUAUCUAGCAAAAUCUUUGGGCAUAUUCUCUAAAUAUUGUGAAAAAAACACUUGUGGAUAAAAAGUAUUUUAUAUCGAUUUCUCUAACCUCUACGUGCGUUUUUGAAAGUCUUGGUCUCCCUAUAGUUUGUAGUUUUCUCUUUCCAUUAGCUCAUUAUCACUCAACCCUUGUUUUUCUCUUUAGUGACUGAUUCACCCAUGACCAUUGGAGAGCUCUUUUUGAGUUCCUUCUUGGCUUCCUUCUUGUACUAAUUUCUAGUAUUGUUAAUUUUAAGCAAGACAUGUAGCAUGUGGAAAUUCUACUAGUAAUAGAAAAAGAGACAUCAACGAAGGGAUGGAAGAGGAGGGAUGUGAAAAGUGAAGCAACAAAGACAAUUUGCGUCCUGCAAAGUCUUGGUCUUCCUAGCAUUGAUUAAAGUUUCUUUCCCAUUACCGCUUUUUCCCUCUAGCUUCACAUUUUACACAAAAAACUUGAUGAGAUCUAGUAAAGUCUUGGUCUUCCUAAUACACCAAGUAGCUUGAGUUAGAUGGAAGAGUGUAUGUUUUGAUGCACAUUAUGUCCUUGAGUUAGAUUGUUCUCCUUUUUUUUCUUUUGGCCAAAGCUCGUGAUUUUAUCUUCCUUAUCAAACAAACAAACCUAACGGCCUUGGAGGACUUAUGGAUGCAUAACAGAAAAUAAGAUGCCAUUGUUGGCUUUAUCCUCAAUAAUUUAGGUUUCAAUUACAUCGACAAAGUGGGGAUCCUUUGAUGCGAUUUUGGCCCCAUGAUGCAUGAGGAACUGUCGGGGAGGCAUAUGUUGGCACGAGAUGGCUAGCUGCAGAGUUCUUGCAACAAGUACCAUGUCAUGAUGGAGUUUGACAUAAUUUUGAGCCUUCGGAUGUAGAUGUCUAGGUUCAAAUUCAUUAUAUGGUGUUAAUUCAAGUCUCAAAUUGUUUGUGUACGAGCUCCUGAUAGUGCAUGAUUGUAAAUUCUCUAGAAUCAUUAUAAUCAGCCUAUACACCAACACAUAAUACUAAUUUGCUUCAAGUAAUAUUAGAGGAAAUGCAUAAUACUAAUUUGUAUGCUCACUCCAAAUAAGUUGGUUGAAUCGCUCUUAAAAUUCUAAAAUCAUAGAUAAUCUAGAUCCAUUGUCUAGAAAAUAUUCCAUAUGAAAUGGUUUGUUCUCCCCAUUGAAAAAAGAAAAACCAAUCUUGCUUUAAGAAAGCAAAAUUCAUGCAAGACAUGCUAGACUCCAACUUGACGUGAUUCGAUGGCUCUCUCUCUCUAUCUCUCUCUCUCUCUCUCUCUCUCUCUCUCUCUCUCUCUCUAAUUGGUUAAUUGGUUAAACCCCUUGAGUCGUUCCAUAUCCACACACAUUACAUGUUCCAUUCAUGCAUAUUUAGAUUCUCGACUUUUGUUAAUUCUUAAAACCUACAAUAUCUAAAACAUGAUUGAGGAAAGCAUUCAAAAUAGUAUGGACUAAAUUUAUGAUAACAACCAGGGCCAAACACAAUAGUUCGAACAUGGUUCCGACAAUACACAAUAAGCUACAAAAUUUCAUCCCAACCAACCAUAAUUCUAAGUUGACUUCCAUAAAAUCUCAUAGUUUCGUGAUACACCAAAGUUUCAUUACUACAUGAUUUCAUAGCUCAACAACCUUUAUGAUCAACCUAGCCACCUACACCUAAAACCAAAAGGAAUUGAUAUUACAGCUUAAUCUAGAAUAAUUUCUUCAAUUAGGUGAAUUAAGUUUUUGAAUUCUUAUCAAGCACUUCUUGUACGACAUUAAUCCAACGCAUUAAGAUGUCCCCAGCGAGCUUGAACCGAACCCUUUCUCUCUCUAGUGUGCGGUUCACUUCCCUUUUCCAGCUUCUUGAUUCUUCUUUCUCCCUCUUAACUAUUCCUCUUUUCUCUGAUUAGCCAACUACUACAAUUAUAAUUAAGCUAAAGGAAGUUAGUCCGUUGGGCUUCAAAGAUGCAGCUUCAUUGGGUGUAAUAAAUAAGAAUUGGGCCUCUUGAGCCUAAGUCCUUUUUAUUUUUUUAAAAGAAGGGAAUGAUUAUUUUGUUGGGGUAGCAACUCUUGUUAAAUCUUAGACACAGAAUGGUGGAAAUUUUUUUAAUGAUCCCAGAGCAUGUGAGCCCAACUCACAUCCACUAUUGAAUGAUGCGAGCUCCACGUUGAACUCAACUUUUGUUUUACUAUUUUCAUGUUUAAUCAUAUUGGGGUCUUUCAUUAUAUUAAUCUUUGUCGUACUUGUCCAUUAGAAUUAUCUCUAGGUUUUCCUUUAUGUUUACAAGUUUAAGUUUGAUAAAAGAAAAAGGGCAAAAAGAAAAGCGAACAAGAAAAAAACAGCAAAAAACUGAAAAAAAAAAAAUUUAAAAAAGGAAUGGGGCCACAUAGAGAGCACCACCCAUCCAACGGCCAAUGGCAUGCCGCUGUCGUCAGCACCUCCAUAGGAUAACUCAUUCCAUCGUCACUGUUGCAAACUUGUAGUUGGCACUACUAGCCGGAUGUAGAUGUCCAGCUUCAAAUUUAUUAUAUGGUCUAAAUUCAAGUCUCAAAUUGUUUGUGUACGGAUUUCUGAUGGUGCAUGAAUGUGAAUUCUCUGGAAUCAUUAUAAUCAGCCUAUACACCAACGCAAAAUACUAAUUCGCUUAAGGUAAUAUUAGAGGAGAGGCAUAAUACUAAUUUGUGCGCUUACUUAGAAUAAGUAGAUUGAAGCGCUCUCAAAAUUCUAAAAUUAUAGAUUAUACAGAUCCAUUGUCUAGAAAAUAUUCCAUACCAAUUGGUUUGUUCUUCCCAUUGAAAAAAGAAAAACGAAUCUGCCUUAAGAAAGCAAAAUUCAUGCAAGACAUGCUAGAACCCAACUUGACGUAAUUCGAUGGCCCUCUUUCUGUCUCUCUAGUUGGUUACCCCUCAAGUCAUUCCAUGUCCACACGCAUCACAUGUUCCAUUCGUGCAUAUUUAGAUACUCGACUUUCAUUAAUUCUUAGAACCUACAAUAUCUAAAACAUGAUUGACGAAAGCAUUCAAAAUAGUAUGGACUAAAUUUAUAAUAAACAACUAGUGCCAAACACAAUAGUUCGAAUAUGGUUCCGACAAUGUGCAAUAAACUUCAAAAUUUCACCUCAACCAAACUGUAAUCCUAAGUUGACUUCCAUAAAAUCCCAUAGUUUCAUGACACACCAAAAUUUCAUUACCACAUGAUUUCAUAGCUCAACAACCUCUAUAAUCAACCUAGCAACUUCAAACCCAAAUGGAAUUGAAAUUACAGCUUAAUCUAGAAAAAUUUCUUCCAUUAGGUGUAUUAAGUCUUUGGAUUCUUAUCAAGCGCUUCUUGUACGACAUUAAUCCAACGCAUUAAGAUGUCCCCAGCGAACUUGAACCGAACCCUUUCUCUCUAGCGUGCGGUUCACUUCACUUUUCCAGCUUUUUUUAUUCUUCUUUCUCUCUCUUAACUAUUCCUCUUUUCUCUGAUAUGCCAACUACAACAAUUAUAACUAAGCUGAAGGAAGUUAGUCUGUCGGACUUCAAAGGUGCAGCUCCACAGGCGUAAUAAAUGAGAAUUAGGUCUCUUGAGCCUAAGUCCUUUUUUUUAUAAAAAGAAAAAAGAAAAAAGAAAAAAGAAAAAAAAAAAAGAAAAAAAGAAAGACUCUUUCGUUGCGGUAGCAACUAUUGUUAAAGUCCUAGAUACAGGAUGAGGGAAAAAUUUUGAAUGAACCUAGAGCAUGUGAGCCUAGCUCACAUCCACUAUUAAAUGAUGUGAGCUUUACAUUGAACCCAACUUUUCAUGGUGCUAGUGAGAAAUUGUAAAUCCUAGAAUUCAUUCUUUCCAUUGUGAAUAUAUCUAUAAAUUAAGUUAGUUUAGUCAUUAGGUAAUUUAAGGUGAUUGGUUUGUGAUGGUUAGUCCGGCUAGCAGCGCCAACUGCAACGGUGGCGAUAGGGUUGGAAUGAGUCAUCCUAUGGAGGUGCUGACAACAAUAGCAUGCCAAUGGCCGUUGGAUGGGUGGCGCUCUCUAUGUGGCCCUAAUCCUUUUUUUUUCGUUUUUCUUUUUGCCUUUUUUCUUUUAUCAAAUUUCCAUGGAUGAAAAGCUAGAGAUAAUUCUGAUGGACAAGUACAAUAGAGAUUAAUGAAUGAAAAACCCCAAUAUGAUUAAACAUGAAAAUAAUUAACUGAAAAUUAUAGUAUUGUUAAUUUUACAUGUAACACGUGGAAAUUUCACUAGCGAUGGAAGAAGAGACAUUCACAUGGCAAUGAAUGAGAAAUGUGAAAUGUGAAGGAACAAAGCCAAUUUGAGUCCUGCAAAUUCUUGGUCUUCCUGGAAAUGAUUAAAGUUUCUCUCCCAUCAUCACUUAUUUUCGCAAAGUCUUGGUCUUUGUGGAAUCGAUCAAAGUUUCUCUCCCAUCUUCACCUUUUUUGGCAAAGUCUCGGUCUUUUUGAAAUUGGUUAAAGUUUCUCUCCCAUUGUUGCUUUUUCUUAAAGUACUUCACUGUUGCUUCCUAAGUAGCACCGACACGACACGAUACGUCGACACGUCAUUUCUCAAAAAAUAAAGAAUUCUGACACAUUGAGACACGUUAUAUAUUAAAUAAAUAUUUUUAUAUAUACAUAAUAAAUCAUUAUUUUUAUGAUAAAUUUAUAAAUAAAUAAAUAAUAAAAAAAAAGCCUAAAACGAGCUUACGAGCCCUCUAUCCCGCCUUGACUACCGUGCCUUUUUGGCAAUUCAUUGAAACACACGUUCUCAGAACAAGAUAGGAAUCCUUUUACAUUUUCUUUUGAAAUAAUUGAUAUAAUAAUAUAUUAAUCUAAUGAUUAAUAAAAAAAAUUAAAAAUCUACUCUGACCAUCUCUCUGGCCCUCUUCUUGGGGUUAGACCAAGAAGCUUGCCCUCAACAAAUAACCGUGGACUUUAACCGUCAAGGAACGCGACUGCCGCCCCAAGUGAAAGUAGGGGAUGCCGUUCGUGGAAGCUAACCAUGGUUGCGAUGGGCAAGGUCGAGAUUCCGACGACGGACUUCUAGAUUUGGAGGAUCCUGGCCACAACCGGCUCGUCCAUGGCCCAAGUAGGCGAGAUCGAGAUACGAUUGUGAUUGGGCUCCAUCUUCCCCGUUGUUGCCAUGGUUGUUGCAAAUCUAACUGUUCAGAUCGAAUUUGCAGUGGUGGAGGCGUUGGGUGGGGACUCACUGUUGGGCGUGGCGGCCAUGCUAGUCCUCCACCUCCCGCUUCUCUGCCUCCCUUGAGAACACCAACCCCCACCUCCCCUACGGCGGCACAUGGCGGAAACCCUCAAAAUUCUUCGAAUGCCCCUAUGCAUGUCGAAAGCGUGUGUUGAAAUUUUGGACUCGUGUGUCGGAGCGUAUUGGGAAGAAUUGACAAUGUGUCAGAGCGUGUCAGGACAUGUCGGACACGACACGAAAACUUCUGGAGAGUGUCGAUGCUUUUUAGGUUGCUUCACAUAUAAUGUGUUAAAAUUAUCUACUUUUGCUUCACCUUUCCGUAAAAAAAGAAAAAAGCACAUGAUAUCCAGCAAAGUCUCUGGAAAUAUUCCUCAGAUAUUGGGAAACAAGCACUUGUAGACAAAAUGUAUCUUGUAUCAUUUUCUCUAACCUCUGAUGCGCACCUUUGAAAGUCUUGGUCUUGCUAAAGCUUAUAUUUUUCUCUCUCUACUAGCUCCUUAUCACUCAAACCUUGUUUUUUCUUCAGUGACUCAUUCACCCAUGACCAUUGUAGAGAUCUUUUUGGGUUCCUUCUUGGCUUCUUUCUUAUACUAAUUUCUAGUAUUGUUAAUUUUAAGAAAGACAUGUAACGUGUGGAAAUUCUAUUAGUAAUGGAAAAAGCGACAUUCACAUAGGGACGGAAGAGGAGGAAUGUGAAAAGUGAAGCAACAAAGCCAACUUGCAUCCAGCAAAGACUUGGCCUCCUUGGAAUUGACUAAAGUUUCUAUCCCAUUGUCACUUUUUCCUACUUGCCUCACUUUUUACACAAAAAAGUUGAUGAGUUCCAAUAAAGUCUUGGUCUUCCUAAGGUGCCAACAAGUUUUGAGUCACACCGGAGAGCGUAUGUUUUGUCGCUUUGGCCAAAGCACAUGAUUUCGUUUUCUUUGUCAGACAUAUAAACUUACCCAUCUUUGGUGACUUGUAGAUGUAUACAAAAAAAAUAAGAUGCCAUUGUUGGUUGUAUCCUCAAUAAUUUAGAUUUCAAAAACAUUGACUAAGUCAAACUAACUUGAUUUCUACUCUUUACCUUGUAUAAUGCAGGAACAAUAAACUUCAAAUAAUUAAAAUAUAUUUAUUUAAUUGAAAACUCAAGAUUUAGAAAAUAUUUUCAAAAAAUUGACUUAGUUUUUUGAUUUAUUGCUCACAAAAAUGAACAAAUCAAUUUUUUUCACCAUUUACCGAAAUAGGUAGGUAUAAAUUGAUGUUGGCAAUGAAAGAUAUCUUGUGUAAAAAAAAAAAAUGAAAGAUAUCUUGUGUUGGUCAUUUUUUUAAAUGAUGUAACUAAUUACUUUUUGGAAAAUGUUAUCCAAAUCUUAAGUUUUUUCACACUCUUAGAGUGCAUUUGGUAAUGCUCCCAGGAACACUUGUUAAUAUUUUUUUGUUCUCGGGAAUAGAAAUGGAAUGAAAAUGUAUUUUGUAGUAUUUUAUUUUUGAGAAUAAAUGUGUUGUCAAAAUAGAUUUGGAAUAGAAAUAGGAAAAGGAAAAGAAGUUACUAUUGUUCCGAGAACAAAAAUAAAAAACGGAGUUGAUUCUCAUCCUUUUUAAAACUUCUUGGCAGACGUCUUUUUGUCUCUCACCUUUCUCUCUCGUGAAGUUUGUUUCUCCUCCUCCUCCUCUUCGCAUCGUUCGCCGGAGAAGACAGAGUCGCGACACCUUUCCUCCUCCUUUGCUGCAGCAGCUAGUCUUGAGAAACGGUAGGCGUCUCUCUCCUUUUGGCAAUUCUUGCUCUCUCUCUCUCUCUUUGGCGAUUCUCGCUUUGUUUUUCAUUGCUCCCCUUUGCCUUUUUUAAUAGGGUUUGACUUGUCGCUCGAUUGAGCGAGAGGGUUAGUCGUAGAUCGUUUGCGUUUUGCUGUUCGUUCGAUUUCUUCCUGUCGUAGCUCGUCUCGUGUCGUUUUUGGAGGUGCUCUUACUUUCGCCAUUGACGUACGGACCGCUCGUGCUCUCGCUUCCCGUUCUUCUUAACAAUAAAUCUGCAAUUUGGGGUUCCCUGCAAUUCUUCUUUCCUCGUGGGUUUCUCCCCCUUUGCGGAAUCGAAGUAGUGGGUAAAAGGAAAAAUGAGAUUUUGGGAUCGAUGGUUCGUGUGUUUCACAAGUGUGGUAGAAGCGGUUGCUUGAGUAGAUUACCAGUGUCGCAAAGCGGUGGGUUCUCAAAUAGUGCCGUCAAAUCCUCGAACAUUCUCGAACUCGCUCGAAAUGCUCCCCUUACCUUAUUUAUGCUUUUAUACCUGUCUGUCCCCAGCAGAGUUUUGGCUGGGUUUUUCUCGAAUAUACGUUUGCCAGCAUCCAUUCUUGAAUUUUCAUGCCUUUCUAUUCUCUUGUACGAGGUUCUUUGAAUUGAAAGAUUUGAAGCAACGUAUUUUUGUUCACGGUUAUCUGGGUUCUAGCAAUUUCAUGAUAAGCUCUUCAUGUUUUGAUUGUUUUAAAUUUGCUUUGAGAUUUAUUAUGUGAUGAAUAAAAGUUGGGUUUUUUUUUUGGUGUUUUGCUUCUUUUUAUUGGGUGGUUGUGUUUCAGAAGCGCACCUGAAGUUCGGAUUUUGGAGUCGAAAGACCAGGAGAUGAAGUAGCAUUUUUUGACUCAAAGCAGGUAUGAUCAUGAAAACUUUCACCCGCAAUUAGACAUGCAAAGUUUUAAUUUUUGGAACUGUGUUGGUGGCUUAUGUGGAAAUGAGCAUGUAUAUGCGUGGAGUGGCCUCUUUUGACAACCAUUUUUAAUUUCUGUCUGUUUCGCUGGCUCGAGGAGGUCAGGAGGUCGGUGGUUUCGAAAUGAUGGAUGCGCUGAAAAUGCAUGACGAAUGUGGGAGGGGAGAAGCAGAUGGUUAUGAGAGGGGUAGAACUUGCGGGGUGUUGUGGUUCAUCCGAGUUAUAGAUUACUCUGGUACUGCAUUGAGUGAGGUUUUACUAUCGUGUCAUUGUCCAUAAAUUGGUUACAAUGUGAUUUCUUUUGAUUGAAUAAUGACAAUGAGGACUUAUUUGAAGUAUAGAAAAGAGAAUAAUGAGAAUAUUUCUAUACAGUUUUUCCUUGUUAAGGCUCCAUGUGCAUUUAGCCUAAUCUCUGCCGAUUGGCUUUAGUUCAAAACAGAAUUAUCAAUGGCAAUAGUUUUCUAGCAUAUUAGGCCUCAUUCGAGUUUAUGAUUCCAAUUAGCCAAUGACGGCAUUUUUUUUUUUAAAUUUAAAAAACACGAGUUUAUGAUUCCAAUUCCACCUCCCUCUUUCAAGAACUUUAUAUAAUCAACUAUAAUUGACAUUUUAUAAAUUAAAUGAAAAAAAUUGGGAAUAAAAAUUUUUUGGGAAUAGAUUUUUAUUCUCGUACCAAACGUGUUUCUGUUCUUUUUUUGUUCCAGGAAUAGAAAUUUUGUGCAGUUACCAAACGUGUUUUUUUGCUCAGAAACUAUUCCCGAGAAUAGAAAUAGAAAAAAUUGUUUCUAAACAGAAAUUGUUCCUGGGAACAGAAACGCUAUUAAAUGCACCCUUAAACUACUUUAUGGAGCAAAACAAGAGGAAUCGACUUGGUUUGAUCCAAAAGAGGAACGUAAUGGAAAAUCUGAAAUGGAGCAGAAGUCAGGUACAAAUGCUUGUGUCUGAACCUCCAAAACCAUUCCUCUACAAAGAGAGGCGAAACGUGAGCAAUAAGCAGGCGGUUACAGCCACACCUGGAAAGGAUCAUCUGACAGCUCCACACAUCCAAAAAUUAAGAAAUCUCGAGUUACCAAAAUAAGUAUAAAUAGCUUAAAAAUAAUCAUUUAAUUGUUAAAACUUGUCAAUACCUGACUUCUGCUUAAAAGUGGCUUUCAUAUAUUUUUGGAAAACUGGAACAGAUUUUCCUCCCAAAGAAGAAGUCUAUUGGAAUUAAAGCAUUUUAUAAGCAUAUACCAGAAUUUUGACAAAUAGGAUUAGGUUCUUUCGAAUUUAUUCCCCAGAUUAAAAAAAGAAAAAGAAGAAGAAGAAAAGAAAAGAAAAGAUAAAAUGGGAUCCUCCGAGAGAAAAACAGACGCCACAGAAUGCAUCUUGGUUCUCCUGCUCCUUUCCUUAAAACCACACCGCCUCACUUUUUCUUCAUCCACCACCACCACCACCAUCAUCAUCAUACUCACGCCCACAGAGUCCACUCAUUCAAUUCACUUCUUGCAUGCAUAUCGAUUGUUGCCAAUCACCACCAUCUCUAGUCGUCGCUCAAUCAAUACCAUCGUUCGUCGUUGCAAGCAGCGACCACGCAUUGCCGUAGCUGAAUACGCACGUGUACAGUGAACUGCCAAACCUAGCGCUCGUGCUUGCUGGAUUGCUGUUGUGGAUCUUAUCCCAUUCGCCUGGUUAGCUCCAGGAAGUCUACUUGGAAUAGGUAAAAGACAUCUUUCUACUUGCUCUCUUUUUCCCUUGAACUGAUGCAGCAAGUUUAAUGGCAAAAUUGGGGAAAGUUGAUGCCAUAUACUUGCUGGCCAGGUUAAAGUUGCAGCUUGAUUGCAUAAUUCAUGGUGAUUUGUUAAUUUUGUUUUAAUCAAGUGAUACAUCUGCACGCAUAAUUGUUUGAGCCAAAACUCAGACCUUUAUUUUAUGAUUUUUUGUUACAUAUUAGCAUAGAAUUGCAUUAUGUCCGUAUCAAGACAAUUAUAUUAGAAAACUUAGAAUUUUCAUGGAUAAGCAUUAUCAUGCGCAUCUAGGCUUCUUGGAGUGCAUUAUUGUUACUUCUCUUUUUUGCACGUUUCCUUUGAUAAAUCACAUGCUAUAACUUGGGAAAUCUAGGAAAAUCAUAUCUUGCAUAUUAAUAAAUUUAGAUUGCAUCUUCAUAAAAAAACAAAACAAAACAAAAAUGUGAAGUGGAACUCUCCACGAGUCACGAAGAGUAUUAUCGCCCCAUUCCUGCCUUUUUUUUUUCUUCAUCAGUUUUUUGCUGUUUUUCUUAUUUAGUUUUUCUUCNNNNNNNNNNNNNNNNNNNNNNNNNNNNNNNNNNNNNNNNNNNNNNNNNNNNNNNNNNNNNNNNNNNNNNNNNNNNNNNNNNNNNNNNNNNNNNNNNNNNUUAUAGUUUUGUCAAUUUGAGCAAGAGAACAAUAAUGACUGCUAAUUGUCAAUCACACACAUAAAAAAAUAAAAAUAAAAAUUGGUAUCCGUGUAACGCGUGGAAAACUACUAGUAAUGUAAAAAAGACAUUCACAUGGGAACGGAAGAGGAGGGAUUUGAAAAGUGAAGCGACAAAUCCAAUUUGCAUCCCUGUAAGUCUUAGUCUUCUUCGAUUUUAUCAAAUUUUCUUUCCCAUAAGCUCUUUAUCAAUUAUACUUCACUUUCACAACAAAAAAGUUCAUGAUAUACCCAGUGAAGUUUUGGUCUUCCCGAGUUUAUGAUUUUUUUAUAUGAACAAGUAUAUGAUCGUGGAUACUACAUUUGUAUGGGGAUAAUCUCUAAAUAUUACAGAACAAGCACUUGUGAAAAAAAGAAAAAAGAAGAAAAAGUUGCAGCAAGAUGGGCGGCAAUAUCUGCUGAAAGGUGAUGGGUUAGUAGUUGAUGAUGGGGAAUCGCUUGAAGCGAGAAUCAUGGUCCUUUGAACUCAAUUUUCCUGUUCAUUGGUGUGAUUGGUAAGAGUAUAAUUUUCAGUAGAUUAUACAUUGUUGUUUGGUGAUUUCUGACUUAUUUACUAUUUGCAGAGUAAAAUAAAGCAAGUUGCUUAAUGAAUUAGUCGGUGUGCUUGACCCUUUUCCUUAUUUAGCCCAAAGCACGUGUUUCUGUUCUCCUUAGUGGACAUACAAAGUUAAUUGUCUUUGAUAACAUGUAUAUGUAUAACAGAAAAUAAGAUGCCAUUAUUGGGCGAAUCCUCAGUAUGUUAUGUUUCAAAAGCAUUUAUUUUACUAAGUUGCACAAAUAUGCUUAUUUGCUGAUCCUAUUAACUUGGUCAACUUCAUACAUCGCUAAAUAAGAAAAAAGGGAUAAGCACACAACCUAAUCCAUCAAGCAAGUUGCUUUCUCUCACUCUGGAAAUGGUAAACGAGUCCAGUAUUGACAACAUAUAAUCCUCACACUUUACCCAUUACACUAAUGAACUUGAUAAUAUUCUCCUAUCAAGGUGAUUCUCGAUUAUCAACCACUACCUCAGCACCCUUCAACAAAUCAUUAUCGCCCAUCUUGUUGUGAAUCUUUAGCACAAAAAAUCCCAUGUAAAAGACUUCAUUAAUCUCACAUUCACCAAUAAAGUAGAAAACAAAGACAUUGAAAUCAUGAGGUUGAUAUCGCUAGUAUAAACACCUAGAGGGGGGGUGAAUAGGCGCAUAAACAAUUUGUCGAUAUACGGAAGCAAUUCUUAACAAAUUGAAAUACGAUUAAGGUAGGAAGAGAGAAAUUGGAACACAGGAUUUAUAGUGGUUCAGCUUUUCCAAGCCUACGUCCACUCUUCCGCACUGACAGCCCACCGGCUGGAUUUCACUAUGAUCAAAAGAGUAGUUACAGCACAGCUUUGCCUUAAUUCCACAGUGUAGAUGUUUUUCCCACACCUCCUCAAGGUCUCUCACAAAUAUAGACUCUCUUUUGUAUACAAAUAUUCGCUCAAAAGAUUUAUCUAAACAAAUAAGAGCUUCAGACUUUGGAAUUCUUCUAUCGCGCACACCUCGAACAACUAAGAACGUCUUCCUUAUAUACUCCUUUAUGCCAUCAUACCCGUUGGCACUUACCAAAGGAAUUCCUCCAAUCUACCCGUUAGACGGAAUCAAUUAGGAAGAUUGUUCGAGCUAUUAAAGGAACGUGUUGAUAGCCCAUCAAUCCUGUUCGCCCAUACAAUCAGGAUCUCGGUUUCCAUAAGUAGAACCUUCCCAUAAUAUUUAGAUAAUCAUCGAAUCUUCAGUCAUUGAAUCAAUCUUGAUCAAUCAAAGGAUUCUGAUACGUCUUCUCCAACCACGAGAUCUUCUCCAGAUGAUAAGGUUAAAUCCUGAACAAAACAUUCAGUUCGGGAUAACUUUUCUUCAACGGAUAAGUGACUGUCAAUGAGGAUAGACUUUGAGUCUUGAGUCUGGCUGUCCGGAAGUCUUCAGACUUUAACCAACAGAGUCUGCUGACCUUCAGACUAGACUGAUGGAAACGUUUUGUCAACUUCAAAACUCUUCACGAGGAUUUCUCCAACAAUCUCCCCCUUUUUGAUGGUGACAAAACAUUCCUGCAGAUUUGGAUAACUUUGACCUGCAAAACAUUUCUCAACCACAUAUGCAUAUCUUAUAGAAAUAAAUGGCUAAUAAAAUAACACUAGAAUCUGCAACCACAGAAAAUAGGUUAGUCCAGUAUAUGAUUUAAGCCAUUCAUAAGAUAUCAAUAUUGAUUAAUAAAAGCAGUAAAGUCAAGUCCAAGUCUAGGCAAUUCUUAUCCAGACACAAAACAAAGUCAAAGUCUGUCAAACACAAUCCAACAAACAGUUAAAAAAGAUUGAAAGUUUUCAAAUCAUGCAUCUCUCCCCCUUUUUGUCAUCAUUUAAAAAGGAUGAGAUGAAAUCAAGAUUGCUUGGGAACGCGGACAAGCUGGAAAUCUUCCAUAGACUGAACAAUGCCUUCCAGCCUUUUAAAGUCUUCCUUCAGCUGUACAACCUCCUCACUCUUGGCAUUGGCCUGAUUCUGAAUAGAGAGAGCUUGCAUCUUUUCAUUUAAUGAACAGGAAGAAGCUUGACUUUCAGUCUUCAAACUUUGAACUUCGCAUCCCAAGGCAUAAAUCUGACCUUUCAUCUCCAAGAGAAUAUCCAUGAUUCUGCGAAAAUCUGCUCCAUUAUCAGUCUGAGUACUUGCUUCAGCUCGAUCUGGAGUAUAAGCAGACGAUGGUGGAUCAGCAUAAUCUCGCAGGUUUGGCGAUGAAGCUUCAUGACCUUCUUCUGGAAAUUGAGAUGCAUAAACAUCUUCUGGGUCUGCCGGCGAGCGACUGACUCCUUCACUUGCAUCAGGAUAUGAAGAUGUCAUUCCUUUCUCCUGAUCUCCCCCUGUUUCCAUGCCUACAGGUGGAGAAGAGAUUUCCUCAGGUUCUCCUUCUUCUCUUGUUUCUUCUUCAGGUCUUUCUUCCUCUGCUUCUUGCUCUGCUUCUUUUUCUUCUUCUUCCUUCUCCUCUGCUUCUUUCGUCUUUUGUUCCGAUUCUUUCUGUGGAACAGGACGACCUAAAUUCUUCAAGGCCAAUGCAGAGAUGGUGAUGUCUUCGUCAUCAUCUUCAUCCUCAACGAGGAGAGCUCUUCUUUUCUUUGAUGAAGCAGCCAUGGGCUCUUUCCCUUUUCUCUUAGCAAUAGAAGAGAGUUGAUGAGAUUUGGCAGGAGUCUUCUCCUUAAAUUUCUCCAAUUCCUUGCUCAGUUCCUUCAGACGCAUUUUGGUCACCAUUUUCAGUCCUACCACCAUAUGAUCGCAUGAUCGAACACAAAAGAUUUGCGGAGGCUGAAUAUUCAGAUGUCUGAAUAACUUUGUAACAAGGCUUGGGUAAGGGAGUUGACCUCUGUCCUUCAUCACUGCUCUAUACAUGUGAAACAUAACAGUAUGAGGGAGAGAAAACUUCUUACCACAGAGGAUGGCAUACAUCAACUUUGCCUCAGAGCUUGAAACAUCAGUUUUGGAAGUUGAUUUCGGCCGAAGGCAAUUGAUCACAAUCUUGUGAAGCAAGAUGUUGAAUGCAUUCAUCCGUGAGUAGGUGAUCUUCUCAUCUGUUCUCCUGUCCUUGACCAGUUCAAGUGUGGCCCCAGCAAUGGAAACUUUGAUUGGUUGAUAUCUGCCUCUCUCAACUUCUAACACAUCUGCCAGCAUGUCCAUAUCCACAACAUAGUCUUGAUCUUUAACGCUGAAAGAGAAUCUAUUCGCAUCCAAAAAGCUAAGAUUUGAAUAGAAAUAUGCAGUCAAUUCAGCAUAGGCCUCGGUUGAGUCAGAGCAAAACUUUUCAAGUUGAAGAUAACUGAACUUUUCCCUCAAGUUCACUUUCACAGCAUCCAGAAAUCAAAGUCCACACUUCUAGGGUUUAUUACCCCACGUUUCAGCAAUUUAGAGUACAGAUCCUUUUGUUCCUUUGAUCUGAACAAAUCUCUCAUUUUUCCUUGAAUUUCAGCCGCAAUACCCAUUUUCGAUUGAAAUAGACUGAACAGAUUGUCAUCGUCAUUCCCAUCUACAGGAUUCGGUCCCCAGUCACGAGGAUCACUUGGGAUAUUUGCAAGGGUUUCCUCAGCCACCCCUUUACGAGCGAUUCCCAAACUUUCCAUUUUUCGCAGAAAGAUAUAUUCGUUCCUAUAUCCUUUGUCUCUAAGAAACUCAUCAACAUAGUUCAAAGGAGUAUGAAUUCCUUUUAAGGCACGAUAUAGCUUGUAAAUAAAAGCGGGCUUUUGAAUUCUUACGGGGUCUGCAUCCUCGAUGAUUUCUUCUUGAUGCUGAUGAAUACCGCCUUGAGGACUAGAUGUAGGAGACUGACGCUGCUGAGAAUGUUGUGGGCUCGAUUGCUGAUCUGGAGUAACUUCAUCUUCAGUAAGAUCGAAGUGCGUAGGCCCCUCACUCAUUCUCUGUGGUCCCCUGCUUGCGAUUCUUGAGGACUUUCGCGAAGAUGACAUCUUUCUCAGUGUUUGGAAGAUUCCUUGCUUGACUUUUCCAGAAAAGAUGACAACUUUUUGAAGAUUGAGCGAAGAAGACAAACGGGAAUUGAGGAUCGAUGCUUUCUAGGGUUUUUGAGAGAAAAGUGAAUAAAAAUGUGAAGAGAAAUCGACAGUGCUCGUUCGGUUAAAAAGAAGGGUAAGCGAACCGUCACAAAGGAAAUAAAAAUAUGCCUUUUCAAAAUAACUGACUUUUUCCGCAAAAAUAGCCAUUUCAAAAAUAACUACCUUUUUGAAAAUGAAUCGAUGCAAUAUUUACGUUAACUAAAUAUAGCAACAAUUUAAACACAGUCUGAUGAUCGUACCUUUUCAAAUUAAGAUUUGAGAGAGAAAGACUUACAGUCUGAAGGUCGAGCCAAGACAGUAGAUAAAGUCUUGUAAGCCUGAGUCUGAGAGUCUUUAGACUUUGAUAUCCUCAUACCUCAAAAUGUUGAGUCUGGACCGUAUAGACUCAAAUUGAUUUUUCUCCAAAGGCUUUGUGAAUAUAUCCGCCAGUUGAUUCUUUGAGUCAAUAAAUUGAAUUGAAACAUUUCCAUUUUGAACAUGGUCUCUUAUAAAGUGAUGUCGAAUCUCUAUAUGCUUUGCUCUUGAGUGGAGAAUUGGAUUUUUGGUGAGGUUGAUAGCGCUGGUGUUGUCGCAAUUAAUCUCCGUGCAUGAGUCUUCAAUUUCAAAGUCUCUUAGCUGUUGUUUUAUCCAUAGAAUUUGCGAACAGCAGCUUCCAAGAGUUACAUACUCUGCUUCUGUUGUUGAAAGAGACACAGUGCUUUGUUUCCUUGAAAACCAAGACACUGUCCUACUUCCAAGCAACUGGCAAGUUCCUGAAGUGCUCUUUCUAUCAACUCUGCAACCGGCCAGAUCUGCGUCUGAAUAUCCCAGAAGAAAAAAGUCUCCCUUCUUAGGAUACCAAAGACCGAUGCUUGAUGAUGAAGCGACGUAUUUAAUGAUGCGUUUCGCAGCACUGAGAUGAGAUUCUCUAGGAUCUGAUUGAAACCUAGCACAGAUGCAAACACUCAACAAAAUAUCAGGUCUAGAGGCAGUAAGAUAAAGAAGUGAUCCAAUAAUGCUCCUGUACAGCUUUUGAUCAACUUUCUUCCCUUCUUCAUCUUUGUCUAUCUUUAAAGAACUUGACAUUGGUAUGUCGGUCUUUUUGCACUUUUCCAGUCCAAAUCUUUUGACAAGAUCAUUAACAUAUUUUUCUUGAUAAAUAAAAGUUCCUUCCUUCAAUUGUUUUACUUGAAGACCAAGAAAGAAUGUUAAUUCUCCCAUCAUACUCAUUUCAAAUUCAUCCUGCAUAGACUUAGAAAAUUUCUUGCACAUAUUUUCAUUAGAAGAUCCGAAAAUAAUGUCAUCCACAUAUAUUUGAACAAGUAAGAAACUUUUGUUUUCCUUCUUGAUAAAUAAGGUUGUAUCCACUUUACCUUUGACAAAACCAUUUUGAAUUAAAAACUUACUCAAUCUGUCGUACCAAGCUCGAGGUGCUUGCUUUAAACCAUACAAAGCCUUUUUCAGUCUUCAGACUGAGUCUGGCUUCUUUGGGUCUUCAAACCCUGGUGGUUGUUCCACAUAUACUUCCUCAUGGAUAAAUCCAUUUAGGAAUGCGCUUUUUACGUCCAUUUGGAAUAACCUGAAAUUCUUAUAACAAGCAAACGCAAGUAAUAGUCGAAUAGCUUCUAACCUUGCCAUUGGAGCGUAAGUCUCAUCAUAGUCUAUUCCUUCUUCUUGCGUAUAUCCCUUGGCCACGAGUCUUGCUUUAUUUCGUACGACUUUUCCUUUCUCGUUCAUCUUGUUUCUGAAAACCCAUUUAGCUCCAAUAACAGUUUUACCUUUUGGUUUGGAUAUCAAUUCCCAGACAUCAUUUAUGCUGAACUGUCUGAGCUCUUCUUGCAUAGCUUCAAUCCAGCUUUCAUCAAAUAAAGCUUCUUCUAUGCUCUUUGGUUCAAUUUCAGAAACGAGUGCCACAGCACUAGACUCUUCUCGCCUUUUGGAUCUGGUGCGAAUUCCUUCAUUAAUUUCGCCGAUUAUAAGAUCUUUGGGAUGACUGGACUUAUGCUUCCAGUUACUCGUUGAUUUGUCUGGUUGAUGAUCUCUUUCUUUGUUUUGAUCUUCACGAACAUCUUGAAGCUGGUUUUCCAGAGUCUGAGAUGAUUGUGCCAUCAGACAUAGAUUGGCAUAUUCAUUAUCACUUUCUUCACACUCAGUAUCACUCCAGGUUUCAGCUUUGAGAGCUUUUCGAAAUUUUUCAGCUUUUCCUUUCUUCUUCUUUAAAAGAGGACAGUUGGGUCUGAUGUGUCCCUUUUUCUUGCAUUCAAAGCAGACUACAUCUUUAUUUGGUUCCUCAUCAUCAACAGACUUGGUCUGCUGUCUUUGAAAGCCUUGUUUCUUUGAGUUGAACCUUCUUCCUUUUCUGUUUAGUUUUCUGAAUCUUAUCAUGAGAGCAAGCUCCUCAUCGUCCAUAUCAUCUUCAGAAUCUGUAUCAUCAGAAUCAUCAUUUGAUUUUAAUGCAAUGGAUUUCUUACCUUUUGGAUCUUCAUCUUCAUUGAUCCUUUCCACUUCAUAGGACUGAAGAGUUCCAAUCAGCUCAUCGACAGAUAGUGGCAUGAUUCUUUGCGUUUCUCUUAUCGAAGUCUUUAUGUGAUUCCAAUCCCUGGAGAAUCCACGCAGUAGCUUGUUUACCUUCAUGGGAUCAGAAGUUGGUUGACCUUGAUUUUCAAGACCAUUCACAAUAUCUGUAAAACGACUAAACAUGUCAGAUAUUGAUUCUCCUGGUUUCAUUCUGAAGGCUUCAUAUUGACCGAGAAGAAUGUUGAUUCUUGUUUCCUUCACUCGAUCUGUUCCUUCAUAGGUGAUAUGCAAUCUGUCCCAAACUUCUUUUGCUGUACCACAAGAAGAUAUUCUAUUAUAUUCAGUUGGUGAUAAAGCACAAUAUAAGGAGUAAAUUGCUUUUGCAUCGAGUGUCUGUCUCUUGGUUAUUUCUUCCUAAGACAUUCCGCUGGAUUCUUCAGUUUCUUUUCCUCUUUCAGAGACUGAUGCAGUGGUAGGAGUAAUUCCUUUUUCUACAACGUCCCAUUCCAGAGGAUCCUUUGAUCGUAGGAAAGCUUUCAUCUUGUUCUUCCAGAUGUUGUAAUCCUUUCCAUCAAAGUAGGGUGGUCUGGUAUUGCUUUGCCCUUCCAUCAGCCCUGGUGCUAACAUACUAGCCAUGGAUCUUUAACUCUGAAGUAAAACACUUCAAACAAAGUGAGUACACGAGCUCUGAUACCAAUUGAUAUCGCUAGUAUAAACACCUAGAGGGGGGGUGAAUAGGCGCAUAAACAAUUUGUCGAUAUACGGAAGCAAUUCUUAACAAAUUGAAAUACGAUUAAGGUAGGAAGAGAGAAAUUGGAACACAGGAUUUAUAGUGGUUCAGCUUUUCCAAGCCUACGUCCACUCUUCCGCACUGACAGCCCACCGGCUGGAUUUCACUAUGAUCAAAAGAGUAGUUACAGCACAGCUUUGCUUUGAUUCCACAGUGUAGAUGUUUUUCCCACACCUCCUCAAGGUCUCUCACAAAUAUAGACUCUCUUUUGUAUACAAAUAUUCGCUCAAAAGAUUUAUCUAAACAAAUAGGAGCUUCAGACUUUGGAAUUCUUCUAUCGCGCACACCUCGAACAACUAAGAACGUCUUCCUUAUAUACUCCUUUAUGCCAUCAUACCCGUUGGCACUUACCAAAGGAAUUCCUCCAAUCUACCCGUUGGACGGAAUCAAUUAGGAAGAUUGUUCGAGCUAUUAAAGGAACGUGUUGAUAGCCCAUCAAUCAUGUUCGCCCAUACAAUCAGGAUCUCGGUUUCCAUAAGUAGAACCUUCCCAUAAUAUUUAGAUAAUCAUCGAAUCUUCAGUCAUUGAAUCAAUCUUGAUCAAUCAAAGGAUUCUGAUACGUCUUCUCCAACCACGAGAUCUUCUCCAGAUGAUAAGGUUAAAUCCUGAACAAAACAUUCAGUUCGGGAUAACCUUUCUUCAACGGAUAAGUGACUGUCAAUGAGGAUAGACUUUGAGUCUUGAGUCUAGCUGUCCGGAAGUCUUCAGACUUUAACCAACAGAGUCUGCUGACCUUCAGACUAGACUGAUGGAAACGUUUUGUCAACUUCAAAACUCUUCACGAGGAUUUCUCCAACAGAGGUUACUAAGAAUAUACAAACGCUAAAAAAGCCAACGAAACACUCGUGAGUGAUAACACUUAUGGCGAAAAUAUGCAUACACUCUAAGCUGGUCAUAUUAAGACUCUGUUUUGGAUGGCCAAAAGUAAAGGUCCAAUAGCCAAAAAGUCUUGAUCUGAAGAAUAAGGAGAGCAAUUGAUGUAACUAGCACUUGUGGACAAAUAAUAUUUUAUUUUGAUUUGUCUAACCUUUGAUGUGCAUCCCUUGAAAGUCUUGGUUUUUUUUUUUUAAUCUUUUUCCUAGGUCAUUAUCUUGGUCUUCCUAGGACUUCAUAGUUUUCUCUCUCCAUUAGUUCAUUUUCACUUUGCUUCACCUUAACACCUUUGUUGUUCAUUACAGUGACUGAUUCACCUAUGGACAUUGGAGGGAUCGUGUUGGGUUCCUUUUUGGCUUUAUCCUUUCAGGUCUUGUUUGACAAGUUGGCUUCUCCCACAUUAGUUUAUGCACAACGUAAAGGAAUCAGCACUGCCUUGCCUAAGGAGUGGAAGGAGAAGCUAGUCAUAAUCAAUGCAGUGUUGGCUGAUGCAGAGGACAAGGCACUUAGCAGUAACCAUCAAGUGAAGUUGUGGUUGGACAAGGUUAAGGACUUGGCCUAUGACAUGGAAGACUUUCUCGAUGAGUUUGAGAUCAAAGUUGCUCAAGUUGAGUUAGAGGCAAAAUCUAGCACAAGCAAAGGAUGGAAUUUCUUUGUAUCUGGCCGACCACCCUCGCUUAUGUUUGAAACCAAGGUACAAGAGAUCAAUAGCUGGUUGGAAGCGAUUGUCACCGGAAAGGCUUAUCUAAACUUGAGAGAGAAUGUUGUGCACAAAUCCAACUACACUAGCGAAAGGAUAACCACUUCUCUAUCAGAGCCUCACUUUUUUGGUAGGGAGGAGGAAGUAGAACAAAUACUCGAACUACUGAUCAAUGAGGUCGAAAAUUCUAAUGCCACGCUAAGCAUAGUCCUCAUAGUUGGGAUGGGCGGUAUUGGAAAGACUACCUUGGCUCAACAACUGUAUAAUGAUGCUAGAGUGAAUAGAUGUUUUGAGAUGAGAGUAUGGGUUUGUGUUUCUGAUGUUUUUGAUGUUCUCGACAUAACUAAGACUAUUUUGCAGUCAAUCAUUAGGUUGCCCUGCGAGGGCAAAGAUCUAAACGAGUUUCAAGGUACAUUGAGGGACAAUCUAUCCGGGAAGAAGUUUCUUGUGGUUUUAGAUGAUAUCUGGAAUGACAACUACGAAAGAUGGACUACCCUCUUAAGGCUAUUUGAAGCGGGGGCUAGGGGAAGCAAGAUCAUUGUCACAACUCGCAACCUUCCUACCGUUUUCAGAAACGGAGAUUCGCCGUAUUUUUUAAAGGAGUUGUCCCCCAAUAAUUGUGCAAGCUUAUUAGCCUUUCAUGCUUUUAACGAAGCAAACUUUGAGAACCACCCGGAAUUGGAAACAAUAGGCAAGAAAAUAGCUGAAAAAUGUGAAGGUUUACCUUUGGUAGCGAAGAUGUUGGGUGGUACCCUACGUAAUAAAAAGCAACUCGAUGAAUGGGAAGAUGCCUUAACAAAAAUAACAGGGGGUCUUUCGAUGAUAGAGAAUGACGUUCUCCCUAUUUUGAAAUUGAGCUACAUCCAUCUUCCUCCCUAUUUGAAGAGAUGCUUUCUUAUUGUGCGGUAUUUCCUAAGGAUUACGAAAUUGAGAUGGAUGAGCUGGUGCUCUUAUGGAUAGUGGAGGGAUUUUUAGAUCAACAUAAAACUAAGAAUAAAUUGAGAUUAGGACGGAAUUAUUUCAAUGAGUUAGUAUCUAGAUCAUUUCUUCAACAAUCAAGUGUUGAUGCAUCUAAGUUUUCAAUGCAUGAUCUUUUGAAUGAUCUAGCAAAGUCAAUUGAAGGUGGGACAUGCUUUAACUCUGAAGAGUCUCAGCCGGCAGUUAGUGAAUAUGAUCUUGAAAAAGCUCGUCAUGCAUCAUUCUUCUCGUCACAAUUUGUUACAUCGAAGUGCUUGACAGCAUAUCACAAAAUGAAGGUAUUGAGAAGCUUAAUUUUAGCGCGUGUUGGAUCUAGUAAGAAAUCUCUCUCUAUUCCCAACAAGGUGUUGCACGACUUGCUAUCAAACUUGAAGUACUUGAGGGUGCUCUCAAUAUGUCAUUGUGACAUCGUAGAGAUACCGAAUUGUGUUGGUGAACUAAAACAUCUUCGAUAUCUCAAUUUCUCGUACACUUAUAUCAAGAGGCUACCUGAGUCAAUUGUGGGCUUGUGCAAAUUACAAGCUUUGAUCUUAAGAGGUUGUCAUGAACUUUCAAUGUUGCCUCAAGGUAUCACAAAGUUGGUCAACUUACAGUUUCUUGAUAUUAGAGAUACAAAAAGUCUAAAAGAAAUGCCAUUGGGUAUCAGUAAUUUGAAGAAUCUUACUAUCUUGUCCAAGUUUGUGGUAGGAACAAAGAAGGGGCUACAGUUAAAGGAAUUAAACAACUUGUCACAUCUUCAAGGAGAAUUAUUCAUAUCGGAAUUGCAAAAUGUGAAAGACGUUAAAGAUUGUGUUGAUGCUAAGUUGUCAAGAAAGGAAGGCCUAAGCAACUUAUUCUUGCAAUGGGAUACAAAUUUUAGAAAUCUCUGGAAUGAUAAACACUAUUUCCAGGUGCUUGAUUAUUUGCAGCCUCACACAAAUCUUGAAAAUCUCACUAUCUCGUACUAUGGUGGUGCAAAAUUCCCGUCAUGGUUAAAUCGUCCAUCCUAUUCAAAGAUUAAGACUUUGUGCUUGUAGAGCUGUCCUAAUGUCACAUCGUUGCCCUCAUUUGGACAGCUACCUUCGCUGAGAGAAUUAUCUUUUGAAGGUCUCGAUGCAGUAAGAGUAAUAGGUUCUGAAUCUUAUGGAGGUAAGAAGCCUUUUUCAUCCUUAACCACUUUGAAGUUCAAAAAGAUGUUGGCAUGGAAGGAUUGGUCUUCUUAUGCAGGGGGCCCAAAAGAAGUCCCAUUCUCCUGUCUUGAGCAUCUUGUUGUCCGGAGCUGUCCUUCGUUGGUCGGGACAUUGCCUUGUCAACUUAAUUGUCUUAUCAAGCUUGAAAUUCAUAAAUGCCAACAAUUGAAUAACUCAACCAGUGAGUUAUGUCUUCCAUCUCUCAAUGAGUUAUACCUUGAGGAUUGUAGUAAGGAGAUCUUGAAGAGCUUGUUCUAUCUAACUUCUUUGACAGUUCUCAAAAUUAACAAACUCAUAGAGCUUGUUUCCUUUGAUCAUCGGUUUAUGAGUUGCUUGGGCAAGCUAAGGAAGCUUCAUAUAGGAUUGUGUGACAAGCUAACAUGCUUGUGGCAAGAUGGAAAUGAAACACAAAAUCUCACUUGCCUCCAGGAAUUAACCAUUAAAAGUUGUGCUCGAUUCACAUCUUUUGUGGUAGGAGACGGAGAGAUAGAACUACCAUGUAAUCUUGAAAGGAUGGAAUUGGUGGAUUGCACAAGUUUAGAAAAGCUUCCAAUCAAGAAGCACACACUUAGACAUUUGGUGAUUGAGAAUUGUCCAAAAAUUAUGGCUCUAAACAUUCUUCAAGGUGACUCAAGCAACAAUAAUUCGAUUUCUCAACUUGAAUCUCUUAAGAUACGUUGCUGUGAUUCUUCGAUAUCCUUUUCAUUUGCCAAGGGUAGACUUGCUUCUCUGAAGGCACUUGAUAUAUACGACUACAAGGGAGUGGAGUUGUUGGAAGGGAUUGCCGUAGAAUCGCUUGAAACAAUGACAAUUAAUAUUUGUCAAAAUAUGGGAAGCUUACCAUAGUGCCUUCAUAUGCUCUCCCAACUCACUCAAUUGUCUAUUUGGAAUUGUCGAGCAUCGGAGAUAGAGGACUUCCCUCCCCUUCCCAUCACCCUCUCGAGUCUUGAUCUUAAUAUUAUGUCACCUAGAUUGAAAAAGUAUCCGCUAGACGUCCCUACACUUCUGCAGUUGGCUUCUCUUUCUUAUCUGGAAAAGCUUGGUUUGAGACCCCUAAACCCUAAACCCCUCGUGCAGCUUUUGUCCUCGUACUAUAGUUGGAUAAAUUUGUUGACUUUAGAGUUCUUUCAAUGUGAAGUGGGAGCCAUUCCACUCGAAAGACUUCCACAACUGAAGAAAUUAAUUGUUGACGGCUGUAAACAGCUUGAGAGAUUAUCCAUUCCUUUGGAAUUAAGGAGGCUAUGCCAGGCAUGGGUGUCACGUUGUCCAGAAUUAGUUGAGAUACAAGUUGUGGGUAGUUCGAAAUCAUUGGAAUCCUUGAGGGUUUCUAGGUGCAAAUCUCUGAUAAGAAUAGGUGGUUUAUCAGACUUGAAGAACCUAGAGGAAUUGGUAAUCCAACGGUGCAUUGUACUUGCUAAUGUUGAGGGCCUUCAUGAGUUGAAGUCUCUCAAAUCCUUGGUUGUCAAAAAGUGCACGUCAUUGAGGUGGUUGAUUGAUGCAUCUUGCACAAAUAUACCAGCUAAUUGCCUCGUUGAAAUAUGGGGGUGUGGAGACUUCAUCAAACGGGAUGUAACGUUUUUGAAGCAUUACAGAGAGGAGAUUCUUUUGGAUACAACAAACAAGGUGCGACAUCUUCUUCAUCAAUAUACAGUAGAUGUACGUGAAUGCACGUGUUUGAAAAUUGAUCGGUUCUAAUUUCAGUUUGAUGCUAUACUUAGGUAAAACUACACAAAUUGUAAAUAGUUUCAGACACACUAGUGUUCCUUUGGCAUGUUCUUUUUAAUUAGAAAUGUUCCUUAAUAUAAAUUAAAGAUAUACAUAAAUAAAAGUUCCAUCAUUUUAAUUUUUAAAUUUAUUUCAUUGUUUUAUAAAUGAGUGUUGGAUAUAAUGUAAUACGGAAUGUGUUUUUAUUUUUAUUUUUUAUGUCAUAAUAUUUGACAAUACUUGCGCUUUGUUUUGAUGUCAUAAUAUUUGACAAUACUUGCGCUCUUGAGCUUUGGCACUAUUGUGCAUUAGCCUGUAAACUUCCAGAAGUUAUUGAUUACCCCCACCUUUGCCCCAUCCAAAAAGACUUUGAUUUAUGUUGCAACAAUUAGUUUUCCAGCAUGCGUAGCCAUUAAGCAAUAACUGUGUCAUCCAUUUAUUUGCCGUUUUGCCGAUGCAUGCAUAUUGCAUAUAUAGUGGUCUUGACAAGUUGAGCAUGCGAUUUUAGUACUACAACAGAUUGCCACCACGGGGGUUCAUGUAUUUUCAUAAUGCACGACUAUUCAAAGUAAAUUAAAGCACAGCUGGUGGAAAAAAUAAUCAUCAAUUAUAUCAGGAUGUAACUUUUAUACGCUUGAAAAUAUCAUUUCACUAAAAAGUGCAACUUAUGACAAAAGAGACACUAGUUAAUUUAAAGGCAUAUUACUUUAGAUUAAAAAAGAACACAAUAACAUCCAGACUUCCAUAAAAUGAUUUGAAACAAUGUAUCCCUUAAUUAUGGAUUCAUUUGAACAGUAGAAAAUAGAACUCUUUUUUAGUUCCAAAUACAAAACAAUUGAAUCUAUAUUAGUACUAUUAUUGAAAUAAACACUUACCAUUAAGAGAUAGUAGACCAUGAAGUAGGACAAAACUAUCUGAAAUAAUAGAUUGAUGUAAUUAAAGUGAAAAUGAGAUGAAUUAUUAAAGUUCACUAAUAUAACAACGUGAAAUAUAGAAUAAGAAACGGAACCGGAAACGAAGUUAGAAUAGCAAGACUCUUAAUUAUUUUUCCCCUUUGCUUUACUUGGAGGAGGUGCGUGUUCGUUUCACGUUUUGUUCCACGCACCUUACUCUCUUCAUCUUAGUCUUUCAACAUGUAAUUCUUUUUUCACUUCGAUUUCGUCCUCUGGUGACUUCCUUAUGUAAAUGUGCUCGAUAAACAAAUGAUUGGCUGACAUGCAGACGCCAUGUAGACUAUGGUGUGGUUCAUAUCCAGCAGGUUUUGCAUCAGAAAGUCAACGAAGGGAUGAUUUCAACCACCCCCCCAAAAAAAAAGAAAAAAAAAACAGGGCUAAAAUGUGUGAAAGAAAUGGGAUCACGAAAAGAAUGAGGAUCAAAAUUUCCCCUAAGAGAUUCCAACCCUAGCAGCAUGUGUUACCUCAUUCCCUAGUCCUCUUCUCUCCGUCUACGAUAAUACUUUGGUGAAAAAUUCUGUUUUUCUUGCAGAGCAUGGAAAGAAUGAAAGAUGAAGCUAGACCCGGAGCAGCAGACAUGGAAACCUCAGAUAGGAAUUAUGCAAUGGCAGCUGUUCAAAAACUAGUAGGAAUUGAUGAUCGUGUAAAACAAAUCACCAAACUGCUGGAGAUGGAAGUCAUUGAUGAGGUGCGCAUCAUUGGAAUCUAUGGAACUGAUGGAAUUGGCAAGACAACUCUUGCCAAGGCUGUAUACGACCGCACCUCUUCUUGUUUCGACAGUUGUAGCUUUCUUGCAGAGGUCAACGAAACCACACAAAAUUCUUGCGAUAUUCGGUAUUUGCAAACUAAGUUGAUACGUGAUAUCCUUGCACUAGAUCGUGAAGAUCCUUCUUGUGAGAAAGAAUGGAAAUUUUUGUGGAUAUAUUUCGCAAAAUGAAAGUUCUAUAGUUGUUGAUGGCGUGGAAAAUCAAUCUUAUCUUCAUGCUAUCGUAGGAGACCAGCUUCAUUGGUUUGGUCUAGGUAGUCGAAUUAUUGUGACUUCUCAAAAUGAAGAAAUUCUCAAAGAGUAUGAUCCUGAGAAGACUCGUACCUACAUGGUUAGUGAGUUGGAUGAUGGUCAAGCUUUUGAACUUUUCUGCAAGCAUGCAUUCACGAUGAGUUCUCAAUAUGAUGGACUCGCAGACUGCAUUGUCAAUGCUACAGAGAAACUACCAUUAGCAGUUGAAGUUGUCGGUUCAUUUUUGCGGGGUAGAUCAAUACAAGAAUGGGAAAAGAUGGAGAAGUUAAUGAAACUAUUUUCGUUGAGUUCUCAAAAGACUACGGUUGGCCUUGAAGAGAUACUGGAUAUAUGUUACAAAGAAUUAGAUCAACAGCAAAAAAACAUAUUUUUGGACAUAGCAUGUUUUAUCUCUGAUGCGGAUGCUCAAAUUGCUUCAUACAUGUGGCCUGACUGUUAUCUUCCGUCUGGUGGUUGCAUUCUAAUGCCCCUAGCAAAAAUUGGAGAAAACAAUGAACUGCAGAUGCACAGAUUGCUGAGAUGCCUAGGCAAAAGAAUUAUUGAGCAAGAGGGAUCUGGAGAUCCAAGUUCAAGAAGAUUUUGCACGCAAGAUAUGGUUCUACAGGCAAUGAACAGGGAGAAGGUAAAACCUUUUGGUUCAGUUUGUUUUAGGCAAACAAACAUCUUGACAUAUGGGCUACAUGUUUUUUUUUUUUUUUUUGUCAUAAUGUUGAGGGAAUAAUAUCAUGUGUGUACUCUUUAGCAUGUAGGGCAAGGACAGCAUCCCUUUUCUCUGAUUGGUAUUUUGUUUUACAGUUUCUGAUAAUUAUGUUACUUACUUGAUAUGUAGGGAAUCGAAAACAUUGAAGCUUGUGAUUCNNNNNNNNNNNNNNNNNNNNNNNNNNNNNNNNNNNNNNNNNNNNNNNNNNNNNNNNNNNNNNNNNNNNNNNNNNNNNNNNNNNNNNNNNNNNNNNNNNNNCAUAUUAACAGCCACAAAUCCAAUUGAGUAGCUUUUAGGGAUUUUACUGCAGAUACAUCCCUUAACAGCUUCACCCAAUAGGUUAGUUAACUCGUGAGUGAUCAGUUCAAAAAAAAAAGACAAUAGGGACGUUGACGAUAUGCCCAUUUCACUUUAUCGAAACGGGGUCGAAUUUCAGGAUGUCACAUUCUUGGAGCAAAGUCACGGAAGACUAGCGAGGGUGGAGUGAAAUUAAGGUGGUUUGGUAUUUGGUUGUUUUAUAGUUGCUUUGUUGAACUAAAUAUCUGCUAGUUGACCACGUGUGGGUUUCUGUUUUGACUUUACAGAUGGAGAAAUUGAAAGUCUUGAAUCUUACCGGGUGUUCUGACUUGCUGAUCACUCCCAACUUCUCUGAUUACAAAGAUUUGGAAAUCCUGAUUCUUGAACGAUGUUCUCGUUUGGUGAAGCUAGAUCCUUCAAUUGGCCAUUUGAAACGUUUAGUCUCCCUGAAUAUGAAGUUCUGCUCCCAAUUGAACGGGUUGCCAGUGGAACUGGGUUGUACAACAGCUCUGAAAGAGCUCUUUAUUGACGGGGACUUGUGUACGGCAGAUCCCCAUCUCCAUAGGCAAUUUGAAGCAACUCAAAAUUCUCAGUGGCUUCCAGUGCUUCCCAUUGACUUACCUACCCAGUUCGAUUUGUUAUCUGAUUUCUCUCUCCCAACUCUCAUUAGAUGGUGCCAAAAUUUCUGAGCUCCCGAGCUCACUGGAGAAGCUGCUUGAGUUAAGACGCUUGUCAUUGAGGGAUUGCCGUUAUUUGGAGAACCUUCCAUAUUCUAUCGGUGAAAUGGGGUCAUUAGAGGAGUUGGAUAUAUCGGCGACUAGCAUCUCUGAACUCCCGGAUUCAAUAAGAAAUCUGAAAAGCUUGAAAGUUCUGAGAAUGGACUCUUCUUUCAUUCGAGCAUUUCCUGGAGAGAUUGGGAAUCUAACCAAGCUCGAAGAGCUACAUGCUUCCUGGUGUCAGAGUUUGAAGGGGGCCAUUCCCCGUGAUAUUAAGAGACUAUGUCAUCUGAGAUCAUUGACGCUGGGGCAUACCAGUAUAUCUAGCAUACCCCCGGAAAUCUCUACCAUCUCUAGUCUUCAGACCCUUGAUUUACUUCAGUGCAAUGAAAUUGAAGUGUUGCCGGAGCUUCCCCCUUCUCUAAUUUGUCUGCAUGUGAGUUCUAAAAGGAUGAAGGACAUACCCCUUCUCAAGGAUUUGAAGGAAUUGGAGGAGCUGUACCUAAGUGAUGAGGACCCGGAGGAACGCCAACCUCCCUCAAAACAGCUGAAGCCAGAAUCCAAAGUGAAACAACUGUCUAUAUGGUUUUCAAGACUCUGGAACCUAGAGUUGCUCCAAACACAAAGUAUUGAAAAACAAUCCUUCUCAAUAGUGUUUCCUAAACUGAGGAAACUAGAAUUGUCUCUUUCGCGAAUUAUCAAGCUGGAAUUUUUGUAUGAGCCUACAGAUAUUCCUCAGCUCAAAACACUCACGCUUUCUGGUUUGAGCCUCGAAGAAGUAUCAGAGCUUCCCAAGACAUUGUCAGUCUUAUCAAUUCGAGGUUGUUCAUCAUUGAAAAGAUUGCCAAUUGUCCAGUCUUUAAUCAAUAUAUCAGCGUUCGAGCUCUACCACUCUGCCAUAGAAGAGAUUGAUGGGCUUGAAGGGCUUAAAUCCCUGAAGAGGCUACAAAUAUCAAACUGCAAAAUACAACAUCUCAAUGGGAUUUUCCAGUUAACCUCACUAAGGAGUUUGAUUGUAUCUGACUGCGAUUACCUCGAUAGUUUACCAGAUCUUUCAAACUUGAAGUUGCUGAAAGUUUUAGAGAUCAGACAAUGCAAAAUGAUCCAUCAAAUUGAAGGCCUAGAAGAAUUAAAAUAUUUGGAAAAGCUCAAGGUCAGUGAAUGUCCGGCUGAGAACUCAGCGCAAAUACAGAAUGUGUUGGAGCUUGUAAUGGCACGUUCAGUGGUUGCGUGAUACUGGAUGCUCCUCAAUCUUACCUGAUAUCUGUGCAACGCAUCUCCACUGUUAAGUGACAACAGAGGAGCUGCCCCCAAAAAAAGGAGGCGCGUUCAGUGGUUGCGUGAUACUGGAUUCUCCUCAAUCUUGCCUGAUAUCUGUGCAACGCAUCUGCACCGUUAAUGGAGAAAGAGGAAGAAACGAAGAAGGAAAAUUUAUUGGAGCCACUUUCAAGUUUGACUCUAUUGAAGUCCCUUUGCAGAAAAGUCAAGGCCAGAUCAACCGCCAUGAACAAAAUGCGGCCCCUCCAGGUGAUCACACCGGUCUCUUCCAAAAGGAAAGAUAUGCACAGGUUGAUUNNNNNNNNNNNNNNNNNNNNNNNNNNNNNNNNNNNNNNNNNNNNNNNNNNNNNNNNNNNNNNNNNNNNNNNNNNNNNNNNNNNNNNNNNNNNNNNNNNNNUACUGACGUAUCAGUAGAGUUCUGAUAUUUUAUUUGCCUAUGGUUUUUAAACUUUAUACCUUUAGCGGAGUGGACAAUUUUUUAUUUAGCUCGUGCCUCAUCAAUUGUAGGUCAAAUUUUUGAAUUCCUUGUCAAAAUCGAGGCCGUCAUAGGUUCAUCUGGAGGAAAAGGAUAUUUUGCAUCCUCUGACAUGAUAGACACUGGUAAUUUUUCCAUUGAUCUUUCAUUACAUGCUAUGCAUCUUUUCUCGUUCUUCUUUCAAUUAAAAUCUAGGAGAAACUUCUAUCCAUGUCUCUCUUCUCCCCCAUAUUCCUUUCCUUCUGUCUGCUUCAAUUGCAUGAUCUAUCAUAUGAGUUGAUCUGGUGGGUUGUCCAUGGCAGCGGCACCAAUGAAUGGAUCGCUGUUUCUCCGCUUGAUGAUCCAUGCAAAUCAACCACAAGUGAAGCAACUUCUUCUUUCACAAUUCAUUCUCCAGGCCAUGGAAUCCUUUAAGUAACCCUGUGCGCAUGCAUUUGCAAGCCCUAAACCUUGGAUUGAAGCGACAACUCAAAACCGAAGCAAGUCAUAAAUCAGAAUGAGGGUAACUACUAUUCAGUAAGGUUCUCUCAUCCCCCUCUAUCUAUUGAUGCGCACGUACAUGCAUGGAAAGAAGAUUUCGAGGCAACAUUUUCUGUUUACAUUUGAGGAACAUCUGGUGGUUAAAGAAAGCGGUUGAUGAUGCCACUGUUUAUUCCCUGGGUUAGUAAAAGUAGUUUAUGAUAGCAUUAACUCGGGGUGGCUAUUCCACGACCUAAUCAUGAGGAAGAGAACAUAAUAUGAUGGGUUCACUUCUUCCAUAUAACGAGAGUGACAGAUAAUUACCAAGACGGGGCUGAGAGAUCGUCAUGCACUUUUCCUCCUGAAUGUUAUCGCUGACCACCUCUCUCUCUCUCUCUCUCUCUCUCUCUCUCUCUCGCCAGCCACCCCCAACCCAGACACUCGCAUUCAGAACAUUAUAAAUUCUAAAGCCCUUAGUAUGGAAGGCAAAUUGAAUAGAGAUUAGAAUUAUAAUGGUCAGAAUUUUAGCGAUUACUUCAUGUAUGAGUAUAGUUUCUAAUGGGGUUUCAUCCCUUUCCACUUUUUUUUCCUGUUUUUCUAAUCGUCACCUUCGACCAAAAAAAAUAAAAAUCGUCAUCUAUUAUUUCCAUAGCUCCUAUUUAUUUUAAUAGGUUCAUUUUUGUCAUUAGAAUGUAGAUGCCGGGGAAACCCACUAAAGUAGAAAGAUGUCCAUCUCGGCGGNNNNNNNNNNNNNNNNNNNNNNNNNNNNNNNNNNNNNNNNNNNNNNNNNNNNNNNNNNNNNNNNNNNNNNNNNNNNNNNNNNNNNNNNNNNNNNNNNNNNNNNNNNNNNNNNNNNNNNNNNNNNNNNNNNNNNNNNNNNNNNNNNNNNNNNNNNNNNNNNNNNNNNNNNNNNNNNNNNNNNNNNNNNNNNNNNNNNNNNNNNNNNNNNNNNNNNNNNNNNNNNNNNNNNNNNNNNNNNNNNNNNNUUGAAUUCCAGUUAGCCUAAUAAAGAAUCCUGACGUUCCAGUCCUAUCCAACGGUGUCCAUCGCUGAAGCUGUCAAUUGCGACUCUGUUUUGAGGUUCUUCCAGUCCCAAAGCAGCACUAGAAGUAGAUAAGGGCAAAGAAAUGAAGAAAUUAGGAAAUCUAGGGUGAUACAUAGUUGAACAGCAAUCCUAGAUGCAACCAACUUGAGUACUCUUUGCAGGCCAUUUCAUAAGUUUCUAGACCAGAGUUGUAAUUAUUAGCCAAUGAACUUGUCUUUCUUGAGGUUGCUAUGUCUUACAGCUUGUUUAAGUCUCAAGCUUGUCUUAGUUCAGUAGUUAUGAGAGAACAAGUGCAUAGACCGCUGGAGUGUGUUCUCCAUAAUUGUGUCUUCUAUUUUCAGAUUUAUUAUCGCAGUAUCCGGGAGCUGUCGGUUGAAUGUAGGGAACAUCUUUUGACAUUUGAAGUUUGGUAAAUGCCUGUCUGGUCAUUUGGUAUAUUGUGUGUUCAAGACAUAAUGGAAAGAAUCAUCUCCCCUGUGGCUCUUCUGCCUUAUUUUAAUUUUCAAUUCCCCAGUGGCUUUGCUGUUGCGAGCAUCUAGUGAGACUGCGUGAAAGAUUGUUCAAGACUUGGUGGAGAGGAAGAGAGAGAAGAUUCAGUUGGUCCCUCUGGUGGCUUUUUGGUUGGUACGGAGGGGCUAAGAAUCCUAGGAGUGCUAAAAUUUUCGUAUGCCGCUCACUUCAGUGCCCAAAUCUUUUUUUUUUUCACUUACUCAAGUGUUGCAAAAUUUAUUACUUUAGGGCUAAUUCUGAUUUGCCUCGCAGGAAAAUCUGAUGUGGACAUUGAUUAUCUAACGUGGCUUAAUCGGCAUUGAUAUGGACAAUUUUUAAUAUAUUUUUCAAUAUUUUAAAUAUAUUUAUGAAUUUUUUAUUUUUCUUUAAUUUUUGGCUUUUUUUAUUCUUUGGGGUCGAUGAGGGUCAUCGGCGACCCUCAGCGGCCGCGAAACCCUUGCUCAAAUUGGGCGAGGGCCCUCGGUCGCAAAGGCCCUGAGUGAGGUCGUGAUGCCCUUGUUGAGGGCCUUUGCAGCCAGAUUUGGGAAAGGAGGCCCUUGCCCUAGCUGUGAAAGUCCUAGGUGACGGCGUCCCGACCUCACCGCCUAUAGGUGAUGUCGCCCGAAGCUGGCGAGGGCCCUCAUUUCCUUGCACAAGGCCUUUGUGUCCAAGGGCGAGGGUUUCGCAGUGACCCUCAUCGACCCUAAAGAAAAAAGAAAAACAAAAAAUUCAAAAAAAUUUAAAAAUUUAAUAUAGGAUGAUACGUUGUAAUUGACAUUUAAAUGAUCGAUUUUGCUCUAAUGUGACACAUGAGCGAAAAAAAAAGUUUUUGCAUUCAAGUGAACGCGAUGUAAAAGUUUUGACACUCUCAGUGCUUUUACCUUGAGGAAUAGUGUAAAAUUAGAGUCAGUGUAAAAUUAGGGACUCUCGUCAUUUUUAAUUUAAAUUAGCAAGGUGCUUGUGGUCACUGCUCUAUUUCUUGCUGGUCAAGUAACUUCGUAACUUCCGUAAGCGUAUGAAUCCCGCAUUUGAUUGAAUGAAUUUUGAAUGGUUGUAUGAGAUCUCUUGAUUUUGUUUGGAUAUGAAUUGAUCUCUAUUGUUGGCUUGUAGAAAGAAGACAUGGACAUCAUAACUAAACAGAAGAUUAUUAGUAUGUGGUGACGAGUGCUUAUGAAUAAACGAAUAAAUAGUUGUUGAUACAUGAUUUUUAAUCGACGCGUCAUUAAAAGGUAAAAAAUCGAGAUUUGGGUUUUUGAUUGUAACGAAACCCCAUUUCUUGGCCGAAAGGUGUUAUUUUUCAUUUCUUUAUUUUGCAUUAUCGUUUUAAAGCAAUUUCUAGUUCAUUUUCAAGAAAAAUCCGAAAAGUCAAAUAGUUGACUUCUGAGAGUCAACUGUAGGUCAAAAACUGAUUUUUUACCCAAAAAGAUUCUAUUUAGCUUCAAUUUCACUUUUGUCAAAUCAAUAUCUCAAAAAUCCAAAGAUUUGACUUAAAAAUCAAUCUUUUAGGAAAACUUAAUUAAAUGGUUGACUUUUAUCAAAUUUUUGACCAAAAAAUUGGAAAAUGUAAAAAAUACACAAAAAACAUUUCUUUUAAUGUCAAUUUGAUUUUUGUGUUAAAAAUUUCAUAAAAUCUGAUUAAGAAAUUUGAUCUCUGAAUUUUUUAGUUUUAGGUUCUAAAUCGACCAAAAAUAAAAUUACCUUUAUUCUAGUUAUAAUUAAGUGUAGUUCUUUAUUCGACAUUUGGUUUAAGGGCUAUUUGAAAUUUACUUGCGCAUUCAAUUUUGCGAUUUAUCAAGUUAAAAUGUGAAUUGCUGUUUUGAGCCCUAAUUAAGGGACCAAAAUUGAUCCUUUAUAAUUUGCGAAUGGAUGGUUGUUUCUUACUCAUUUCCUUAAGAUAAAUCCAAAUUUAAAAUCAAUUUUGAUAAAUUCAUACAAAAACUUAUCAAUUUGAGGGAUUUUAUCCUCCCGAACAUGAGAAAGUCAAGCAAUUAAAUUUCAAUUGUCAAAAUUCGAAUUGAUCCAUUUAUGGCUAUGGUUUAAUUUCAUAAUUAUAGGUUCAAUUUUGACAUUAGGUCUAGAUUCAUUUUUAACAUAAGCCCGAGCGCUUCAAUUCAAGGUCAAUUUGAAUAUGAUAAGUGAUCUUACAUAUAUGUAAUUCAUUAGAUGGGGUAAUUGUGACACUUAUUAAAUUCAAUUUUAGUUGAUUUGCAAUUUUGCCCAUUGAAUUGCAAAUGUGAUCAUUUUAGCCAUUUAAGCUCAAUCUAAAGCACUAGCACCCAUGGUUUUGACCCGUUAUCUUUCAUAAUAAACAUUCAAUUAGGUCAAUAAAAGGAUCCCUAAAUCACAUUCAUAAGGUUUAAUUAGCUUAAUUGAGUCACGAUAGAUCAAUUUCUUCUUAAAAAGGAUAAAAUUCCUUUUCAACUUGGUUCUUUAGGGACCAAAUUACAUAAAUUUUGGACCCAUAGGGUCCAAAGUGGGCGAAAUGACAAGAAUUGGACCAAACCGGUCAAAAACGGCCGAACUGGUAUGACCGAUCUGACCGGUCGCCGGUGGGGACGGCCGAUUCCUAACCUCUAGCGAUUGGUUCUGAGAUCCUCUUAAUGUCAAUUUCACUUUUGCAUCUUCAAUUUCUCGAAAUUUACAGAUGGUCAUGAAUUUCAUCAAAUUGCAAAUUAAUCCUUUAAUUGGACAUUUCGAUGCAAUUCUCAACUUUGGCUCAAGUUUUCACAAAUCAAAUCCACUAGAUCAAUUACCCGACACCUCUAGAUUAUAUUAGAGCAUUUGAAAUUAAUUUUCGUCCGUUGGAUCAAAAUUUCGACCAUAGGUGCCGAAAUCGCUUAACUUGGGGUAGUAUAUAAAUCCAAUAUUCCCUCCAUUUUAGGAGGCUUCAUUUUGCCACAAAAUUGACUCUCUCUCAUAUGAAUUUUCUCUUUCCUCUGAUUUCCCGCCCAUUCCUCUCUCCUCUCCUCUCUCUCUUCAACCGACUAUAACCGGCCUUCUUACGGAUCGCCACUCACCGGCCUUGAGUCGGUGGCUUACUAGCCACCAUUAGUGCUCACGAUGAGCCUCAUCCUUUCCUCGUUCUGAUGGAAGCUUCGGCAGCAGACGGUUACUGAUUUCCCCCUAUUCGGCGGCUUGAUUUCCCUCGGAAACUUUAAAACCGAUCCAGGAGGGAAUGGUUCUAUUUCCAGUCAAGAUUGGUGACCACCAGAACUCAUCGGCACCUCUAACCACUAGCGAUCACUUGUUCUGGAGGUCCCUAACCUAGCUGCAGUGAAGAACUGGCCAAUCAACCAUCGAUCGGCUUCUAAUUGGCCCGAUCUCUUCUGGUGACAUCAAAAUUGGUCUAGUUUUUGAUCGAUUUUGCUUUCUCUUGCUGCAAGUGGUUCAACCGGUUUCGUGAGGGGGCGUGGCAAUUUGAUUGUGAUUCUGAAGUCGAGGAUCGAUCCGGAGGGUUUGAUCCAAUUGAUCGCGAUCAAAAUCGACAAAAACUUGUAAAAGGUAACGAUCUCAGUCUCAAACCCCAUGAAACAAACCCAAUGAAGCGAGAUCGGAUUAACUGGUUGGGACUAGGAUUCAAUUUUAGGAAAAUAUACUAUGUUUAGACGUUAGAUUGAAGGAUUUGGAUGUUGAUUUGCUGUGCUUAAGGGCCCGUUUGGUUCGGCUUUUAGGGAAUGUCUUUGUCCAAAUGCAAAUAUCUUUAGGAUAAAGGGGUUUUCGGGAAUGCUCGGCCGUUUGGCAAAUUAUGCAUUGAAAAGUUGCUUGUGCGAAAAUACCGUUUGGCAAAAUUUAUUCCAAAUGGGCUUUUGCUUUUAAUUUUCUUUUUUUAAAAAAUCUGAAAAUCAAAUCCGGUGACCGGCGAUGCCGGACGGCCAGAUCUGGCCGUCCGGCCGCCUGAGGUCGCGACCUCAGGCGACGCCGUCGCCGCGACCUCAGGUGCCUGGAGGCGCAGAGGCCAGAUCUGGCAGCCUGAGGUCGCGCGGACCCAAGCGGCGCGACCUCAGGCGACGUCGUCGCCGCCUGGAGGCGCGACCUUAGGUGCCUGAGGUCGUAGAGGCCAGAUCUGGCCGCCGGACGGCCAGAUCUGGCCUCCGGACCGCCAGAUCUGGCGGUCUGAGGUCGCGCGGAACCGAGCGACGAAAAAAUAACCUAGCGCGGUCCAAGGCCAACUUGGGCGUCGAGGACCUUAGCUUACUUUGUCCAAUCCCAUUUUCUUGCGGUGGGCUUUUCUUUUUUCGGUGGUUGAACCCAGGUUUGGGGAUUGUGGGCUAAAUGGCGAAAUUAAAAAUUUUGGAAUAGUUGANNNNNNNNNNNNNNNNNNNNNNNNNNNNNNNNNNNNNNNNNNNNNNNNNNNNNNNNNNNNNNNNNNNNNNNNNNNNNNNNNNNNNNNNNNNNNNNNNNNNNNNNNNNNNNNNNNNNNNNNNNNNNNNNNNNNNNNNNNNNNNNNNNNNNNNNNNNNNNNNNNNNNNNNNNNNNNNNNNNNNNNNNNNNNNNNNNNNNNNNNNNNNNNNNNNNNNNNNNNNNNNNNNNNNNNNNNNNNNNNNNNNNNNNNNNNNNNNNNNNNNNNNNNNNNNNNNNNNNNNNNNNNNNNNNNNNNNNNNNNNNNNNNNNNNNNNNNNNNNNNNNNNNNNNNNNNNNNNNNNNNNNNNNNNNNNNNNNNNNNNNNNNNNNNNNNNNNNNNNNNNNNNNNNNNNNNNNNNNNNNNNNNNNNNNNNNNNNNNNNNNNNNNNNNNNNNNNNNNNNNNNNNNNNNNNNNNNNNNNNNNNNNNNNNNNNNNNNNNNNNNNNNNNNNNNNNNNNNNNNNNNNNNNNNNNNNNNNNNNNNNNNNNNNNNNNNNNNNNNNNNNNNNNNNNNNNNNNNNNNNNNNNNNNNNNNNNNNNNNNNNNNNNNNNNNNNNNNNNNNNNNNNNNNNNNNNNNNNNNNNNNNNNNNNNNNNNNNNNNNNNNNNNNNNNNNNNNNNNNNNNNNNNNNNNNNNNNNNNNNNNNNNNNNNNNNNNNNNNNNNNNNNNNNNNNNNNNNNNNNNNNNNNNNNNNNNNNNNNNNNNNNNNNNNNNNNNNNNNNNNNNNNNNNNNNNNNNNNNNNNNNNNNNNNNNNNNNNNNNNNNNNNNNNNNNNNNNNNNNNNNNNNNNNNNNNNNNNNNNNNNNNNNNNNNNNNNNNNNNNNNNNNNNNNNNNNNNNNNNNNNNNNNNNNNNNNNNNNNNNNNNNNNNNNNNNNNNNNNNNNNNNNNNNNNNNNNNNNNNNNNNNNNNNNNNNNNNNNNNNNNNNNNNNNNNNNNNNNNNNNNNNNNNNNNNNNNNNNNNNNNNNNNNNNNNNNNNNNNNNNNNNNNNNNNNNNNNNNNNNNNNNNNNNNNNNNNNNNNNNNNNNNNNNNNNNNNNNNNNNNNNNNNNNNNNNNNNNNNNNNNNNNNNNNNNNNNNNNNNNNNNNNNNNNNNNNNNNNNNNNNNNNNNNNNNNNNNNNNNNNNNNNNNNNNNNNNNNNNNNNNNNNNNNNNNNNNNNNNNNNNNNNNNNNNNNNNNNNNNNNNNNNNNNNNNNNNNNNNNNNNNNNNNNNNNNNNNNNNNNNNNNNNNNNNNNNNNNNNNNNNNNNNNNNNNNNNNNNNNNNNNNNNNNNNNNNNNNNNNNNNNNNNNNNNNNNNNNNNNNNNNNNNNNNNNNNNNNNNNNNNNNNNNNNNNNNNNNNNNNNNNNNNNNNNNNNNNNNNNNNNNNNNNNNNNNNNNNNNNNNNNNNNNNNNNNNNNNNNNNNNNNNNNNNNNNNNNNNNNNNNNNNNNNNNNNNNNNNNNNNNNNNNNNNNNNNNNNNNNNNNNNNNNNNNNNNNNNNNNNNNNNNNNNNNNNNNNNNNNNNNNNNNNNNNNNNNNNNNNNNNNNNNNNNNNNNNNNNNNNNNNNNNNNNNNNNNNNNNNNNNNNNNNNNNNNNNNNNNNNNNNNNNNNNNNNNNNNNNNNNNNNNNNNNNNNNNNNNNNNNNNNNNNNNNNNNNNNNNNNNNNNNNNNNNNNNNNNNNNNNNNNNNNNNNNNNNNNNNNNNNNNNNNNNNNNNNNNNNNNNNNNNNNNNNNNNNNNNNNNNNNNNNNNNNNNNNNNNNNNNNNNNNNNNNNNNNNNNNNNNNNNNNNNNNNNNNNNNNNNNNNNNNNNNNNNNNNNNNNNNNNNNNNNNNNNNNNNNNNNNNNNNNNNNNNNNNNNNNNNNNNNNNNNNNNNNNNNNNNNNNNNNNNNNNNNNNNNNNNNNNNNNNNNNNNNNNNNNNNNNNNNNNNNNNNNNNNNNNNNNNNNNNNNNNNNNNNNNNNNNNNNNNNNNNNNNNNNNNNNNNNNNNNNNNNNNNNNNNNNNNNNNNNNNNNNNNNNNNNNNNNNNNNNNNNNNNNNNNNNNNNNNNNNNNNNNNNNNNNNNNNNNNNNNNNNNNNNNNNNNNNNNNNNNNNNNNNNNNNNNNNNNNNNNNNNNNNNNNNNNNNNNNNNNNNNNNNNNNNNNNNNNNNNNNNNNNNNNNNNNNNNNNNNNNNNNNNNNNNNNNNNNNNNNNNNNNNNNNNNNNNNNNNNNNNNNNNNNNNNNNNNNNNNNNNNNNNNNNNNNNNNNNNNNNNNNNNNNNNNNNNNNNNNNNNNNNNNNNNNNNNNNNNNNNNNNNNNNNNNNNNNNNNNNNNNNNNNNNNNNNNNNNNNNNNNNNNNNNNNNNNNNNNNNNNNNNNNNNNNNNNNNNNNNNNNNNNNNNNNNNNNNNNNNNNNNNNNNNNNNNNNNNNNNNNNNNNNNNNNNNNNNNNNNNNNNNNNNNNNNNNNNNNNNNNNNNNNNNNNNNNNNNNNNNNNNNNNNNNNNNNNNNNNNNNNNNNNNNNNNNNNNNNNNNNNNNNNNNNNNNNNNNNNNNNNNNNNNNNNNNNNNNNNNNNNNNNNNNNNNNNNNNNNNNNNNNNNNNNNNNNNNNNNNNNNNNNNNNNNNNNNNNNNNNNNNNNNNNNNNNNNNNNNNNNNNNNNNNNNNNNNNNNNNNNNNNNNNNNNNNNNNNNNNNNNNNNNNNNNNNNNNNNNNNNNNNNNNNNNNNNNNNNNNNNNNNNNNNNNNNNNNNNNNNNNNNNNNNNNNNNNNNNNNNNNNNNNNNNNNNNNNNNNNNNNNNNNNNNNNNNNNNNNNNNNNNNNNNNNNNNNNNNNNNNNNNNNNNNNNNNNNNNNNNNNNNNNNNNNNNNNNNNNNNNNNNNNNNNNNNNNNNNNNNNNNNNNNNNNNNNNNNNNNNNNNNNNNNNNNNNNNNNNNNNNNNNNNNNNNNNNNNNNNNNNNNNNNNNNNNNNNNNNNNNNNNNNNNNNNNNNNNNNNNNNNNNNNNNNNNNNNNNNNNNNNNNNNNNNNNNNNNNNNNNNNNNNUCCCCAGCAUUGAGCAUUGAGCAUUCCGAAUGCUCAUACUUGCCCAAAGAGCUCCAAAAAAUUGCCAAACACUCAAUUUUCCCCUAAGGGGCUUUGGGGGUCCAGGGGGCUUUGGGAAUGCCCAACCAAACGGGCCCUAAGUGUUCUUGAUUGAUCUUGAAUGAUUAACUUGAUUUGACCUUAAACUUGUAUUUUUGUCUCUUUGAACUAACUUACUGUUUUGAUCAAAAUGAGGUUCCAAAUGACCUUAUUUGUGUUUUGAGUUCUUCUAGACUUUGAUAAUACAUGUCGCAAGUUUCGAAUCGAUAGGUUGCACACUCCGAUUAAGCAUCGUUUGACCUUCGAAAUAUACCUCCAAAGAUGAGUGAUUUUGCAGUAGUUUAGGUUAGUUUUCAAUUCUAUUCUUGUUCCACCUUUUGUCCUUUUUAUUUUUGUGCAAUUUCCUGUGUUGAUUUCUGAAGGAACUUUCUUUCAUGAAAGUUGUUUGUUAUUUUCUUGAGAAUGUUUCGUAUUUUUUCGGAAUUUUUGGACAUAAUUAGCUAGGUUAAAACCAUUCAGAAUUUGAACCAAGGUUAGUCUGUUCCAUGUUGAUCUCUAAUUUUUUUAUUUUUGUAUUGAUCUCAAAAUUGAUUUCUGGAAGAACUUUCCUUCAUGAAAGUCAAAAACGCUUAGAUUCGAACAUAGGACAGUCUCCCAUGCAUUAGUCCGAAUUCUAUUUUGAUAAAACUAAGUCCACAAAUGAGCUUGUUUGGUCUCAAACCCUUUAGGAUAGUUGAAAUAUAUGAUGUAUAUAUUCAUUUGAUGCAUGCUUUGUGUUGCGACCUACCCUCGAGGGGAGGGAACGGGUUUAAGGGUAUUACCUAAAGGACGGGCUUAAGGCCCAUGAUUAGGCGGGGGCUCUCCCAAGCUCAAAUCUCGCGUGACAUUGAGAUAUUCUUAAAAAUUUCGCAAAAAGAAAGUCGCCACUAACCUAUUGAGGUUGGCUAAAAACCAAGUGAGACACGGAAGUAUGCCACACUUCCUACGCAACCAGAUAAUCUAGGGUCGGGGACUUGAUUACACUAAUUGACUAAUUAGUGCCCUUUCGGUACCUAAUCUUGUUCAUUUUAACAAAAUGAUUUUCGGUAGGCAGUUUGGAUUGAUUUUAUACCUAUCCACUAACAUGUGAGGUGAUCAUGUGAGUGCGCAAUCAUUAAAGUGACAAUCAUAGCUAUCAAGAUCAUAAUUGCAGUAAAAUUAAUACAUGCCACUAAGCAAUUGCGAACAUAGUUGAACAGGUAAAUUAAACAUGUAAUAUAAUCAAUAUACAAGCAAUUAAAAGCCUAAUUACCCUAUAAAAGAAAUACAGGGCCAUUCCUAAUCAAAAACUACAUUUUUUGGAUUUUCGAAAUUUUUUAAUUUUUAAUUAAUUUAUCUAUUUUUUUAAAUUUUUUUUUUAUUUUUUAUUAAAAUUUUAAAAAUAUUAUUUUAAUAUUAUAAUAAAUAUAAUAUAUUUAAAACAAACUAGGUCGAAUUCCCGAGUUGGGUUUGACCCAGUUCGGUGCAAAAGGCCCGAGAUCGGGCUGGGUCGCGCAGCCCAAGGCCGACGGAAACCUAGCUGGGCUGGGCCUGAUGUGCAGGCCCAGUCUGGUCUAAUUUUUAAAAGGAAGAAGCCCAUAAGCCUAUAAACCCAUGAACCGCAAGUCUAAAAGCCCACAAGCCCAAAAGUCUAAAGCCCAAAAGCCCAAAACCGGCCUAAUAGCUCAGAACCCUACCCGUUCGUGACCCGCGUCUGACCUGAUUUUUUGGCCGAAACUUUAGGGUUUCUGGGAGGUGCUGAGGGGAAACAGCGGGGAUGCCGGCGACUUGAUGGUGGCAGCGUGGUGGGCGGCGGAUGACGGCAGCAGUGGCAGGAACGGUGAUGUUGUGCCGGAGGUUAGUCAUGGCGGCGCGGCAAGGCGGUGCUUGCUGGCGACACUCGCGAAUUCUGCAGGUUGAGACACGGCGGGGCAGGGGCAGAGGCAGAGGCACGGCGGCAAGGGCCAGUACGGGGCUUGCUCGGCGGUGGAGCAACGACCGGCUUAGAUCUAUCGUCGUUGGGACUCAGCGGUGACUAGCGUCGGCGCUCGGAGGCAUGCGGUGGCUCGGCGAGACGAGGCACGGCGGUGACUGGCGAAGACGUGGCCAGAAGUGUGCGGUGGCUCGGCGUCCGAUUCUGGCGUCGCUGGAGGGUGCUCAUGUAGAGGUGUUGCUGCGGCGGCAGUCCGGCAGAGGGGAGUGGCGAACUGGCAGAGGGGCGAAGGUGCAGGCACGGGAGUCAGCGUUCAGAGGCAGCAGUGCGCGGGCGGCGGCUCGACCAGCAUCGGGCAGGAGGGCAUUAGCUUGGCUAAGGGCUGUAACGGCGACGGCGUCCCUGGUCUUGCCCGAUUUGACCUCCUCCACACGGCGCCUUUAGAUCUGGGUUUUGGGUUGAGCGGCGGCGGGGUCAGCGUCAGUCGAGCGCCGCCGUUGUUUUUUUUUUUUUUUCUCGAGCUUUCUCUCUCUCUCUCUCUCUCUCUCUCUCUCUCUCGGGUCUCUCCCUCUGUUGAACUCCAAUCCUCUCUCUCUCUCUGUUCUGGUCUUCCUUGAGCUCCCUGUCUCACGGUGCUUCUCUUCUCCCUUGUUUGUGCUGUCUUUUUUUUGUGUUCCUUUCUUGUUCCCUUAUUACACAAAGACAUAGAAGGAGGAAGAAGACCUAGUUGGCACGGGCCAGGCCGAAUAGAAGAGUGGGCCGGCCCAGCGCGAGGGAAAGAGAGGCAAGCGGCGAGCCGAGUUAAUGUCAGAUCCAGCCCGACCCGACCUCUAGGUGUUUUUUCUUUUUUCUUUCUUUCUAUUUUUUUGUUGUUGUUUUAUUGUUUCUUCUUUUUUCUUUUUUUUUAAGCAACUAAUUCCUAAUUUUGUACAUGAUUGAAUCCUAAGUAAAAUUGAUAAAAUUUAGGUGUCAACACUUUGCAAAGUCUUGAUGUUAGCAAGUGAGUCAAUUGCAUGAAUUAAAGUGAAAAUGUGUUGCAGAAUACAUAGUUUAGAUAUGCAUCUCUAUUUUGUUAUUUUUGCUAUGACUCAUGCGAUCACAUUUAUGUUUCGAACUCUUAAUGAUAAAUGUUCAUCAUUGCAUGCUCUGUAUGUAAGAUUUUUUGUAAGAUUUUUGUAUGUCUUGGGAUGGCUGAAAUCAUGCUCGUUCUGUGAGGUCAAUGCUAAAAUGAAAUCUUGCUAUAUAUGCAUCUUGCCAUGCUUGUUUAAGAGACCAAUUUUUGCGAUUAUGCCUUCUUGACCAUUAAACUGCAUGUUACAAUAUUCGCAUACAUGUUUAGGUCAUAUCCUUUGAAUAUUUUUUUGCAUGUUAAAUUUGUGUCACAAAAGUGUUCAUCACACUUAGGAUUUCCAAGCAUACCAUUAGGAAUCUUCAAUCAUUUUAUAAUAUCAUUUAAAUUGUAUGAUAUUUUGCAUGCCAACCUAAGAUUAGACGGUUAUCCAAAUUUUCCGUUGCAUCCGAUCCUAAGUCCCAUGUGAUUUAUUCAUGCCGUUUGUGCAUUAUUUGAAUGACUUUGAGGUUUUCUAAUGCAUGCUUGAGUUCUGUUUUUUGUAGUUACUAAUACUCGCACUCUUAGAGAUCUCGAUCUUAGAGUAUCUAAUUGAUCUAAUUUGGACUCGAGCCCUUCUACGAAGUUGUAAGGCACACUUAGAGAUUUCCAGUGCCACUGAUUUCAUGCAAAUCACUUAUCGUUUGGACUACUUUCCAUUUUUUUUUAAAUUAGAUUAGAAUCUAGACAUGAGAUCAAAUUCAGAUCCUUGUUCUAAUCCCUAUUUGGAUAGACCUUUGACAUUUUUGUUCUUUUUUUUUUUUUUUGGUAAGGAUUUUGCCCUUGACCUCUUAGCAAAACUUGCCUGCCAGCAUGUUGGCCAUGUUGUGUGUAAAUUUGGUGAUUUUUAAACUUGUUUUGAUAGGAUAAAUCCUUGUGAUAUUGGCUGAGUGUCCCACUAUUUUGACAAUUUUUUGAUAUGCUAUUGCUUGUUGUUUGAUUUUUGUAAAAUCAUGCGUAGCUCAUUUAGGAAAACUUUCUUUAAGAAAGUUGUUUGUUUUCAUGUCGUGCAAAUUAAGAAUUUUUUUAUCACCAAAUUGUCAUUAGACAUUGCCCAAUUUCACUGAUUUUACAUGUUUGUUCUGAAAUUUUCUAACAUGAGCUUAAUUGUGAUUGUUUAGAUAAACUUCUUAGAUUAGUUUGUGCAUAAACCUAGGUCAUUUUAUCUUCACAAAAGUUGCUUUAAAUUCAUUAAUAUUCAUUGUUAAAUGGUUUUGGACGAUUCUUUUUUUCAAAUCAAAUUUAAAAAUGCUUGAUACAUGUGAUAUUUCUCAAAAAUAAUUUGUUAAAAAAUUCUUCUCCAAAGCUCGAUUUGACUUAAGGGAGAGUCGCGGCUUGGAUCAUAUUCAAAAUGCCUGUGACACUUGUGAGUGCAUUUAUGCGAGUCUCGAGAUAGCAUUGGCAAUUGAAUGUGUUCCAUAGUUUAGAUAUUCCUUAAUCCGAAAUAUUUUCAAAUUUGUUCUUAAAUCCUAAUUUGACAUCGUAAAAGUCAUGGUUUGAAUUAUAUUCAAAAUGCCUGCAACACUUGUGAGUACAUUUAUGCGAGCUCCGGGCUAACUUUUGUAAUUAAAUGCAUUUCAUAGCUAAGAUAUUCAAAACUUUUGGUGGAUAAUUUUCAAAAGAUGUCUUUAAAAUAUCACAUAUAUUCCCCAUGCAUACAAUCACAUCAUUCAUCUAUAAGUGUCUGUGUUUGUGAUUAGCACAUGCCUUAGUAAUAAGUGAUCCAUCGAUAGCUCACUCAUUUGUUUGAUUGAUUGAGAAAUAAGGUUUCAAAGGCUUGCAUGCAUGUUUAAUUCCCGCAAAUGCAUGUGAUUUCUAGUGGUAGGGUCAAUGCACAAUAUCGAUGGAAAUCUUAGGAUCACAUAGAGCACCUCUUUAGGGACUUACAAGUGUUUUUGGCUAUGCAAAAAUACAAUUGAUCAAUAAUGACCGUAAGUUAUAAAAUGAAUUGGGUAGGUAUCUUAGAGGGACAUGUGCAUAAAUUACAAAAGGCCGACCCCGAGGCAAAUUUGAUUUAUGAAAUUGAAUUCUUUUUUAGAAUUGACCUUGACUUGAUGUCGUGUUUUCGAUUGUGUUGAUGUGUAUGCUUAUUUCUUUUCACUGUAUGUAUCUAGUUAUAUAAUUCUUAGACUAGGUUUAGAUUAGGAUCUUGAAGAUGGAGAAGACAUGAAGACGGUGGAGGUCGAUGUUCAUUUCGACCAUAAUCAUGUACUAUUCAUUUCUGCAACAUAUGUCUCAAGUUCCUUUUAUUGUAUGAAACACGACGAGCUGCGGGUCCUCUCUUCCUCUUAUCUUUUUCAAUUGUGUUUCUUUUUUUUAUAUUUUCUAGGAUUGUAUGAUAGAUUUACAGCUUUCCUUGAUUGUUUACUUACUGUUUUACAAUUUUCAAUUCAAUUGGGCAUUUCUUUUUCAUUUUCUUUAGAAACAGAUUAGCAUGAAAAUGACCAAUCACGCAUGAUCGCUUAGUUUAGGACUAACAAUCCUCAAAAUGUAAAGAAAUACAUGGACACGUUAGGUAAAUACAACAUACUAUUUAGGUACCGAAAUGGUGCUAAUAGAAAUAUUGGCGUAACCGAAGUCUCCAGACCUAGAGAUCUUAUUGCAAGGGAACACUCCUGACCCUUGAUUGGGUUUCUAGCUGACCCCAAAAAUGAGGCUAGUGGCGACUCCUAUCUUAUUUUUAGAUUGUCAUAAACAAUUAGACUGUAUAAAUGAACCUGUUACACGGGGUACGAGUCAUGAUAUGACUCACCAUGGUUUAUCAUACCCACAUGUGGAAAAUUUCUAAUAGAUUGAAGUGACGCCAUCGUUAGGAAGGAGUUCUAGAGGGAUGGCUAUCAUGGUAAAUAUACUCUUAAAUUCGAUAUUCACACCUGACCUCCUCUCUCGAGGUAUGUCGCCUGUGAGCACGGGUCGUGACACUCCGCUGUCAUGCGAGGUACGAGUUUGGAAGAACUUGCAACCUUGUAAAGGGAACUCACAAGAGAGUCAUUCGGGGGAUGAGGUAAUGACAUCCUUGUGGUUGAGAACCGUGAGGAAACUUUCAUGGUCAAGUACUCCUAAAUCCGACCUUUCCUCCCUUUUCCUCUCCUCUUGAGAGGGAUCGAGGGCGACGAGAUUGGGUCGUGGCAAGAGUUAAGUGGAAUUGAGUGAGGAAACGAAGUAGAGAAAGAAAGUAGUCUUGCUGAGUUUAAUAGAAAAGAAAAGACACGACAAAAUGGAAAGGUUGAAGAUGAAGAAGGUGAUGGCUGGUCUUAAAUGGCUAAGAUGUCUUCGUUUGUUUUGAUGUUGUCUAAAUUCAUCCAAGCAUUCACUAAAGAUGCAAAGGAAAGCACAAAAAAAGGUGACAGACUCAUGCAAUAAGGUUAGGGACCGAGCAAAAAAAUGCCGAUAAGAAAAAGAAAUAAAAUAGAAAAAUAUAAUAACAACAAAAAAGAAAAAAGAAAAAAGAAAAAAGAAAAAAGAAAAACAACAACAAUAAUAAAAAAUUGAAAACAUAAAAAAAUUAGAAAAAUAGUUAGAAAAAUAUAGUUGGUUAGAUCUUAGUAUUAGAUUUAGUUUAAUAUUAUUUGUUUAGAAUGCAUUAGUUUAGGGACUUUAAUGGUAAUCUUUGGUUUAGUACUUUAGUUUUAGAUAGUUUAGUCUCUUAGAAAAAAAUUAGAUCCUAUUUGAAAUUAGGUCAUGGGGGUUGCUGUCUUAGGAGUUUAAUAACAAAGCCAUGUCAUAUUUUUACGCAACUCAUAUUAGGUUACUUUAUUGCACUUUAUCUUUCACUCGUUAUUCUAUUAUUAUCUUUAAUGAAUUGGUUGUGAUUCUUUUAUAUUGUUUUGUGUUGUGAUUGUUUGUUUUAGUUGAAUGAUUAGGUUGUAUUUUAGGAUCAUAAUAAACACAAAGACAUUACUUGAACACUUAGUGGACUCAUAAUUGGAUAAAAGGAUUGUGUGUGACACUGAGUUGAUAAUAAAUCAAGUUGAAGUACUAAAAUGGCAUUAGUUACCAUCGACCGCGGUGGCUCCGCUGGUAGGCUCCUAGACUUCCACGCAGGAGGUCUGGAGUUCGAAGCCCCUGCAACGCAAGUUGCAAGGAGGCAGGUGGGCCACUUGGUGACUUACCCAUGGUGCGUGGGUGGUGGUUUCCUACGUGCCUCCCUAGGGGUUUACUCCCAGCUGUCGGCUGUACGGGGUUCCCCUGGGUUACCAAAAAAAAAAAUGGCAUUAGUUUAAAUAAUUAGUGUAAUCAAGUCUCUAACCUUAAGCCUCUGACUGCGUAAAAAGUGAGGUAUUGAAUGAAAUAUCUAUAAAAAAAAUAUUAGAAACUAAUUAAAUUCUUCUUUUUGGUCGAAUGUCAAAAUUUUCAAUUUAACCAAAAAAUCCACCUUUGGCCAAUUUUAUGAAAAUUUGAAAUCUAAAGGCCUAAUUUCACACGUCUGUGCUAAAUCAACAUCAUAUGUAAUUGAGAUACUAAGGAUACUUAGCUAAUUUAUUUAUUUAUAUAUUUAUUUAUCAAGAAACGAGACUCGUUGCGAUUGGGGAUCUCGAAUCUUGAAUUUUCUAACUUUGACUGUCGGGAAAAUUUAGUGCCGAUAUGGCCUCUAAUAUUUUCUCCUCAGCACCUCACUACGGCAUGAGAAUGGGUCACUCAUAUUCAUCUUUGCUCCUAUGUACAUGGACCAUUAUCUCCAGAGAGGUGAAGCCUUAGUCGCCUUCAUAAUAUACCUAUCUAGUACUUGGGAGCUGUCUAGCCUCUCCGUCUCUUCCCCUCCUCCUUCAAAAACUCACCAAAGGACCAUAGAAGCUUAAAGCUUAAGUGGCCAUAGUCAUAGUUGUUUGGAGAAUGAAGAAGAAGAUGAAUAGGAAAAAAAGAAGAAGAAAGAAAACAAAUGAUUUUAGACAUAUUAGAAUGCACAUGUAAGUUAUGUUAGAGAAGUCUUGCAUUAAGAAUUGGUGUAUUGUGAAGCAAUUAAUAUAUCCUUAUUGACUCAUAAUUAAUUGGCUUAAUCUUUUGGGUAAAGGUGGAUCCGGUGGAUAUGUUGAUGGGUUCAGACUUGAACUCUCUCUUAGCCAUCUCCUCAGAAGAAAGCAUUUGACUUCUGCUACGCGUUUUCAACAAAUUAGUAUUAGAGCUUAUGGUCAAUGAAGUUGGGCGUAAUUUCCAUGUGGUGGGCAUUGUGGUGUAACAAUAUAGGUCCAGUGAUAGACUUCAUAUCUUGAUGCAGAAAGAUACCUAGAUUAAGGGGGAAUGAAGCUAACACAGAGCUCAUUUCUUAGGUACAUUACUACUUAGUAGUGCAUGUACAAUAGUAAAGUGCAAUUUUUAUUUGGUGUAAUAUGAAAUGAACAGCUAGAAUCCAAAAUCCAUAUGUGAAAUGAUGAAUCCUUAGUGACAAAUAAGAUAUAAUCAUCACUAUCUAAAUUACUAUCAGCUAUAGCUACAAUACCAUCUAUGGAUUCAACUCUAAUUCUCUUAUCCUGGUUAUUCCUUAGCUUAAAACAAUUCAUUCUAAGAUGCCCCCUCUUGCCACAGCUCUAACAGACACCACUAUUAAUCAUAGAAUGUCUACGUGUGUUCAAGUUUAUAUUACUCUUGUUAACAUGUGUACUAGCUCUUUUGCUACUUUUACCUACUAAAGUAGUAAAUACAAAUUUACCAUAUUAUUUUUUAUAGAUGUCCUCACUAAGAACUAAAUUGUAGACCUCAUCAAAUGUUAAGCUUGUUAACCAAGAGGAAUUAUUAACAGCAGUAACAGUAGUAUUUUAAAUAGCAAGUAAUAAGAAUAAUAUAAUAAAAGCACGUAACUUAUAGUCAAUCUCAAUUGACUAAUGAUUACAUUGAAUUCAUUGAUAUAAUUGGCAACUAACGUACCUUCGUCUAUCUUCAAGUUAAAUAGACAUCGUAUCAGGCAUACCUUAUUGAUCACAAAAGGCUUAUCAUAUAUGUUUGAUAGGGCUUUCGUCAAACCUGUAGUGGUAUUCUCUUUCAUUAUGUUAAACACAACAUUACAAGCUAACGUUAGCUGAAUAACACCCAACGUUUGUCUAUUAGUAAAUUCCCGUUCAGCUCGCUUCAUUGACUCUGGCUUCUCCUUAGACACAAGUAAGCACAAUUUCUUUUGGUAUUAGAACCGAUGGUUGAUAGGUGGCCCACUCCUAAUGUGUAUUUGCAUUUGUUGAAUAUCUUUGGAAUUGAAUCCGGUGACCAACGCGAUUUCCAUGCGGUGGGUGUUGUGUUGUAGCAACGUGAGCUUAGUGGCAAACUCAAUGGUUCGAUCUAAAGAAAGAUGCCGAGGAUGAAGUAGGCAUUGAUGGAGAUUCAAGCUGAGAUAUCAAAAUCCAAAAGGAUACUUGGAUUAAAGGGGAGGGACCUAUCACUAAGUUCAUAUGUUAGUGAGACAUUGUUAGGAUGCACGUGUGAAUUAUGCCAAAGAAGUCUCACGUUGAAGAAUUUGUAUAGUAUGGAGUAGUUGAUAUAUUCUAGUUGGCACAUAACUCAUUGGCUUAAGUUUUUGAGUAAAUGUGAGUCCAACUAGAUAUGUUGACUGAUCAAACUUGAGCUCUUCCUUGGUGAUCUUCUCAUAUAAGGUAUUGGGUUUUUGCGGCGCGCUCCCAACAAGAUGAAAAUGCCUUUGACCAUGACUUUAGAAAGUGACAUGUGAGAGACACAUGUGAGCUCAGGCCUUUUUCCCUCCGUUGACGAUCAAGUGAUGUCUACAAACUUGAAGUGUGGAAUUGGAGAAGAAGAACAAAGGUUUGCGAGCGCUCUUCGUUCUUUAGUGGUACUAGGAGCUAAAAAUAUCUAGUUUAGUUUUAAUAAUUAAAUUGAAGAUUCUUGAUAUAUAUUAUAAUUCUGCUUACACUGGACCUUGGGCAAAAUUUGAAGGUUGAGAAUUAAUUUGCUUUUAUUAAAUGGAUCUACUAGUCACAUUUGAUUUGUCUCAUCAUUUUCAAGAUACAUCAAAGGAAUGUCAACUCGCUUUCUCUCCAUCGCAUGUAUAUAAGGCAUUUUCAAUCGUAUGAAAGUACUAUAUGAUGUUUUGAACUGAAUUUUAGGCUCUAUUCAUUUCACAAAAGAUAUUACGUUUCCAAAAUAUGUUUUCCACGAACUCAUUUUCCAAGAAAAUGACAAUAUUUUCCCGUAUUUGGUCGAAACCUGAAAAUGAAGUGGAAAAUAUUUUCUACUAUUCGGUAUCUCAUUUGAUUUUUUGAGAAAAAUUACCAAAAAAAUUGAAUUUUAAUUUUUUUAAUCGACAAAAAAUUUAAAUGUAAAAUUUAUAUAUAUUUUAAAAUUAUAUAUAUUUUUUAUUUUUUUCUUUAUUUUUCUCCUCCUUCCUCCUCCUUCCUCCUCCGCUGUGUGCCUCGAAGAUGGUUGGUUGCCUAGUGAUCGACCAAAAUGCAUAUCAACAGGCUCGAGGCUCAGCCGAUCUAGGUGAGCCCAAUCUCCAUUGAGGCUUGACAAACUUCAUUAGGAAUUGUAUUAAUAAAAUUAUCCCGAACUUCACAAGCUUAGUCUGUGGUGUAGAGGACUUCACAAUUAUCUGUAUAGGUUAAGAUAAAGACACAAAUAUCUCCAUUAUACUAUUAUCUUUAAUAGUCUAAGAAUAGCUAUCCUCUGUAAUCUUAUCAAAUUCCAAAAACUCUGCUGUAUGUGAUUCCAUAAUUCUUGUACUUCCAUUGAGACAUAAAUUGUUCUCCCUUCAAAUGACCUAGGUAAGAUAUGAAAUAACACCGAGUGGUUCUGCAGUCCAACUUACUUAAUGUUGGAUCAUAUAACCUCACUUCUGUAGGACACUCCAAACUCUAAGAUGGUUCAAAUUAGGUUUACAGCUCACAACUCAAAACGAGUCAACAUAAUAUCUUUGGUAGAAAUUCGAUAGAAUGCACAUUGGGUUGUUUCGCCCCAACAAAAACCUGAUAAAUUAGUUUUAGUAAUCAUAUUCACUAUCAUGCCCAUUAUGGUGCAAUUAUGCCUUUUGAUCACACUAAUUUGUUUAGGAUUUUCGGGUAUAGUAAACUAAAUUACCAUCCCAAAAUCUUUCAAGUAUUUGACAAAUGGCCCUUUAAGCUAUCUAGCAUUACUAUACUUAUCAAAAUACUCACCACUAUAAUCAUAUUUGACAAUCUUUAAGACUUAUCCUAACUGUUUCUUGACUUUAGUCCAAAAGAACUUGAAUCUAUCCAAAGAUUCAAACUUUUCUUUUAUCAAAUAUGAAAGAAGUAGUUGUCAAUGAUUAUGUUGAAAUGAAAAAUUCUAUAUAAUGUUACCAUAUAAAUAGUUCACUAAUAUCAAUGUGAAUGACCUCCAACAGGUUAGGACUUCAUACUGCAGUUUUCUUAUUUAUCUUAAUCAUCUUACUUCUACGACAGUCUACACAAGUCUUUAGGUGACUUUUAAGAGUAGACCAAAUGUCAACGUUAUCAAUAUUUCUACUCUUUCUGUAAACAUAUGAUCAAGACAUUUAUGCUACAAUGCAUAAAACUAUUUCUUAAGUAAAGAUCUAUUGAAAACAAUCUUUUCAAAUAUAUAAGCGACGUACAUAUCGUUGGGAGAUCAGCACAAUUGAUACAAUCUUUUCAACAUAUUACAGCACCCAACUUUAUUUGAAUUGGAAAACAUAAAAAUAACAUUAUUCUUUACUUCAAAAGAGUAGCUACACACUUCUAGACAUUAUAUGGAAAUUAUUAUUUUUAUUUAUUUAUUUUUUGUGGAUGAUAUUUUAUUAAGCUUAACUAAAAUGUACAAGCAAGCGGCACCAAAACUUACACUCAAAAUGAACAAGGCAUAAUGAGUGGAAGGGUGCCGAAGGAAGAAAACAAAAGCCAACAAGGCAGCGAAACUAAAGGGGACAGUUAACCAACAACGGCCACAUCCAAAGCAGGACCAAACAAAAGAAGGCAACCGGGCAGCCAAACAGUGGCAAACAAAAAACAAAAGACAGACACAUCGAAAAGCGGCUAGCAAGAGACGUAGUCACUGCCAGCAAGGAGGCGCAUCCAUCAAAAGACCAACCAAUAGAAACUAUGGAGCCACCUGAUCAGAGCAGAAGAUGCAUGGGUCAAAACUCCAACUACGCUGAAGUCUCCUGUUUCGUGGAAUGUCCUCAACAUUAGUGAAAGUCAAAGCCAUAUCCUUCACCACUCUAAGGAGGUGCUUUUUCACCGCCAAGAUCAUCAAAAUAUGGAAUUUAAGUUUCGUCUAAAGGAAAGUACAUAAAAGUGUUUUUCAAUAUCAAAUGUAAACCAGAAUCCAAAAUAAAAACAUCUCCCACUAAAUUGACAUUAAAUGCUAUUUCCCAUAAUGAGUUAUGAUUCAUCCCAAUUUGGCUUUCUUAGAUUUAUGAAUCUCUUUAUGAUAAAUAAUAUAAUUUUUUGCACCGCUAUCCAGCCACCAAGAACUAAAUGAGGCUUUUGAUAGGAAUUUGAUUCGUAAAUGAAUGCCAAGAAUCAUUAACUCCAAAGUCACGCUUGGACAACCAAGUUUUAUAUUACAGUAUUCCUUAUGUGUCAUUUCUUUCCACAAAAGUAGUAAAUGACACCAUUUCUUCAAAAAGUGCUAUCAUGAGAUCAGAUUGUCAAAAUAACCGUGGUUUCAUGAAUUCAUUUAUGAGUAUGAUUUUGAACUUCAAAUCUACCAUCCUUAGGAUGUAACUCUUAACUUCAUCAAAACCAUCACAUUUUAUGUUGAAGAGUCCUUACAUUUAUCAUAAUCUCGGUAUUAGACAAGACACAAUUUCAAGCCAUCAAGGCUUCCAUCAUCCCUUUAACAAUGUAGCCAGCUAGUAAAUCAUUUUCAAGUAUUCCUAAUGGAACGCCUCAUAGAUAACGAACAAAUUUAGUUGCCCUUUUCCCAAGCAGCAAAAAUAACUUUCUAGUUCUAUAUCACUAAGAGUGACAUUGCCAGUUUAUUUCUAGUAAGAGCAAUAAGGACAUCUAUCGGCUUCAUUCCAAAUAGAAAAUCCUCCAUUCACUACUCAAAAUUUGACCCAAUAAGGACUUCAAUCACAACGGAGUUGCCAUUACAAAGAGUGUGACUUAAUAAUAAGCAGCAUAUGCAAUUGGCAUCAUGUGAGUACUGUGUAACUUGAAAACCUUAUAAAUACACAUCCCAAGAGUUACACGCAUCAUCAUAUAAACACCUUUGGGCAGAAUACAUGAUAUGCAAUCGUACAUUCUCCAAAUGAUAGAGGCCAUGAGAAUAUGUUCUAACUUUUCGCAAAUUCACCACUUUUGGAUGUAUGAAACACUAGGGUCAGUUACUCCUCAACUAUAUGCUGUAAAUGCAUCCCUCCAUGACUAACACACAAUCACAUCUUUUGGGAAUAUGACCACGCAUUAGAACAUGAGACAUCCCAUCACAAUAUGAGAUCGAUAUUUCUCAAAUCGAACCAAGUGUGUCACUUUGAUGAUCACAACCCAAUUGAAUCAUUGAAACUCUUUUAUACCAAGGAUAUAAAUUUUAUGACUCACAUUUAUUUUAUCAAUGUGAUUUUAGAUUUGAUGACAUAGGCAAUUUGUUACCAACAUCACACAUCAUGCCAAUCACAUUGCUCCAUUCAUUAACACAUGUUGAACCUUAUACAUGCCAUUAAUGAAUCAAUACUCUCCACAAUAUUUAUGUGAUAAUAUAUAUUAGUUUACAAUGUUUUUUUUAAACCAUUGAAAAAUACAUGAAAAUUACGCAAAAAAUAUCCCAAAAAUCACAUACCUUAGGGUUCCACAUGCAUUUUCAUAUCCAUAAAAUCAUCAAACAUAUAAAAUAAACACAUCACAGUGUAGAGAACUUCCAUACGAGUACGACCAUGCAAACCACACGCCAAAUGAAUGUCAUAUGCUCCCUCACGCGCUCGCCCUCAUCAGCCGGCCUGAAAUCGAUUCAACCGGGUCAAACUAGUCCAACCGUCCGGCAAUCCGACUAGUCAACGGCCAACCCGAGUCGGGUCUACUCGGGUUGGAUCAACCCGGUCAACGCUAGUCAACCCAGGUCGAGUCAACCCAGUCAAACCGAAGCGGGUCGACCCCCGGGGAGUGAUGUCAUCAACCCAUGGCGGUGGCCCAAGUCGGUAGGUGAUGUCAUCAAUGACGUCACCCUAUUGCCUUAAGCGGUCACACGGGUGCGUGAGCUUGCUUGCUGAUGUGUGGCGCCACUCACUGGCACCGUGGCGGUGCUUCCGGCCUCAUCUGGAGACGUACAACCUACCCAAAUGCUCAUCUCGACAAGUAAAAGCCAAAUAUGUGAUCAAAAUCCAUUUUCAUCGAACGAAAAUUCACAUUAACGGGCAAAACGAUCCAAAGAUAGGUCAAAUCCGAAAUACUCAUCAUCAGUGCAUUUGGCCUCCGCCAGAGGUGUACCACCCACAAAACGCUCGAUUCGACAAGACGAAUCCAAAUAUGUUUUGAAAAUCAAGUUUCAAUCGACAAAAUUUUUGAAAAUGGGCCAAAUGCAACGGUUCGAGUUUUAGGCUAUGAGGCUCUAAUACCAAAUGUUAACCGUCGAAGUAGUAUGCCAAGAUUAACGUAGCUAGAAACUCGAACAUAUUAUAGAAGUAAACAAAGAUUUGCGUACUUGAUUUGGAAUCCAUCGUUCUUUAUGCAAAAUGGCGAUGAUUCGACACUCAGGUUCUUCUCCUCUAUGGCUCACGGAUUCUAGUGUGAUGAGGUCGCCCCUCAUGACUUCCUAUGCGAGGUGAGAGAAUGUUUGUGGAAGAAUGAGGGUUAGAGAAAGGACCUUAGCAUUAUUUAUAAAGUUUUGAACGGACCAUCUCAUCACGGGUCGAGCCCAACUCAACCCACACAAGCUAGGCCCAUUUUCGAUUAUUAAAAAAAUCUUAUGCCUUACCUUAUUAGACCAACCCCGUAAAACGGUAAAUUACAAUCUCAUUUAAUGUAGCCCACAUUAGGAAAAUUCUUACAGUCCCAAGGCCCCGACAAAGAUGCAACGAAGUUUGAAGAUUGGAUUUUUCCUUUCCAUCUUUUGGGUUGGUGAGCUUUGAGGUGGAAGAGAACAAAGGAGAGUAAGAGAGCGGCUUACGGUCCACUGACCAUGAUGGCGGCAAACAUGGCGGACACGCCACAAGGCGUUCAAUGGUAACCAAUUGAUGGUGGCUAGCAAGACAAGCACUGCGCGAAGGAAGAGCCGCAUGUCGUCGCCAAACAACAUGGCACGUGCAGGAUGAACUUGAACCCCAUUGCCAUCACGGGUCAGCUCGGUCUUCGCUUCGGAUCGAAUGUAGAAGACGAUCAUCCAAAGACUGAUGUGUAGUAAUCUUGGGUUGGGUCUGGUCAAAUAGUUGACUUUGGGACUGUCGAUGUGCAUUGGGACAAAGGCAUCUGUGCAGCAUGAGGGAGGGGGAAUUUCUUCCUGGACUGAUUGAAUCUCGCCCGUUGAUCUUGUCGGGCGCUGGUGGGGCUCGCUUGAUCCAUGCGCGCGGAAAUUAAAGAAGCAACUCGCAUUUUAUGCAAAAGUCAAUAGUUUUCAUCAUUUGGAUGAGGAUCAUUCCAAAUGGACUCCAUCAGAUUUCACAGUUUAAAUUUAGUUAUAUAAUCUAUAUCUAACUAAAUUUAUUUGAAUUCUUUUUCUCUAUUAAAAAUUUACUAUCCACGUUGAAAUUCAAUCUAAUUUAAAAGAAAAAAAUCAUCAUUUGGAGUUAAUAGUAUUGGUGAAUCAAAAUAGCUGAAAAUUUGUUACUCUUUUUUGCAUUAAAAAUGAUCGAGUAUUAAAAGCAAUCUAAGAUGCAUAGUUUUUUAUAUAAUUUUAUAUUAACCACAUUGUAAUUCAUCAACAAAACCACAACAAAAAUUAUUAAGUGUUCUGGAUAAUUACACUAUUAUUUUCGUCCUAAAUUAUAUCCCAUUUCGAUAGUCGUUGGAUUGGUGCUGUAUAAAUAACUGAAAAUAUUGUGUUUUUCCCUUUGCCAUAUGAUGCAUCUGCUUAUAUGUUUGUAAGAGAUCUCUUACCUUCUUUCCUCCUAAAAUGCUAUCAAUAACUUAAUUUCUGGACACAGCUUUGUUCGUGUAGCAUUGCCUUCUUUAAUGAACAAAUUUGCAAUGAUGCCUUAAAAUGAUGUUUUCUUCUUUUGAAGUUUCUCAAGUACACGUAGGACCCACCUUGAAUCUUCUUUCUGAAGUAUAUCGGAAUCCAAAAUCUCAAUCAUUUAUCCCAACUAGAAAAAGUGUCUUUUCAUAUACCAAAGCACAAAAACAACGUUGUGUUUAAUAUGGGAUGCGCUAAAACAAACAAUCAAGUGAAUCAAAUCAAGAUUGUGAUACAAUAAUGCUAUGGAGAGAGCAUACCCUAGUACCAAUUAAUUUUUUCUUCCACCUUUGACCCAUUUUGAUGCCUUUAUAUUGCUCAUAUAACCAUGCCACCCGUCAGCUAAGCAACAAUUUUCACCGGGAGGCUAAGUAUUACUGCAAGGGAGCUUUAUGUAUAGCUAAAGGAGCACAACAGGGAUACAACCAAUAGGCCUUUUAGCCAAACCACUGGCGCUUGCGUAAGUCCAUAAUUUUUCCUUCCUAAAUCAUUUCACAUGAUGAAUGCGUUUGUCUUUUUCAUAUCAUCUCAAACAUUGUUAAAAAUAAAUUUUCACAAGUCGAGAGAUCUUAAUCUUUGUUCGCAUUCGAGUUCCGGGCAUAUGAUUGGCUGGCUGUUUCGAAAAUUACCUUAAAGAAUGGUCUCACUUGUGACAUCCCAGAUUUUCACUUCUGUUUUCUAUUGAAUAAAUCGGGCUAUUCAUCGACGCGCCUAUAAGACUGUUCUCAGAGCUGAUCACUCUCGAGAUAACUAGACUAUUCAGGAAAGCUAUUAAGGAAUUUUAAUGCAAUAGACUUGAGAAUUCGACUAGGAAUCAACUUCUUGACCGUGCUCAUCUUUAGAGACCAUUACGGCACAGUUAAAAAUCGAUUUGAGAUCAGAGAUAAGUAUGUUCGACUGAGAUGUGUGGCUAAUCGUGGGUGAUACCACUAAAUUGGAAAAUUCUCGUUGGCCGGCCCAAAACUGAUUUUUCUAUCGUUUUAGUACUCUGUGUCCGUAUUUGAAUCCUCGAUAUUGUCAUGACAACCGAGAGUCGCCAAUGGGUCGAGUGGGUUCAUAGUGGCUCAAAAAAAUCAACCACAGGUCAUUUGCACUAAAAGUAUCUGAAAACUAUCCGGUAGCUUAGAUCACGCUAAAAACGUGCCGAAUGGAAAUUAACCGCGAAUUCGAGUCCAAUUUCAGAAAUUGAAGAUUCUGUCAUGUCACAAUAAAUUCUAGGAACGUCGAUUUAGUCUCAAAAGAUUUUUCUACAACCCGAGACAUUUUGGGAAAAUGUCGGCAUAUGACCGUUUUUGUUCAAAAAAAGCCGAGAAUCGUUUUUUAUCGCAAAUUUGAGAUGCAAGAUGGAGCCAUUGGUGAGGUAAAUUAUCAAUUUGAUAAUUAAAGUACUAAUUGAAUUUAUUGAGGCUAAAUAGGAUUGAAUUAAAUGAGAUUAAGUGUCCAAAUUGAGGCCAAAGCUUCAAAAUUCAUAGCUCCCCCAUGGCCUAACCAAAAUGGACCAAUUCAAGAGUCAUUGGGAGUGCAUGUGUGGCCUAAGGACAGCCAAGUAUCAAUGCUUGGCCAUGGUGGGUCAAAGGGGACAAUUGAAUGGAAAAUCAAGGCUUGUGGUCCCCCUUUUAUCCAAGCUUGUCCCCCAUCCUCUCCCUCCAUCCCUAGCCGAUCGACCAAGCUGCUUCUUCACCUCUAUUGCUGUCACUUGAAGGCCAAAAGACCAGUAGAAGAAGCUGUAGCCCGUCGCACGUCGGAGCACCACCGCUAGCUGCCGUUUGCUACCUCCGACCCCGUCUGCGGGCCGCUCGAGCCACCACCUAGCCGUGCGCAUCCCAGCCUCUGCCGUGCGUCCCCAGGGCUGUCCCAUGCAACUCAAGCCACUGCCGGAGCUCCCUCCGCCUCCACUAGAACAAAGGAUAUUUUCAAUGGGUUUCCAACCACCUUGGUAGCCCGUUUUGAGGUGUUCCCGGGCCUCGAAACCUAGGCCUGCUUUGGAGAAAAGCGACCCCCGCCACGUUCCCGUCGGUUUGAUCCGACCCGUUCGUUAAACAAGUGAGUUUUGCUCAUUAAACCUUGCUUAGUAUGCUAAUGAUGCUUAGGAGUUGAUUAGAUUUAAUUAAGUGCAAUUAGAUUGAUAUAUUAGAUUAGAGAUAUUAAAUUAGAAACUUAUCAAUGCAUGUUAGGCAAAUGAAUAGUGUACUUAGUAAGGAAAUAUGUCAUAAUAUUUAUUGAACGAACCUUGAAAUUUUUCCAGAUUCGUCUCGGCUUCCAAUUAGGCAUUACAGGCCUAAAUUGGAUUUAUUAUAUUUAUUUAAUAUUUUCUGUAAUUUUUUAAUUAAUUAAUUAAUUUCUGGAAAUUAGGAUGGUAUAGUCGACGACUGGAAUUUUAUGCUGAUUAUUGUGGUGCUGUCCGUUUAUUUAAUUCAACAUUAAAUCGUGUUGAAUUGAUUUAAAUAUGAUUUUAGGGUUUUAUUCCUAAAUAUUUAAUCUCAGCAAUUGAUUGGCAAAUAACUGAGCAUUAGUCUAUAGCGCCAUCAAUAUUUUAGUGGGCUAUAUAAAGUGGUGAGAAAGAAAGUUCUAUUACGUGGCUCGAAGACCAAAAGUGUCGUCCUGUAGAAUUCACGUGACUUGUGAAUUAUAUACAUCACCUUCGAAAGGCACGUGGCUCAGUGAUUAGUACGUCACCUUAGAGAAUGCACGUGACUUGGUAAUUUGGUAUAUCGUCUUAGAGAAUGCACAUGGCUCGGUGAUUAGUACGUCACCUUAGAGAAUGCACGGGGUUUGGUGAUUAGACAUGUCGCCUUAGAAAAUGCACGUGACUCGGUAACUAAGUAUGUCACCUUAAAGAAUGCACGUGGCUCAGUGACUAGAUAUAUACUGUCUUGGAAAAUGAAUAGUAUGGAUUAAAAUGACCGCGAAAUGGUCAGAUUGACAUGUAAUCGAUUAGAUCGAUUGAUCAGGGAUUUGAUUGGAUUGGAUUGGGUGCUAUGUCUGUCAAUAUUUAUUAAUCGAACUGACUUGCAGGAAUGGAACUAAGGCCAAGGUAAGUCCUCUCACUCGUGUUGUUCUUAGGCAGCCCUAGGGUAGGGUGUAUUGGCUUCCUAAUCGAGUCUUAGGGCGUAGAACUUGCUGAGACGUAGUCUCAUCCCGAUUGUGGGACAACAUUUCAAGUCCCUAGAUGGUAGCACCUCCGCCUUCUCGUCCUCCCAUGCACUUUGGUAUAUGCGCGAGGAGAUCACUAAGAUAGGGUACCACUUCUCGAUACAUCCUCACCCGGAAGGACUAGAGUAUGUUUUAGUAAAAUCCAAUGUCUGGGUUGACGUGGGCAAAGACGCCUUGGUGCCCCACGAGUAUAGGUCGUGGUAUCGUCACUACCAUGAUAGGCGAGGAGAGGUUCCUGUACCAGAAGGUGAUGUGCCUCUAUUCGUUUUAGAGGCAGCAUCCGAAGAAGGGACUACAGAUCCCAAGGACGGAGCGGUGAAUGAUGCCAAAGACCCUAAACUCGAGAGUGACCCCAACUCUCCUAAGCCAUCAGCAGUAGACUCCAGCUGGAGCGUGGAAGAAUGAGAGAUCAAAUAAGAAGAUGUGUACCCAGAAGAGAACCUAGAGAAGGAACCUAUGGAGGAAAAACUCAAAGAGGAGGACCCUGAUGAGGAAUCAAAGGAAGAGUCUGAGGAGGAUCCCAAGGAUGAACUGGAGUAUGACCCAGAUAAGGAUUGAAACCCCCACCCUAUUUUGCAAACCCUGUAUGUGAACUAAUAUGUGAUAGAUCAGACUUUUGUGAAUAGUAUUAUAAUAUGUACUAUGAGAUUUGCUUGUAUAAAAGUGUGGUUGUGAUUUUUCAGUUGUGAAAAAUAUAGCUCUACUUUUCUAUCAUAAUGUUUUAUUGUCUAGGGAUUAUUUUAUUUGCUUCCACAUGCGUAUAUUAAAACCAAUGGGUCAGCGAUGCGUCUUGGGAUAUUACUAUUAAUCGACCAGUUGAGGGAUGGGUGUGUGUCCGAGGAUCGGGGAGUAACAUCCCCGUUUAAGUGGUAUCAGAGCAAUGGUUAGGAAUUGGAAUGAUAAGGUGUGAUGGACCAUAGGAUAGUGGUAGGAAAGACAUUUAAAUUCAUGUCUAGUGCAUGUCGAUGGUAGAUGAUUGAUAAAAUUGUUUGUCGCGUGUGUAUCACUCAUCUUCUAAUCUAGUGUGGAUCUGGAAGACAGGUUUCAGUAGACAAAAAAAAAAACUAAACCAUGAGCAAGCCGGAGAAAAGAAUUUUGAGUAAGAGAACAGUUAAGCCUACAGCUCACGUAGAAUGCUGACCAGGGUCGGUACCCGAGGAAGCAUGAGCUAGGGCACCGACACAGGCCAGUGCCAGUGGUGUAGCACCACUACUAGUUGAUGCCAGGAUAGCAGCCCCUGGUGAUCUUAGAAUUGAAAGGAUCAUGCGGGUGCUAGAAGUUAUAGGUAACAGAAUGGAUUAGUGGGCACUAAACCAAGCCAUCGUUGUUGAAGCCGCCGCUUAGGCCGCUGCUACUGCUGCUGUUGUUGCUGCUGAAACCGCCCUUACUGCUGCACCUACCGCUGCACCUGUUGAAGGUCCGCCAGGAAUUGUGGUCGCUAAAAAACCAAUUCACAAGCUGGUGGAGCAAUUCUUAAAAUUGAACCCACCUCAGUUCACUAGGAUAGGAGACCUCGGAGCUGCUGCUUCAUGGAUUCAAAAAUUGGAGAAAACUUUUGCACUACUGAUGUGCAAUGAAACUGAGAAACUAGUCCUUGCAACUUACCAACUGGAGGGAGUUGCCAAUACUUGGUGGAGGACUACCCAAAGAGCAAUAUUUCAAGAAGGUGUUGUCCCAUAAUGGAACGCCUUCCUAGAGGCCUUUAAUGACAAAUACUUCUCAGAGACUGCCAGAGAAGUAAAGAUGGCAGAAUUUCAACGUCUUUGCCAAGGUUCCUUUGUCGACCAAUAUGAGGCGAAAUUCGCUAAACUUUCGCAAUAUGCUCCUGAACUGAUUGAGAAUCCGGCAAACCGAGCGAGAAGGUUUAGGGACGGAUUCAGACUGAACUUGAGAAGCAUACUCGUCUCUCUAGAUUUGAGAACUUACAAUGACCUUUAUGGGAAAGCCCAGAAGAUCGAGAAAGAUCAGAACGAAAGAGCUGAAUUGUCUAGGCCAAGGUUUAACUUCCAUAGAGAAGCAAUCCGACAGGGAAAGAGGCCCAUGCCUGGAGGUAGAUCUCAUGUUCUGCCCAACAAAAAAAAGUGGAUUUAGUAGACCAAUGUCUAGUAGGAGUGAAGCAUGUCGCUUUUGUGGGAGACGACACGGGUCAGCCCCAUGCCCAGUUAGGUCGAGAGCAUGUUUUGAAUGUGGCCAGCAGGGCCGCCUAGCCAAAAAUUGUCCUAGAAAGCCAAGAGGACAACCGCAAUUGCCACCACCGCCGCCAAUGGGACAGAUGAGAGGGUAUGCCCCUCAGAAUGUGCCACAGGGAGGACAGCUGAAACCUCCAGUUCAGGGCACAAUUUAUGCUAUCACACAGGGUCAAGCAGAAGCUACACCUGACAUGAUCACAAAUAUGGUUUCGCCGAAUGACCAUCCUAUUUACGCUUUAUUCGACUCAGAAGACUCAGGAGCAACUCAUUCCUUUAUUACCGAGCAAUAUGUUAAGUUGUUAGGAUUAAGUCCUAUAUUAUUGGAGUCGGCAGUUUGCAUAUCUACACCAUUGAAGGAUAAAGUGAUUGCUGCUUUGGGUUGUUCUGGUUGCAAGUUAGCGAUUACUGAGCGAGUGGGGAAAAUAGACUUAUUAGUCCUAGCCAUGUAUGAUUUUGAUUUAAUUAUUAGCAUGGAUUGGCUCACCAAGCAACGAGCUAAGAUGGAUUGCUAUCGCAAAGCGAUUCAGUUUGACCCAUUAGAGAGUGGAAGCUUCGAGUUUGUUAGGAAUCGAGGAGGACCCGCGAUUGUCCUGAUCUCAUCGCUAGAGACAACUCGUCUGUUAGACGAGGGUUGUCAAGGUUACUUGGCAACUGUUGUGGAUACGACAGUUGUGGAACUGAAAAUGGAAGACAUUGCUGUGGUGCAAGAAUUUCCAAAUGUCUUUCCAAAAGAAUUGACAGGACUACUGCCAGAAAAAGAGAGAAUUUGUGAUUGAGUUAGCUCCCGGGACAGAGCCAAUCUCUAAGGCUCCUUACCAAAUGGCGUUAUCUGAGUUGAAAGAACUGAAUGUGCAAAUGCAAGAACUAUUGGAUAAGGGAUUUAUUCGUCCUAGUGCAUCACCUUGGGGAGCACCAGUUUUGUUUGUUAAGAAGAAAGAUGGUUCGCUGCGCCUGUACAUCAACUAUCGACAACUCAAUUUAGUAACAAUCAAUAACAAGUAUCCACUCCCGAGAAUCGAUGAUUUGUUCGAUCAGUUGCAAGGAGCGUCGAUAUUUUCAAAGAUCGACUUGAGGACGGGAUAUCAUCAGCUGAGGAUCAGGAAGGACGUUCCUAAGUUAGUAUUUCAUACUUGGUAUGGUCAUUACGAGUUCACAGUGAUGCCAUUCGGGUUGACGAAUGCUCCUGCUGCCUUCAUGGAUUUGAUGAACUGAAUAUUCAAAGAAUUUCUAAAUCAGUUUGUGAUCAUGUUCAUUGAUGAUAUUCUGAUGUAUUCGAGGAGUGAUGAAGAGCACGAGAGUCAUUUAAGACUAGUUUUGCAGAUGCUAAGAGUCCACCAGUUGUACGCCAAGUUCAACAAGUGCGAGUUUUGGUUGACUCGUGUUGCUUUCUUAGGUCACAUGAUUUCAGGCGAAGGAAUCUCCGUGGACCCGAGUAAGAUUGAAGCAGUGAUCAACUGGCCAAGACCGACUACCGUGAUAGAAAUCAGAAGUUUUCUGGGUUUGGCAAGGUAUUACAGACGGUUUGUGAAAGGGUUCUCAUCGUUAGCGUCGCCUUUGACAAGACUUUUGAAGAAAGAGGAGAAAUUUGUGUGGACAAACAAGUGCGAGAGUAGUUUCCAAGAACUGAAGGAAAAGCUUACUACCGCACUUGUACUGACGAUUCUAUCUGGUUCCGGAGGAUUCAAAAUCUAUAGUGAUGCAUCAUUUAGAUGAUUGGGUUGUGUGCUGAUGCAAUAUGGCCGAGUUGUUGCAUACGCCUCCUGUCAGUUGCCACCUCAUGAGCAGAACUAUCCGACUCAUGACUUAGAACUUGCGGCGAUUAUUUUUGCCCUAAAAAUUUGGAGACAUUAUUUUUUUGGUAAAGGUAAGAAUAUAUUGAUAGCUUAGGACAAAAGAACAAAGAAACGGCACCAAAAGCUUACACUCUAGAUGCAAGAGCACAAGAGUGGAAGGGAGCCGCGUAAAAGCCAUAAAAGGCAAAAGCACUAACUAUAACAAACUCUGCCCAGCCAAAAACUUGGCCACGUAACCACCAAGGACGCCAGGGAAGUGAAGGGGAAGAGCGCAAGGCAGGACACGUAGAACUACCCAUCCACCAGCUUCAACCAUAAACCUCCAAGGACGGCCGUGAAGCAAUUGUGCAAGGCAGGAACACAAAGGCCAGAAGCGACCGAGACAGGGAUCAAAAGGAAGCAAAACGGAAGAACAAAAGAAUUGCAGUCUUACACAAAGAUGGCUGGGUCGAAUCCCCAACCUCUCUGAAGGCGCCGAUUCCUUGGAGUAUCAGGCACAUCUCUAUAAGUAAGGGUCUUUUCCUUAACCAUCCUAAUCAAACAGUUCUUGAAAGUGGGAAUAUCCAACGAAUCCCCUCGGAAAAUCAUGGCAUUUCUUUUCUUCCAAAUAAGAUAGCACAGAGCACCAAAGGAAUACCGAGAGAGACUAUGAAAGAAGUCCUUACCAGCAAGGAACCUCCGGGCCCAAUCAAGGUUUUCUUCCCAGGUGCCAUUUCUCCACGGUAAAUUGCAUCUGGUAGCCCAGAAGUAAACUAAAGUUGCUGGAAAAUUGCAGCCAAAGUACAAGUGGUCAAUUGAGUCCGGCUGAGAAUUGCAAAAGGUGCACACCGAAUAGUCAAUUCUUCCAUGAGAGAGCAAAAAAGCCUGGGUAGGCAAACGUCUCUUAGUGGUGAGCCAUAAAAGAAACUGAAACCGAGGGGCUAAGUCCUUGUCCCACACAAAGGAGGUCCACAGAAUUCUUGCUUUAGAAAUUCUAAUAAAAUUCCAAGCUGAGGCCACUGAGAAAGAACCCGAAGCAUGUUGAUGCCACACAAAGCGAUCAUUACUAGCCGAGAGAGAUGGAAAAGAAAACCCAAGAUCCUCCAGACACCGUUUGCAAGACCCGCCAGUGUGCGAAUAGAGAAACGCCACAGUCGCCUUAGUAGGAACGUCGGAAUCAGAGACAAAGUGCUCAGGAACCUGUAGAUGGAGAGGGCCACUGGGCAACCAAUUAUCAAACCACAAGGAAAUAGAGUGGCCAUUACCGACCUCCCACCCGAAGGACUGCCUGAACGGGCCCCUUAAUUGAAGAAUUUUUUUCCAGCUCCAAGCACACAUUGAAGGCUGCUGGGCAACCCAGAAGUUAUGCUUUUUUAAGAAGUUGGAGUGAAUCCAGCGGCACCACAACGAUUCCUUAUCAGUGAACAAAAUCCAAAUAUAUUUCAGCAUUGAGGCCUUGUUGCAAUCCUUAAUAGAUCGAAUACCCAGCCCCCCUUCCUCCCUAGGCAAACAAAUAUCCGCCCAAGCAACUUUCACACCUCCCGUGGCCAAAGAAGUACCUUUCCACAGGAAUCUACGUAGAAUAUUCUCAAUCCCCAGGAUUACCGAAGCCGGCAAAGUGAAAACACUAGUCCAAAACAAUUGAAUUGCAUGAAGCACUGACCUUAUAAGCUGGAGCCUCCCCGCAAAGGAGAGAAAUCUGUGAGACCAGGAGCGAACCCGCAAGGCAAUGCGGUCAAUUAGCUGAACACAAUCUCCCUUGCUCAACCUUUUAGAAAUGAUCGGCACUCCAAGGUACCGAACCGGGAGUUUUCCUUCCUGGAAUCCGAAGGCCAGGAGGAUUCUGCUACGUAGAGAAGGAUCACCUCCCGAAAGGAAAAUGUCGCUCUUUACUUUGUUAGGAAGAAGUCCACUCCAAGAAGAGAAAAUGUCGAGGCUUCUUUUCAGGAUCGUAGCCGACUUCCAAUCCGCUUGACAAAAAAGAAAGACAUCGUCUGCAAAAAACAGAUGCGUGAGUUUGGAAGAUUUACAUCUCCAGAAGUAUUUGAACUCCUUGGCCGAGGACCUUCGGUUCAAAAUGCCUGAGAAGAUCUCCAUGAUUAAAGUAAACAGAUACGGUGACAUUGGGUCACCCUGCCUAAGACCUCUGCCUCCCGGGAAGAAGCCAUGAAGCUCCCCAUUAAUAGAGAUAGAGAACCUGGGUGUACGAACACAAGCCAUAAUCCGAGUGAUGAUCCACUGAGGAAACCGAAAAGCUGUAAGUGUGAGCUCUAGGAAAUCCCAAUCAAUGGUAUCAUAUGCCUUACGGAAAUCCACCUUUACCGCACAUCUUGGAAGAUAUGGGUCAAGGUGAAAACCUGCAAACAACUCUUGGGCCAAUAAGAUAUUAUCCCUAAUUCUUCUUCCUUUAACGAAUGCAUUCUGGGUAGGACUGAUAAGAUCCUGAAGUACAGGUGCUAUUCAAUUGGCCAAUAUUUUAGUGAUAAGCUUGUAGACAGUAUUGCAGCAUGCAAUUGGUCUAAAGUCAUUCACUUCACAAGCAUUCGGCACCUUAGGGAUAAGGGCUAGGAUAGUCGCAUUGACUUCCUUUAGAAGAAAACCUGAGGAGAAGAAAUCUUGCACCGCCUCAGUAACUAAGGAUCCCACAAUAUUCCAGUUAUUCUUGAAGAAUUCUACUGUAAAACCAUCUGGACCAGGGGCCUUUCCUUUGGCUAGCGAGAACAAAGUAUUCUUAAUUUCCAAAUCAGACACCGGUGAGGCUAGAGAACAUACCUGGCCCUCCGUCAGUGGCCUCGGAAUAAAAGAAGUCAGCUCUUGAAGAUCUGGUUUAGCCAAAUUGACCCGAGGGGCAAGGAGAUCCGUAAAGAAGGAAAGGAAAACUUUAGGCACCAAAACAGGAUCCGAAACAACCACACCUGCAGAGUCCUUAACCGAGAGAAUUCGGUUGUUGAGGCAUCUAGCUUUAACAUAGUUGUGAAAGAAUGUUGUAUUACGCUCACCUUCCUUCAACCAUCUAAUUCUGGAUUUUUGUUUGUAAAAUGAUUCUUCUUGACGACGAAGGUCAAUAAACGCACUCCGCUGACCUCUUUCAAGUUCAGCAAGCGGGAUAUUUUCAGGAUCCGACUGAAGGAGCAUCUGAGUAGAACGCAAUUUUUCCCUCGCUUGAAGGGUUCUCUGUGAGAUAUCCGAGAAGGCUUCCAUAUUAAGAUCCUUUAAGCGGGCUUUCACCACCUUUAGCUUAGAAACAAGUCUAAACAUCGGAACACCCCAAACCUGACUAUUCCAUGCAUGAGAGAUUGUAGACCGGAAAUCCGGAUGAUCAACCAAGAAAUCAAAAAACUUAAAAGGCUUUCUCUUUGGCUGCGGAUCAACAACCCUAACAACCAUAGGGGUGUGAUCUGAAAUUCCAGGGUUGAGAAAGGACGCCUCCGAAUAAGAAAAGUCCAUCCUCCACUUAGAGUUCACAAGAACUCUGUCGAUCUUUCGCAUCUUUCUGGCUAAUUUGGAGACAUUAUUUGUGCGAAGAAAAAUUUCAAAUCUUCACGGACCAUCAAAGUCUCAAGUACUUAUUCUCUCAGAAAGAGUUGAACAUGAGACAACGCCGAUAGAUGGAAUUGCUGAAGAACUACGACUGUGAUAUCCUAUAUCACCCGGGAAAGGCAAACAAAAUUGCCGAUCCUGAGUCGAAAGUCUUCAAUUAUUCAUAUAUUGAUUAAAGAGUGGAAAUUAAUCAAGAGAGCUCGAGAUUCGGUAUUCAAGUUUGAGGUAGGCCACCUUUUAAGUCUUAUGGCCACCCUCAGAAUUGAACCGGAUGUCCAGAUCAGAAUCAAGCUACUCCAACCAACAAAUCCAGAUGUACAGAAAAUUCUACAAUAGGACACUGAGAAAAGAAAGGCUGACUUUCAGGUUUCCGAUUAAGGAAUACUGAGGUUCUGAGGACGUUUAGUUGUACCUGACAAUGUGGAGCUUAGAGAGGAUAUCUUAUCAGAAGCACAUCGUAGUAGUUACAACAUUCAUCCUAGUAGCACCAAGAUGUAUCAGAAUCUGCGUCAACACUAUUGGUGGUUUGGGAUGAAAGCGGACAUCGCCAAGCAUGUAGUCAAGUGUUUGACGUGUCAGCAAGUUAAAGCUUAGCAUUACAAGCCGAGAGGACUUCGUGACUGGACUACCGAGGAGUCAAAGAGAAAAUGAUUUGAUUUGGGUAGUAGUCGACAGACUAACAAAGUCAGCCCACUUCAUUGUAGUUCGAAAGGACCUCAAUUUAGAUAAACACGCAGAUUUGUAGGUGCGUUAGGUGGUUUGUAUGCAUGGAGUGCCGGUUACGAUAACUUCAGAUAGAGACCCAAGAUUUACUGCCGCUUUUUGGAAGAGCUUAUAGAGUGCCUUGGGUACCAAGCUUCAGUAUAGUAUGAGAUAUCAUCCUCAGACGGAUGGCCAGUCUAAGAAGACCAUUCAGACCCUUGAGGACAUGCUGAGAGCUUGUGUACUAGACUUCAAAGGAAGUUGGGAACAUCAGCUACACCUGGUAGAGUUUGCCUACAACAAUAGCUAUUACCAGAGCAUCAAUAUGGCUCCUUUUGAAGCAUUGUAUGGCAGAGUGUGCAGAACACUAGUGUGUUGGGAUGAAGUUGGGGAAAGAAAGAUUACAGGCCCAGAGUUGGUCCAGUAGUAAGUGGAUGCCGUGGUAGUGAUCAGAAACAGAUUAAAGACCGCUUAGAGUCGUCAAAAAAGCUAUGCAGAUAAGCGUCGAAGGUUUUUGGAAUUCCAAAUUGGUGAUCACGUUUUUCUAAAGGUGUCACCAAUGAGGGGAACUUUACGCUUUGGAAAGAAAGGAAAACUGAAUCCGAGGUACAUAGAUCCACUUGAGAUUCUUGAGAGAAUCGGGACCUUAGUGUAUCGUUUUGCGUUGCCGCCAAAAUUGGAGCAAGUGCAUGACGUCUUUCAUGUGUCGAUGUUAAGGAAGUAUGAGCCUGACCCGACCCAUGUGCUCAAUUUCGAGGAAUUAGAUGUGGAUAAUCGUGUGUCAUACGUUGAAAGCUCGGUUUAAAUAGUGGACAGAAAAGAGCAAGUCCUACAUACAAAGACCAUUCCGUUGGUCAAAGCAGUUUGGCAACACCAUAAUACUGAAGGAGCGACAUGGAAGACUGAAGAGUCGAUGAGACAAUUGUACCCCCACAUUUUUUAAGAAAUUUUGUAAUGGUUUAAAUUUCGAGGACAUAAUUUUUAUAAUAUGGGAAGAGUUGUGACAUCGCAGAUUUUCACCUCUGUUUUCUAUUGAAUAAAUCGGGCAUUUCAUCGACGCGCCUAUAAGGCUGUUCUCAAAGCUGAUCACUCUUAAGAUAACUAGACUACCCAAGAAAGCUAUUAAGGAAUUUUAAUGCAAUAGACUUGAGAAUUUGACUAUGAAUCGACUUCUUCAUCGUACUCAUCUUUAGAGGCCAUUACGGCACAAUUAAAAAUCGAUUUGAGAUCAGAGAUAUGUCUGUUCAACUGAGAUAUGUGGCUAAUCAUGGGUGACACCACUAAAUUGGAAAAUUCUCGUCAGCCGGCCCUAAAUUGAUUCUUCUGUCGUUUUGGUACCGUGUCCGUAUUUGAAUAAUUGAUAUUGUCACAACAACCGAGAGUUGCCAAUGGGUCAAGUGAAUUCGUAGUGGCUCAAAGAAAAUUGACCACGGGUCAUUUGCACUAAAAAUCUUUGAAAACUACCCAGUAGCCUAGGUUACGCUAAAAACGCGCCAAAUGGACAUUAACCAUGAAUUCGAGUCCAAUUUCAAAUUCUGUCAUGUCACAAUAAAUUUUAGGAACGUUAACUCGGUCUCAGAAGAUUUUUCUGCAACCUGAGACUUUUUGGGAAAAAGUCGGCAUAGGACCAUUUUUGUUUAGAAAAAGCCGAUGAUCGUUUUUUAUCGCAAAUUUGGGAUGCAAGAUGGAGCCAUUGGUGAGAUAAAUUAUUAAUUUGAUAAUUGAAGUACUAAUUGAAUUUAUUGAGGCAAAAUAUGAUUGAAUUAAAUGAGAUUAAGUGUCCAAAUUGAGGCCAAAGCUUCAAAAUUCGUAGCUCCCCCAUGGCCUAACCAAAAUGGACCAAUUCAAGAGUCAUUGGGGAGUGCAUGGGUGGCCUAAGGAUAGCCAAUGAUCAAUGCUUGGCCAUGGUGGGUCAAAAGGGACUAUUUAAUGGAAAAUCAAGACUUGUAGUCCCCCUCUUAUCCAAACUUGUCCCCCAUCCUCUCCCUCCAUCCCUAGCCGGUCGACCAAGCUGCUUCUUCACCUCCAUUGCCACCACUUGAAGGCCAGAAGACUAGGAAAAGAAGUUGCAGCCCGUCGCACGUCGGAGCGCCACCGCCAGCUGCCGUUUGCUGCCUCCGCCCCCAUCCGCAUGCCGUGCGAGCCACCGCCCAGCCGUGCAUGUCCCAGCCUCUACAGUGUGUCCCCAAGGCUGUCCCGUGCAGCUCAACCCGCUGCCGGAGCUCCCUCCGCCUCCGCUAGAAUAGAGGGUAUUUUCAAUGGGUUUCCAUCCACCUUGGUGGCCCAUUUUGAGGUGUUUCCGAAUCUCAAAAUCUAGGCCCGCUUUGGAGAAAAGCAACCCCCGCCACGUUCCUGUCGAUUUGAUCCGACCCAUUCGUUAAACAAAUGAGUUUUGCUCACUAAACCUUGCUUAGUAUGCUAAUGAUGCUUAGGGGUUGAUCAGAUUUAAUUAAGUGCAAUUAGGUGAAUAGAUUAUAUUAGAGUAAUUAAAUUAGAGACUUCUCAAUACAUGUUAGGCAAAUAGAUAGUGUAGUUAGCAAGGAAAUAUGUCCUAGUAUUUAUUGAACGAACCUUGAAAUUUUUCUAAGUCCGUCUCGGCUUCCAAUUAGGCAUUACGGGCCUAAAUUGGAUUUAUUGCAUAUAUUUAAUAUUUUUCGUAUUUUAUUUAUUUAUUAAUUAAUUUCCGGAAAUUAUGCUGGAAUAGCUGACGACCGGAAUUUUGUGCUGAUUAUUGUGGUGCAGUCCGUUUAUUUAUUUUAGCAUUAAAUCGUGUUGAAUUGAUAUAAAUAUGAUUUUAGGGUUUUAUUCCUAAAUUAUUUAAUCUCAGCAAUUGAUUGGUAAAUAACUAAACGUCAGUCUAUAGCGCAAUUAAUAUUUUAGUGGUCUAUAUAAAGUGGUAAAAAAGAAAGUUGUAUUACGUGACUCGAAGACCAAAAGUGUCGUCUUGGAGAAUGCACGUGACUUGUGAAUUAUAUACAUCACCUUCGAAAGGCACGUGACUCGGUGAUUAGUACGUUUCUUUAGAGAAUGCACAGGGCUUGGUGAUUAGACAUGUCGCCUUAAAGAAUACACGUGACUCGGUGACUAGAUAUAUACCGUCUUGGAAAUGAAUAGUAUGGAUUAAAAUAACUAGGAAAUGUAAUCGACUAGGUCGAUUGAUCGGGGAUUUGAUCUGAUUGGAUUGGGUGCUAUGUCUGUCAGUAUUUAUUAAUCGAACUGACUUGCAGGAAUGGAACUGAGACUAAGAUAAAUCCUCUGACUUGUGUAGUGCUUAGGCAGCCCUAAGUUGUAUUGGCUUCCUAAUCAAGUCGUAGGGAGUAGAACUUGCUGAAACGUAGUCUCAUCCCGGUUGUGGAACAAUAGUUCAGGUCCCUAGAUGGCAGCACCUCCACCUCGUCCUCCUAUGCAUUUUGGUAUACCCGAGGAGAUCACCAAGAUAGGGUACCACUUCCUGAUACACCCUCACCCAGAAGGACUAGAGUAUGUUUUAGUAAAAUCCAGUGUCUGGGUUGACGUGGGCAAAGACGCCUUGGUGCCUCACAAAUAUAGGUCAUGAUAUCGUCACUAUCAUGAUGGGCGAAGAGAGGGUCCCGUACCAGAGGGUGAUGUGCCUCUGUUCAUUUUAAAGGCAGCAUUCGAAGAAGGGACUGUAGAUCCCAAGGACGGAGCGGUGAUCGAUGCCAAAGACCCUAAGCUCGAGAGUGACCUCGACUCUCCCAAGCCAUCAGCAGUAGACUCCAGCUGGAGCGUGGAAGAAGGAGAGAUCAAACAAGAAGAGGUGUACCCAUAAGAGAACCUGAAGGAGGAAUCUGAGGAGGAAGAACUCAAAGGUGAGGACCCUGAUGAAGAAUCGGAGGAGGAGUCCGAGGAAGAUUCCAAGAAUGAUUCGGAGAUGACCCGGAUGAGGAUUGAAACCCCCACCCUGUUUUGCAAACCCUGUGUAUGAACUGAUAUGUGAUAAAUCAGACUUUUGUGAAUAGUAUUGUAAUAUAUACUAUGAGGUUUGCUUAUAUUAAAGUGUGGUUGUGGUUUUUCAAUUAUGAAAAUAUAGCUCUACUUUUCUAUCCCAAUAUUUUAUUGUCUGGGGAUCAUUUUAUUUGCUUCCGCAUGCGUGUAUUAAAACCAUAAGUCGGCGAUGCAUCCUAGGACAUCGCUAUUAAUCAACCAGUUGAGAGAUAGGUGCGUGCCCGAGGAUCGAGGCGUGACAUCACUUAUUCUUGUGAUUUUUCCAAUUUUUUUCUUCCUUGAGAAGGAGAGGCUUUGAUAGCAAUUGCAGAGAAUGAAUACGAAAUAAACUGGGCAUCUUUUAGCUUGUUAAAUCGAACAUUAUGUCUAUCAUAGAAGUUAAAAUUCAUGUGUAAUAAAUUGAAAAAAAGAAAACAAAAAUCUCCUGUCAUGGUGAAACUUUCGUCAUUCCAUGUUUUUUUUUUUUUUUAAUUUUAAUUUUAAGUCAUGUGAAGAGAACAUGGAUGUCACACCCCAAAACCAUAAAAAAUAGGAAAUGACAACCAUUCUAUCAUUCAAAGGACACACCCUCACCAUCAAAAUCCAACUCCGAAAGUCUCCUUAUCGAUAUUGCUCUCGCAUUACUCAUCGCUAGCCCAAAAACCUUUAAAAAAAAAUGAAAAGUAAAAAGGUAAGCAACCACAACUCAAUAAGCAGUGCAUCUCUUCUAAAUAGAUCAAAUAUUCACCAUGCACAUUUAUAAACACAAUAUCACCAUUUAUCAAAUUCAAAACUAGAGUACUAUAUAUCAAAAAUAUCAAAAGUAGAUAUCUUUCGAAUAAAUCUUUUUACGUAUAAGGUCAAUAGCAAUAUCAAUUCACAAUAACAAAUUAUUUAUCAAUGGUUUAUUCCAUUAAUUAAUCUCAUAAUCCAUUCCAUCUACUAAUUUCAAAUCACAUGAUGCUCAAGUAUCUAGCUAUAGUCACGCAUAAUGCCUGCGACAAGACAAUUAAUAUUCCCCCAUUUAGUUAAGUCUUCACUAUUAUCAGUCAGUGACUCGAUCCAUAAGAAUAUCCCGACUAGUAUGUGCAUAUCCACACACCAAUUCACAUAAAGCAUAAUCCAUCAAUCUCAAUCUCCAAUAAUCCACCAAUCUCAAUCAAAUUCAGAAUUAUCUCACAACACUGGUUUGGUAACCAAAUUACUACUUUUCACCAUUCAAUAUAUAUGGCAUUCCAUAAACCAAACUCCAAGUUGCGUUUUUUGUAAAAAUGUUCCGCAAACCCAAAAUAUAUAAUAUUUCUCAAUUUUCUUCAUCAAACAAAAUAUCUAUUUUCUCCAAACAGUUCUCACAUUAUUCACAAAUAUCAAAACGUAGUAAAUGUUCGAUUCAAAUUUUAUAUAACAAACAUAUUAUUCAUAACUCAUAAUAUAUCAAAAAUGUUUAAAAGAGAUAACACCACUCAUUUAGAAAAGUCGAAAUUAGCCUAUAGUGGUUAUUCGAACUAACACACUCGUAUUCCUAUCAGUUCAUUAAAAAUGAAAUCAAAACCAAAUAAUAUGCUACUCUAAUUGGCGAUUCGACUAAACUAUGCUUAUUUGUCGAUAAAACGAAACUUACAUGCUAUGAAAGAAACUCAUUCAUAGCAAAUGUCCAUCUUUCUCCGUAAUGCAAAUUUUGUGCCACAUGUAACUCAAACGCGGAACUUCAGAAAUUCGUUCUAAUCAAAUUGUACUUUGAAAUCGAAUUUUGUCAUACCCAAAACUCCACGACACCUUAGCCUACCAUUUCCACAAAAAAUCAUAGUUCAAAAACUCCUCAUUCGAGCCUCAUAGUUUAAGAUUUACAUAAGUCAAAGUUUGUGCCCUAAUUUCCAAAAUUACUCCAAUUAAACAAAUAAUCGGCUUGAAUACUUACCAGGGAUUACAAUUUGCAAUUGAUUCGGCUAGUCGAGGUGUCCAAAUCGGCCAUACUUCACCCCACCCCCCCCCCCCCCCCCCUUUCUUUCUCUUUCUUCUUUUCCUCUUUCCCUCCUCGUUUUCUGCUUCAGCUUCUUCUUUUCUUUUUGUGCUUCAAAUGCACGAGCUCAAAUAAGAAGAGAAGAAAAAGAGGGUUGGGCUUCGGCUUGGCUUUUAAGAGACAUGGGCUGGCUGUGCUUUUAUUGGGCCUAUUUUUACAAUGGACGAACGCUUUCCUUCUCCAAGCAGACGACUCGAUUUACUCGAAUGAAGAAUGGCGACACUGAAGGUGGUGUUCCGGACGAUUUUCACCAGCAGAGCCGACGAAAGCACAGGCCCGUGAUGGUUGUGGAGUCCUUGCAAUGUCGGCCAUGGAUGCGGGAUCUUAUUUUUGCUUCUUCGCUUUCUCUUUCUCAUCGUGAUCAAAGAGCUGAACCGCAGUGGAUGGCUUUUGGAUGCAUCUUACUGCUUACAAAUAACAGUAAAUGGUAUUUUCGUGAAUCGCACCUUUGUAAAAACAGUACAAAUAGAACACCAGCAAAAUAUGCAGCAAUUCCAGUAUAGGCAUUACCAUCAGCAGUGGUUUUGAUGCGAGAUUCUUGAUGCCACUACCAAUCGCUGGACCCAAAGAAUUUGCCUGGGUUAUUUUGUGGCCCUGCACAGAUCCAAUGCAGUAUACACAUGGAAUUCAUGGAACCAAUAAAAUCCAACUAUGUUUCAGAUAAAAAGAAUUGUUAACAGAAUUGGAGCAUGUACCUUAGAGGCGUCGCUUUCCAGUUUCUUAGACUAAAAGGAGAUGUCCUGCCAAAGACUGGAAAGUACAACAGUAGUUCGUACAGGAUGGGGACUAUUAAGCCAUCUACUCAGAAGGAUCCCGAGGGAAUAUGUCCAACUCAACAGGAUGGGAGAAUUUUGGUAGACUGGGUCGAGCAGAAAAGGUACCUUCCACCUUCCUGAGACGUGGUAAAUCUUUGAGCCCAUUAAGGUUUGUUAUACUCCUGCAAUGAGAAAUUUUCAGGACUUCCAAAAGCUUUAAUUCUUCAAGACCAUCAAUCUCUGCUAAAUCGCAUUCUUUUAGUUCUAGUUCUGACAGCCGACCACAUAUUUUGGGCUUUCGAAUCUUGCAGUGUUUGAGACGCAGAGACGAUAAGCUUGAGGAGGGAAGUUGGGAUAGGUCUAGCUCCUUCAUGUAGGAUAAAGUGAGUUCCCGGAGCUGAGUAAGGGCACUAAAAUUCUGAGGGAGAUAGGUGACCUUUGAAAUGGACAACUGCAAGGUCUCUAGAAUUUGUAAUCUCGUUAUCCACCCAAUAUUUGGGGUCAUUAGAUUCAAUAACAUCGUCAGCCAUCCGGCUUUUGGCUGCUCACCAUCUGUCAAGAGUAGCACUUUCAGAUUUGUCAGAUAUGACAAGUUGGGGACUGUCACGUUUGUGGAUCCCCAGCGGAGAUGGAGUAAACUAGAGGGCAACUUUGGUAGUGUGUGAAGUUGGUUGCACUCGAUUAUGUCUAGGGUUUGGAGGCGAGAGAGACGGGAAAUGCUCCUAGGCAGCUCGGCAACAUCGGAUGAUGAUAAUCUCAAAAUUCUCAAAGAGGAUAGUUUUGAAAUAUCACAGCGAACUCUGCCCUCCAAACUUCUGCAGAAAGAGAAAUCUAUCUCCUCCAGUUUAGCUAACUUCGCAACGCCUUCAGGAAACUUUUGUAGGAAAGUGUGUGCCAUCUUCAGCGUCUUCAAUUCCGUCAAUUUCUUGACUGACCGUGGCAAUACUUUGAUUCCAGUGCCUGAAAGGUCCAUUAGCUCCAGCACAUUCAGCUUCCCAAUGGAAGGUGGAAGUUUAACCAACUUGCGACAUUCCCUUAAAGAAAGUCUUUUAAGUUUCUGAGGAAAUUCAAAAGUAUCUGGAAGCCCAUCAAUAUUGGCACCAUCCAGAGCAAGACUUGAGAGAUGACUCAGGCAGCCAAUUUUGGAUAUGUCUUGCAAACAUGUACAGUUGCAAGCACUAAGUGUUUCCAGAUUCUUCAAAAUAUCACUCUGGCAAUGAAUUCCUAUACAUUGGAUGCCAGUUCCAUCAAUCACAAGUUCCCUCAUAGAUUCCAUGCAGUACAGUUCGUCAGGCAACUCCAUGACUCGGGUGCAGCCUUUCAAAUUUAAGGACCUCAAGUUCUUCAGAUUACUAAUGAAUGGCUUAAUUUGAGUUAACAGAGUACAACCUUCCAGUAUCAAUAUCUCCAAAUUGACCGGAGCUGAAAAAUCCAAUGAUGCACAUAACUGAACACAUCCUUGUAGGUUCAGGACUUUCAAUUUCUCCACCUUCUGCAAUGUGCAAAAGAAGAUAUAAACUUUGCUCAGCUAAUAUCUAUCAUUUUAACACGAGAUUUAAAAAGCAAAUAGUGGCCAUACCUUCAUGAUUUGUUCCCGGUCUGGUGAAUCUUUGGUGACUGGACUCCAAGACAGAUCGAGAAUGACUAACUCCUCCAAAUGCAGAAUACUUAGCUCGGAAAUCAAAUGGCACGCUCGCCAAUCAAGCCACCUCAAUUUUGGAAGAAGAAUCCCAGUGUCUCCCUGAAUGUUAGCCCGGUCCAGUCUGAGGUACCUCAAAUUUGAUAUUGGUUGGAAUUCUUCAAAUGUGAAACAGUCGGGACGACUCUCUUCGAAUGUGAGACAAAUGCCUUGGACACUUUCAGUACCCUGACAAGUCUCGUUGGGGAAAACCGUAUGAGAAAGUAGAGAACUUCGAUUUCUUAAUCCUUUUAAUGAAAUGAGACAAAUCGAAUUUACAAAAUCAGUGGGUAUCCACCACACGUUCUAAAUCGUGUUAACAACAGUUCCCUUUCUUUUCCCUCGGACAUCGAAUGAAGAAAAGUAAGUUUCUGUUAAUGGGAAUGGAAGGUUUAUCCUAACGCUUUCUUAACCCUCUAAAAGAAAUUUCUAGAGGUUUUGAAAACUUACCGUACGAUUUUUCAGGAGGGAAAGUGCAUCGCUGUGAUUCCAAAACCUGCAGCGCUCACAACGACCUUUCCUCUCGACAAUGUCCCUGCCAAAGUCUCGGAUCAGACCAUGCAUUCUCAAUUCGUUAUGUUCUCCAUCUUCCAACAAAUGCAAGUUGCAAAGGUGUUUUAUUCCCCUUGGAGGAUAGUAUUCACAAGCCUCCCACAUAUAAGAGGGAAUCCUCUUAUCCUUUCCGAUAAAAAAGCAGGCUAUAUCGAGGAAUAUCUGCUUUGUAUCAUCAUUUAAAGAUUCGAAACUUCUGUCCAAGAAAUGUUUAACACCAUCUGGUGGGUGUCUUCUUAGAAAUUCCAAGGUACUUCUCCAUAUAUCUAAAUCUUCCCCUUCAUUGCGUAAAUAUGAAGCCUGAAGUAUGAUAGCCAAAGGAAGCCCUCCAAUAGCUUUGACGAUGUCUAUGGACAAGGAAUCAUACUCAGAAACACCUUGGGGAGCACGCCCUUGAAAAGCAUGCUUACGAAAAGCAUGCUUACGAAAGAGUUGAAGAGCAUGGUGAUUUUCCAUUGCUCCAACCUUGUAUUUUUCAACUGCUCCAUCCUCGAAGUCAUUUAGAACAUUUGUUAUUUCGGUGGUCACAAUGAUUCUACUUCCAGGACCAAACCAAGUAAGCUUCUCAGCUAAUGCUUUAAUUUGUCCAUCAUUAUGCACAUCAUCAAGCACAAUGAGAACCUUCAUAUUACGAAAUAGAUUGUUCAUUUUCUUAAUACCAUCAUCAGAAGAAUUAAGUGCUUCAGGUUUUCUUUUUUGAAGGGAUGCAAUCAACAUUUCUUGUGAAAGUUCAAUUUUUCUCGAAUUGAUACCUUCCAGGAAGCUACAUUCUUCAAACAACAUAUGCAUCUUGUUGUAGACAACCUUUGCAAGUGUAGUCUUUCCCACACCCAGCAUACCACAUAUUCCGACGACACGUCUGUCUUGUCCACAUACUUGUAUGGCUUGUCCAUCGCUGUAGGCAACACCAAGCUUUCUCAUCACCUCUUGAACAUGAAGAUCAAUUCCAACUAGUUUGUCGGGUACAACUUGGUCAUCCUUCUUCAACACCUGACAGACACGACUAAACACUCCUUUUACAAGCUGGGACUCAUGCCUGCAAACAGAAGUGAUAAAGCACGAGAUGACAACAAAUUUGAAAAAUCAUGUGGGGAAUGGAACGAUAAAAAUUACAUCAACCAACAGGGGCAAGGGAAAUCUUCAAUUAAAAUGCAGAGCCAGUUUUAAUGUGCGGGCUAUUUCCAUUUCAUGCACAUAGAAAUUUUGACAUGGAUGUCAUGCAAUCUGCAAAACAAAAGUUCUCUCGAGUCAUUUUUCGAAGGCCAAAGGGGAAUGAACGGAGCGUGGGGGACUAGGUCGGCUGUUCUAACUCGCAGUUAUGUCAUAAGUCAAGCCAUUUUCAAAUGGCUACUCUAAUCGAGUCACUCGUCAUUCAAUAGGCAUCAACCUGUUAAAUUAAUGAUCCAUUUCAGAAGAAUAACUUUAAAGAUCUCUCAAGCAUGCAUCAUUAUCAAUAUGCUUACAUUUAAUAUUUGUUGCAAAAGGUUCGGGUUCAUUUUCACAUCAUCCUAUACUUUCUUUUUUCCAUUUAUCUGGGGAAAGAAAAUAGAAAGCAGAAGUUAAAGAAUUACCCCCCAUUCAGAUUAAAUCCGCUUAAUCCCCCAAUCUUUCGAAAAACCUCCCUCCAUUUUUUGACAUCUGCGUUGAGUCCGUCUUUCACAUGUUUCUCAAAGGACCUUCCAAAAUACCCAGCUUGGCGUUUUACAUCGUAGGGACUAAUGUCAUAGAAAAUCGGGAUAAUAAUCUGUCCAUUUGAUUUUCUGCACUCCCACAUCUGUACCACCUCCAUAAGGCAACUCUUACUGGAAGCAUAAUCCUUGGAGAAGACAGCUAUUGAGAUCUUCGACCCUUUGAUCGCAUCUAUUAGUUGUGGCUUGAUCUCUUCUCCAGCAUGGAGAUUUUCACUAUCUCUAAAAACGUCGAUCCCUGCAUCUACCAAUCUGCUGUAAAGGUGAUCCGUGAUAGUUUUGCGAGUAUCUUCACCUCUAAAACUCAAGAAUACUUCAUAAUUGAUUCCGGAUGAUGAGGACCAGGUUGAAGAUGAUUCCUGUCAAGUCAAGGAAACUAAACCGCUUCACAUGGGACACAUAGUGUUUGAGACCAAGUCUUAUGCUUCCGGCCAAACAGAAAAAAGAGGGGAAAAAGAAAAAAAAAAAGUUCCAUGGUUCCACCCAAGGCAAACCUAACAAAGCAAGAGGCCCCCGCAACUGAAAUUUGCGACUCAAACAUUUUGAUAUCUUUUAUAUCCAAAAUUCUCAGAACUUUCGUGACAAUCAAAAGUGAUAUACGAAUUCUAACGUAAUUUUUCGGAAUCUUCUGAAAUUUUGGAGGAAGGCAAGACACUUCACGGGCCAGGCGUACAAUAUCAAUAGGGUUUGACCUUCGAUGGGAACUCGUGAUUUUUUACAUACAGUGAUUCAAUCGUUCAUGUCAAAGAAGAUUUGUAAUAUUCCAGAGGAUUUUUACCAUUUGUUGGGUCGAACUGCAAGCAGAGGAUCGAUUCCACCGCAUUCAUGUCAAAGAAGUUCUAAACAAUAACACAAACCCCAAAGAUGCAGAGAAAACUAACCGGGUUUCUUCUCUUCUUCCCUCCAGCAAAUACUGCAAAACCAAUCAUUCCGAUAAAGAUUAGAAACGCCAUGGACCGAUUCAAAGCCAUUGCGAGAAACAGAUUCACCACACCCAGUAUUGUCGCCAUCGAAGCCAUCGCUCGCUCGUGCCCUCUGGCUCACUCUCAGAGGCAGUCUCAGUGGCAAAGGAGGUCUACAGACAUUAGACGACAAUAAACAGUACAAACUACAAAUGACCAAGACCGUGGACUCUGGGCACCCACUACGCGCUUGGGCAACGCGCUAAAAAAUUGUCGUGUGGUCCCGGUCCCACGUGAUUUAACAUCAUGCGGGGUCAUUAUUUAUUUUUAUUUUUUUUGGUCCGAAAGAUAAAAAACUUCAUUAAUAAGUAAUCACAGCAUUACGACCAGGAGUCGCAAAAUAGCGACAUUUCAGUGGUCGGGUAGCUAAAGAGGAUGCAAUAAACUGAUUGGCAGUCCUCCCAAGCCGUUCGAUUCAACUGGAUCCUCCAUUUACGCGAACGGAGGAUAUUAAAAGGCAAGUUUCAUGGGAAAAUUGACAACAAUGAAUCUUGGUGUAUUCCAGGAACUCCCAGAAAUUGCCUUCAGAUGUUGAGUACUUAAAACCUAAAUAAUGGCACUAUUAGGUAAAAGAACCUGCAAAGGUAAUUGCCUUCUUAUCGAGCUUCGUAGAAAGGCUUGCAUAAUCACAUGUUAAUUGCUUGCUUCUUCUUCUAAUAUCCAUCUUUUUUCUGUUCUCCAUGAAACUCUUUCUCUCGUUGGCAUCCACAAAUGCACGACACUGUCCAGGAAUUCAUCAUACUACUCAACACUUAAAUUCCAUCUCUCUUCUAAAUAACCCUAUUUUCUCUCCAACACUGGGAAAUGGCAUGAAGCUAUUUCUUCAUAUUAGUGUGAACACAACAACUAGAGCACAUGGUUUUCCCUUGGAGACAAACGCGUGAUCAAAAGCAAAUGUUAAUAAUGAGAGGACAUACGGGGCCCAUCUCGCAUUUCGACAGCAAUCAGUACCUAGACCUCCUUGCCAACUGCUGUUGUAUUUAGUUUCUCUAGGACAAACAGCAAUUAAGACAAAUUUACGGAAGUUUUGACCAAGUCGCCUUUUAUUGUUUAAAUAAGCUCAGUCAAUGUCCUCUAGUCGGGACCCAAAUUUGAAUUUGCACGGUCCGAAUCCGAGUAGAUUUUUCAAUUGUAAAUGUUGCUAGAGCACAUAUAUCUUAUUAAUAUUUCACACCCGAGAAUGUCCAGCUUUUAUUGGUAAUACCAUUGACCAAAGCUUCAAGCAAUCUUUAUGUUUGGGGUUUCAACACACACAACUGAUACACCAGUUGUGCACAUUAAAAUAAUCCAAUAAAAUCAUAAAUAUUGCUAGAUCUUUUUUAAGCGAAAUGCAGGGUUUGUUUUUUAUUUAUCAUGUGGUCAUUUAAUUUUGGUUCUUUUUGUUGGUGUUUGUUUUGAUAAAUAAAAAUACAUGUAUAGGUAAAUUAGAAUCAAAAUCUAAUUGAAGUGGAAGUAAAAACAUUCAUACACGUAUUUUCAAAGUAUUGUUCAUGCAUUUUUAGUAAAAGCAUAUCUUAGUGGUAAAGGAGCUAAUCACAUUACCCUUGUACCAUGCCUCAAAAUUUUGGUUUUAACAUUCUUUAGAUUUUGAGCACAAACAUGUAAUGUCUUCACAACGUUAAUUCUGACGUUUUUCAGAUCCUAACUAUAAACAUUUAAUCUUAUGAUAACUCCGAUUCUGACGUUUUUGGAAUUUUGACACGAAUAUUUGAUGUCUACUAAUAAUAUUGGUUCUGACAUUCUUCACAUCCAAAACGUCCGAUCUCUUUGUAACAUCGGUUCUGACGUUCUUCAAAUCAAGCCCCACAAUUGUCGCACAUUUAGUUCAAACACACCACCAAUCUCACGUUGAACAAAAAAGAGAAUUUGAGAGAUCUCAUAACUACAAUUAUGUUAGCAAUUGCUUUCGUAUGUGAAUGACUUGGUUGAUCACUACCAACACUCUCAAUUGUCGAUUAUCAAUCAUCCUUUAAUAUGCUCUCUCAGUUGUCUUUUAUAAUCAAUCCUAUAUCACAUUUAACUUUGCUCAUUAACUCUAAAACCGCUUCAGAGAAUUAAUUCGGCCGUAACGUCUAAUAGACAUAAGUUCUAAUAGCGUUUCAGACACUAAUUUCGGCAUUAACUUUAUAACCAUUAAAGAGCAUUAUUAUAGGUAUUAAUUUGUAACCGUUAUAAGUCUUUAUUCUAAGCACUAACUUUGUAAUUGUUACAACUAUUUAAUUUGGCCGUUACAUUUGAAACUGUUAGCAUUAAUUGGUCAUUUGAAUUUAAAAUUGUUUCAAAUCAUUAAACUACCCAUUAAUUCUAAAACCGUUUCAAAUCAUUAAUGUGAACGUUAAAUAUGAAAUUGUUUCAGAUCUUUAAUUUAGCCGUUAAGUCUGAAACUAUCUCAGAUCAUUAAUUUAGCUAUUAAUUCUAUAUUCACUUUAGAUUAUUAAUGAUGCCAUUGAUUUUGAAUUCACUUCAAAUCAUUAAUAUGGCUAUUAAUUCUAAACUCACUUCAGAUUAUUUAUUCCGUCAUUGAAUUUGAACCCGCUUCAGAUCUUUGAUUCAGCCAUUAAAUCUUGAAACCUGCUUCAAAAUUUGUAAAGUCAUGUUAACACUUUAUUUUUAGUCGAUGCAUCAUUAAAAGGUAAAAAAUCAAGAUUUUGAUUUCUAAUCACGACGGAGCCCCAUCUCUCGACCAAAAAGUGUCGUUUUUCAUUUCUUUCUUUUGCAUUGUCAUUUUAAAUAAGUUCUAGCUCAUUUUCAAGAAAAACCUGAAAAGUCAACAGUUGACUUUCGAGUUGACUUUUUGGUCAAUCCUUUGACCAAAAGUCAACCUUGGGUCAAAAUUUGACUUUUUACCCAAAAAGAUUACAUUUAGCUUUAAUUUCACUUUUAUCAAAUCAAUUUCUUAAAAAUUCAAAAAUUUGACCAAUAGGAAAAGUCAACUAAAUGGUUGACUUUUAGUUAGACCUUUGACAAUAAAAUAAAAUAAAAUAAAUGCACAAAUAUAUUUUUUUUAAUGCCAAUUUGACUUUUGUGUCGAAAAUUUCACAAAAUUCAAUUAAGGACCCUAAUUUCUGAACUUUUUAGUUUUACGUUCUAAAUCAACCAAAAAUAAAAUUACUUUUAUUCUAGUCAUAAUUAUGAGUAGUUUCUUCUUUGACAUUUGGUUUAGAGACUAUCUGAAAUCUGCUUGAGCAUUCAAUUUCACGAUUUAUCGAGUCAAAAUAUGAAUUGCCGUUUUGAGCCCUAAUUAAGGAACCAAAAUUGAUCAUUCAUAACUUGCGAAUGGAACGAUUAUUUCUCACUCAUUUUAUUAAGAUAAGUCCAAAUUAAAGAUUGAUUUUGUGAAAUUCACACCAAAACUCAUCAAUCUGAAGAAUUUUAUCCGCCCAAGUGUUAGAAAAUCAAGCAAUUAAGUUUCAAUCGACAAAAUUCGAAUUGAUCAAUUCAUUGCUAUAGUUUAAUUUCAUGAAUCUAGGUCCAAUUUUAAUAUUAGGCUUAGAUCCAUUUUUGACCUAAGCUCGAGCGCUUCAAUUCAAGGUCAAUUUGAAUAUGAUAAGUGAUCUUACAAAUGGGUAACUCAUUAGAUAGGGCAAUUGUGACACUAAUUGAGUUCAAUUUUAGUUAAUUUGCAAUUUUACUCAUUGAAUUGCAAAUUUUAUCAUUUUAGCCCUUUAGACCCAAUUCAAAGCAUCUAUGGUUUCGACUCAUUUUUUUUUCACAAUAACCAUUCAAUUAGGUCAAUAAAAGACCCCUAAAUUAUGUUCAUAAGGUUUGAUUAGCUUAAUUAUAUCUUAAUUGGUCAAUUUCUACUUAAAAAUGAUAAAAUUCCUUUUCAAUUUAGUCCUUUAGGGGUCAAAUUGCAUAAAUUUUAGAACCACAAGGGUUCCAAGUGAACAAAGUAGCCUGAACCCAGACCAAACCGGUCAAGAAUGUGUCAAAAUUCGGCCGAAUCGGACCAAACCGUUAUGACCGGUCUGACCGGCCGCUAGCGAGACUGGCCGGUUUAGUCCCUUACCGACCGGUUCUUGGCCUCUAGUGACCGGUUCUAGAACCCUCUCAAUGCCAAUUUCACUUAUACACCUUCAAUUUCCUAAAAUUUUACAAAUUGAUCCUCGAAUUUCGUCAAAUUGUAGAUUGACCCCUAAUUUGAUAUUUUGACGCAAUUCCUAAUUUUGACUUGGUUUUUUGCAAAUCAAAUCCGCAAUAUUAGUUACCUGACACCUCGAGAUCAUGAUGGAGCCUUCGAAAUUGAAUUUUGAUCGUUGGAUCGAAAUUUUGACCGUCGGAUCGAAUCGAUGGCCGAAAUCGCUUAAUGUAGGGAGUAUAUAAAUGAAAUGUUCCUCUAUUUUCAAGGGUUUUUUUCAUUGGGUACGAAAAUUCUUCUCUCUCCAGAUCUCUCUCUCUCCUCUCUCUGUUUUUUUUUUUUUUUGUGCCAAGACUCGUUUCUCUCUCUCUUCUUUGGUUUAGUUGGUUUCCUCUUCCGAUGAUCGAAUCGUCGCCGGUUCAACCUCCAUCGGCGACAAUCCAUCUUCGUCAGCAAUCAUCUCCUUUGUUGUCCAAAUCUAGUGCUUGCUGGUUCGUGGAGGUUGGAUUGAAGAUCCGGCUAAACCUUUGAUCGAUUUCGAUCAAAAUACGCAAAAAUCACGUCAAAUGUAACGAUUCGAAACUCGAAUCCGAUGAAGUGAGAUCGAGUUUGUCAAUCGGGACUAGGAUUCAAGAUUAGGAACUUUUACAUGCUUAAGAUCAAUGAUUAUGAAUGCUACAAUGAUUUAUUGAUGAUUUGAAUGAUAAUUGUGUUCUUGAGCCUAGUUUGUAAUUUUCAUAUGUCUGUACCUAGGUUACCGUUUUGACCGAAACGAGAUCUGAAACAAUCUUGUUUCAGCUAGAGUCCUCUUAGAUUUAGAUAAUAAACAUCACGAGUUUCGAAACGGUAGGUCGCACACCCCAAUCGAGCGUCGUUUAACCCUUGAAAAACACCUCCAAAGAUGAACAAUUAUGUAGUAGUUUAAGUCUUUUUCGAUUUUGUUUCUGUUCCGCCUUUUGGCUUUGCUAUUUUUGUGCCGACUUUUAUGAUCAUUUUUUGAAAAAUUUUCUUCAUGAUUUUUGUUCCAAAUUUUCUCAUGCAUCUUCUGUAAUUUUUUUCAGGAUUUUUGGAUAUGCUUAACUAGGUCAGAUCUACUCAGAUCCAAGCUUAGCUCAAUCUGUUCCAUAUUGAUCUUUGAUUUUUUUUAUUGAGUUCUGAAAUAACUUUUCUCAUGAACGUUGCUUGUAUAAGUGUUGUGCAUGUCAUUUAUUUUUUUCAAAAAUUUUAGACAUGUUUAGUUAGAUCAAAAUCGAUUAGAUCUGAACAUAGGACAAUUUGUCCUGCAUUGGUCUGAAAUUUGUUUUGAUGAAAUUGAGUCCAUAAAUGCACAUAUUUGGUCUCAAAUCCUUCAUGAGAGUUUAAAUACAUGAUACAUGUGUUCAAUUGAUGCAUGCUUUGCAAGGUUUUUACAUUGGCAAAGUGAGUCAAUUGCAUACAUUAAAGUAAAAGGUACUGCAGCAUGUGCUUAGUUUGUCAGUUUUGCCAUUUUUGUCACGACUCAAAUGAUCUUAAUUGAGUUUCAAACUCUUAACAAAAAAUCUUCAUCAUCGCAUGCUUUGUAUUUGAGAUUUUUGGUAGGAUUUAUGCAUGUCUUAAGGAUGGCUGAAAUCAUGCUCGUUUUGUAAAUUUAAUGCUAAAAUUAAACAUUGUUAUAUGUGCACAUUUACAUGCUUGUUUGAGCCAUCUAGAGAUCAAAUCUUACGAUCAUGCCUUCUUGACAAAUGAACCGCAUGUUGCAAGGUUUGCAUAUAUGUUUAGGUCAUGUCCUUUGAGUAUCACUUGCACAUUAAAUUUGUCUCACAAAAGUGUUCAUCACACUUAGGAUUCCCAAGCAUACCAUUAGAAAUCAUGUAUCAUUUCAUAAUGUCAUAAAUUGUAUGACAUUUUGCAUGCCGACUUAAGAUUAGAUGACUAUCCAAACUUUCAUUCACAUCCAAUCUUAAGUCCCAUGUGAUUUUUUCAUGCCGUAUGUGCAUUUUUUGAAUGAUUUUGAGGUUUUAUAAUGAAUGCUUGUGUUCUAUUCCUUAGUUACUAAUAUGUACACUUUUAGAGAUCUCGAUCUUAGAAUACCAAAUUGACCUAGUUUGGACUCGAGCUCUUCUAGGAAGACGUAAGGCACACUUAGAGGUUUCCAAUGCCGCUGAUUUCAUGUCAAUUGCUCAUCAUUUGGAUCACUUUUCCAUUUUUCAAAACUAGAUCAGAAUCUACACAAUGGAUCAAAUUCGGACCCAUGUCCUAACCCUUGUUUGGAUAGAUCUUUGAUAUUUUUAUUCCAUUUGGAAUCUGCACUCAGUCUCUUAAUGAAACUUGCUUCUCAUCAUAUUGGCUAUGUUAUGUGUAAAGUUGAUGAUUUUUAGAUAUGUUUUGAUAGGAUAAAUCCUUAUGACAUUAGCUAAAAGUCUUGUUGUUUUGGCAAAUUUCUAAUGUAGUAUUGGUUGUUGUCUGAUUUUUUGUAAAUCAUGUAUAGCUCAUUUAAGAAGACUUUAUUCAUGAAAGUUGUUCAUUAUCAUGUCAUACAUAUUAGGAAAUUUUUCCAUAGUUAGAUUGUUAAUGGGUAUUAAUCAAUUUUGUUGUCGUUACAUGCUUGUUCUGAAAUUUCCUAAUAUAAACAUAAUUGUAAUUGUUUAGUUAAACUUUUUUUUUAUGACCCAAGGAAGCCCCGUACGCCGCGGACGGCUGGAGUAAACCCUGGGGGCGAACUAGAGGACCCACCACCCCAACCACCGGGUAAGACGCAGGUGAUUCCGCGGUGAUUUGAACCCUCUCCCUUAAGCAAGGGGUCAGCAGCUCCCCCCACGGUGGGGAAGAACUACCAAUAGAGCCACCGAAGUGGGUGUUUGUUUAGUUAUAUUUUUUAGGAUAGUUUGUGCAUAAAAUUAGGCAAUGCCAUCUUCAUGGAAAUUGUUCUAAAUGCUUUGAUCUUUGUUGUUAAACAAUUGAUUUUUUCACCAUUGCAUCUUUCAAAAAAUACUUAGGUACAUGUGAUGUUUCCCAAAACAAUUUCUAAGAAGUUCUUCUCCAAAACUCGAUUUGACUUAAGGAAAAAUUGUGGUUUUGACCAUAUUCAAAAUGCCUACGACGCUUGUGAGUGUCUUUAAGCGAGCUCUGGCCUAGCUUUGGUAAUUGAAUGUAUUUCAUAACCUAGAUAUUCCUUAAUCCUAGAUAUUUUCAAACCUUUUCAAAAUCAUGAUUUAACAUCGUGACAGUCACGGUUUGAAUUGUAUUCAAACUGCUUGCGAUGCUUGUGAGUACAUAUAUGCGAGCCACAGGCUAGCCUUGACAAUUGAAUGCUUUUCAUAACUAAGACAUCACUUUGUCUCAAAACUUUUCAUGAAUAAUUUCGAAAUAUGUUCUUAAAAUAUCACAUGUAUCCCUCAUACAUAUAAUCUCAUCAUGCAUUAGAAAUUGCAUGUGUUUGUGAUUGGCACAUGCCCUUGGUAAUAAGUGACCCGCCGACGGUUCACUUUCUUGCUUGAUUGAUUGAGAAAUAAGAUUCAAAAGACCUACAUGCAUGUUCAAAUUUUUGCUUGAUUGAUUGAGAAAUAAGAUUCAAAAGACCUACAUGCAUGUUCAAAUUUUUGCAUUGCAUGUGACUUUUAGAUGAAUGGUAAGGUCGAUGCAUGAUAUCGAAGGAAAACCUUAGGAUCACAUAUAUCGCUUAAUUAGGAGACUUAUAAGCAUUAUUGGCCGUGCGAGAACACAAUUGGUCAACAAUUGUUAUAAGUCAUAAAAAAUGGAUUGGGUAAGUGUUUUAGUGGGGCCCUCGCAUGAAAAACAAAGGUCGACCCCGAGGCUCCAAAGUUUGAUUUUCAUAUUGAACUUUCUUUAAAUGAUUUAUCUUAACAUGAUGUCGUAUUUUUUUUUUAUUGUUUUGAUGUGUAUGUUUGUUUGUUUCUAUUGUAUGCACCUAGUUAUAGAUUUCUUAGACUCUAUUUAGAUUAGGAACCUGAAAAUGGAGAAAGCGCGAAGACGGUGGAGGUCGAUGUCCAUUCCGACUAUUAUCAUGUAUUAUUCAUUCCCCAACAUAUGUCUCGGGUUCCAUCUGUUGUAUAAAGCUUGACGAGUUGCAGGUUUUCUCUCUUCCUCUUAUCUUUUUUCAAUUGUGUUUCUCUUUUACAUUUUCUAAGAUUGUAAAAUAAAUUUACAACUUUCCUUGAUUGUUUGUUUACUGUCUUGUAAUUUCAAUUCCAUUGAUUACUUUCUUUUCUUCUUUUUCUAGAAAUAGAAUAGUAUGAAAAUGACCAACCACGCAUGAUCGCUUAGUUUAGUACUAAUGAUCCCGAAAAUAUAAGAAGAAAUGCAUAUACACGUUAGGAAAACACAACAUACUAUUUAGUUACCGAAAGGGCACUAAAAAAAAUAUUGGGAGAGAUGGGGGGUUCAAAUCCCCACCUUCUUAGGGGGGAUUGGGGUGGGGACAAUUUCAUUUCAGGAGUGGGUUUCGACUCCCAUGCUCUGCAAGGAGGAAGAACAAAAAUCUGAGAGAGAGUGUUAGAGUAGGAUUAGAGUAUGACCGACCAGAAAAAAAAAAAACCUAAGUCCCCGAACCUAAACAUUUGGUUGGCGUAAAAAUCGAGAAAACACUCUCGACCCUCAAUUGGGUUUUUUAGCCAACCCCCAAAACGAAGCUAGUGGCGAUUCCCGUCUUAUUUUGAAGUUGUCAUAAACAAGUAAACCGCAAAAAUAAACCCGUGCAGUAACGAUGAAGCCCGCCACUUACUAUGAUUUAGCAUACUCAUAUGGCAGUACCCCAAGGGAUGAAGUGAUGCCAUUCUUAUGGACGAAGGAUACUAUCAAGAGAGCUACCAUGCUAAAGGUACCCUUAAAUACGAUAUUCACAUCCGACCUCUUUGAGGCAUGUCAUCCAUGUGGGUACGAAUUGCGACACUAAACUGUCACAUAGGUACGAGUUUAGGAAAACUCGCGAUCUCAUGGAGGGAACUCACGAGAGGCUUGAUCCAAAAGACAAGGUGAUGACGUCUUUUAGAACGCAAGCCGUGAGGGAACUCUCGUGAUUAAGUGCCCAUAAACCCGACAUUUCCGCUAUUUUCUCUGCUUGUGAUUGAGCAAGGGUUUCGCGGCCGCCGAGGGUCACUGAUGACCCUCAUCGACCCCAAAGAAUAAAAAAAGCCAAAAAUUAAAGUAAAAAAUUCAAAAAUAUAUUAAAAAUAUUGAAAAAUUUAUUAAAAAUUAUCCAUGUCAAUGCCAAUUAAGCCACGCUAGAUAAUCAAUGUCCACAUCAGAUUUUCCCGCGAGGCAAAUCAGAAUUGGCCCUAAAGUGAUAAAUUUUGCAACACUUAAGUAAGCGAAAAAAAAAAAAAAAGACUUGAGCACUGAAGUGAACGGCAUACGAAAAUUUUAGCACUCCUAGGAUUCUUAGCCCCUCCGUACCAACCAAAAAGCCACCAGAGAGACCAACUGAAUCUUCUCUCUCUUCCUCUCCACCAAGUCUUGAACAAUCUUUCACGCAGUCUCACUAGAUGCUCGCAACAGCAAAGCCACUGGGGAAUUGAAAAUUAAAAUAAGGCAGAAGAGCAACAUGGGAGAUAAUUCUUUCCAUUAUGUCUUGAACACACAAUAUACCAAAUGACCAGACAGGCAUUUACCAAACUUCAAAUGUCAAAAGAUGUUCCCUACAUUCAACCGACAGCUCCCGGAUACUGCGAGAAUAAAUCUGAAAAUAGAAGACACAAUUAUGGAGAACACACUCCAGCAGUCUAUGCACUUAUUCUCUCAUAACUACUGAACUAAGACAAGCUUGAGACUUAAACAACCUGUAAGACAUAGCAACCUCAAGAAAGACAAGUUCAUUGCCUAAUAAUUACAACUCUGGUCUAGAAACUUAUGAAAUGGCCUGCAAAGAGUACUCAAGUUGGUUGCGUCUAGGAUUGCUGUUCAACUAUGUAUCACCCUAGAUUUCCUAAUUUCUUCAUUUCUUUGCCCUUAUCUACUUCUAGUGCUGCUUUGGGACUGGAAGAACCUCAAAACAGAGUCGCAAUUGACAGCUUCAGCGAUGGACACCUUUGGAUAGGACUGGAACGUCAGGAUUCUUUAUUAGGCUCCAGAACUCCUCAAGUAAGAAGCCGUGCUGCGAUACAACAAAAGCCUAUCUGUUGAUUUCAAUCCCAUGGGACUGAAGAUUUGACAAGGGAGAACAGAGGUAGACAUUUCUUAACGAUAUUAACUGAAAAGAGUGUUAAAAAUUGAAUAUUUUCCAUGUCCCAUUUAUUUUUCUUUUCUUCUGAAAGUCCUAAAAACAAAUUUAUACUUUCUUUUAAACGCCUAUAUCUAAGAUAGGCCUGAUUAGAAAAACGAAAACACCGCCGAGAUGGACAUCUUUCUACUUUAGUGGGUUUCCCCGGCAUCUACAUUCUAAUGACAAAAAUGAACCUAUUAAAAUAAAUAGGAGCUAUGGAAAUAAUAGAUGACGAUUUUUAUUUUAUUUUGGUCGAAGGUGACGAUUAGAAAAAACAGGAAAAAAAAAGUGGAAAUGGAUGAAACCCCAUUAGAAACUAUACUCAUACAUGAAGUAAUCGCUAAAAUUCUGACCAUUAUAAUUCUAAUCUCUAUUCAAUUUGCCUUCCAUACUAAGGGCUUUAGAAUUUAUAAUGUUCUGAAUGCGAGUGUCUGGGUUGGGGGUGGCUGGAGAGAGAGAGAGAGAGAGAGAGAGAGAGAGAGAGGUGGUCAGCGAUAACAUUCAGGAGGAAAAGUGCAUGACGAUCUCUCAGCCCCGUCUUGGUAAUUAUCUGUCACUCUCGUUAUAUGGAAGAAGUGAACCCAUCAUAUUAUGUUCUCUUCCUCAUGAUUAGGUCGUGGAAUAGCCACCCCGAGUUAAUGCUAUCAUAAACUACUUUUACUAACCCAGGGAAUAAACAGUGGCAUCAUCAACCGCUUUCUUUAACCACCAGAUGUUCCUCAAAUGUAAACAGAAAAUGUUGCCUCGAAAUCUUCUUUCCAUGCAUGUACGUGCGCAUCAAUAGAUAGAGGGGGAUGAGAGAACCUUACUGAAUAGUAGUUACCCUCAUUCUGAUUUAUGACUUGCUUCGGUUUUGAGUUGUCGCUUCAAUCCAAGGUUUAGGGCUUGCAAAUGCAUGCGCACAGGGUUACUUAAAGGAUUCCAUGGCCUGGAGAAUGAAUUGUGAAAGAAGAAGUUGCUUCACUUGUGGUUGAUUUGCAUGGAUCAUCAAGCGGAGAAACAGCGAUCCAUUCAUUGGUGCCGCUGCCAUGGACAACCCACCAGAUCAACUCAUAUGAUAGAUCAUGCAAUUGAAGCAGACAGAAGGAAAGGAAUAUGGGGGAGAAGAGAGACAUGGAUAGAAGUUUCUCCUAGAUUUUAAUUGAAAGAAGAACGAGAAAAGAUGCAUAGCAUGUAAUGAAAGAUCAAUGGAAAAAUUACCAGUGUCUAUCAUGUCAGAGGAUGCAAAAUAUCCUUUUCCUCCAGAUGAACCUAUGACGGCCUUGAUUUUGACAAGGAAUUCAAAAAUUUGACCUACAAUUGAUGAGGCACGAGCUAAAUAAAAAAUUGUCCACUCCGCUAAAGGUAUAAAGUUUAAAAACCAUAGGCAAAUAAAAUAUCAGAACUCUACUGAUACGUCAGUAGCCUCCCAUUUUCUUGUGUCCAGCCUGCCAGAAAGUAGCAUAUAACUCAGCCCUUAAAGAUUUUGCAAGCUGAACUUUGAAAAGAAAUCAACCUGUGCAUAUCUUUCCUUUUGGAAGAGACCGGUGUGAUCACCUGGAGGGGCCGCAUUUUGUUCAUGGCGGUUGAUCUGGCCUUGACUUUUCUGCAAAGGGACUUCAAUAGAGUCAAACUUGAAAGUGGCUCCAAUAAAUUUUCCUUCUUCACUUCUUCCUCUUUCUCCAUUAACGGUGCAGAUGCGUUGCACAGAUAUCAGGCAAGAUUGAGGAGAAUCCAGUAUCACGCAACCACUGAACACGCCUCCUUUUUUUGGGGGCAGCUCCUCUGUUGUCACUUAACAGUGGAGAUGCGUUGCACAGAUAUCAGGUAAGAUUGAGGAGCAUCCAGUAUCACGCAACCACUGAACGUGCCAUUACAAGCUCCAACACAUUCUGUAUUUGCGCUGAGUUCUCAGCCGGACAUUCACUGAUCUUGAGCUUUUCCAAAUAUUUUAAUUCUUCUAGGCCUUCAAUUUGAUGGAUCAUUUUGCAUUGUCUGAUCUCUAAAACUUUCAGCAACUUCAAGUUUGAAAGAUCCAGUAAACUAUCGAGGUAAUCGCAGUCAGAUACAAUCAAACUCCUUAGUGAGGUUAACUGGAAAAUCCCAUUGAGAUGUUGUAUUUUGCAGUUUGAUAUUUGUAGCCUCUUCAGGGAUUUAAGCCCUUCAAGCCCAUCAAUCUCUUCUAUGGCAGAGUGGUAGAGCUCGAACGCUGAUAUAUUGAUUAAAGACUGGACAAUUGGCAAUCUUUUCAAUGAUGAACAACCUCGAAUUGAUAAGACUGACAAUGUCUUGGGAAGCGCUGAUACUUCUUCGAGGCUCAAACCAGAAAGCGUAAGUGUUUUGAGCUGAGGAAUAUCUGUAGGCUCAUACAAAAAUUCCAGCUUGAUAAUUCGCGAAAGAGACAAUUCUAGUUUCCUCAGUUUAGGAAACACUAUUGAGAAGGAUUGUUUUUCAAUACUUUGUGUUUGGAGCAACUCUAGGUUCCAGAGUCUUGAAAACCAUAUAGACAGUUGUUUCACUUUGGAUUCUGGCUUCAGCUGUUUUGAGGGAGGUUGGCGUUCCUCCGGGUCCUCAUCACUUAGGUACAGCUCCUCCAAUUCCUUCAAAUCCUUGAGAAGGGGUAUGUCCUUCAUCCUUUUAGAACUCACAUGCAGACAAAUUAGAGAAGGGGGAAGCUCCGGCAACACUUCAAUUUCAUUGCACUGAAGUAAAUCAAGGGUCUGAAGACUAGAGAUGGUAGAGAUUUCCGGGGGUAUGCUAGAUAUACUGGUAUGCCCCAGCGUCAAUGAUCUCAGAUGACAUAGUCUCUUAAUAUCACGGGGAAUGGCCCCCUUCAAACUCUGACACCAGGAAGCAUGUAGCUCUUCAAGCUUGGUUAGAUUCCAAAUCUCCCCAGGAAAUGCUCGAAUGAAAGAAGAGUCCAUUCUCAGAACUUUCAAGCUUUUCAGAUUUCUUAUUGAAUCGGGGAGUUCAGAGAUGCUAGUCGCCGAUAUAUCCAACUCCUCUAAUGACCCCAUUUCACCAAUAGAAUAUGGAAGGUUCUCCAAAUAACGGCAAUCCCUCAAUGACAAGCGUCUUAACUCAAGCAGCUUCCCCAGUGAGCUCGGGAGCUCAGAAAUUUUGGCACCAUCUAAUGAGAGUUCGGAGAGAGAAAUCAGAUAACAAAUCGAACUGGGUAGGUAAGUCAAUGGGAAGCACCGGAAGUCACUGAGAAUUUUGAGUUGCUUCAAAUUGCCUAUGGAGAUGGGGAUCUGCCGUACACAAGUCCCGUCAAUAAAGAGCUCUUUCAGAGCUGUUGUACAACCCAGUUCCACUGGCAACCCGUUCAAUUGGGAGCAGAACUUCAUAUUCAGGGAGACUAAACGUUUCAAAUGGCCAAUUGAAGGAUCUAGCUUCACCAAACGAGAACAACGUUCAAGAAUCAGGAUUUCCAAAUCUUUGUAAUCAGAGAAGUUGGGAGUGAUCAGCAAGUCAGAACACCCGGUAAGAUUCAAGACUUUCAAUUUCUCCAUCUGUAAAGUCAAAACAGAAACCCACACGUGGUCAAUUAGCAGAUAUUUAGUUCAACAAAGCAACUAUAAAACAACCAAAUACCAAACCACCUUAAUUUCACUCCACCCUCGCCAGUCUUCCGUGACUUUGCUCCAAGACAGAUCAAGAAUGACCAACUCUCUUAAUACAAAAUUUAUUACAUCAAAUUCCAGAGGACACCUUUGCCAACAGAGCCACCUUAAACUUUGAAAUGCACCCGUAAAAUCUCCGGAAACUUUUGCAUCAUCCAACUUGAGAAAACUUAUGGCUGGCAUGCUCGCAAAAUUUGUGGCUGUUAAUAUGAAUGAAUCACAAGCUUCAAUGUUUUCGAUUCCCUACAUAUAAAGUAAGUAACAUAAUUAUCAGAAGCUGUAAAACAAAAUACCAAUCAGAAAAAAAGGAUGCUUUCCUUGCCCUACAUGCUAAAGAGUACACACAUGAUAUUAUUCCCUCAACAUUAUGACAAAAAAAAAACAUGUAGCCCAUAUGUCAAGAUGUUUGUUUGCCUAAAACAAACUGAACCAAAAGGUUUUACCUUCUCCUUGUUCAUUGCCUCUAGAACCAUAUCUUGCGUGCAAANNNNNNNNNNNNNNNNNNNNNNNNNNNNNNNNNNNNNNNNNNNNNNNNNNNNNNNNNNNNNNNNNNNNNNNNNNNNNNNNNNNNNNNNNNNNNNNNNNNNUUAACUUCUCCAUCUUUUCCCAUUCUUGUAUUGAUCUACCCCGCAAAAAUGAACCGACAACUUCAACUGCUAAUGGUAGUUUCUCUGUAGCAUUGACAAUGUGGUCUGCGAGUCCAUCAUAUUGAGAACUCAUCGUGAAUGCAUGCUUGCAGAAAAGUUCAAAAGCUUGACCAUCAUCCAACUCACUAACCAUGUAGGUACGAGUCUUCUCAGGAUCAUACUCUUUGAGAAUUUCUUCAUUUUGAGAAGUCACAAUAAUUCGACUACCUAGACCAAACCAAUGAAGCUGGUCUCCUACGAUAGCAUGAAGAUAAGAUUGAUUUUCCACACCAUCAACAACUAUUAGAACUUUCAUUUUGCGAAAUAUAUCCACAAAAAUUUCCAUUCUUUCAUCACAAGAAGGAUCUUCAUGAUCUAGUGCAAGGAUAUCACGUAUCAACUUAAUUUGCAAAUACCGAAUAUCGCAAGAAUUUUGCGUGGUUUCGUUGACCUCUGCAAGAAAGCUACAACUGUCGAAACAAGAAGAGGUGCGGUCGUAUACAGCCUUGGCAAGAGUUGUCUUGCCAAUUCCAUCAGUUCCAUAGAUUCCAAUGAUGCGCACCUCAUCAAUGACUUCCAUCUCCAGCAGUUUGGUGAUUUGUUUUACACGAUCAUCAAUUCCAACUAGUUUUUGAACAGCUGCCAUCGCAUAAUUCCUAUCUGAGGUUUCCAUGUCUGCUGCUCCGGGUCUAGCUUCAUCUUUCAUUCUCUCCAUGCUCUGCAAGAAAAACAGAAUUUUUCACCAAAGUAUUAUCGUAGACGGAGAGAAGAGGACUAGGGAAUGAGGUAACACAUGCUGCUAGGGUUGGAAUCUCUUAGGGGAAAUUUUGAUCCUCAUUCUUUUCGUGAUCCCAUUUCUUUCACACAUUUUAGCCCUGUUUUUUUUUUCUUUUUUUUUUGGGGGGGUGGUUGAAAUCAUCCCUUCGUUGACUUUCUGAUGCAAAACCUGCUGGAUAUGAACCACACCAUAGUCUACAUGGCGUCUGCAUGUCAGCCAAUCAUUUGUUUAUCGAGCACAUUUACAUAAGGAAGUCACCAGAGGACGAAAUCGAAGUGAAAAAAGAAUUACAUGUUGAAAGACUAAGAUGAAGCGAGUAAGGUGCGUGGAACAAAACGUGAAACGAACACGCACCUCCUCCAAGUAAAGCAAAGGGGAAAAAAAAAUUAAGAGUCUUGCUAUUCUAACUUCGUUUCCGGUUCCGUUUCUUAUUCUAUAUUUCACGUUGUUAUAUUAGUGAACUUUAAUUAUUCAUCUCAUUUUCACUUUAAUUACAUCAAUCUAUUAUUUCAGAUAGUUUUGUCCUACUUCAUGGUCUACUAUCUCUUAAUGGUAAGUGUUUAUUUCAAUAAUAGUACUAAUAUAGAUUCAAUUGUUUUGUAUUUUGGAACUAAAAAAGAGUUCUAUUUUCUACUGUUCAAAUGAAUCCAUAAUUAAGGGAUACAUUGUUUCAAAUCAUUUUAUGGAAGUCUGGAUGUUAUUGUGUUCUUUCUAAAUCUAAAGUAAUAUGCCUUUAAAUUAACUAGUGUCUCUUUUGUCAUAAGUUGUACUUUUUAGUGAAAUGAUAUUUUCAAGCGUAUAAAAGUUACAUCCUGAUAUAAUUGAUGAUUAUUUUUUCCACCAAGAUGUGCUUUAAUUUACUUUGAAAUAGUCGUGCAUUAUGAAAAUACAUGAACCCCCGUGGUGGCAAUCUGUUGUAGUACUAAAAUCGCAUGCUCAACUUGUCAAGACCACUAUAUAUGCAAUAUGCAUGCAUCGGCAAAACGGCAAAUAAAUGGAUGACACAGUUAUUGCUUAAUGGCUACGCAUGCUGGAAAACUAAUUGAUGCAACAUAAAUAAGUCUUUUUGGAUGGGGCAAAGGUGGGGGUAAUCAAUAACUUCUGGAAGUUUACAGGCUAAUGCACAAUAGUGCCAAAGCUCUAAGAGCGCAAGUAUUGUCAAAUAUUAUGACAUCAAAACAAAGCGCAAGUAUUGUCAAAUAUUAUGACAUAAAAAAUAAAUAAAUAAAAAACACAUUCCGUAUUACAUUAUAUCCAACACUCAUUUAUAAAACAAUGAAAUAAAUUUAAAAAUGAAAAUGAUGGAACUUUUAUUUAUGUGUAUCUUUAAUUUAUAUUAAGGAACAUUUCUAAUUAAAAAGAACAUGCCAAAGGAACACUAGUGUGUCUGAAAUUAUUUACAAUUUGUGUAGUUUUACCUAAGUAUAGCAUCAAACUGAAAUUAGAACCGAUCAAUUUUCAAACACGUGCAUUCACGUACAUCUACUGUAUAUUGAUGAAGAAGAUGUUGCACCUUGUUUGUUGUAUCCAAAAGAAUCUCCUCUCUGUAACGCUUCAAAAACAUUACAUCCCGUUUGAUGAAGUCUCCACACCCCCAUAUUUCAACGAGGCAAUUAGCUGGUAUAUUUGUGCAAGAUGCAUCAAUCAACCACCUCAAUGACGUGCACUUUUUGACAACCAAGGAUUUGAGAGACUUCAACUCAUGAAGGCCCUCAACAUUAGCAAGUACAAUGCACCGUUGGAUUACCAAUUCCUCUAGGUUCUUCAAGUCUGAUAAACCACCUAUUCUUAUCAGAGAUUUGCACCUAGAAACCCUCAAGGAUUCCAAUGAUUUCGAACUACCCACAACUUGUAUCUCAACUAGUUCUGGACAACGUGACACCCAUGCCUGGCAUAGCCUCCUUAAUUCCAAAGGAAUGGAUAAUCUCUCAAGCUGUUUACAGCCGUCAACAAUUAAUUUCUUCAGUUGUGGAAGUCUUUCGAGUGGAAUGGCUCCCACUUCACAUUGAAAGAACUCUAAAGUCGACAAAUUUAUCCAACUAUAGUACGAGGACAAAAGCUGCAUGAGGGGUUUAGGGUUUAGGGGUCUCAAAUCAAGCUCUUCCAGAUAAGAAAGAGAAGCCAACUGCAGAGGUGUAGGGACGUCUAGCGGAUACUUUUUCAAUCUAGGUGACAUAAUAUUAAGAUCAAGACUCGAGAGGGUGAUGGGAAGGGGAGGGAAGUCCUCUAUCUCCGAUGCUCGACAAUUCCAAAUAGACAAUUGAGUGAGAUGGGAGAGCAUGUGACGGCACUGUAGUAAGCUUCCCAUAUUUUCACAACCUUCAAUUCUCAUUCUUUCAAGUGAUUCUAUGGUAAUCCCUUCCAGCGACUCCACUCCCUUACAGUGUUUUAUAGAAAGUGCCUUCACAGGAGCAAGUCUACCCUUGGCAAAUGAAAAUGAUAUCGGAGAAUUAUGGUCACUUAUAUGAAGAGAUUCAAGUUGAGAAAUCGAAUUAUUGCUGCUGGGGUCACCUUGAGGAAUGUUUAGAGCCAUGAUUUUUGGACAAUUCUCAAUCACCAAAUGUUUGAGUAUGUGCAUCUUGCUUGGAAGCUUUUCUAAACUUGUGCAAUCCACCAAUUCCAUCCUUUCAAGAUUACAGGGUAGCUCUAUCUCUCCGUCUCCUGCCACAAAAGAUGUGAAUCGAGCACAGCUUUUAAUGGUUAAUUCCUUGAGGCAAGUGAGAUUUUGCAUUUCAUUUCCAUCUUGCCACAAGCAUGUUAGCUUGUCACACAGUCCUAUAUGAAGCUUCCUUAGCUUGCCCAAGCAACUCAUAAACCGAUGAUCGAAGGAGACAAGCUCUAUGAGUUCGUUAACUUUGAGAACUGUCAAAGAAGUUAAAUUGAACAAGCUCUUUAAGAUCUCCUUACUACAAUCCUCAAGGUAUAACUCAUUGAGAGAUGGAAGAUAUAACUCACUGGUUGAGUUAUUCAAUUGUAGGCAUGAAUAAAUUUCAAGCUUUAUAAGACGAUUAAGUUGACAAGGCAAUGACCCAACCAACGAAGGACAACUCCGGACAACAAGAUGCUUAAGACAGGAGAAUGAGACUUCUUCUUUUGGGCCCCCUACAUAAGGAGACCAAUCCUUCCAUGCCAACAUCUCUUCGAACUGCAAAGUAAUUAAGGACGAAAAAGGCCUAUCACCUCCAUAAAAAAUAGAGCCUAUUUUUCUUACUGCAUUNNNNNNNNNNNNNNNNNNNNNNNNNNNNNNNNNNNNNNNNNNNNNNNNNNNNNNNNNNNNNNNNNNNNNNNNNNNNNNNNNNNNNNNNNNNNNNNNNNNNNNNNNNNNNNNNNNNUCUAACCAUGACGGGAAUAUUGCACCACCAUAGUUCAAAUAGUGAGAUUUUCAAUAUCAAUGGGAGGUUGCAAAGACUCGAGCACCCGUGAUUCGCGCUUAUCAUUCCGAAGAAUUCCAAAAUCUUUAUCCCAAUGCAAGAAUAAUUUUCUUAGGCCUUGCUUUCCAAACAAAUUAGCAUCAACACCAUCUCUAACAUCUUCAACCUUUUGUAAUUUCAAUAUGAAUAAUUCUCCUUGAAGAUGCGACAAGUUCUUUAACUCCUUUAACUGUAGCCCUUUCUCUGUUCCUACCACAAACUUGGACAAGAUAGUAAGAUUCUUCAAGUUAUUGAUACCCAAUGGCAUCUCUUUUAGACUUUCUGUAUCUCUAACAUCAAGAAACUGUAAGCUAACCAACUUUGUGAUACCGUGAGGCAACUUUGAAAGCUGAUGACAACCUCUUAAGAUCAAAGCUUGUAAUUUGCACAAGUCACCAAUUGACUCAGGUAGCCUUCUGAUAGAAGUGUUUGAGAAAUUGAGAUAUCGAAGAUGUUUUAAUUCACCAACACAAUUCGGUACCUCUAGGAUCUUACAAUGACAUAAUGAAAACACCCUCAGAAACUUCAAGUUUGUCAGCAAGUCGUGCAACACCUUGUUGGGUAUAUGGUGAGUAUGCAGUAGAAUUAAACUUCUUAAUACCUUCAUAUCAUGAUAUGCUCUUAAGCAUUUUGAUGUAACAAACAACGGCGUGAUGAAUGAUGCAUAACGAGUUCUCUCAAGAGAUGCAUAAUCUUCAUUAAUUGCUAGCUGAGACUCCCUAGAGCUAAAGCAUAUCCCACCCUCAAUUGACUUUGCUAGAUCAUUCAAAAGAUCAUGCAUUGAAAACUUAGAUGUGUCAACACUUGAUUUUUGAAGAAAUGAUCUAGAUACUAACUCAUCGAAGUAAUUCCAUCCUAAUUCCAACUUAUUUUUCUUUGUCUUUUGUCCAUCUAAAAAUCCCUCCGCUAUCCAUAAGAGUACUAGCUCAUCCCUCUCAAAUUCGUAAUCCUUAGGAAAUACCGCACAAUAAGAAAAACAUCUCUUCAGAUAGGAAGGAAGAUGGACAUAGCUCAAUUUCAAAAUAGGGAGAACCUCAUCAUUCUUUGUCGUCGGAAGAUCCCAUAUUAUAUUAUUUAAGGUAUCUUCCCAUUCACUGGGAUUCAUUUUAUUAUGUAGGGCACCGCCAAACAUCUUCGCUGCCAAAGGUAAACCUUUACAUCUUUUAGCUAUUUUCUUGCCUAUUGUUUCAAAUUCCGGGUGGCUCUUAAAAUUUGUUGCUCCAAGAGCAUGAAAGGCUAAUAAGCUUGUACAAUCAUUGAGGGACAAUUCCUUCAAAGGAAUUGGCGGUGCUUUUGUUACUGAAACAACAAGAUGGUUGCGAGUCGUAAUAAUAAUCUUGCUUCCCCUAGCACCCACUACAAAUGGCUUUAAGAAGUCAGUCCAUUUUCUGUACUCCUCAUUCCAGAUAUCGUCUAGAACCACAAGAAACUUCUUUCCAAAAAGAUUGUCCCUCAACUUAACUUGAAACUCGUUUAGAUCUUUGCCCUCGCAGGGCAACCCAGUGAUUGACCGCAAAAUAGUCUUUGUUAUGUCGAGAACAUCAAAAACAUCUGAAACACAAACCCAUGCUCUCAUCUCAAAACAUCUAUUCACUCUGGCAUCAUUAUACAGCUGUUGAGCCAAGGCAGUCUUUCCAAUACCACCCAUCCCAACUAUGGGGACUAUGCUUAGUGUGGCAUUAGAAUUUUCGACCUCAUUGAUUAAUAGUUUGAGUAUUUGUUCUACUUCCUCCUCCCUGCCAAAAAACUGAGGCUCUGAUAAAGAAGUGGUUAUCCUUUUGCUGGUGUAGUUGGAUUUGUCCACAACAUUCUCUCUCAAGUUUAGAUGAACCUUUCCAGUGACAAUUGCGUCCAACCGGUGAUUGAUCUCUUGUACCUUGGUUUCAGACAUGAGCAAGGGUGGUCGGCCAAAUUCUAAGAACUUCAAUUUUCCCAAACCUUUGCUUGUGGUGGAUUCUGCCUCUAACUCAACUUGAGCAGCUUUGAUCUCAAACUCAUCGAGCAAGUCUUCCAUGUCAUAGGCCAAGUCCUUAACCUUGUCCAGCCAUGACUUCACUUGAUGGUUACCACUAAGUUCCUUGUCCUCUGCAUCAGCCAACACUGCAUUGAUUAUGACUAGCUUCUCCUUCCACUCCUUAGGCAAGGCAGUGCUGAUUCCUUUACGUUGUGCAUAACCUAAUGCGAGAGAAGCCAACUUGUCGAACAUGACCUGAAAGGAUGAAGCCAAAAAGGAACCCAACACAAUCCCUCCAAUUUCCAUAGGUGAAUCAGUCACUGUAAAAAACAACAAAGGUGUUAUGGUAAAGCAAAGUGAAAAUGAACUAAUGGAGAGAGAAAACUAUGAAGACCUAGGAAGACCAAGAUGAUGACAUUGGAAAAAGAUUAAAAAAAAAGACCAAGACUUUCAAGGGAUGCACAUCAAAGGUUAGACAAAUCAAAAUAAAAUACUAUUUGUCCACAAGUGCUAGUUACAUCAAUUGCUCUCCUUAUUCUUCGGAUCAAAACUUUUUGGCUAUUGGACCUUUACUUUUGGCCAUCCAAAAUAGUCUUAAUAUGACCAACUUAGAGUGUAUGCAUAUUUUCGCCAUAAGUGUUAUCACUCACGAGUGUUUUGUUGGCUUUUUUAGCGUUUGUAUAUUCUUAGUAAUCUCAUGAUUUCAAUGUCUUUGUUUUCUGCUUUAUUGGUGAAUGUGAGAUUAAUGAAGUCUUUUACAUGGGAGUUUAUGUGCUAAAGAUUCACAACAAGAUGGGUGAUAAUGAUUUGUUGAAGGGUGCUGAGGUAGUGGUUGAUAAUCGGGAAUCACCUUGAUAGGAGAAUCGCGAUCCUUUGAACACAAUUAUCAAGUUCAUUAGUGUAAUGGGUAGAGUGUGACAUCUAGUGGAUUAUAUGUCGUUAAUGUUGGACUCGUUUACCGUUUCCAGAGUGAGAGAAAGCAACUUGCUUGAUGAAUUAGUUGGUGUACUUAUCCCUUUUUUCUUAUUUAGGGAUGUAUGAAGUUGACCAAGUUAAUAGGAUCAACAAAUAAGCAUAUUUGUGCAACUUAGUAAAAUAAAUGCUUUUGAAACAUAACAUACUGAGGAUUUGCCCAAUAAUGGCAUCUUAUUUUCUGUUAUACAUGUACAUGUUAUCAUAGACAAUUAACUUUGUCUGUCCACCAAGGAGAAUAGAAACACGUGCUUUGGGCUAAAUAAGGAAAAUGGUCAAACACACCGACUAAUUCAUUAAGCAACUUGCUUUAUUUUACUCUGCAAAUAGUGAACAAGUCAGAAAUCACCAAAUGACAAUGUAUAAUCUACUGAAAAUUAUACUCUACCAACCACACCAAUGAACAGCAAAAUCGAGUUCAAAGGACCAUGAUUCUCACUUCAAGCGAUUCCCCAUCAUCAACUACUAACCCAUCACCUUUCAGCAGAUAUUGCCGCGCAUCUUGCCGCAACUUUUUCUUCUUUUUCUUUUUUUCACAAGUGCUUGUUCUGUAAUAUUUAGAGAUUAUCCCCAUACAUAUGGAGUAUCCACGAUCAUAUACUUGUUCAUUUAAAAAAAUCAUAAACUCGGGAAGAUCAAAACUUCACUGGGUAUCAUGAACUUUUUUGUUGUGAAAGUGAAGUAUAAUUGAUAAAGAGCUUAUGGGAAAGAAAAUUUAAUAAAAUCGAAGAAGACUAAGACUUACGGAGAUGUAAAUUGGAUUUGUCACUUCACUUUUCAAAUCCCUCCUCUUCCGUUCCCAUGUGAAUGUCUUUUUUACAUUGCUAGUAGUUUUCCACGCGUUACAUGGAUGCCAAUUUUUAUUUUUAUUUUUUUAUGUGUGCAAUUGACAAUUAGCAGUGAUUAUUGUUCUCUUGCUCAAAUUGACAUAACUAUAAUUUUAGUCCAACUUUUGUCAUUUUUAAUCCUAUUGUGAUUAAUCAUUCAUUAAUCUCUGCUGUACUUGUCUAUUGGAAUUAUGUCUAGAUUUCCAUUUAUCUUUUCAAAUAUAAGUCUAAUAAAUGGAAAAAGAGCAAGAAGAAAAACUAAAUAAGAAAAACAACAAAAAACUGAUGAAGAAAAAAAAUGCAGGAAUGGGGCGAUAAUACUCUUCGUGAGUCGCGGAGAGUUCCACUUCACAUUUUUGUUUUGUUUUUUUUAUGAAGACGCAAUCUAAAUUUAUUAAUAAGCAAGAUAUGAUUUUCCUAGAUUUCCCAAGUUAUUAGCAUGUGAUUUAUCAAAGGGAACGUGCAAAAAAGAGAAUUAAUAAUAAUGCACUCCAAAAAGCCUAGAUGCGCAUGACAAUGCUUAUCCAUGAAAAUUCCAAGUUUUUGAAUAUACUUGUCCUGAUACGGAUAUAAUGCAAUUCUAUGCUAAUAUGUAAUGAAAAAUCAUAAAAUAAAGGCCUGAGUUUUGGCUCAAACAAUUAUUCGUGCAGAUGUAUCACCUGAUUAAAACAAAAUUAACAAAUCACCAUGAAUUAUGCAAUCAAGCUGCAACUUUAAUGUGGCCAGCAAGUAUAUGACAUCAACUUCCCCCAAUUUUGCUAUUAAACUUGCUGCAUCAGUUCAAGGAAAAAGAGAGCAAGUAGAAAGAUGUCUUUUACCUAUUCCAAGUAGACUUCCUGGAGCCGAGCAGGCGAACGGGAUAAGAUCCACAACAGCAAUCCAGCAAGCACGAGCGCUAGGCUUGGCAGUUCACUGUGUACGCGUCCGUAUUCAGCUACGGCGAUGCGUGGUCCCUGCUUGCAACGACGAACGAUGGUAUUGAUUGAGCGACGCCUAGAGAUGGUGGUGAUUGGCGACAAUCGAUAUGCAUGCAAGAAAUGAAUUGAAUGAGGGUGAAGUCUCUGGGCGUGAGUUUAAUGAUGACGGUGGUGGUGGUGGUGGUGGUGGAUGAAGAAAAAGUGAGGCGGUGUGGUUUUAAAGAAAGGAGCAGGAGAAUCAAUAUGAAUUCUGCCGUGUGUGUUUUUCUCUCGGAGGUUCCCAUUUUAUCUUUGCUUUUCUUUUCGUUUUUUUUUUUGGGGGGGAAUAAAUUCGAAAGAACCUAAUCCUAUUUGUCGAAAUUCUGGUCUAUGCUUAUAAAAUGCUUUAAUUUCAAUAAACUUCUUCUUUGGGAGGAAAAUCUGUUCCAGUUUUCCAAAAAUAUAUGAAAGUCACUUUUGGGCAGAAGUUAGGUAUCGACAAGUUUUAACAAUUAAAUGAUUAUUUUUUAUCUAUUUAUACUUAUUUUGGUAACUCGAGAUUUUUAAUUUUGGAUGUGGAGCUGUCAGAUGAUCCUUUCCAGGUGUGGCUGUAACCGCCUGCUUAUUGCUCACGUUUCGCCUCUCUUUAUAGAGGAAUGGUUUUGGAGGUUCAAACACUAGGAUUUGUACCCGACUUCUGCUCCUUUUCAGAUUUUCCAUUACGUUCCUCUUUUGGAUCGAACCGAGUCAAUUCCUCUUGUUUUGCUUCAUCAAAGUAGUUUAAGGGUGCGUUUGGUAGCAUAUCGNNNNNNNNNNNNNNNNNNNNNNNNNNNNNNNNNNNNNNNNNNNNNNNNNNNNNNNNNNNNNNNNNNNNNNNNNNNNNNNNNNNNNNNNNNNNNNNNNNNNUACGAGAAUAAAAAUUUAUGUUCCCAAAAAAUUUUUAUUUCCAAUUUUUUUCAUUUAAUUUAUAAAAUGUCAAUUAUAGUUGAUUAUAUAAAGUUCUUGAAAGAGGAAGGUGGAAUUGGAAUCAUAAACUCGUGUUUUUGAAAUUUAAAAAAAAAAAAUGCCGUGAUUGGCUAAUUGGAAUCAUAAACUCGAGGGAAAAUUCCAAAUAAGGACCCGAAGUGGACCAAUUUUCUCAAAUAAGGAUCCGAAGUGAACUUUGUGUCAGAUAAAGAUCUAAAGUGGACCCAUGGUCUUAAAUAAGGACCCAAAGUGAUUGAAUCAAUUCCAAAUAAGAACCUAAGUUUGUUGGUCAACCAAAUAUUCGUCAACUAUCAAGCAUGUGACAUUUUCGACGACCGGAGUUUGGCCAAUUUUGUCCAAAAAAUAUAUAUAUAGGGAAAAUUAACAAAUCUUAAAACAUAAACAAAAAAAACCCUAGGUUUUCUACAGUCUCCCCAUUCCUUGCACCCAUCAUUUGCAAAGUCAAAGACCGAAGUUCUCCCCAUUCCUUAUACCCAUCCUCUGCAAACUCGAAGACCCAAAUUCUUUGCCGAUUAAGGCACGAAUACAAAAACAAGAACAAAACCAAAUUCUUCUUUCUUUGUUUGCGGAGACCCAAAUUCUCCGCCGGUCGAGCAAGGCAAGGAGCGACGAGAAUCAAGUCAUGAUGAUGACUGGGUAGCGAUUUGGUUGAGGAGCAGCCAGGGAGAAGAAAGAAAAAAACGUAAACAUCUAAAUGAAUAACCUAAACUUAAUUAAUUUAGAAUUUUCCCUUUUUUUUCCAAUCACAAAUUUCUGACAAAAUUGCCCCUAUUUUAAUCGUCGGAAAAUGUCUGCCGGCGAGCUAAGGUCCUCAAUAGAGAUUAAGUUGAUCACUUUGGGUCCUUAUUUGACACAAAAUUCACUUUGGGUCCUUAUUUGAAAUAAUGGAUCUAUUUCGAGUUCUUAUUUGACACAAAGUUCACUUUUGGUCUUUAUUUGAAAAAAUAUAUUUACUUUAGGUCCUUAUUUGGAAUUUUCCCUAAACUCGAAUGAGGCCUAAUAUGCUAGAAAACUAUUGCCAUUGAUAAUUCAUGCAGUGUUUUGAACUAAAGCCAAUCGGCAGAUAUUAGGCUAAAUGCACAUGGAGCCUUAACAAGGAAAAACUAUAUAGAAACCACCGACCUCCUGACCUCCUCGAGCGAGCGAAACAGACAGAAAUUAAAAAAGGUUGCAAAAAGAGGCCACUCCACGCAUAUACAUGCUCAUUUCCACAUAAGCCACCAACACAGUCCCAAAAAUUAAAAUUAAAACUUGCAUGUCUGAUUGCGGGUGAAAGUUUUCACGAUCAUACCUGCUUUGAGUCAAAAAAUGCUAUUUUAUCUCCUGGUCUUUUUUUCGACUCCAAAAUCCGAACUUCAGGCGCGCUUCUGAAACACAACCACCCAACAAAAAUAAGCAAAACACCAAAAAAAAAAAAACCCAACUUUUAUUCAUCACAUAAUAAAUCUCAAAGCAAAUUUAAAACAAUCAAAACAUGAAGAGCUUAUCGUGAAAUUGCUAGAACCCAGAAAACCGUGAACAAAAAUACGUUGCUUCAAAUCUUUCAAUUCCAAGAACCUCGUACAAGAGAAUAGAAAGGCAUGAAAAUUCAAGAAUGGAUGCUGGAAAACGUAUAUUCGAGAAAAAGCCCAGCCAAAACUCUGCUGGGGACAGACAGGUAUAAAAGCAUAGAUAAGGUAAGGGGAGCAUUUCGAGCGAGUUCGAGAAUGUUCGAGGAUUUGACGGCACUAUUUGAGAACCCACCGCUUUGUGAUACUGGUAAUCUUCUCAAGCAACCGCUUCUACUACCACACUUGUGAAACACACGAACCAUCGACCCCAAAAUCUCAUUUUUCCUUUUACCCACUACUUCGAUUCCGCAAAGGGGGAGAAACCCACGAGGAAAGAAGAAUUGCAGGGAACACCCAAAUUGCAGAUUUGUUGUUAAGAAGAACGGGAAGCGAGAGCACGAGCGGUCCGUACGUCAAUGGCCAAAGUGAGAGCACCUCCAAAAACGACACGAGACGAGCUACGACAGGAAGAAAUCGAACGAACAGCAAAACGCAAGGAUCUACGACUAACCCUCUCCGCUCAAUCGAGCGACAAAUCAAACCCUAUUAAAAAAGGCAAAGGGGAGCAAUGAAAAACAAAGCGAGAAUCGCCAAAGAGAGAGAGCAAGAAUUGCCAAGGAGAGAGACGCCUACCGUUUCUCAAGUCUAGUUGCGGCAACAAAGGAGGAGGAAAGGUGUCGCGACUGUGUCUUCUCCGGCGAACGAUGCGAAGAGGAGGAGAAGGAGGAGAAACAAACUUCACGAGAGAGAAAGGUGAGAGACAAAAAGACGUCUGCCAAGAAGUUUUAAAAAGGAUGAGAAUAAACUCCGUUUUUUUAUUUUUGUUCUCGGAACAAUAGUUACUUUUUUUUUUUUUCUGAUUUCUAUUUUCAAAGCUGUUCUGAGAACACCUUUAUUCUCAAAAAUAAAAAAUUUACCAAAUAUAUUUUUAUUCCAUUUCUAUUUUCAGGAACAAGAAAACCUAAAUAAGUGUUUCCCGGAGCGUUACCAAAUGCACCCUAAGGGUGUGAAAAAACUUAAGAUUUGGAUAACAUUUUCCGAAAAAUAAUUAGUUACAUCAUUUAAAAAAAUUGACCAACACAAGAUAUCUUUCAUUGCCAACAUCAAUUUAUAUAUCUACCUAUUUCGGUAAAUGGUGAAAAAAUUUGAUUUGUUCAUUUUUGUGAGCAAUAAAUCAAAAAACUCAAUCAGUUUUUUGAAAAUAUUUUCUAAAUCUUGAGUUUUCAAUUAAACAAAUAUAUUUUAAUUAUUUGAAGUUUUAUUGUUCCUGCAUUAUACAAGGUAAAGAGUAGAAAUCAAGUCAGUUCGACUUAGUUAAUGUUUUUGAAACCUAAAUUAUUGAGGAUACAAUCAACAAUGGCAUCUUAUUUUAUUUUUUUGUAUGCAUCUACAAGUCACCAAAGACGGGUAAGUUUAUAUGUCUAACAAAGAAAACAAAAUCAUGUGCUUUGGCCAAAAGAAAUGGUCCUCUGUUUCAGACAACAUCCAAAAGUCUUGAUUCAGAGAAAAAGGGGAACAAUAUAACUCAAGGACAUAAUGUGCGACAAAACAUACGCUCUCUAGUCUGACUCAAAACUUCUUGGCACCUUAGGAAGACCAAGACUUUAUUGGAACUCAUCAACUUUUUUUUGUGUAAAAAGUGAGGCAAGAGGGAAAAAGUGACAGUGGGAUAGAAACUUUAGUCAAUUCCAAGAAGGCCAAGUCUUUACGGGAUGCAAAUUGGCUUUGUUGCUUCACUUUUCACAUCUCUCCUCUUCCGUCCCUAUGUGAAUGUCGCUUUUUCCAUUACUAAUAGAAUUUCCACACGUUACAUGUCUUUCUUAAAAUUAACAAUACUAGAAAUUAGUAUAAGAAGGAAGCCAAGAAGGAACCCGAAAAGAUCUCUCCAAUGGUCAUGGGUGAAUGAGUCACUGAAAAAAACAAGGUUUGAGUGAUAAGGAGCUAGUAGAGAGAGAAAAAUAUAAGCUUUAGCAAGAUCAAGACUUUCAAAGAUGCGCACAAGAGGUUAGAGAAAAUGAUAGAAAGAUACAUUUUGUCUACAAGUGCUUGUUUUGCAAUAUCUAGGGAAUAUCUCCAGAGACUUUGCUGGAUAUUAUGUGCUUUUUCUUCUUUUUUUACGGAAAGGUGAAGCAAAAGUAGAUAAUUUCAACGCAUUACAUGUGAAGCAACCUAAUAAGUACCGACACUCUCCAGAAGUUUCCGUGUUGUGAAAAAACUUAAGAUUGGGAUAACAAUUUUCAAAAAAUAAUUAGUUACAUCAUUUAAAAAAAUUGACCAACACAAGAUAUCUUUCAUUGCCAACAUCAAUUUAUACCUACCUAUUUCGGUAAAUGAUGAAAAAAUUUGAUUUGUUCAUUUUUGUGAGCAAUAAAUCAAAAAACUUAGUCAAUAUUUUGAAACUAUUUUCUAAAUCUUGAUUUUUCAAUUAAAUAAAUAUAUUUUAAUUAUUUGAAGUUUAUUGUUCCUGCAUUAUACUAGAUAAAGAGUAGAAAUCAAGUCAGUUCGACUUAAAGAGUCGUGGAGAGAUUUUACAAGAGUCCAAACAAAUUUCACGAUUCAAUAUAUUCUGUGGUUUUUGUUAUCCAUGCUUGCCAUGACUUCAGUUUACCAAGGAUGAGAGUAAAUCAUGGAGGCUAUGUGUAUGCUAAAACAAUUAUUGGAUCAUGUUCACCAACAGUGACCAAAGAUCGGUCCCAUAUAUGCUAAAACAAAAUGAUGGAAUUGGGAGGGCCCUGCCUUAGCCUUUUUUGUUAGCAUAUCCAAUCAAGCAUAUCAUUAAGGACUUGAGCCCCACUAAUUUGUAUUUCAUCCGCCAAUAAUUAAAGGCUGAAAAUGAAAAUGCUCACCAUUUUUCAUUCGAAAAGAAGAGCAUUCAAGAAUUAGUCCAUACUUUUUCGAAUACUUUUAGUAAGCAUGUUUUAGAUAUUGUAGGUUCUAAGAAUUAACAAAAGUCGAGAAUCUAAAAUAUGCAUGAAUGGAAUAUGUAAUGUUUGUGGAUAUGGAACGAGUCAAGGGUUUUAACCAAUUAGAGAGAGAGAGAAAGAGCCAUCUAAUUACGUCAAGUUGGAGUCUAGUAUGUCUUGCAUGAAUUUUGCUUUUUUAAAGCAAGAUUUGUUUUUCUUUUUUCAACGGGGAGAACAAACUAAUUGGUAUGGAAUAUUUUCUAGACAACAGAUCUAGAUUAUCUAUGAUUUUAGAAUUUUGAGAGCAAUUCAACAAACUUAUUUUGAGUGAGUGCACAAAUUAGUAUUAUGCCUUUCCUCUAAUAUUACUUGAAGUGAAUUAGUAUUAUGCAUUGGUGUAUAGGCCGAUUAUAAUGAUUCUGGAGAAUUCACAAUCAUGCAAUAUCAGAAGCCCGCACACAAACAAUUUGAGACUUGAAUUUAGACCAUAUAAUGAAUUUGAAGCUGGACAUCUACAUCCCAAGGCUCUAAAUUAUGUCAAACUCCAUCAUGACAUGGUACUAUCCCUAGGACUCUGCGGCUAGCCAUCUCGUGCCAGCAUAUGCCUCCCCGACAACUCCUUGUGCAUCAUGGGGCCAAAAUCGCAUCAAAGGAUCCCCGCUUUUUUGAUGUAAUUGAAACCUAAAUUAUUGAGGAUACAACCAACAAUGGCAUCUUAUCUUCUGUUAUUCAUCUACAAGUCAUCAAAAACCGCUAGGUUUGUCUGUUUUGAUAAGGAAAACAAAAUCAUGUGCUUUGAUCAAAAGAAAAAAAGGAGAACAAUCUAACUCGAGGAUAGAAUGUGCAUCAAAACAUACGCUCUUCUGUGUAGCUCCAACCUCUUGGCGUAUUAGGAAGACCAAGACUUUAUUGGAACUCAUCAACUUUUUUGUGUAAAAAGUGAAGCAAAAGGGAAAAGUACUAAUGGGAAAGAAACUUUAAUCGGUGCCAAGAAGACCAGGACUUUGCCGGACGCAAAUUGGCUUUGUUGCUUCACUUUUCACAUCCCUUCUCUUCCAUCCAUAUGCCAAUGUCUCUUUUUCCAUUGCUAGUAGAAUUUCCACACACUACAUGUCUUGCUAAAAAUUAACAAUACUAGAAAUUAGUACAAGAAGGAAGCCAAGAAGGAAUCCAAAAAGACCUCUCCAAUGGUCAUGGGUGAAUUAGUCUUCAAAAAGAAAAACACGGGUUGAGUGAUAAUAAGCUAAUGGAGAGAAAAAAAACAACAAACGUCAGGAAGAUCAAGACUUCCAAAAGUGCACAUAGAGGUUAGGGAAAUCGAUGUAAAAUACUUUUUGUCCACAGGUACUCGUUUUGGAAUGUUUAGAGAAUAUUCCCAGAGAUUUUGCUGGAUAUCAUGCGCCCAGAAAGCUGAAGCAAAAUUAGAUAAGUUCCACACAUUACAUGAGAAGCAAAAGUGAAGCACUUUGAUAAAAAUUUGUGAUGGUGAGAGAGAAAUUUUAAUAAAUUCAAAAUAGACCAAGACUUUGCAAAAAAAGUGACGAUGAGAGAGAAACUUUAAUCAAUUCCACGAAGACCAAGACUUUGCGGAAAGAAAAAGUGAUAAUGGCAGAAAAACCUUAAUCAUUUCUAGGCGAAAAAAGUGAUAAUGGGUAAAAACUUCAAUCAAUCAGGAAGAUCUAGACUUUGCGAAAAAAAGUGAUAACGGGAGAAAAACUUAAAUCAUUUCCAAGAAGACCAAGACUUUGCAGGAUACUUCGUUCCUUCACUUUUCACAUCUCUCAUUCAUUGCAAUGUGAAUAUCUUUUUUUUCUCCAUUACUAGUGAAAUUUCCACGUGUUAUGUGCAAAAUUAACAGUACUACAAUUUUCGUUUUACUAUUCUCAUGUUUAAUCAUAUUGGGGUUUUCCAUUAUAUCAAUCUUUAUUGUACUUGUCCAUUAGUAUUAUCUCUAGGCUUUCCUUUAUGUUUACAAGUUCAAGUUUGAUAAAAGAAAAAUGGCAAAAAGAAAAGCGAGCAAGAAAAAAAAGCAAAAAACUGAAAAUGAAAAAAAAUAAGGAAUGGGGCAACAUAGAGAGCGCCACCCAUCCAACGGCCAAUGGCAUGCUGCUGUCGUCAGCACCUCCGUAGGAUAACUCAUUCCAUCGUCACCAUUGCAGUUGGCACUACUAGCCGGACUAACCAUCACAACCAAUUACCUUAAAUUACCUAAUGACUUAACUAACUUAAUCUAUAGAUAUAUUCACAAUGGAAAGUCUAAAUUCUAGGAUUUACAGUUCUCACAUGCACGUGAAAAGUUGAGUUCAACGUGGAGCUCCCAUCAUUCAAUAGUGGAUGGGAGCUAGCUCACAUGCUUUGGGGUCAUUCAAAAAUUUCCCCCCAUCCUGUGUCUAAGACAUUAACAAUAGUUGCUACCCCAAUGAUAGUCUUUCCUCUUAAAAAAAAUAAAAAUAAAAAGGACUUAGGCUCAAGAGACCCAAUUCUUAUUUAUUACGCCCAUGAAGCUACAUCUUUGAAGCCCAACAGACUAACUUCAUUCAGUUUAAUUAUAAUUGUUGUAGUUUUUUUGUUUUUUGAGUUGGUCCUACUCUACUCCUACUCUAACCUUCACUCUCAGACUUUUGUCUUGUUUCCUUGUAGAGCGUGGAAGUCGAAACCCACACUUGAAACUAAAUCGUCCCCACUCUAACCUCCUGAGAAUGUGGAGAUUUGAACCCUCCACUCCCCCUUUCAUGUGGAAAGGGUGGCCACUGGCCCAAUGGUUAUAAUUGUUUAAUUGUUGUAAUUGGCUAAUCAGAGAAAAGAGGAGUAGUUAAGAGGGAGAAAAAAGAAUCAAGAAAGCUAGAAAAGGGAAGUGAACCGCGUGCUAAAGAGAGAAAGGGUUCGGUUCAAGUUCACUGGGGACAUCUUAACGUGUUGGAUUAAUGUCGUACAAGAAGUGCUUGAUAAGAAUUCAAAGACUUAAUUCACUUCAUUGAAGAACUUUUUCUAGAUUAAGCUAUAAUUUCGAUUCCAUUCUGAUUUUAGGUGGCUAGGUUGGUUAUAAAAGUUGUUGAGCCAUGAAAUCAUAUAGUAAUGAAACUUUGGUGAAUCAUGAAACUAUGGGAUUUUAUGGAAGUCAACUUAGGAUUACGGUUUGGUUGGGAUGAAAUUUUGAAGUUUAUUGAGCACUUUCGAAACCAUGUUGGAAAGCAUUCAAAAUAGUAUGGGCUAAAUUUAUGAUAACAACUAGUGCCAAACACAAUAGUUCCAACAUGCCUCCCUGAGAGCUCCUCGUGCAUCAUGGGGCCAAAAUUGCAUCAAAGGAUCCCCACUUUGUCGAUGUCAUUGAAACCUAAAUUAUUAAGGAUAUAGCCAACAAUGACAUCUUAUUUUCAGUUAUGCAUUCAUAAGUCAUCAAAGACCACUAGGUUUGUUUGUUUGAUAAGGAAAACAAAAUCACGAGCUCUGAUAAAAAAAAAAAAAAAAAGAACAAUCUAACUCGAGCACAGAAUGUCCAUCAAAACAUACGCUCUUCCGUCUAACUCAAGCUUCUUGGCGUAUUAGGAAGACCAAGACUUUACUGGAUCUCAUCAAGCUUUUUGUGUAAAAAGUGAAGCCAAAGGGAAAAAGCGAUGAUGGGAAAGAAACUUUAAUCAAUGCCAGGAAGACCAAGACUUUGAGGCUACUAUACUUGCCUACCCGGCGGUAGCCAGGGUGUGUACCCUGACGUGGAGUCUACCUUCCCCACCGUGAGGCCCCCUAAUUCCCUGUCUAUCUUUCUCUUCCCGACAGAGAGGGAAUACGGAGGACAGCGUGGGGUCUCCCACCCCUAGGUGGUUCUCCCACCUGUUUCCUCCUUAAGCAGUUUAAGGACCUGCUCAGGUCCAUUUAUGGGGAACUACUGCAGCCUGUUGGUUUAGUAACAGUGCCGUAAGGCUUGCUGUAGUAGCUGGAGGCCUUUCACCUCCCCCUCACUCACCCCAGGCGCGGGAGGUUACUAUACCUGCCUACCCGGCGGUAGCCAGGGUGUGUAUCCUGACGUGGAGUCUACCUUCCCCACUGUGAGACCCCCUAAUUCCCUGUCUAUCUUUCUCUUCCCGACAGAGAGGGAAUACGGAGGACAGCGCGGGUCUCCCACCCCAGGGUGGUUCUCCCACCUGUUUCCUCCUAGACCAAGACUUUGUAGGACACAAAUUGUCUUUGUUGCUUCACUUUUCACAUCCCUCCUCUUCCAUCCUUAUGUCAAUGUCUCUUUUUCCACUCGUAGAAUUUCCACGUGCUACAUGUCUUGCUUAAAAUUAACAAUACUAGAAAUUAUUACAAGAAGGAAGCCAAGAAGAAACUCAAAAAGAGCUCUCCAAUGGUCACGGGUGAAUUAGUCACUAAAGAGAAAAACAAGGGUUGAGUGAUACUGAGUUAAUGGAAAGAGAAAACUACAAACUAUAGGAAUAAUAGGACUUUGAAAAAUGCACAUAGAGGUUAGAGAAAUCGAUAUAAAAUACUUUUUGUUCACAAGUGCUUGUUUUGCAAUAUUUAGAGAAUAUGCCCAAAGAUUUUGCUAGAAAUCAUGUGCCUUUUUUGGGGAAACGUGAAGCAAAAUUAGAUAAUUUCCACACACUAUAUGUGAAGCAAAAGUGAAGCACUUUUAUAAAAAUUGACGAUGGUGGGAGAGAAAUUUUAAUAAAUUCCAAAUAGACCAAGACUUUCUGAAAAUAAAUGACGAUGAGAGAGAAACCUUAAUCAAUGCACGAAGACCAAGACNNNNNNNNNNNNNNNNNNNNNNNNNNNNNNNNNNNNNNNNNNNNNNNNNNNNNNNNNNNNNNNNNNNNNNNNNNNNNNNNNNNNNNNNNNNNNNNNNNNNNNNNNNNNNNNNNNNNNNNNNNNNNNNNNNNNNNNNNNNNNNNNNNNNNNNNNNNNNNNNNNNNNNNNNNNNNNNNNNNNNNNNNNNNNNNNNNNNNNNNNNNNNNNCACUUUUCACAUCUGUGGUUCAUCGCAAUGUGAAUGUCUUUUUUCCAUUGCUAGUGAAAUUUCCAGGGUUCGCAUGAAAUUACCAAUGCUAUAUUUUGUGUACUAAUUCAUGUUUUAUCAUAUGGAUUUUCAUAUAUUAAUCACUAUGUACUGUCCAUUAGAAUUUUAUCUAGGUUUUCCUCUAUGUUUACAAGUUCAAGUAUGAUAAAAGAAAAGAGGCAAAAAGAAAAGAGAACAUGAAAAAAAAAAAAACUGAAAAUGAAAAAAAAAAAAAUCAAGAAUGGGGCGACAUAGAGAGCGCCACCCAUCCAAUAGCCAAUGACAUGCCUCUGUCGUCAGCAGCUCCGUAGGAUGACUCAUUCCAUCGUCACCGUAGUAGUUGGUGCUACUAGCAGGACUAACUAUCACAACCAAUUACCUUAAAUUACCUAAUGACUUAACUAACUUAAUCUAUAGAUAUAUUGACAAUGGAAAUAAUGAAAUCCGGGAUUUACAAUUUCUCACAUACACCGUGAAAAGUUGGGUUCAAUGUGGAGCUCGCAUCAUUUGAUAGUGGAUGUGAGUUGGACUCACAUGUUCAAGUUCAUUAAAAAAAUUUCCCCCAUCUCGUGUCUAAGACUUCAACAAAAGUUGCUAUCAUAAUGAUUAGGGGUGAGCGGUUCCCAGUUCCGGUUCGGUUCCGUCUGGAACCUGGAACCUACCCUCGGGUACAGGUUCCUCAAUUUUUGGAACCUGGAACCUACCCGUUAGAACCGAGAACCUGGAACCUACCCUGUCACAGGUUCCAGGGUCGGUUCCAGGUUCCAACAGGUUCUUUUUUUUUUUUUAAUUUCAUUUUCGUAGUUGACGCGAAUAUUCGGAAGCCGAAAUAAUUCAAUAGUUGGCCCUCCAUUUUCAAUACCUGCCAAAACACAGCAAUAUAAAUCUUUUACUUACAUCCGAACAGACAACUAAAUUCAUAGUUUUCUAGAGAAAACAUUGUCUAAUAUAUAAUUUGGCCAUGUUUCAUAAUAAUAACUAAGGCAUGUUGUAUGAGCAUAGGCUUGGCAUUUCGCUCUUGAUUUGAGUGGGCAAGAAGUGGGUGCCAUGUUGAGCAGAAACUUGUGUUGGCAGUCGCUGGAGCAUCGAAAACAAUACAAUAGCUGAACAGAAUUGAAAAAAGAAAGAAAGAAAUGAAAUAAUAGAUUCGAUCAGAAGAAAGUAAAAGGAAGCUGCUCAGGAAAAUCCAGAGACGACCAAGGCUUGCAACAAUGGCGCUAAGUUUUUGUGCCCAUUUUUGUUGGAGGGCCCACCUUGAGAAGAGGAAAGUCUUCACAUCGUUCUGGCGAGAUUUAGGCGAUGUGUAAAAAGGAAACGGCGACGUUGAAGAAGACAUCCAGACAGAGUCUUGCAAAAGCCACAAAAUCUUAAUGGAUACGAUAUCAUAUUGUCUAUCUACUCACAAGCUUAACCUUGAUUACCUUCUCUUUCUGGUAAUCGGAGAAGAAGCUCAACGAGCUCGUCUCUAAGAACCGGUCGUCGGAGAAGAAGCUCAAUGAGCUCGUCUCUAAGAACCGGUCGUCGGAGAGGAAGCUCAAUGCAAGCAGCGUCUUGCCCCUGUUCGACGGCUUCAAGCUCGCGUCGUUGAGCCCGACCCACUUCGCCCAAGCCCUCCACUACGCCUUAUGAUCCGUGAGGCACUUCGCGAAAGCCAUGGCUCGCGAGAUGGAGGUGGCGAACUGGAACCUCGACGAGGCCAUCCCAUUCAUCAAGCCGCAAGCGAGGUUCGCGAAGCCCGGCCACCGGCACUUCGCCAUUGAAUCGUUCGAGGCCAGAUCGAUCUUCGAGGGCUUCAACUUCCCCGACGGAGGAAGAGCUCGGUUCUGGCGGAGGCGGUGGCGGUGGCGGUUUGGAGCAACGACGGCUUGGACGGCCGAGCGAGCGGCGGCAAGAGGUGGUGACGGUGGCUUGGGGACGGCGGCGGUGGCUUACGGCGGCGAGGGGCGGCGCGGACGGCGCGACAGCUCGUCGGGCUCAACGGCGAGACGGCUUGUCGGACGAGCGGUGGGUGGUGGUGGUUCGGUGGCCAAGAGGUGGUGGUGAGUAGGGCGUGGGGCGGCGGUGUGGUGGUGGGUGAAGCANNNNNNNNNNNNNNNNNNNNNNNNNNNNNNNNNNNNNNNNNNNNNNNNNNNNNNNNNNNNNNNNNNNNNNNNNNNNNNNNNNNNNNNNNNNNNNNNNNNNAGACUCUAGACAACUCGAAAAGAGAAGUGACCCGUCCGCUAGAGAGAGAAAGGGUUUCGUUUCAAGUUCAUCACGGAUAUCGUAACACCUCGGAUUCAUGUGGUACGCGAAGUGCUUGAGAAGACUUAAUUCACCCAGUUGAAGAAAAUUUUCUAGGUUAAGCUGUAAUUUCAAUUCCAUUCUAGUUUUAGGUUACUAGGCUGACUCUAGAGGUUGUUGAGCUAUGAAAUCAUGUUGUAAUGAAACUUGGUGUGCCAUGAAACUAUGGGAUUUAUGGAAGUCAACUUGGGAUUACCGUAUGAUCGGGAUGAAAUUUUGAAAUUUACUGCGCAUGGUUGGAACCAGAUUUGAAUUAUUGUGUUGGGCACUACUUUUCGCAUGUUUAUGGACGUCUUUUGGGUCAAGGCGAGUUCUUCUUUAAGCAUUCGAACACUUUUAUUUACAGCGAGGCAUAUGACUCCAUAUUUGUGCAUAAUUCAAGCUCUAGAAUCUUGAUUCUACUCACGUUGAUGAUGAUCUUUUAACAGGUAGUAGUGCCACAGAGUUACGUAGUUUCAUUCGGAAACUUCUUUUUGCUUUUACCAUGAAAGUUUUUUUCCAUUGCAUUUCUUCCUUGGCGUUGAGGACCAGUCCAGAGGUACGGGAAUUUUGCUGUCUCAAACACAUUACACUAGGAAUCUUCUACAGAUUUAAGUCUCAAUCUUCUUUACAUGAUGGUGUGUUACUGAUGGAUCCUACCGACAUUUUUUAUGCUGCCCGUGUUGAGAAUCAGUUCAUGCAUUGCCCUCAAACAUCUCUCUUACAAGCGAUUAAGCUAAUUUUUAUAUAUUUUAAUGGAACCAUUGAUCAUGGACUGUUAUUGAAGCCAUCAUUCGACAGCUCCUUGGUAACAUUAAAUCAUGCUCUUGGGUCAGUUGUCCCGAUACUCAUCACUUAGCAUCUGGAUACUUAGCUUUUAUUGGGUACAAUAUUACAUCGCGGGAUCUGAAUACUGGAGUUUUCGCCUCUGCAGUUGCAGAAACUUAUUGGAUUUGAGAGAUGUCUCAUGAUCUUCAUGUAUUUUCACCUAAACCGGCUGUAAGUCAUAUGUGAUAAUAUUAGAGCCACUUACUUAGCUGCUAAUCUGGCUUUCCAUGCUCACACCAAGCACAUUGAUAUUCAGGACAAAAUCGCAUCUGGUGAAAUUAUUUCAAUAUGUAUUCCAAUUUCUAAUUAGUUAGCUGACACUUUUACAAAUUAUCUUCUGAUUGGUUUAAUCUUUCGAAGGACAAUCUCAUUGUGGUGGCACCUGGUUCAAAUUUAGGGUUAUUAUUAGAGUAUCUUUAAUAUAUGUUUUGUUAUUUAUUUUUCAAUUUACAAGUUUUGUUAUGUAAUUUUACUGGUCAGUGGUUUUCAAUUUCUGAUAUGUUCUCUUUUCAGCGUUCAUGUCUACUUUGCAAAAGAUUUGAUUGUAACUACCUGUACUGUAUAUAAAAUGAGAAGCACAUCUCUCUUUUUUCUUUUUCUUUUUUAAUUUGACGGGCUAAAUUGCACCAAUUUCACAUUUUGCAAUUUACGAUGAAAUGACAAGAUCUUCAUUUCUAAAGGUUAGUUAGUGACAUGGAGUAAUUCUAGGGAAUCAUUUCACGUAAUAAUUUCUUCUAGUUCUAGUGAUAUUGUAAGAGCAUGUCCAAUUCUUGAAUCCUAGGGAAUCAUUUCACGUAAUAAUCUCUUCUAAUUCUAGUGAUAUUUUAAAGACAUGUCUUAUUCCUGAAUAUUUCGAUAGUUUCUUACUCGUCAAACUAAGCUUAGAUUUAAGUGACACUAAUUUUGCUCGUAAAGAGAUAGAGAGGGCCUGUUCAAGGGCCUCUUGCCAACAUCUUAGCACUUCUCUGAACUGAAUUAAACUUAGAUUCAAGUGACUCCGAUCUUGCCCAUUAAUAGAGAGAGGCCUGUUUAAAAUCCUCUUGCCAACUUCUCUUAGUAGAUCUCCUAACAGAGUUACAAGAUCCUUCUUUUUAAAUAGUUUGCUGAACUUACUUAAACUUAGGGUUUGUUUGUUCGAAGGAAAGUUAUUUUUCGGGAAAUUGCUUUUUGAUUUUUUAAUGUUUAGAUGACGGAAAAUUAAUCAAUUUAUAAAAAAUAUUUUCUGAAAAGCAACAAGUUUAAAUUGGAGAAAAUUCCCAUUUUCUUCUAACAAAAAGGAAAUCACUUUUUUUAAACUAUUAAACAAAUCAAAAUUUCAUGAAAAAUAUUUUCUCUUAUCAUGAAAUUUUCAAUAUAAAUAUUUUAAUUUUAACUAUUAUGAGGAAUCACGCUUUUCACCAAAAGUAUCAAAAAGAGUCAAAUCAUAUUAAUUUCGAAUUAGCUAUAUCAACAUGAUAUUCACAUGGUCGCAUUGAAUUUGAAUUCACCUAGAAGCCCUACCUAAAAGCCAAACUAAUAAAAAAAUCUACCGUUCAAUUAACGAAGAAAACCGAGUCUGAUUACCCUCACAACCGAAGUCCAUCCGAAAAUAUUCUCGCAAGAGGAUGUCAAUUCAGUCAGUUCAACAAUCGAAAACCCACAAAACUGGGACACCACAAAAUAAAAUAGAGAACAUUCAAACAGUAAGUCAGGUUGUGGGCUUGGUUAGGACUCCUUCGGGAACAUUUAAUUCGUAUGUUCCAGCAGUAUGAAGAGAGAAACGCGCGUACUUAAGAAGUCUGGUUGUGGGCUUGGUUUUUUUUUUUUUUGGGCAUCUUAAUGCAAAGGAGUAUCUUUCUAAGCAGCUGAACAGCUUCGGUUUGCUCCGAUACUUAUCAGGAUUAAAAUAACAAUCUGUUUGCGCUUGACAAUACAGCUGUGACAUCUGGUUUUUCUGCUUUACCAUGGCUCGUUAAACCUCUAUACGGGUUUAUCGGGUACAUCGUCCCUUUUUCUCAUCUUGUUUUCAUGGACCGUGGCCGUUUCUCUUAAGAAUUGCACCUAUUUUUUCAUUUCUAGGGGAAUUAUUCACGAACUAGAUGGUUGCUGCAGUGACCACCUUUGCUAAUAGCAAGUAUAGUGCUCAACUUGACCAGUCGAGUAUAAGCUGGUUUCAGCAAAUCCAAGCGCAACUUCUAUAAAGCGUUGAUCAGCACAGCGUGUUGAGAGCAACGGUCGGGCAUGCAUUGAACAAAUCGACGAAAGUAAGCCGACAAAUAUACUGAUGAAUGUCUAGGCUCAAGCACGCACUGCACAAUUCUGAUAUGAAGAUACAGAAAAGCAUCUCAACCUCAAAUAUGCAUAUCAAUACAGUUCAGUCAUGUGAACGAGAUGAUCACAAAGCAAUUAGUAGAUUUUACCCAUGCAGUAGUCUGUACGUAGAGCAACUGGACACACAGCAUAUGUGAUUCGAUUGAAUAAAGGAUGAUUACCUGUGACGAUUAACGAUCGGACCUCAAUAAGCUGAUUAUAGAAGCAGCUUCAUGAACUGGAACCGUUGUGAGAGAGUGGUGACCACAGUCCGAGCACUUCAGCAAUGGUGACCGACCGAGAACAGGGGCGGAAAGAGCUUCCGACGGUGGCCAUGGAAAUGGGAACGGUGACGAUUGGUUGAGGUUGGCAGUGGCCGACAGUGUCCGGAGGGCAAUAGAGAAGAAAUUUCGAUGAAGAGGUCUCUGGAAAUUCAGAAAAAAGACCGAGAAUCGAUGCUGUUGACUGAAUUGUAAAAUGAAAUCCAUAGAACGAGAGACAGCUUACCUUCAAAAUUGUUGCAGUAACCGAAUGAUGAAGAGCUCGAAGCGAAGAAUCCAAUUCUGAUCGAGUUUCAGUCACGGCGAUUCUCCUCCGUCGGGGAACGAAGAUGACAGAAACCGAAGGAGAAGGCAGUGACAAAAACGAACGAUAAUGAAGUCGUCGAGCGAGGGAGGCGCUUGGCUACGAUUGGCUCCAGUUCAAGUGAGGUUGAGAAGCUUCAAGUAAAUGUAGUAAAUUCAAGACGAAUCGAGACCAAUUCUCCAGAUUUGCUUCCUUCUUUCCCUGGUUUCCCCUAGCGCAUCUUCGUUUGAAGCUUUAGAGCGCUAGAGAGAGAAAACGCAAAACCUUCGCAAGCGCUACAGAGAGAGAGAGAGAGGAUAAACCCAAGAAAUGGCGGGGCUUGGUUCUUUUUGCGGGCUUUGGGCUGAUGGGCCUUUUGGGCUCAGCUUAAACUCGUGACUCAGCGUGAUAUUACUCGUUGAGAAUUUCCUGAUUGGCUGCACAUUGUUUUUGUGCUAUUACUUUCUAAUUCUAUCGGGCUUGCGAUCCACAUAUCGUAUCAUACAACAUUCUAAAUCUAUAAAAACACCAUUCCAAAGGAGUUUGGGUAAAAUCAUGCCUAUUGCCAAAGUUUACAGUGUAAUGAUAUCAAAAUAAAUUUCAAGGAGCCAAUUAUUUUUUUUUAAAAGACUAAUUUUCAAUGGACAAUCUAUACUUCCUCCUCGUUUUUUUUUCCAGAUAAGAGAAUUUUUAUCAUAUCAUAGAAAAUGCCAGGAAGUUGGCAUUUUUUUUUUUUCAUCUUGGUGCUAGAUGAGAAUUUCUUGCCUCAAUUAAUAACCAACUCCAAAAUUAUUCAGUCACAAAAAUAAAAUAUAAAAUAUGUAUUGAAAAAGAAAGUAAAAGCCCCAGAUUUUUCUUUAAUUCCCUGGCUUUUGCUAAUUGCCAUCAUUAUCAACCAACACAAUUGGAAUAAUGACGUAGGCACGAGAUGAACAUAAGAAAAUUUAAAAAAUCCAAAAAGGAAGAAUUAAUUAAAAUUAUCUUUCAUACAUAAUAAAGAGCUAUGAGAGUGAUCAGACAAACAAAAUUAUAUGUAACGGUAGUAGAAAGGGAGGAGAUAUGCCAAACAGGGUAUGCAUUGGUUGAACCACAAAAUUUCUAGUUACAUUAAAGGAGCCCAAAUCAAUAUGGCGUCAAACUUUCAACCCAAAAAUAAAAUAAAAAUGCUGUCAAACUAAUCAAUCAAUAGAAAAUCUGUGUACUAACUAAAAUGAAAUCAUUUGANNNNNNNNNNNNNNNNNNNNNNNNNNNNNNNNNNNNNNNNNNNNNNNNNNNNNNNNNNNNNNNNNNNNNNNNNNNNNNNNNNNNNNNNNNNNNNNNNNNNAUCAAGAAAACACCAUUAUAUUGUACCAGCAAAUUAGAGGGACUACUCUUUUUUCCCCCUCAAAUAGUUCAUCUUACAAUAUUGUGCCAAACUUUCUGAAUAUAUCAUAAUUACGAUUGCUAGUUGCUAGUUUCUUGGUUUUGCAUUUUUUGAAAUAUGUGGUGGAUGAGGGACCGCAGCAAAACGACACCGUCACACCUCUUUUCCCGUGUAGAUAUUCCUCCAUACUAUUUUCGUACUCAACUUUUUAAAUUAAAAAAAUUAUUUUCUUUUUUAUUUGAUUUUCUGAUUGAUUAAAGUAAGUUUCCUUUGACUGGCUUUUUUUAUCAUACUAAAUAGCAAAAAAUGAGACCAUUUUUUCUUUUAUUAAAAUGUUUCUCUCAAAACAAACAGAAUACUAGAAGAAGACCUUUACAAAGAUCAAUCAUAUCUGUUCAAAAAAAAAAAAGAAGAUCAAUCAUAAAAUAAUGCGGGGUGACAUCACUCUGGAUAUUCAUUAUAUUGCAAAUCAUCAUUUUAUAACCAAAACUUUUUUAAGAGUUCAUUCUCAUUUAUACAAACUCGAUCGAAAUUACUCUGUCAAGGAUCAUGAUGAAAUUCCGAGCCAAAAAUGUCAAAGUCUCUAUAAAAGAAGAAUCAAGCUCCAUACACGGAGAAAAGAUCUUCUGUAACAAUUCAGAGAAUCAAGCUCCAUACACGGAGAAAUGAUUUUCUGUAACAAUUAAGCCUCUUCAAGAACCUCUUCAUCUUCACAUGUCAGAUAUUUUCAGACCUGAAAAUAAUUGUUCGCAUGUUAGAUCUUGUCCAGUAGACCGUGAGUGUCCUAUUCCCGAAAGACAACUAAAAAAUUAAAUGGUGGGCAAAAUUUGCCCCUCAAUUCGCAAAUGAAGAAGCAGGUAUGGUUCGCUGCAGAUCCUACUCGGCCAAAAACAGAGACUACCAGGAAAACCUCAAUUUUUCCUCCACAAAUGUCAACAUCAAGCUCAAUUCGCAGCAGCUCCAGAUCAAAAGUCUCUGCUAAAAGUAGUUCAUGAGACAGUGUCUCAAGCAGGGUCUGACGAUGAAGAAGUAGAAAAACAGUUUCGCUCCUCAACAUGGAAAUGAUUGUCAUGGCAAAAACCUCAUAUAGCAGGCAAUAACUUUAUAAUGUAACAGAAGUGUCCAUUAAUAGAACUCAUGUAACAGUAUUCCUCAAUAUUGUAUAUAACAUGGAAGCCAUAGCAGCACAUUUCCUUUUUGGAUCAAAUUCCCUUCGUUGCGUGAAUUCAAGGUAUAUCUUCAACAUGUGAGCUCAUGACAUUGAAACCAUUUGCAAUGGAAAUGCGUGUAUGUUGUCACGUGUGAAUGGUACUGGAUCUUCAGCACCUCGAUGGGGGUAAAUGUGGUGGGGCUUGCCCCCUUCAAGGAGUUAAUUAUGAGUGAUGCUAAGUGACGAUCUUCUUGGAAUCAGAAUAUCUCAUAGCAGACGCAAGUCCUCAAAGAAACAUCCUCCCUCCCGUUCCCCGUCCUGCACAGGAAAUAUAAUAAGUAGGACCGCUUAAAAAUGUUGUCAAGAGAUGGAGUGGAGUGGGUAUUUGAAUAAAAUGAAAAUGAAAUUCAAUCUUUGACCAGGCAACCAGUUUACUAACAUGUUUUGACCUGCAGGCUCAUUCAGAAUUUAGCUGUCACAUUCGCUUACUCAAACCUCUGCCAUCAGUUCCGUUUGUCCAUCUGCACCGUAGCAAUUGGGAGAAAGAAAGCUUCUCAUUUUCAGUGAUGACCUGAACAUGUUAAAAGGAUAUUAUCUAACAAAUCCAGGUAUUUAUAUGGAAUUUCAUUAUAGUAUUUGGCUACGCAAGGCCUACAUUAUAAUUAGUCAACGCAAUUCUGUACUUAGAGUUGAACAUAAAGUUUUGUUGACCGUGAUAAUAUUUUCAUAAUUAAUUCUCCUGAACAGUGCAAAGAAUGAAAAUAGGGAAAAUAUAUUCAUAUAAAAAUAGAUUGUCCUACAAAAUAAUUUAUUUUGCUAAACAAAUUCUUUUGCAAAUGAUUAAAUCAUUUUACUAUGUAUGGGAAAGCUGACUUCCACGGCGAGAAAGUGUUAAACUUCUAGGGGCACAACAAAUGAACCUAUUGCUAGAACAAAAUGUGCAAGAAAGCAUAAAUUAUACCAGGAAUACAAUCCCAACCCAGUUCUUAAGCUAUUGCAAAUGAUACUGCACACUUAAUUUCAAAACUCCAAUUCAUCCUUCCACGAGUCCUUAUCAAGUAUGUAUGACAAACGCGGGCCAGGGUAGUAGUGAGUCUAUCCUAUACAUUAGCAGCAAUCCUCUCUUCAUCUUUUUUGGCUUUCUCUAUGUAGCUAAGCCUCAUUUUCAGUUUUGUAAGGUAAUGGGAACCCAAUGAACCACUCUCAGUUGAUGCUAAUAACUAGAUUCACUUGAUAUAACAAAAACUGGAGUACCUUCCUAUAGUCCUAAAAAUUACCAUGGAUAGGCGCCACCUUGCUUUGUGGAAUCACCCAGACCUCAUCUGACCUUCCAGCCAUUAGAUGCUUAUCGUGACUAAGCUGCUCAAGGUGAAAGGAGGGCUAUUAGCUGUGAAAAUGAUCCAUGGUUGGUCAAAUUGAAGUAUUUUGACAACAAAAUCAAUCUCACCAUCUCAAUUGCUCCUUAGAACAAGACCAGACCUUGAAUGAGCACCUCAGCCACAUCCAAAUCCUCCAGUUGUGGAUAGGCAAAACAGCAGAGCCGCACUCACUCAUCCUUGGACAAGAAACUAACAAUUUACAAAGAUAAUUCUUCAGUAGUAACUACUCAUUAAAGCAGAGCUUAAAGACCACAUUUAUAAACAAAGCCCAAUACUACCUACAGGCACAGAUAUCAGAACUCUUUGGUAUUACAGAUUACUCCAAUACGAAAAAACUGAUCAGGCUAACUAUUCUAGUCCAAAUAUUUUCCAAGUUGAAAUGAUUAGAUUGGUUUCUGUUCCAUUAUAAGUUAGAUAUAUGAUGACAGAACAUAGGCUCUCUAUAGUUGUUAUCACUAAUUGAUUCUCUUGUAUUUUCAAUGUAACAUCAGAUUCCAAUAAGUUCAAUUAGUGCAAGAACAACAACAGGCUAAAUGAAAAGUAUUUGGAGUCAUAAGGUGGACAAAAAGAGCAGACUUACCAGAUGAUUGGAUGGCUCAUCAAGCAAAACUAUGUGAGGCUUUUUCAAAGUUAUCUUGGCAAAUGCAACUUUGCCUUUCUAUGCACCUAUUUAUAUGGUCAAAGCACCAUGUUACAUAUGCAAUAACAUCCAAAAAGCCUCAGAGUAGUACACAGUGAACUACUUGCAAAUUGACUAACCUCUAUUAGGGCUUCACAAUGUCAUAAAACAAUUGCUUCAAAAAUAAUUUACAUAUGCAACGGUAGCGGAGAGGGAGGCAAUGUAUCAUAAAGGUAUACAUUGGUUGAAGUGCAAGAUGUCCAAUUACACCAAAGGAACACAAGUGAGCUCAAAGCUUUUCGAUCGAAAAUCCCUGCAAGAAGAAUGCUACAUAAGAAGGCAUUUGCAGAUAAAACGACAUGAUGUAUAACAAAAUCAUAUUCCGCAAUGGAGUAAAUGCAAACAACCAAUACUUUAAAGACCUGAAUAGAUUUGCCUAGAGGUCACUGCUAAUAAUGCAAACACAAAGGCAGGCAACAUACUGUUACAAUCUCAACCAAAUAAGCACGAGUAUAUAGGCUAAAAAUUUCUAGCAAGCUGUAAACACAAACAGAAUGGUGAUCUAUGGAAUAUCAAUGCUAUCAUGAUGGAGUUGUAUUAAAAUCUUGGAGCAAUAUGCUGCCCCAGAAAUGUGUCCCAAAUAGAUUGCUUAAUACUACAAAGGAUCAUCAUCAAUAAAAAAAAAAAAAAAAAAAAAAAAAAGGGUUCUCGAUUCUAAAAAAAACCAUUGAAAAAAAAAAACAAUGAAUGAGCUAGGACACAAGAAAAAGAUGGUGGGAAGAGAACAUACAAGAAACGCUGAAAAUGCAAAGACAUAUGAUUGUGGAACGCUAUAAUUCUUCGUGAUAGUGCAUCUUUCUUCACAGUUUGUUUAAGCAUCAAGUAGAGUUGAAGAUAUGCCAUCAAUAUAGCAAGAGGCAGCACUGAGUGAAUUUCGACCUAAAGUUUAUUGUCCAACAAAACAGAGCUGAUCCAACCCAACAAGAAAUCCCGCUCAAAUGUCAGUCUUUGACUUUCAGUGGUAGAGCUUGCCUACAUCCUAAGAAUGGGUUUUGUCGGCCAUGAUAAUAUUUUCAUAAUUAAUUCUCCAAAAUAGUGCCAAAUAGUGAAAAUGGGGAAAAUAUAUUGAUAAAGCUUUCUCACAAAAUAGAUUUGUCUUACAAAAUAAUUUACUGUGCUAAAAUAUUCUUUUGCAAAUAUUAAAUCAUNNNNNNNNNNNNNNNNNNNNNNNNNNNNNNNNNNNNNNNNNNNNNNNNNNNNNNNNNNNNNNNNNNNNNNNNNNNNNNNNNNNNNNNNNNNNNNNNNNNNCUGGUCAUUAAAGCAAAACUUAAAGACCGGAUUUACAAACAAAAAGGGGUCCACAUAUUUGUAUGUAAAGCCCAAUACUGCCUAUAGGCAUAAAGAUCAGUACCAUUUGGUAUUGUAGAUUGCUCUAUUCUGAAUAUUUUUCACAUUGGAACAAUUAGAUUGGUGUCUAUUCCAUUAUUUGCUAGAUGUAUGAUGACGAGGGCUACCAGCAGCUAUGACCACCAUUUGGUUCUACUAUAUUUUUAAUGUAAAAACCAGAUUCCGACAAGUUCAAUUAGUGCAAGAACAAUAACAAGCUAACUGAAAAAGUAAUCAAAGUCAUAAAAUGGAGAAAUAUGAGUAGAACUUACCAAAUGAUAGGAUGGGUCGUCAAGCAAAACUAUGUGAGGUUGCUUGAAAGUUAUCUUGGCAAAUGCAACUUUGCUUUUCUAACCACCUAUUUAUGUGGUCAAAGCACCAUGUUAUAUGUGCAAUAACAUCCAAAAAGCCUUGGAGAAAGUACACAGUGAGUCACAAUUCAUAUUACAAAUUAUCUAACUUUUAACAGAGCUUCACAAUGUCAUAAGAACAUUGCUUCAACAAAAAAUUUAUACAUGCAACACUAGCACAGAGAGAGGAGAUAUACCAGGCAAGAUACAAAUUGGUUGAAUCACAAGAUUUCCAGUUACUCCAAAGGAACCCAUGUUAGCUCGAACAUUUUGUUCUGGAACUCCUUUUGGUAAGAAUGCCACAUGGUCACCGCUGAUGAUGGAAAGCCGAAGGUAGGCAGCCUAUCAUAACAAUCUCAACCCAACAAGCAUAAGUAUAUUUGCUAAAAAUUUCUAGCAAGCUGUGAGCAACAGUUCCUAAACCACCAGAAUUCGAGACCCAACCAGAAAGCGAUUUAUGGAAUAUCAAUGCUGUCACGUGAAAGCUUGGAGCCAUGAGCUGCCUCGGAAUUUUAUCCCAGAUUGACUGCUUAAUACUACAAAGAAUCAUCAUAAAAAAGGAAGAAGAAGGUUCCUAUUCUUAAGAAAUCCAUAAAAUGAAAAAACUGCAUCCCUUUUCUUCCCAAUCACAUCACAGUUUCCACAAAACUAAACAUGCUUUUAGAUUUUGAAAAAGAUUUGUUCUUAUUUAGAUCAUAUUCACUAGAAGGAAAAUUCACACCACAGCAGUGCAACAAAUAUAUUUAAUUGCUUCUUCCUUUUUUGAUAAAUUGCAAAAAAAAGAAAAAAAAAAAGAAACAAGACAUUGACGCUAACAGCAUUAGCCUUACUUUAGCAGCGUUAGCACAUGAUCCUUCCAAAAGAUUCUGCCAAUGCAAGAUCACAAUGGUAUCUGCAAAACAACCAAAGUGAAUGAGCUUAUGGGCCCAAGAAAAAAGAUGUUGGGAAGAGAAUAGACAAUAGACGCUGAAAAUGCAGAGGACUAUGAUUGUGGAAUGCUAUGAUUCUUCGUGAUGGUGCGAUUUCAUUCACAAAUGGUUUGGGCAUCAAUUAGAAAUAAGGAUAUGUCAUCAACAUUGCAAGAGGCAGCAUUGCGAGCAUUUCAUCCUACAGUUCAUUGUCCAACGAAACAAAGCCAAUCCAACCCAACGCAAUCCCCCACCCAAACAUCAGUUCGUAUUGAGCAUCGAAUUGAGAAAGUAGAAUGGAAAAGGAUGCCUUCAAAACCAAAAAUAACUUACUCGAACCCUAAGAAAACUCACUGUAGUGUAGAUGCACGAAUCAAUUCACCAGAUGUCAACGUCAGGGAUCUCUUCGAUGAGGGGCCAAUAGUCACCAGUGAGUUUUGCGCAUCGCUCUUUCAGAAUCUUGCAUCUCCAUAUUUGCAAUUGUUGGAGGGAGGGAGGGAAGCCAUCCUCUGGCAGGUACCUCAACUUGGGGCACGCUCCAAUCGAUAACCAUCGGAGAGAGGAGAGACGGUUGCGGAGACCACUCGAUAGUCUUUCCGCGUUUCUCAAAUCAUAUAUCCAAAGAGAGGUUAGAGAGGAAGGAAAGAGACUCCAGGCAUCCUUAUCCUCAGAAGGAAACCACUCCUUCUCUCUCUCCCCUCCCAUGUUAAAAUCAAUGGUCAGAAUCUCGAGAGAUGUGAGCAGGUGUAAGCCCCACUCUCUCACUGGCUGCUUCAGAGCCACGAGCCCCAUAAUUUGAAGGUCUCGCAAUUUGGGAGGCAGACCUCCUUUGGGGAAGCAUUUGAUAUUUGGGCAAUAUAUAAUACUUAGCUCUUGGAGGGAGGUAAGAUGAUGCCACUUAUUUGGCAGGGACUUUAUCAUCGGACAAUCCCAAAGUUCAAGACUCUGCAGGGUGAUGGGAAGGGGUGGGAAGUCCUCUAUCUCCAAUACCGGACACUGCUGUAUUUUCAAUUUAGUGAGAUUGUUAUACUUGGCAAUGUUACAGUUGGCAAUAGACUUUAUCUUAGAACAAAGAUUAAGAACAAGACUCGAGAGGGUUACGGGAAGGGGAGGGAAGUCCUCUAUCUCCAGUGCUGGACAAUUAUAAAUAUCCAAUUGAGUGAGAUGGGAGAGCGUGUGAAGGCAUUGUGGUAAGCUUCCCAGAUUUUGACAAUUGUUAAUUGUCAUUUUUUCAAGCGAUAAUACGGCAAUCCCUUCCAACGACUCCACUCCCUCACAAUUGUCUAUAUGAAGUGCCUUCAGAGGAGCAAGUCUACCCUUGGCAAAUGAAAAGGAUAUUAGAGAAUCAUAAUGAUGUAUCUUAAGAGAUUCAAGUUGAGAAAUCGAAUUAUUGCUGCUCAGGUGACCUUGAGGAAUGUUUAGAGCCAUGAUUUUUGGACAAUGCUUAGCGUGGCAUUAGAAUUUUUGACCUCAUUGAUCAAUAGUUCGAGUAUUUGUUCUACAUCCUCCUCCCUACCAAAAAAUUGAGGCUCUGAUAGAGAAGUGGUUAUCCUUUUACUGGUGUAGUUGGAUUUGUCCACAACAUUCUCUCUCAAGUUUAGAUGAACCUUUCCAGUGACAAUCUCUUCCAACCGGUCAUUGAUCUCUUGUACCUUGGUUUCAGACAUGAGCGAGGGUGGUCGGCCAAAUACAGAGAACUUCCAUUUCCCCAAACCUUUGCUUGUGUUGGAUUCUGCCUCUGACUCAACUUGAGCAGCUUUGAUCUCAAACUCAUCGAGCAAGUCUUCCAUGUCAUAGGCCAAGUCCUUAACCUUGUCCAGCCACAGCUUCACUUGAUGGUUACCACUAAGUUCCUUGUCCUCUGCAUCAGCCAACACUGCAUUGAUUAUGACUAGCUUCUCCUUCCACACCUUAGGCAAGGUAGUACUGAUUCCUUUAUGUUGUGCAUAACCUAAUGCGGAAGAAGCCAACUUGUCGAACAGGACUUGAAAGGAUGAAGCCAAAAAGGAACCCAACACGAUCCCUCCAAUGUCCAUAGGUGAAUCAGUCACUGUAAUGAACAACAAAGGUGUUAUGGUGAAGCAAAGUGAAAAUGAACUAAUGGAGAGAGAAAACUACGAAGUCCUAGGAAGACUUAGAUGAUGACCUACGAAAAAGAUUAUAUAUAUAAAAGACCAAGACUUUCAAGGGAUGCACAUCAAAGGUUAGACAAAUCAAAAUAAAAUACUAUUUGUCCACAAGUGCUAGUUACAUCAAUUGCUCUCCUUAUUCUUCGGAUCAAGACUUUUUGGCUAUUGGACCUUUACUUUUGGCCAUCCAGAACAGAGUCUUAAUAUGACAAACUUAGAGUGUAUGCAUACUUUCUCCAUAAGUGUUAUCACUCACGAGUGUUUUGUUGGCUUUUUUAGCGUUUGUAUAUUCUUAGUAACCUCAUGAUUUCAAUGUCUUUGUUUUCUGCUUUAUUGAUGAAUGUGAGAUUAAUGAAGUCUUUUACAUGGGAAUUUCUGUGCUAAAGAUUGACAGUAAGAUGGGCAAUAAUGAUUUGCUGAAGGGUGCUGAGGUAGUGGUUGAUAAUCGGGAAUCACCUUGAUAGGAGAAUCGCGAUCCUUUGAACAUGAUUAUCAAGUUCAUUAGUGUAAUGGGUAGAGUGUGACAUCCAGUGGAUUAUAUGUUGUUAAUACUGGACUCGUUUACCAUUUACAGUAGAUAAGGAGAAUAGAAACAAGUGCUUUAGGCUAAAUAAGGAAAAGGGUCAAGCACACCGACUAAUUCAUUAAGCUACUUGCUUUAUUUUACUCUGCAAAUAGUGAAUAGUCAGAAAUCACCAAACGACAAUAUAAUCUACUGAAAAUUAUACUCUACCAAUCACACCAAUGAACAAGAAAAUCAAGUUCAAAGGACCAUGAUUCUCGCUUCAAGCGAUUCCCCAUCAUCAACUACUAACCCAUCACCUUUCAGCAGAUAUUGCCGCCCAUCUUGCUGCAACUUUUUCUUCUUUUCUUUUUUUCACAAGUGCUUGUUCUGUAAUAUUUAGAGAUUAUCCCCGUACAUAUGUAGUAUCCACGAUCAUAUACUUGUUCAUAUAAAAAAAUCAUAAACUCGGGAAGACCAAAACUUCACUGGGUAUCAUGAACUUUUUUGUCGUGAAAGUGAAGUAUAAUUGAUAAAGAGCUUAUGGGAAAGAAAAUUUAAUAAAAUCGAAGAAUACUACGACUUACGGAGAUGCAAAUUGGAUUUGCCGCUUCACUUUUCAAAUCCCUCCUCUUCCGUUCCCAUGUGAAUGUCUUUUUUACAUUACUAGUAAUUUUCCACGCGUUACAUGGAUGCCAAUUUUUUUUUUUUUUUAUGUGUGUGAUUGACAAUUAGCAAUGAUUAUUGUUCUCUUGCUCAAGUUGACAAAACUAUAAUUUUAGUCCAACUUUUGUCAUAUUUAAUCAUAUUGUGAUUAAUCAUUCAUUAAUCUCUGUUGUACUUGUCUAUUGGAAUUAUGUCUAUAUUUCAAUUUAUCUUUUCAAAUAUAAGUCUAAUAAAUGGAAAAAGAGCAAGAAGAAAAACUAAAUAAGAAAAACAGCAAAAAACUGAUGAAGAAAAAAAAAAUGCAGGAAUGGGGCGAUAAUACUCUUCGUGACUCGCGGAGAGUUCCACUUCACAUUUUUGUUUUGUUUUGUUUUUUUAUGAAGAUGCAAUCUAAAUUUAUUAAUAUGCAAGAUAAUUUUCCCAAAUUUCCCAAGUUAUAGCAUGUGAUUUGUCAAAGGAAAUGUGCAAAAGAAAGAAUUAACGAUAAUGCACUCCAAAAAGCCUAGAUGCGCAUGAUAAUGCUUAUCCAUGAAAAUUCUAAGUUUUCUAAUAUAAUUUAUGCUAAUAUGUAACGAAAAAUCAUAAAAUAAAGGUCUGAGUUUUGGCUCAAACAAUUAUGCGUGCAGAUGUAUCACCUGAUUAAAACAAAAUUAACAAAUCACCAUGAAUUAUGCAAUCAAGCUGCAACUUUAACCUGGCCAGCAAGUAUAUGGCAUCAACUUUCCCCAAUUUUGGUAUUAAACUUGCUGCAUCAGUUCAAGGGAAAAAGAGAGCAAGUACAAAGAUGUCUUUUACCUAUUCCAAGUAGACUUCCUGGAGCUGAGCAGGCGAACGGGAUAAGAUCUAAAACAGAAAUCCAGCAAGAACGAGCGCUAGGUUUGGCAGUUCACUGUGUACGCGAGCGUAGUCAGCUACGGGAAUGCGUGGUCGCUGCUUGUAACGACGAACGAUGGUAUUGAUUGAGCGACAACUAGAGAUGGUGGUGAUUGGCGACAAUCGAUAUGCAUGCAAGAAAUGAAUUGAAUGAGAGUGAAGUCCGUGGGAUAUGAUAAUGCUUGUCCAUGAAAAUUGUAAUUUUUUUAAUAUAAUUAUCCUGACACGAAUAUGAUGAAAUUCCAUCCUAAUAUGUAAUGAAAAAUCCUAAGUCUGUCCAAAUCAGCAAAUAUGAACACGCUUAAAAAUGUGAAUAUGACUUUCCCUAAAUAUGUAAAUUUAUGAUAUGCAAUUUCCUAAAUGUGCAACAUCUAAUAACUCUACACAUGGUUUUGUUAAACAUCUCCCCUAAUAUACAAUCUACAAUGCAACGAAUGUAUAUAACAUGCCGUGGAUGACUUUUAUGAAAUUUGACCCAUGUAAAUUCAUGAAAUUACACGUGAAGACGUGAUCGAGAGUGACCUAGCCAUAUGCAAUUUCAUAAACACGGAUGGCAAAAAUAUCCGACAAAUCACCAUGACGCAACUUUAAUCGGGAUAGCAAGUAUUUGACAUCAACUCCUCCUAAAAUUUUGUUAUUAAACUUGCAAUCGGGAUUAUAGACAGGCAUGAAGUCAGUGUAAGAACGAAAAUAUUGUUGCUGCUGCCACCUCUUCUUUUGCUUCAAAUAUAUAGAAAGAUUUUCAGAAAUGACUGGUGGCUGAUCUCGUGCGAUGAAGGCCUACCGGAUACUUUAGCAGUGAGGUUCUGGAUGAAUCAGUUUGAGGGAAAAAGAGAUUUACCUAUUCCGAGUAGACUUUCUGGAGCUGACCGGUGAACAAGAUUAGAUCAACAACAGCAAUCCAGCAAGGACGAGCGCCAGGUUUGGACGAGCAGGAAGAGAAAACUGCUGAGCAGGGGGGACGAGCGCUAGGUUCGACAAUUCACGGUGUAUGCGUGUGAACUCUGCUACGGCAAUGGGUGGCCACCGCUUGCAACGAUAGAAGAUAAUAUCGACGGAGCUACGACUAGGACAGGUUUGUAGGGGACUGGGCAGAUCAAAAGAGGGUGGUGUUGAAUAAUCAACAUCCUACAUUGGCCGUCAAGAAGAAAAAUCAAAGUUGGCCUCCAAAUCUCAGUCAACUUGCCCACUAAAGAAGGAAGAGAAACUAGCCGUGAAUCUUAAGUUGAGGUUCCAAGCCGUCACUUCAAGAAAACACGUUGACAAGAAGACUUGCCUUACCCAAACGUUUCCUUCUAGUAGAGAACAAAGUUGGCCUACUUGUUCAGAGCGAGCACGCAAUUUAUAUGAAAGCCAAACCCUUCCUCUAUUAUUACUAAAAGCAAAAUAGCGUUAUGCCUCGUUGAAAAUGCAAUGUGUACAUGCUAAUUAUUGUUAUUCGGGAGAAGUCACAAUCAUGCACUAUCGGAAGCUUAUAACCAAAUGAUUCAUGACUUGAAUUUAAACUAUAUAAAUGAAUUUAAACUAUAUCCAAAGGCUCGAAAUUAUGUUAAACUCCAUCUUACAUGGUAAUCGUGGCAGAGGUGCUACUAGCGAUCUUGCGCCAACAUAUGCCUCCCCAGCAGCUCCUUGAGCAUCGGGAGCCAAAACCGCGUCAAAGGAUCACCGCCAAGUGGAUGACUAGAGCAACAGAUACCAUGAAGGUCAAAGUUGCGGAGAGGAGCAGCAGGCCAGAGAAGACGAUCUGGUUCCGAGAGGGCAGAACAAUCCAACUGGCUCAAGUGAUUCCAGAUCAACACAAUACUGAGACAGAUUCAAUCGAGUUGAUAAGAUGCUGAAUUUAAAUUGCCUUCGUAAUAUUUUGGUAAAAAUAGAAAUGCCAAUAGUAAGUGCAAAGGCAGUCAGAAGAUAUUGCGAUGCUCCCAAGCGGGAUGAGUGGGUUUAAUAGCUUAUUGAACGGGAACGUGUGAUCCCUCUCCUUCGGUGUGGGCUCAUUGAAAUCCUAACCACACAUAACUUUGAGAAAUAUACUGGUUACUAGCCUAUUGAAACCGGUUAGGAGCUAACAGGAGAACACGUUACUUUAAAGAUAUGAUUACAUGUAGUAGUAUUCUCCGUUACGUGUCCAUGCAUGCUUGUUUGAUCGAGAUUGGCUCUAAAGUGUAAUAUACUCGUUGAAUGAAUCUAAAGAAAUCAAAUCACGAAAUCAAUAUAAUGAAAACAGCAUGACACAUCAAAAUGAUACUAAAGGAUGAGUAAAAAUAAAUUGUGGAAAGUAAAUCCAAAACAAGAUGAGCAAAGUAUACAUUGCUUUAUUAUUAAGUUUCAGGACAUCAACCAGUGAGCUAAUUUUCAAAAUCAAGUCAAAGUCUAAUUUUGGCAAAAGAGAAUUGCCCACAGUUUCAAUAACGAUAUUAUAGACAAGAACGUAAACGAACUAAAGUAAUAAUAACGUAAAAGCAAGUAAGAUUUUUUCAUCAUUAUUAUCAUCGUUGUCGUUGUUUUUUUAUUUAUUAUAAUUUUUAUUAUUGUUUUCUUCUCGUCCUCGCUCCCUCUCCACCAACUUCGUCUACGGCUACCAGACGCACGACCACGGCUUUCCCGAGUAGGACAGAGCAUCGAUGAGAAAAUAGGAACGCAAAAGAGGGAUUCACACAACCAUCACUAGAAAUCGACUCCAAGCAAUUUUAUAUGUCCGGUGUCCACCGCAAAUCGCCAAACGAACAUGCGAAUCCUGUCUCAGCGACAUUUGCCUUAAGAUUAGACAAUAUUGGAAGAACUAUUACACAACCCUGUCUCAGCGACAUUUCAUCGAACAGUUUACGUGCAUCGAGUGAGGAUUUAAAGGAGGCAUCGCCGAACUCGGAUUUGAGACCAAAGUCGUACAAAAUCAGUUCAGGACGUUUUCAAUUGUGGAUUGAGGCCGUGGAUUUGAAUGGGCUUUGUGGACUGGACUGGACUGAAUAGGGCCGAGGCUUUUAUUAUUUUAUUCUCCUCCUCCUCCUCCUCCUUUUGCGUCUUCUUCUUCUUUUGUUAUUUGUUAAUUUGUUUAUUUAUUUUUUGUUCUUUUUACUAUUAUUUAUCUAUUUUCAAAAAUGCAAUACUUGAUUUUUUGGAGAAAAUUCAUGUGUCAAUAGAGGCAAAUACAAAGAACCGGUAAAGCUAACUGUAAUCCACAUGUGAGGUUACCAAUCAUUCGCUCCAAUUUAUACUAAGCUGCUAUAUCUUUUGUUUAUUUAUUUUAUUAUUAUUAUUAUUAUUAUUAUUAUUAUUAUUAUUAUUAUUAUUAUUAUUAUUAUUAUUAUUUUGAUACCUAGGGAACUCCAUACAGCCGGUAGCCGGUAGUCGGCGGGUAAACCCUGGAGCGAUACUAGCGGAGGACCCACCACCUUGACGUCACACUUAAGAUCCCGUGCGGCCAGCGGGAUUCAACCUCCUCCACUUUCGUUAGUUUCAUAGGAGAGCCUUAUCCAACUGGACCACCGCAGGCGGUGGUUGUUUAUUUAUUUAUUUAUCAAGACAUGCAUUAAAUUACUUUGUAGGUUUUGGAAUAGUGAGUUAGGGAAUAUGAGUAGUUUGAGUGGAAUUUGAGAUCCAUUUUAUUGCCAGCAUAUAAAAAAGUGUUUUUUUUUUCUAAUAUCAUAGCUGAGUGAAUGUUUUUGUAGACAUUAACACCAGAAGAGAUGGGCUUUGCUUAUGACCAAGAGCAUCGGUUUUGGUGUUUAUGAUUUGACCGUCACUUUUAAAUUUGACAAUGCUAUUGUUCAUCUUUAAAUAAUGCUAAUUACUAGUAUUCCUUCUCUUUUUCUCCUAUUUUUUUUUGGUAAACUUAACAAGAUUGAUAGGUACCAUAUAUUCUACUCAAAAAAUAAUGGGAAGUGGGUUGAUGGGUGAGCAAGGCCGAAUUAUGUGUGUAACAUCCUCAAUCAUUCUUUUAUUGUGGUAUUUUAUAUUUCUGAUUUCGCCUACGUGGAGGGUAAUAGGUGAGACUCUUCAAAUCAGCAACAAGACGCUCCACUCAAAUCUCGCCACGUGUAUCAUAGGGUCCCACCUAAAAGAAAAUUUGAAAUUCCCUCUUUGUCCUCUCCCUCGCUCUCUUCCCUCUCAAUCCCAGCCUUCUCUCUAUUCCUCGGACGAACUGCGCUGCCGCCUCCACCUCUGCCUCCGCCGUCGCGGUCCGGAGCCCAUCGGCGGCUCCGAUCUGCCGUCUACCCAGCGAGCUCGAGUUUGAACCUUCCGUGCGCCCGCUUCGCUCCCAUUACAGCGAAGGUGUCUUUCUCUUCAUUCCCGACCACGUCGCCGCCUCUGCCUCAGCCUCCGCCUCCGCCUCCGCCGUCGCCUCCGGAAGCUCCACCGGCUGCUCCGGUUCGUCGUCUGCGUCCGACGAGCUCAGAUUAGGGUUUUUCCCUCUUUCGCGAUUAUAUCCUCGAGUGUUACUUUUGUGGGGAACCGGUGGAAUUGGUGGCUCUUUGGAAGAAAUUCGUUGUCUGGGAGAUUCUCUCUUUCCUGGCCGGACGUUAAGGUUAUAGAAGAUGCAUUGACUUGAUAAAUUCGUUAUUCCUGGUUUGGUGGAUUUUUUGUUUUUCUGUCAGUUUUCUGGCACUCCCGAAUUUCCGUAUUUUAACUUGUAUUGCAUGUGAGUACGAGUCUUGAGUUAUUUCUGCUGUAAGAGUAUGCUUUUUCAUCCCACUUGCUUUAGCACAUUCCCCUUUGAGAUAUAUAAUGUAACUUCGAUGCGUUUGAAUCGAUUAUGGAAAUUCAAAAAAGAGAAUUGACAGAGGAGGAUGCUGGCUUUAUUGGAGUCAAAUUCGGAGUCUGCUGCACUUGCAUCUGAAAUGGGAACCUUUUAAUGAGUUUAAAAGGGAAUUGAAGCCAGUGUAGACAACUGAAUGUCCGAUGCUGAGUAAUGCUAAACAGAUACUUGCAGCAUGAGCUCAAUUGCAUAACUAUUGAGUACUUAGGAUUUUGAAGCUUGAAGUUACCUAAGUAACAAUCUCAUUCCAAGAAAAACAAGUAUUGCUUGGUGAGCAUUACAUUUUUAAUUUAAAAAUUUCUUAUAUAUAGGAAUUUUGGCUGCGCCGAGUACAAAUUCUGUAAUCGACCAAGGGCAUUUUAUCCCUCUAUGAAGAUUGUUACUAAUGCCUGCUAUUCGAGCUGGCUUAUUAACCCUCUGGAUUGGAAUUGGGUCUGCGAAAUAGAAAUUCUUGCUUGAAUUAGCAGGGCCCUUAGCAACUUUUUAACCUUCUAGAUUGGAUUUGGGUCUGAGAAAUAGAAGUAGUAGCUUGUUCUAGCUGAGGCUUUAACAUCUAUUCAGUUGGCCUACUCAAUAGACCACAUAAUCCUGGGGCCUUAACAACAUUUUAACCCUCUAGACUGAAAUUCUUACUCACCUAGCAUGUCUCAGAGCUUGUAUACUUGACAAAUAUGGUACAAAGCUGCCUAGGUGAGAUGCCUUUCGAUUAAGAAAAGUUCUAGAGGUAUUGUGCGGGUCCUACUUUGAGGUAAAUUUUUGUUGAAUGGCAAGUUGGAUAGACCGCUCAGUCGUGAGAUAAAGUCCUUAUAGAAUCAGCAAGAUGUACGGUAAAAUGAUCUCGCAAAGUGUUAAACAUCAAUCAUGCGCUGCUGCAUCCGUCGACCGUAAAUGGGAUGUUUCCACCUUAGUGGGGGUGCAGUCAGCCUUAGUGGGGGUGCAGUCAGCGUGUGUUCGACUUGAUCAUUGUGAAUUCUGUGUAAUUCAUGUGAAAGGAUUGCGAGUUCUUCUUUGAAAAAAAAAAGAAAAAAAAGAAAAAAAAAAUCUCGGAGUUUAUCUUUGAUUAUAUCCUGAAUGGAAAAAAAUUCAGCAAGUGGUGGAGCUGUCUUCAAUUCAUAGGUUAUCAUUUCUAAUGGAAAUUCUGUCUAUGUCACUUUCAUGCAUUGCUUAGUAGCUUUAGAGUAUUGAGUAUUUCUAGAGAGAUUGCUAUGGUGUUUGUAAUUUCAUCUUAACAAUCUGAUUCCGAGAAAGAAGAUUUAUUGCUUGGCGAGCAUUAUUUUUAUAGUUGAAAGAUUUUUUAUUCGUACUUGUAUUUUCUUUGUAUUUUCAUCUUAACAAUCUGAUUAUGAUAUUAAAAAAAAAAAGUGUUAUCUUGCAGCUACGAUGUCUUCAUCCAGAGUGAAUGAGAGUACUUGCGAUGUUAUUCUAUUACGAAGGUUCCGUCAUGACAUGAGAAACAUUAAGUAUUUGCUUGAGCAUUUGAAAGAUGAACUCAAGAACAUUGAUGAAAAGGUGCAGGGAUUGAGUCAUAAGGUGCGCCAUUUAAAUCUCUUGCUAGUUCGUCUGUUUUUUGUUAUUUUAAUAGGACUACUUGUUCAGAAAAAAGUAGACAGUUGGAACUUAUAAUUUUGCUAGGCUCGAAUCAAACAUUAUGUUGUGCUGGCUUUAGUGGAUACAAUCGCAUUAUCUAAGUUAGUAUAUACCUUUUCUCAUCUCAACUCCAUUCUAAUUUAAUCAGUAUUACGAAGCGCAGGUAAUUUGCUAAACUAGCUGACCAAAGGAAGCUCGUCAUUGCGGGAAGAGCAGGUGCUGCAAACUGAGAGUAAAAUGCCAGGAAAGGAUAAUGGCAUGGGUAACAAUCGUCCUCCAAAAGUCCUACGACCAAGCAUGGAUUGCGCAUUAUAAAGAGCGAGACUAUGUAACAUAUAGUCGCCAUAACAUUCACUCUGAAUUCUCUAAUAUGUAUGCUUACUGCGCCGUCAGGAGAAAAGCAGUAUAUUUAACUGAGUAUGGUUUCAUGAUGAUCUCUCCAUCAACUGUAUCGGGGUCGAUAUGUUUGAUUUGCUGGUCUCCAUAGUGCAUCUAUUCAUGAACAUUUCCUCCGGCAUGAAGUGAGAACAUGAUGUCCAGUCCACACUGCAUUUAAUCAGGAGGAGAGAGAUACACAAAUUUAACUGUUUUGAAGUCGUUUUUGAAGGAACUGAAGGGGAGAGGCUAUUGCUUUAUGACUACCCAAAUUGCCGAAAUGACGAUCCAUGGUUUCAACAAGUAAAUGUACGAACGCCAAGACCAGAAUUGCAACUACCUUUGAUAAAAAAGAACCAGAGCGAAAGUAUCAAAUUGAUGAAUGGAGUACGCUUGUGUUACUGUACGACAAACAAUGAGUGUCAAAAUUCAAAUUUUCUACAUCUCUGUUUGAUCAAAUCUUUCUAAAGCGAGCUUAAAACCUCUUCAAGGAUAAUGUGGAUGAUGCCCUCUUCUAUCGGCUCAUGCAUCUAAAUUUUCGUGUAGAACUUUGGGAAGUAAUUGAUGAGGAUUCCUCCUAUCCAAGAAUUAUUCGUUGCUUCGGUCAAUUGGUAUAUGCUCCUUCCAUCCGAGAAUUAUGAAGGUUCCUCCCAACUAUUUAUGCUACAACCACAUAUUAUCCAUUGCUUUCGAAAUCGUUCAAUUCAUUCAUUCCAGGAUUGUUGAAACGACUUUGGUGACACCGAUAUAAUGAAAUAGCAAAUAUAUCUACAAAAGACAUAUUUUACUAACCAACAUACCUAAAUAAAUAUUUUCUCAAAAGAUGCUGAAUACUUCAAGGGAGGGAGAAAACCCAUUUUCUAGCAAGCUACCUUAUACUACCCUGCGUUUUAUUCAGUAUUUUUUAUUUAAAAAAUAUCUUUAUUCUGAUUAUUAAUGCAUUCAACAUCCAACAUAAGUACAAGUAAAUUCAUAAUAAGGUACGCUUUCAAUCUAAGUGUGACAUAAUCCUAAGACAAUAACAGGAAGGUAUGAUACAAUAUUAACGUGCUUCCUUCUAUCAUUCACAUAUUUAAACAAAGAAAAGAGAAAAUGAUCAAUUCUUUAAUGCAUACAUAGAGGAAACAAUUUUGAACACAAGAAGGUGAGAUAACAUGACUCAACCAUGGACAGGAAUUUUAAAAGAUAAAAUUUCAUCUCAAAGACGCUAUUUGGGUGGUUGUGUCGCAUUUUAAUGUAAAGUGACCCAAUUUAACUCAUUUUAAUCGAAUGGGUUGUGCGCGUCAUGCUCCGGCCAAGCUUUUUUGACCUAGUUAGGAAAUGGUUCAUGUUUGGGUUAACCAGGCACACAGUAUAAGGUACAGGUUGGGCACAUGAUAGAAAAGACCUCAAACUUUAGAAUUUAGUAUGUACUCACAGUUUUGAAAUUUUGGAACCUGGAUCCUUCUCCAACCAUUAAUAUCUAUCUGCCAAGCCGGUUAUGCAUAUUCGUAGAUUUUCUUUGAUACCUCUGGAUAUGAGAAGUUAAUUAGUUACUUGCAGCUAUCCAUAUUAAUGGUGUUUUAGAUACCGAUAAGUGGAAUUUUUGUUACAUAACUUGCAUAACCAGCUAUUUAUAAUUUUUCAGGCAAAUCAAAUUGAUAUGUCACUGUAGGAAAUAAAAAUUUACAUAUGUCCGCGGAUGUCAAAUUGGAUUUUCAAUUUCAAAAAAGAUGUAGCGAAAAAAAUCUCCUUGGGUUAUCUUUUUAUGUUUUGACUAGGCUUGGAUGGAUUAUAUGUUCCCCCGAUUGACUGCACAUUUUUUUUGAGUCCCUACUUUGUAUGUGUUGGAGAUAUAAUACUUCGUUCAGAUAUUCUCUCGUCGUUAUCAUCCUCCUAUCCGUCCACGCUACAUUCUAAUCUAUAAAAGGCUCUAACCAGGAGAAUUUUGGACAAAUUGAUCCAUGUUUUGAAUGUUUAUGAUGCGAUGACACAAAAUAAAUUUUGAGGAGUAAAUUAGUUGAAGAGACUAAUUAGUGGAAAUUUGUAGUUCUUCCCCUCGUCCUUAUACGUAAAUAAGCUUUCUGUUAUUAUACAAAACAUGAGAAAGUAGGGAUUUUUCUUUUUUCCUGUCUAGGUGCUAUUUGAGAAUUCCUUGCGUCAAAUAAUGCUUAAUGUGUAAACGUUGAAAAUAUUGCUCACUCCAGGAAUGAUUCGGUCAAAAUAAUAAAAAAUAUGUAUUAAAAAACAAGGUGAAAGCCCCCUAGUCCCCAUCAUACAUCAAUACAAUUUCAAUCAUGCCGUCAUGAGUAUCGGACACUCUUCAACUCGUCGAAUAAAAAUUGGCAUGAGAUGAAUAUAAAAAUAUUAGUAAAUUUGGGACGAGACAAUCAACUAGUCCUAAAUGAAAAUUAUCUUGCAUGCACAAUAAACAAUAGCAAGAGUGAUCAGACAAACAAAAUAAACAUCAUACCCACACGACAGCAACCAAAAAUGAACAAACAAGACAAGAACCGGGACAAUUCGCUUUCCUACUAAAUGAGUGAACCUUUUGGUUACAUUUUCUUUUUCACUGAAUAACUCUUAUAAUCAAGUUAACCUGAUUGCCGAUGAUGGUGACUUAAUGUUAUGGGCCGAUAUUCCACAGAUGGGAGGUCACGAGAUUGAAGCCAUUUGUGGUGGUCGUGCGUGUAUCUUGUUACGUGUGAUUGGCUAUAAACCUUUGGCACCUUUUUGAGUUCAAUAGUGAUGGGCUCGCCUACUUCCAAACAAUGGGUCUCGAGUGGUGCAGAAUGAUGACCUUCUUGGAAUAAGAAUAACUCAUAGGAGGCGCAAAAUCCUUAAAGUAAGCAACGGGGAUUGAUCCUCCCUCCCCUUUCCCCCCCUGCACGGGAAAACUAAUAUCUGAGAUUGCUGCAGAUGUCGUCAAGAGAUGGAUUGAGCACUUGAAUGGAAGAAAGAUUAACUUAAUUCUUUGACCAGGCAAUCAAUUUGUAAAUGGUUUUUGAUCUGCAAGGUUCAUUUAGAUUUUGGCCGCUGAUUUCGCAUAUUCAAAACCUCGGGUUUUCGAUCCAUUCAUACAUCUGUACAGUAGCUUUUAUUGGAAGAUAAGAAGCUUGUUAUUUUGAAAAUUGACCUGAACAUGUUAAAAGGAUAUUAUCUAACCAAUUUAGGUAUUUAUACGGAAUUUCAUUAUAGAUUUUUUUUUUUUUUUGGCUAGGUAAGGUCUACAUUAUAUUUAUUAAAAGCAAUUCUGUACUUAGAGUUGAAAGUAUAAAUUUUUUGUCAUGACAAAAGCAUUUUCACAAUUAAUUCUCUUAAACAAUACUAAAGGACAAAAAUGGGGAAAAUAUUUCGCACAGCUAAUUUCUCGCAAAACAAUAACUUGGUUGCCUCUGUAGUAUGCAAAUUGGAAUGGGGAAUCCAUACUCAACAUCAACAACUCCGCCUAAAAGCUGGUGAAUUAACGUAAAAACUGGUAAAUCAACGUAAAGACUUGAAGAUAAAAAGAUUUAUGGAACUAGAACCUUUAUAGGGCAGACUGCAAGUGGAAAAUUUUCUUUUCAGAAGCAUAACCGGAUUAUUUCGCGCGUCCACAUAACGAGUAUGUCUUGAAUCUCAACUGUCAAUGCCGCAUGGGAAAAGCAUGUUUCCACGGCGGUCUUGCAAAAUUCCACGAGAAAAUCUUUGCCUUAACUAUUCAUAACGAAGGAUAGAAAAAGUGACGAGAAACCGUAGAGGUUCAUCUAAAAGUUCCAUACUGGCUGUGAAUUACUCGGUUUAAGCCAUAACCGUAGCUUAUUUGACAAAUCAGUCGCUAUUGCAUCACAUGAUGCAAAUUUAAAUAAAGCUGUAAGUGCUACAGUUAAUACAGGCCAGAUCAAAGCCACGUAACCUAGUUUGCUUUUAAUUGGAAUUAAAGAAUUUUGAAUCCAUAUUGAUGUGUUUAGAGUUGGGUCCCAGAACAAUUUAAUCAAAUUAAUCCACAGAUGCUGCAUAAACUCAACCAAUUUCUACUUCAUUUCGGGAUGUUUGUCCUCCACUGUUAGUGUAGAUGAUCAACAGUAUAACCCCAGAGAUACCCUCAGGACAUCCAAACUCUUAUAAUCCUGGAAAUUCCCAUGGAAAGCCGCCACCUUGCCUUGAGAAACCACCAAUAGCUCAUCUGCGGUUCCAGGUAUUAGAUGCUCGUCGUGACUAACCUGCAAAUCAAGGCGAAGAGAGGGCUGUCAGCUGCGAAAUGAUCCAUCCUAGCAACAAGACCGGACCUUGAAUGAGCGCCUCAUCCAAAUCCUACAAUUGGGUAUAGUGGAAAAGCCAGAAUCAUAUCUAUUUCGAGACAAGAAACGAACGAUAUACAAAGAUGACACUUGAGUAGCCACUGCUCAUUAAAGCAAAACUAAGAGAUAAACAAGAAAAAGGUCCACAUUCAUUAUGCGCAAAGCCCAACACUGCCUAUAACCACAAGCAUAGGAAUCACCUGGUAUUAUAAAUUACUGUAAUACAAAAACACUGAUCAGGCUAGCAGAACCAUUCUAUUCCCAACAUUUUGCAAGUUGGAAAAACUAGAUUGGUCUCUAUUCCAUUAUAAGUUAGAAGCAUAAUGACAGAGGCUCCCUAUAGCUAUGAUCACUUAUAGGUUUUACUGUAUUUUCAAUGUAAAUACUAGAUUCCGAUAAGUUUAAUUAGUGCAAGAACAAUAACAACCUAACUGAACAAAGAAAAAUGAGUAAACUUACCAAAUGAUUGGAUGGCUUGUCAAGCAAAACUAUGCGAGGUUUCUUGAAAGUUAUCUUGGCAUAUGCAACUCUGCUUAUCUAACCACCUAUUUACAUGGUCAAAGCAUCAUGUCAUAUGUGCAAUAACAUCCAAAAAGCUUUGGAGCAAAUACACAGUGAACAACAAUUGAGGUUACAUAUUAACUAACCCCCAAUAGAGCUUCAUGAUGUAACACGAAAAUUGCUUCAAAUUUUUUUUCACGUGCAACAAUUGAAGUGCGGGAUUUCCAGUUAGACCAAAGGAACCCAAGUGAGUUCAGGAAGGAUGCCACAUAAGAAGGUAAUUUCAGAUACAAUGAAAUGAUGUAUGAUGAAUUUAAAGAACUGACAAGAUUUGCCCCAGAGGUCAACAUUGACAAUGCAAACCCACAGGUAGGCAGGAUGUCGUUACCAUCUCAACCAAAUAAGCAUGACUAUAUUGGCUAAAAAAUUUCUAGCAAUCUGUAGGUAAUAAUAGUUCCUAACUCAACAAAGAUCAAGACCCAAACAGAAGAUGGCUUAUGAACAUUGAUCCUAUCAUGAAUUUGUGUUGCAUUGAAAGCUUAGAGCCAUGAGCGCCCCAAAUAGACUGCUUAAUAAUAUGAAGGAUCAUCAUCAACAAAAAAAAGGUUCUUGAUUCUAAAGAAAACCAUAAUUUAAAAAAAAAAAUUGCAUCCUUUUUUGUCACAAUCAUAUCUCAGCUUCCACAUAACUAAUCCUGUUUUUAGAUUUUGAGAGAGAUUAUUCUUAUUUAAAUAAUGAUUGCUAGAAGAAUAUUUAGAACAUAUCAAUGCACAAAUAAAUUUAAAUGCUUCUUCCUUUCUUGUAAAUUGUAAAAAAUGACACAUAACAUUGACAACAUUAGCCCUACCUCGAUAGUUUUCACAAGUGUCCUUCCAAGAGAUUUUGCAAAUACAGAUGACAAUGGCAUCUGCAAAACAAUCAAAGUGGAUGAGCUAGGACACGAGAAAAAAAAUGUUGGGAAGAGAGCAUACAACAGAUGCUGAAAAUGCAGAGGAAUAUGAUUGUGGAACACCAUUGAUUCUUUGUGAUUCUCAUGUAUUUGAAUAGAAGGAGGAACUAUAAUCUUUGACCAAGCUACGCAAGGCCUGCAUUAUAGUUAGUAAAAGCAAUUCUAUACUUAGUGUUGAAUAUAAAGUUUUGUUGACCGUGAUAAUAUUUUCAUAAUUAAUUCUACGAAACAGUGCCAAAGAGUGAAAAUGGGGAAAAUAUAUUAAUACAGCUUUCUCACAAAAUAGAUUUCUUACAAAAUAAUUUACUGUGCUAAAAUAUUCUUUUGCAAAUGAUUAAAUCAUUUUGGUGUGCAUGGGAAAGCUGACUGUGGCGGCAAUAGAGUAUCAAAUAUCCAGGGGCACAACAAAUGAACCUAUUGCUAGACCAAUAUGUGCAAAGAAUCAUAAAUUAUACCAGGAUUGCAAUCCCAACUCAGUUCUUAAGCUAUUGUAAAUGAUGCUGCAUGCUUGAUGUAAAAAACUUAGACUCAUCAUUCCACGAGCCCUUAUCAAGGAUAAAUGACAAAUGAGGGCUGGUGUAACUGAGAGUCCAUCCUAUAUAUCGGCAACAAUCCUCUCUUCAUCCUUUUUUUGCUUUUUUUUUUUUUUUUUUUAUGUAGCCAAGCCUCAUUUUCUAUUUUGUGAGGUAAUGUGAACCAGUGAACCACUCUUAAUUGAUGUCAAUAACUAGAUUCACCUGAUUCAACAAAAACUGGAGCAUAUUCCUAUAGUCUUGGAAAUUCCCAUAGAGAUGUGCCACCUUGCCUCGUGAAACCACCCAGAUCUCAUCCAAGCUUCUAGCUAUUAGAUGCUCAUCGUGACUAACCUACAAAUCAAGGUGAAAAGAGGGCCUUAGCUAUGAAAUGAUCCAUCGUUGGUCAAAUUGAAGUAUUUUGACAAGAAAAUCAAUCUCACCAUCAGAAUUACUCCUAGGAAGAAGACCAGACCUUGAACGAGCGCCUCAGCUACAUCCAAAUCCUAUAGUUGUGGAUAGGCAAAAAAACAGAAACACUAAUCAUUAGACAAGAAAAGAACACUUUACAAAGAUAAUUCUUUAGUCAUUUGUCAUUAAAGCAAAACUUAAAGACCGAAUUUAUAAACAAAAAUGGGUCCACAUAUUUGUAUGUAAAGCCCAAUACUACCUAUAGGCACAAAGAUUAGUACCAUUUGGUGUGCUAGAUUACUCUAUUCCGAAUAUUUUCCACAUUGGAACAAUUAGAUUGGUUUCUGUUCCAUUAUUUGCUAGAUGUAUGAUGACUAGGGCUACCAGCAGCUGUGAACACUAAUUGGUUCUACUAUAUUUUUAAUGUAGAGACAAGAUCGAUAAGUUCAAUUAGUGCAAGAACAAUAACAAGCUAACUGAAAAAGUAAUCAAAGUCAAAAAAUGGAGAAAUAUGAGUAGAACUUACCAGAUGAUUGGAUGGCUUGUCAAGCAAAACCAUGCGAGGUUAAUUGAAAGUUAUCUUGUCAAAUGCAACUCUGCUUUUCUAAUCACCUAUUUACAUGGUCAAAGCACCAUGUUAUAUGUGCAAAACAUCCAAAAAAGCCUUGGAGAAAGUACACAGUGAACCACAAUUCAGAUUACAAAUGAUCUAACUUUUAAUAGAGCUUCACAAUGUCAUGAGAACAUCGCUUCAACAAAAAAAUUAUACAUGCAACACUAGCACAGAGAGAGGAGAUAUACCAAGCAAGAUACAAAUUGGUUGAAUUGCAAGAUUCCCAGUUACUCCAAAAGAACCCAUGUCAGCUCAAACAUUUUGUUCCAGAACUCCCUAUGAGAAGAAUGCCACAUGAGAAGGUAUUUUAAGAUAAAACGGCAUAAUGUUCAUAUUCCACGGUCCAGCAAACGGAAAUGCCAACCCAGAGGUCACCGUUGACGAUGCAAAUCGAGAGGCAGGCAGCCUAUCAUUACAAUCUCAACCAAACCGGCAUAAGUAUAUUUGCUAAAAAUUUCUAGCAAACUGUGAGCAACAGUUCCUAAAACACCGAAGUUCAAGACCCAACCAGAAAGCGAUUUAUGGAAUAUCAAUGAUGUCACGCAAAAUCUUGGAGCCAUGGGCUGCCUUAGAAUUUUAUCCUAGAUUGACUGCUUAAUACUAUGAAGAAUCAUCAUAAAAAAAGAAAAAAGAAAAAAAAGUUCCCAAUUCUUAAGAAAACCAUUAAAAGAAAAAGCCGCAUCCCUUUUCUUCACAAUCACAUCAUAGCUUCCACAAAACUAAUCAUCCUUUUAGAUUUUGAAAAAUAUUUGUUCUUAUUUAGAUCAUAUUCACUAGAAGGAAAAUUCAUAAUAUAGCAGUGCAACAAAUAUAUUUAAUUGCUUCUUCCUUUUUUGAUAAAUUGCAAAAAAAAAAAAAGAAUAAAUAAAAUGAAACAAGACAUUGACACUAACAGCAUUAGCCCUACCUCAGCAGGGUUAGCACGUGAUCCUUCCAAGAGAUUCUACUUAUGCAAGAUCACAAUGGUAUUUGCAAAACAACCAAAGUGAAUGAGCGUAAGGGCCCAAGAAAAAAGAUGUUGGGAAGAGAACAGACAAUAGACGCUGAAAAUGCAAAGGACUAUGAUUGUGGAAUGCUACGAUUCUUCGUGAUGGUGCGAUUUCAUUCACAAUUGGUUUGGGCAUCAAGCAUAAAUGAGGAUAUGUCAUCAACAUAGCAAAAGGCAGCACUGCGAGCCUUUCAUCCUACAGUUUAUCGCCCAACGAAACAGAGCCUCCAAUCCAACGAGAUCCCCCACCCAAACAUCAAUUUGUAUUGAGCAUCGAAUUGAGAAAGUAGAAUGGAAAAGAAUGCCUUCCAAACCAAAAAUAACUUACUCGAACCCUAAGAAAACUAACUAUAGUGUAGAUGCAUGAAUCAAUUCAUCGGAUCGACUGGUAAUCAAUCCAGAUGGCAGGGAUCUCUUCAAUGAGGGGCCAAUAGUCACCAGUGAGUUUUGCACAUCUCUCUUUUAGAAUCUCGCAUCUCUCUAUGGACAAUUGUUGGAGGGAGGGAGGGAAGCCAUCCUCUGGCAAGUACCUCAACUUGGGGCACUUAAAAAUAUAUAACAUUUGGAGAGAGGAGAGAUGGUUGCGGAGACCACUCGAUAGUCUUUUUGCGUUUCUCAAAUCAUAUAUCUCAAGAUAGGUUAGAGAGGAAGGAAAGAGACUCCAGGCAUCCUCAUCCUCCGAAGGAAACAAUUCCUUCUGUCCCUCCCCUCCCAUGUUAAACUCAACACUUAGCCUCUCGAGAGAUGGGAGCAGGUGUAAGCCCCACUCUCUCACCGGUUGCUUCAAAUUCAUGAGCCCCCAAAUUUUAAGGUCUCGCAAUUUGAGAGGCAGACCUCCUUUGGGAAAGCAUUUGAUAUUUUGGCAAUUGAUAAUUAUUAGCUUUUGAAGGGAUGUAAGAUUAUGCCACUGAUUUGGUAGGGACUUCAUCAUCGGACAACUCCAAAGUGUAAGACUCUGUAGGGUGAUGGGAAGGCGUGGGAAGUCCUCUAUCUCCAAUACUGGACAAUCAUCAAUUGUCAAUUCAGUGAGGUUGUUACAAUUGACAAUGUUACAGUUGGCAAUAGACUUUAUCUUAGAACAAUUAAAAAGAUCAAGACUUGAGAGGGUGAUGGGAAGGGGAGGGAAGUCCUCUAUCUCUAAUGCUGGACAAUUCCAAAUAGACAAUUGAGUGAGAUGGGAGAGCAUGUGAAGGCACUGUGGUAAGCUUCCCAUAGUAUGACAACCAUCAAUUUUCAUUGUUUCAAGCGAUUCUACAGCAAUCCCUUCCAACGACUCCACUCCCUUGCAGUUGAUUAUUUUAAGUGCCUUCAGAGGGGCAAGUCUACCCUUGGCAAAUGAAAAGGAUAUUGGAGAAUAAUAGUUAUACAUCAUAAGAGAUUCAAGUUGAGAAAUCGAAUUAUUGUUGCUUGGGUCACCUUGAGGAAUGUUUAGAGCCAUGAUUUUUGGACAAUUCUUAAUCACCAAAUGUCUAAGUAUGUGCAUCUUACUUGGAAGCUUUUCUAAACUUGUGCAACCCAUCAAUUCCAUCCUUUCAAGAUUACAGGGUAGCUCUAUCACUCCGUCUCCUGCCACAAAAGAUGUGAAUCGAGCACACCUUUCAAUGGUUAAUUCCUGAAGGCAAGUGAGAUUUUGCAUUUCAUUUCCAUCUUGCCACAAGCAUGUUAGCUUGUCACACUGUCCUAUAUGAAGCUUCUUUAGGUUGCCCAUGUAGCUCAUAAAGCCAUGAUCAAAGCUGACAAGCUCUAUAAUACUCUCAAUUCUAAGAAUGGUCAAAGAAGUCAGGUUGGCCAAUCUCUUUAAAAUCUCCUUGCUACAAUCCUUGAUGUAUAACUCAUUGAGAGAUGGAAGAUAAACCUCACUAAUCGGGUUAUUGAAUUGUAGGCAUGAAUGAAUUUCCAGCUUUAUAAGACAAUUAAGUUCAUAAGGCAAUGUCCCGACCAAUGAAGGACAGUUUCGGACAACAAGAUGCUGAAGACAGGAGAAUGGGACUUCUUCUUUUGGGGCCCUGGCAUAAGGAGACCAAUCCUUCCAUGUCAACAUCUCUUUGAACUUCAAAGUGAUUAAGGACAAAAAAGGCUUUUUACCUCCAUAAAAUUCAGAAUCUAUUAUUGUUACUGCAUCGAGACCUUCAAAAGAUAAUUCUCUCAAUGAAGGUAGCUGUCCAAGUGAGGGCAAUGAUCUGACAUUAGGACAGCUCAGGAAGCACAAAGACACUAUGUUUGAAUAGGAGGGACAAUUUAACCAUGGCGGGAAUUUUACACCACCAUAGUAAGAGAUAGUGAGAUUUUCAAGAUUUGUGUGAGGUUGCAAAAAAUCAAGCACCUGGACAUAGUGCUUAUCAUUCCAGAGAUUUCUAAAGUCUUUAUCCCAUUGCAAGAAUAAGUUGCUUAGGCCUUCCUUUGUUGACAAUUUAGCAUCAACACAAUCUUUGACAUCUUUCACAUUUUGCAAUUCUGAUAUGAAUAAUUCUCCUUGAAGAUGCGACAAGUUCUCUAACUCCUUUAAUCGUAGCCCUUUCUCUGUUCCUAUCACAAACUUGGACAAGAUAGUAAGAUUCUUCAAGUUACCAAUACCCAAUGGCAUCUCUUUUAGAUUUUCAGCAUCUCUAAUAUCGAGAAAUUGUAAGCUGACCAACUUUGUGGUACCUUGAGGUAGCAUUGAAAGUUCAUGACAACCUCUUAAGAUCAAAGCUUGUAAUUUGCACAAGCCCACAAUUGACUCAGGUAGCCUCUUGAUAUAAGUGUACGAGAAAUUGAGGUAUCGAAGAUGUUUUAGUUCACCAACACAAUUCGGUACCUCUACGAUGUCACAAUGACAUAAUGAGAGCACCCUCAAGUACUUCAAGUUUGAUAGCAAGUCAUGCAACACCUUGUUGGAAAUAGAGAGAGAUUCCUCACUAGAUCCAACACACGCUAAAAUUAAACUUCUCAUUACCUUCAUUUUGUGAUAUGCUGUCAAGCACUUUGAUGUCACAAACUGUGACGAGAAGAAUGAUGCAUAACGGGCUUUCUCAAUUUCAUCUUCACUAACUAUUGGCUGAGACUCUCCAAAGCUAAAGCAUGUCCCACCCUCAAUUGACUUUGCUAGAUCAUUCAAAAGAUCAUGCAUUGAAAACUUAGAUGCAUCAACACUUGAUUGUUGAAAAAAUGAUCUAGAUACUAACUCAUUGAAGUAAUUCCGUCCUAAUCUCAAUUUGUUCUCCUCUAUUUUUUGUUGAUCUAAAAAUCCCUCCACUAUCCAUAAGAGCACUAGCUCAUCCCUCUCAAUUUCAUAAUCUUUAGGAAAUACCGCACAAUAAGAAAAACAUCUCUUCAAAUAGGGAGGAAGAUGGAUGUAGCUCAAUUUCAAAAUAGGGAGAACGUCAUUCUCUAUCGUCAGAAGACCCCUUGUUAUUUUUUUUAAGGUAUCUUCCCAUUCAUUAGGUUUCUCUUUAUUACAUAGGGCGCCGCCCAACAUCUUCGCUGCCAAAGGUAAACCUUUACAUUUUUCAGCUAUUUUCCUGCCUAUUGUUUCCAAUUCUGGGUGGUUCUCAAAGUUUGCUUCUUCAAAAGCAUGAAAGGCUAAUAAGCUUGCACAAUUAUUGGGGGACAACUCCUUUAAAAAAUACGCCGAAGCUCCUUUUCUAAAAACAGUAGGAAGGUUGCGAGUCGUGACAAUGAUCUUGCUUCCCCUAGCCCCCGCUUCAAAUGGCCUUAAGAGUGUAGUCCAUCUUUCAUAGUUGUCAUUCCAGAUAUCAUCUAAAACCACAAGAAACUUCUUCCCAGAUAGACUGUUCCGCAACUUACCUUGAAGCCUGGCAAGAUCUUCGUCCUUUGAGGCCUUCUCGGUGAUUGAGUGCAAAAUAUUUUUUGUUAUGUUGAAAAUAUUAAAAACAUCUGAAACACAAACCCAUGCUUUCCUCUCAAAAUAUCUAUUCACUUUGACAUUAUUGUACAGAUGCCGAGCCAAUGCCGUCUUUCCAAUACCGCCCAUCCCAACUAUGGGGACUAUUCUUAGCGUGGCAUCAGAAUUUUCAAUGUCAUUGGUCAAUAGUUCAAGUAUAUCUGAUUCUUCCUUCUCCCUACCUAAAAACCCAAGCUCCGGCACAUAAGUGGUUGAAUCCCUUUUGCUGGUGUAGUUGGAUAUGUCCUCAACAUUCUUUCUCAAGUUUAGACUACCCGUUCCAAUGACAAUCUUUGCCAAUCUAUCAUUGAUCUCUUGUAUUUUGGUUUCAAACACAAGCGAGCGUGGUCGGCCAAAGAGAGAGAACUUCCAUUUCUCCAAAUUUCUAUUUGUGCUGGAUUCUACCCCCGACUCAACCCGAGCGACUUUGAUCUCAAACUCAUCGAGCAAGUCAUCCAUGUCAUAGGCCAAGUCUGUAACACUAUCUAGCCACAGCUUCACCUCAUGGUUACCAUCGAGUUGCUUGUUCUCUGCAUCAGCCAACCUUGCCUUGAUUUUGACCAGCUCCCCCUUCCACUCCUUAGGCAAGGUGGUGCUAAUUCCUUCCCUUUGUGCAUAAUUCAAUGCGGAAGAAGUCAACUUAUCGAAUAGGACUUGAAGGAAUGAAGCCAAAAAGGAACCCAAAAUGAUCCCUCCAAUGUCCAUAAGUGAAUCAGUCACUGUAAACAACAACAAAGAUGUUAUGAUGAAGCAAAGUGACAAUGAGCUAAUGGAGAGAGAAAACUAUGAAGUCCAAGAAGACCAAGACUUUCAAGGGAUGCACAUUAAAGGUUAGACAAAUCAAAAUGAAAAUACUAUUUGUCCACAAGUGUUUGUUACGUCAAUUGCUCUCCUUAUUCUUCGGAUCCAGACUUUUGGCUGUUAGACCUUUAUUUUUUGCCAUCCAAAAACAAAGUCUUAAUAUGACCAACUUAGAGUGCAUGCAUAUUUUUUUUUCAUAAUUGUUAUCACUCACGUGUGUUUUGUUGGCUUUUUUAGCGUUUGUAUAUUCUUAGUAACCUUAUAAUUUCAAUGUCUUUGUUUUCUACUUUCUUGGUAGAUGUGCAAUCAACGACGUCUUUUACAUGCCAGUUACUGUGCUAAAGAUUCGCAGCAAGAUGAGCAACAAUGAUUUUUGAAGGGUGUUGAGGUAGUGCUUGAUGAUCGGGAAUCGCCUCGAUGGGAGAAUCAUGGUCCUUUGAACACGAUUUUCAAGUUCAUUAGUGCGAUGAGUAAGUGCAAUAUCCGAUAGAUUAUAUAUUGUUUAUACCGGCCUUGUUUACCAUUUCCAACGUAAGAUAAAGCAACUUGCUUAAUGGAUUAGUUGCUAUGCUUAUCCCUUUUUCUUGUUUAGUGAUGAAUGAAGCUGACCAAAUUAAUAGGAUAAGCAAAUAAGCAUAUUUGUGCAACUCAGUAAAAUAAAUGCUUUUGAAACAUAACAUAUUGAGGAUCCACCCAAUAAUGGCAUCUUAUUUUCUAUUAUAUAUAUACAUGUCAUCAACACAGUUAACUUCGUCUAUCCACUAUGGAGAAUAGAAACACGUGCUUUGGGCUAAACAAGAAAAAUGAUCCAGCGCACCGAAUAAUUCCUUAAGCAACUUUCUUUAUUUUACUCUGCUAACAGUGAACAAGUCACAAAUCACGAAAUGACAGUGUAUAAUCUACUGAGAAUUAUACUCUACCCAUCACCUAUCAACAGGAAAAUUGAGUUCAAAGGACCAUGAUUCUCGCAUCAAGCAAUUCCCGAUCAUCAACUACUAAAUCAUCAUCUUUCAGCAGAUAUUGCCGCCCGUCUUGCUGCAACUUUUUUUCACAAGUGCUUGUUUAGUGAUCCUUAGAGAUUAACCCAAGGCAUUUGUAGUUUCCACAAUUAUAUACUUGUUCAUGUAAAUAAAUCAUAAACUCAGGAAGACCAAGACUUCACUGGAUAUCAUGAACUCUUUUGUCAUGAAAGUGAAGCAAAAUUGAUAAAGAGCUCAUGGGAAAGAAAAUUUAAUAAAAUCUAGGAAAACCAAGACUUAUGGAGAUGCAAAUUGGAUUUGUUGCUUCACUUUUCAAAUCCCUCCUCUUCCGUUCCCAUUCAAAUGUCUUUUUUACAUUACUAGUAGAAUUUCCAAGUGUUACGUGGGCAUUAUUUUUGUGUGUGUGUGAAUGAGAUUUUAUUUGACAAUUAGCACUGAUUAUUGUUCUCUUGCUCAAAAUUUAUAAUACUAUAAUUUUAGUCCAACAUUAAUGAAUGAUUAAUCAUAUUGUGAGUAAUCAUUAAUCUCUGUUGUACUUGUCUAUUGGAAUUAUGUCUAGAUUUCCAUUUAUCUUUUCAAAUAUGAGUUUAAUAAAUGGAAAAAGAGCAAAAAGAAAAACUAAAAAAGAAAAACAGCAAAAACUGAUAAAGAAAAAAAAAUGCAGGAGUGGGGUGAUAAUAUUCUUCACGACUCGCGGGGAGUUCCACUUCACAUUUUUGUUUUGUUUUUUUUUUUUUUUUUAGUGAAGAUGCAAUCUAAAUUUGUUAAUAUGCAAGAUAUGAUUUUCCUAGAUUUUCCAAAUAAUAACAUGUGAUUUAUGAUAGGAAACAUGUAAAAAAGAGAAUUAAUAAUAAUGCACUCCAAAAAGUCUGGAUGCGCAUGAUAAUGCUUGUCCAUGAAAAUUCUAAGUUUUCUAAUAUAAUUAUCCUGAUAUGGAUAUAAUACAAUUCUAGCCUAAUAUGUAAUGAAAAAUCAUAAAAUAGAGGUCCGAGUUUUGGCUCAAACAAUUAUGCGUGCAGAUAUAUCACCUGAUUAAAACAAAACUAAUAAAUCACCAUGAAUUAUGCAAUCAAGCUGGGUAUAUGACAUCAACUUUCCCCAAUUUUGCUAUUAAACUUGCUGCAUCAGUUCAAGGAAAAAGAGAGCAGGUAGAUAGAUGUCUUUUACCUAUUCCAAGUAGACUUCCUGGAGCCGACCAGGCGAACAAGAUAAGAUCCACAACAGCAAUCCAGCAAGCACGAGCGCUAGGUUUGGCAGUUCACUGUGUACGCAUGCGUAUUCAGCUACCGCAAUGCGUGGUCGAUGCUUGCAACGACGAACGAUGGUAUUGAUUGAGCGACGACUAGAGAUGGUGGUGAUUGGCGACAAUCGAUAUGCAUGCAAGAGAUGAAUUGAAUGAGAAUGGAGUCUGUGGGCGUGAGUUUAAUGAUGAUGAUGAUGGUGGUGGUGGUGGCGGAUGAAGAAAAAGUGAGGCGGUGUGGUUUUAAAGAAAGGAGCAGGAGAACCAAGAUGAAUUCUGCCGUAUGUGUUUUCCUCUCGGGGGUUACCGUUUUAUCUUUGCUUUUCUUUUAUUUCUUUUUUAUUUGGGGAAUAAAUUUGAAAGAACCUAAUCCUAUUUGUCGAAAUUCUGGUAUAUGCUUAUAAAAUGCUUUAAUUCCAAUAAACUUCUUCUUUGGGAGGAAAAUCUGUUCCAGUUUUCCAAAUAUAUAUGAAAAUCACUUUUGGGCAGAAGUUAGGUAUCGACAAGUUUUAACAAUUAAAUGAUUAUUGUUGAGCUAUUUAUACUUAUUUUGGCAACUUGAGAUUUCUUAAUUUUUGGAUGUGUGGAGCUGUCAGAUGAUCCUUUCCAGGUGUGGCUGUAACCGCCUGCUUAUUG
rnacentral:lncRNA from 1 species